CCAUUUCAUAGCUAACUCUUUGUUAUAUUUAACUUCCUCUUCUUUGCUUCUUGCUCAUAACGAUAACUUGAAAGCCUUACGUUCAGAUAGAUAAUCAUUGACAAGUCCAUCCUAUAUCAUUCUAUUUAAUUUAGAAAUGCAGAAAGAAAAACGCAAGCAAUCCAAAGAUGAAGAAAAUGAUUCAUCCUCGCGAAAGAGAAGAAAAGCUGACCUCAGUAAGCCUAUAUAAAGAAUACAAUUAACCUCAUUUCAAUAUCAUAGCUUUGGAAUUUCAUAGCUAACUCUUCGUUAUAUUGCUCCAUUGGUAAUUGAUUGUGCCUUGAUUUCUGCAGCUGCCAUGACAGAGCCAGAGUCUUCUCGAUCUAGACCAGAAGGGGCCUAUGAUGUCUUCUUGAGUUUUAGAGGAGAAGACACUCGCAAGACAUUUACAGAUCAUCUAUAUACUGCCUUGGUCCAAGCAGGAAUCCACACUUUUCGAGAUGAUGAUGAACUUCCGAGAGGAGAAGAAAUCUCCGAUCAUCUCCUCAGGGCAAUUCAGGAAUCAAAGAUAUCCAUAGUUGUUUUCUCAAAAGGAUAUGCUUCUUCUAGAUGGUGUCUCAAUGAACUUGUAGAGAUUCUUAAGUGCAAAAAUAGGAAAACCGGUCAGAUUGUUCUUCCUAUAUUCUAUGACAUUGAUCCUUCAUAUGUGAGAAAACAGGAUGGCAGUUUUGCAGAAGCAUUUGUUAAACAUGAAGAGCGUUUUGAAGAGAAGUUGGUGAAGGAGUGGAGAAAAGCUCUUGAGGAGGCUGGAAAUCUAUCUGGAUGGAAUCUCAAUGAUAUGGCAAAUGGGUAUGCCUUUUUUCUCUAAGAUUCACUUGCACACAUUUAUGGAGUCAAUAUACUUUACAUUUUUCAAUGUGAAACAAUAAAAUACUUAAUUGACUCGCUAUCAAUGACUUGCUUUUGUCUAUGAGCAGGCAUGAAGCAAAAUUUAUCGAAGGGAUUAUCAAAGAUGUGUUGAAUAAAUUAGAUCCCAAGUACUUGUAUGUUCCUGAGCACCUAGUAGGUAUGGAUCGGGUUGCUCACAAUAUUUAUGACUUUCUAAGUACUGCAACAGAUGAUGUACGCAUUGGGGGCAUGCAUGGGAUGCCAGGAAUAGGAAAGACGACUAUAGCAAAAGUUGUAUUUAAUAAACUCUGCUAUGGAUUCGAGGGAAGCUGUUUUCUUUCGGAUAUCAAUGAAAGGUCAAAACAAGUUAAUGGUCUUGUUCCUUUACAAAAGCAACUUCUUCACGAUAUUUUAAAACAGGAUGUUGCAAACUUCGAUUGUGCUGAUAGAGGAAAGGUUCUGAUCAAAGAGCGACUUCGUCGCAAAAGAGUUCUUGUUGUUGCUGAUGACGUGGCUCAUCUGGACCAGCUGAAUGCAUUGAUGGGAGAUCGAAGUUGGUUUGGUCCCGGAAGUAGAGUAAUUAUUACAACAAGAUAUUCAAGUUUACUUCGUGAAGCAGAUCAAACAUAUCAGAUCAAAGAAUUGGAACCAGAUGAGUCCCUUCAGCUUUUCAGCAGGCAUGCCUUUAAGGACUCCAAGCCAGCAAAAGAUUAUAUUAAGCUUUCGAAGGAUGCAGUUGAUUACUGUGGAGGACUUCCUUUAGCUCUUGAGGUUAUAGGAGCUCUUCUGUACAGGAAAAACAGAGGUGAAUGGGAAAGUGAAAUUGACAACUUGAGCAGAAUUCCAAACCAAGAUAUUCAAGGAAAACUUCUAAUAAGUUAUCACGCACUUGAUGGUGAACUACAAAGAGCAUUCCUUGAUAUUGCAUGCUUCUUUAUUGGUAUAGAGAAAGAAUACGUCGCAAAAGUGCUAGGAGCCCGUUGCCGUCUCAAUCCAGAAGUUGUUUUGAAAACUCUCCGUGAAAGGUCUCUGAUUCAAUUUCAUUGGUGUAACAUUAAAGAUGAAAGGCAGUUAUUUGGAGAGAUGGUAGCCAUGCAUGAUCUAUUACGAGACAUGGGAAGGGAGGUCGUUUGUAAUGCGUCUCCCUUGCAUCUUGGAAAAAGGACCAGAAUUUGGAAUAAAGACGAUGCAUGGAAUGUACUUGACCACCAGAAGGUAAGAGCUCAAUGCAUACACGAAAGCAUAGUCAUGCGUAUUUUCUAGUCACACUUAUUACAAAUAAUUGUAUGAAAGUUGUAUUGUUUUUCUUUUAGGGUACGGAUGUUGUAGAGGGUCUUGCACUGGAUGUCAGAGCAUCAGAAGCUAAAUCACUUGGCGGAGGAUCAUUUGCAGAAAUGAAAUUCUUAAAUUUACUCCAAAUCAAUGGAGUACAUCUCACCGGAUCCUUCAAACUGCUUUCUAAAGAGUUGAUGUGGAUUUGUUGGCAUGAAUGUCCUUUGAAAUAUUUUCCAUCUAAUUUUACUUUAGACAAUCUAGUUGUUCUUGAUAUGCAGCACAGUAACCUCAAAGAAUUAUGGAAGGAAAAAAAGGUACGAAACAUGCUACAAUCCCCAAAAUUUCUCCAAUAUGUAAUUUAUAUUUACAUGUAAUGACUUUCUAUGAUUAAUUUUCAUUAUUUUGCUCUCUAUCAUGAUAGAUGCUCGACAAACUAAAAAUCCUUGAUCUCAGUCAUUCUCAGCACCUUAUUAAAACACCAAACUUGCACAGUUCAAGUCUAGAGAAACUAAUUCUGGAAGGUUGCUCGAGUUUAGUUGAGGUGCAUCAAUCAAUUGAAAAUUUGACGAGCCUCGUUUUCUUGAAUCUGGAGGGAUGUUGGAGGCUGAAGAUUCUCCCUGAAAGCUUUGCCAAUGUAAAGUCUCUUAAAUGUUUGAAUAUUUCUGGGUGUUUACAACUUGAGAAAUUACCAGAACGCAUGGGUGAUAUGGAAUCCUUAACCAAGCUUCUAGCUUAUGGGAUUGAAAAUGAGCAAUUUCUCUCUUCAAUUGGACAAUUAAAGUAUGUUGGAACUUUAUCAUUGCGUGGAUGCAGUUCGGCUCCACCAAGUUCUUCUUUGAUUUCAACAGGUGUUUUGAAUUGGAAACGUUGGCUGCCAGCAUCUUUCAUUGAAUGGAUAUCAGUAAAACAUCUUAAGCUUUCUAAUUGUGGUUUGUCUGAUCGCGCAACUAACUGUGUUGAUUUCAGUGGUUUGUCUGCUCUAGAGUAUUUGAAUCUAGAUGGAAACAAAUUCUCUAGUCUUCCUACUGGGCUCGGCUUCCUUCCCUAUCUAUUAACGUUGAUUGUCGAUGCAUGCAAAUAUCUUGUAUCAAUCCCAGAUCUUCCCUCACGUUUAUGCAUUUUGCAUGCAAAUCAUUGCAAAUCAUUGAAAAGAGUAAGAAUACCAAUCGAGCGAGAAGAAGAACUAUGUAUACAACUAGGGGGAAGUCAUUCGUUAGAAGAGAUACAGGGCAUCGAAAGUCUAAGUAAUAGUUUCUGGUAUGUUUGUGUUGGUGAGCACAGUCAUUCACCAAAUAAAUUUCAGAAGAGCGUUGUUGAGGUACUAUUUCUUUCAAUCUCUUUUGCACAAGAAGAAACACACAAUUGGCACAUAUAUUGAUUAAUAUCUAAAAUCUCAGCAUUACUUGAAAUCAAUAUGUAUACAGGCAAUAAUCAUUAUUAUUAUUAUUUUAUUUUAAAAAAAUAAAUAUCAUCUUUAAUAACAUUUUUUAUUUUUCUUAUUUAAUCUAAAAAAAUAAAUAUCAUCUUUAAUAAUAUUUUUUAUUAAAUUUAAAGUCUGAUUGGUUUUAUUUUUUAUUUCUUGAUUUUAUGAUAAUAUAUUUAUACAGGCAAUGUGCAACGGUCGUGACCCGUAUUGUAUUGCCAACAUUCCUGGUAAGAUGCCAAAUUGGAUGAGCUACAGGGGAGAAGGAUGCUCAUUGUCAUUCCAUAUACCUCCAGUCUUCCAAGGCUUAGUUCUUUGGUUUCAUAAGGAUUCUCAUUGUCACUUCCACAUUGACAUUAUUAUUAUUAUAAGAAAUAAAAGCAACGGUAUUCAAUUGUUUGAAGAAAAACAAUUACCAAUAGACACGGUACGUGGAAGGGUGGGAUGGACAAGAUACAUAAGUAGAAGUGAAAUGGCAAUGGAAGAUUACUGUGGAGAUGACGAAUUGGAACUAUACGUAUAUUCAAAGCCAUCAAUACUUGCGGUGUACAGAGGUUGGCAAUUAAAACCCGGACACAUUAAAGAAUAUGGGGUCCAUGUGAUCGCAGGGAAGUCAGAUUCAUUUGAAGAGUCGGCAGUGGGAAGAGAUGCAGUGAUGCCUUCACCACCGCUGUAUCAUCUGCUUCCUCAUCCCCAUUGUGGUUCGAUUACAGCGUCUACACCUAAGCAAUGGAGUGACUAUUUAUCUGCGAAGCUAGAAGGACAUAGCCUCGAUUUAAGACUUGAUGGUGAGAACAAAUAUUUCAUUUAGUUAUUUUUAUUCUAUUAUAUUUAAUUUAUGAGAUUAAAUAUUAUCUUUAAUGAUUUUAUUAUUAUUAUUUAAUCUAAAAAAUUAAAUAUCAUCUUUAAUAAAAAAAUAUUAAAUAUUUAAGGCUUUUUGGUAAGAAUACAUAUUUCCUUUAGUUAUUUCUAUUUUAUUCUAUUUAAUUUAAGAGAUUAAAUAUCAUCUUUAAUUCUUACAUUUUUCUUAUUUAAUCUAAAAAAUUAAAUAUUAUCUUUAACAAUAUUUUUUAUUAAAUAUUUAGAGUUUGCUUGGUUUUAUUUCUUUUCUUGAUUUUAUAAUAAUAUUUUUCUUAUUUAAUAUAAAAAAUAAAUAUUAUCUUUAACAAUUAGAUCUAUCGAAUAUCACUUAAAAAUAAAUUAUAACUUUAAUAAUUAUUUUUUGAAAAACAAAAGGCCAACAAUCACUAACAUAUUUUAUUAAAAUCACUUUAGUUUAUAUAGAAAAUAUUGAAAACUGAUUUUUGUUUUUUUACAUUAAAAUAAAAAAUUGAAUAAUGUUUUUAUAUUUUAUUUCAAACUCGAUAUUUUAAAACAAAAAUGAAAAAGAUGUGAUAUUAACAUUUUUUAUUAUAAAGUAAGUUUUUUAAUUAAAAGUGAUGGGAAUUUGUUUUUAUUGCAUGUACAAUCAUGCACAUUUAACUUUCUUUUUAAAUUUGAUGGUUUUUUAGGACGGAAAUGGCUUGAAGGUGGUGAAGGCUUUGAUUGACAUGAGAGUACAAGAUUAGUUUACAUAGAGAUGCUUGAAGUUGCUCCAAAUCAGUACGAUACUUUCAUCUGACAUGUUGAUAUGUAUUUGUUGGCUUGAAGAUUAUUUUCCAAGCUUGGAAGUUUUAUUGAAUUCUCUUUGAAAUCUUUUCCAUCCGCUGGACAACUUAUAUUAUUAUGCAUGAUGUAAUUUAUAUUUUCAAGUUACAAAUUUUGAUGAAUAUUGUUUCAUUUUUUUCCUCAUUUCAAAAGAUGAAAAUCCUUGAUCUUAGUUAGAAAUAAAUUGGUUUUCUAGGAAGAGAUUAUUGAUUGGAAUAUAGUAUUUGAAUUGGUUCUUCAUCAUUUACUGUUAUAUAUAAUUUAAAAUAAUUGAUGAAAAUACAUAGAAAAGUUUUGAGAGCAUCCUUAAUUAGUCUAGUAAGUAAAGUGUUGUUAGUUUUGACUAUAAGAUCUUGCUAUGUAUUAUUGCAUGGUUUUUACUAUUUUUUUGCAUUUCUUCUUUUUGUAUAUACAACUUUUGUUUUUCUUGCCGCUUGUCAUUAGCUUUAUGGCACCAACACCAAUUAAUAAUAAAUCUUGAACUAUUAUUAAAUAAAGAAAAAAUAUAAAUAUCGUUAAAAUACCAAACUUGAAUUGCUCAAUCCUAAAGAAACCCUAUGACAAUAAUCUAAUUUAGAAAAUAAUUAAUUUAUCCUUGUAGUCUAAGAAAAUAGUAUUUAAUUCUUAUGUUUUCAUAUACAUCUAUGAUUUAAUAUGUUGAUUGAAAUUGGCAAGUGAGUUUACUCACGUAUUGUUAUAUUGGUUUUGAGUUCAAAUAAAUGUUUAAAAAGGGAGUUUUUUCAUGAAUGUAACCCUUCAAUAUAUGAAUGUUUAAAAUUGUAUUCAAUAUGAAUGAUGGAUGAUUUUGCUAAGAAUUGGUUGGUAAAAAACUUAAUUUCGAUAUAUAAAAACUUAAGAGACAACAAUAAAUAGAGAGACUAGUAAAGAUUUUAUGUGCUUUCUUGUUUUUUUUUUUUAAUUGGAUUACCUUUGUCUUUUGUUUCAAGUAAAAUUCUAGUAUAUAUCACUAAAUUAAGAAUUAAAGGUCUAAUUAUAUGAAACACAAUUUUAAAGACUACAUCAACUACAUUUCAUAUGCUCAACUCUAAGCAAAUUGAAAUUUCAAGGCCAUUUGUAUCUUGAAAACACAAUCUCAAUAAUCUUAAUAUUGAAUUAUUAUUUGUUGAGUUGGAAAAUAGCACUAAGGAACACAAAAGCCGUACUGUUUAUCUUCUUGGCAUUGUUCAAAGGAACGCAAAAAGAUACUCCAAUUGUGAAAGAUUAUUAUUGUCAUAAAGUAAAACUUUCAAUAUAGAGAGUGAAAUAAAGAGCAAGAGCAAAAAAAUAAUUCGUGUGUGUAUUAGCUAAAUGAAAUGAAGAUUAGAGUAAAAAGGAUAAAAAAAAAAAAAAAAAAUAGAGAGAGAGACUCGUUAAGAUUUUAUGUUGGUGCUCAACAUGUUCUUUCUUAUUUUUUUUUUUUUUUUAAUUUUAUCUUAACGAGUGAAAUAAAGAAACACUCCCCCCAUCUUUCUUGUUCCCUUUCCCUUCUUUACAUGGCUUACUCAGUGAAAAAGCAAUUAAACACCCCAUUUGAUUUUCAAUCAGUAUGAGAGUGAGAGAGAGAGAGGCCAAGGUGGUCCUUGAAUAUUUUCUUCUUUUUUGUCUCGCUCACUGGGGCAAACCAUUUUUUCCAAAAUUUUGAAUAGCAUGCGAUCAAAAAGAAUUUUGAAUAGCAUGCCAUCAAAAGGAAUUUUGUUCAAUCCCAAUCCCACAUUGUCUGUAGAAGUAUUUACUUUUGACUGUACACUUUGUUAUUUUCCAAUCCCUCCCCAGUUCUGCAACCAUUUCUCUACUUUCUAUGCUCUUGGCUUGCUAAAAACUAAAGAAAACACAUUGCUCUACUUGCCUGCCUUCACUCUUCAGAUUGCUCAACAAAUCCCUUGAGACCUUCUCCAUAGUUAACACAUCACAUAAUGGCUACUCUAAAAAAUUUAGCCAUAAACAUUGAACACCUUGAGCAAUCAACGUGCCUUCCUUCACAAUAUCCAUCACCCAUAAAUCUUUCUUUUGGGAUGUCGCCGGGAGUUUAAUUUCCGUGUAAAAAUUAUGUAUAAAUUUCCAUUCUUUCCUUCCAUCCAUUACUUGUCCUCUAUGAAGAUUCUAUGUAUGAAAUCUCGGAAUCUUUUCGAGUAUAACUUGGGAUCAACAGCUGAGAUAGACGUGGGAUCCACUUCUAAGGACUUGUAUGCAUGCUCUAGCUUUUUGCUGAUAUCAUAAUCCUAGAGAUACCAAAGUGAAGAACUACAUCUCACAAUCACCAAAAUUCAAAGUAAAGUAACGGAGAAGAAAAUCUGAUAACAAUGAAUGAUCACUCAUUAACCACAGCGAAUCUUACGCUUUGAAAACACUUUUCACCAUCAAUUUUCCUUUUCUCAUUGAUUUUAAAUCUUCCAGGCAGAUAAAAUAGCAUUGGUUUUAUUCAUCAGCUUAGGCAUCAACAACAUGUUGCAUCCACAAUCUUACUACUACAUUAUAAUUAUAAACAAAGCUAAAAAAAUAUAUAUAUGAGGACAGAGUUAACAGACAUGCACUAAGAGUUAACAGACAUGCACUAACACACACUGUGCAAAUCAGUGUACAGCUGUUAUAACAAACAAGUGUACAAUCUGUUUUCUCCAACCUUCCAGCAUUAUUCUCCCGAGCAUAUUCUGUCAGCUCAAGAUUAGGCAAUUCUGUUAACCAUUCUGUUAGCUCUGUUCUCUUUUGUUGUAUAUAUACUUGAUUGAUUGAUUGAUUCAAUAACAUUAUCUUUCUCUCUUCUCACCUGCCCCCUUUUUCUUCUCCUUUUACCUCUAGCUUCCAAUGCCUAUCAACACCACCAUCCUUAACACAAAUGAAUCUCACAGCAUGUUGAUUACCAUCAAUGUAGCAGCCCAAACUCCAUUAAAACUUAUCUCCACCAGGCACCAACUAUCUAGCCUGGAAACUUUGUUGGGGAUUCCGGCUCCCCCAUGCGCGGACCGGGGGUGUACUGAUAGUUGCUCAACGGAGGGUAAAGCACACUGAUACAAUAUUUUACGUGGUUCGGCAAAACCGCCUACAUCCACGGGAGAGUCCAUAUUAUUAGAGAUAUAUAGAGAAAGGAUUACAACAUACAUGGAGGAGGAGGAUCACUUCACUCAAACUCAAUUCCCAGCUCUUUUGCUACACUUACAGCUGCUGCAAUGGCAGCAGCCAUUGCAGCUCUCUCUUUCUCUCCACUCUCUUGCACACACUCACGUUCUCUCUCUCUCAUUUUUCUCUCAAAUAUAAGCCUCCUUUAUAGGCAUUUCAUGGUCAACAUGGAGGGGCCAAUAGCCUUAAAGCAUGGCAUGAAUUGUGGCACAAUUCAUGCUUCCACUUGCUUAGUGGUGGGGUAUUGCCACAAAUGGCAAUAUCCUAACAAUCACCCCCUUUGCCAUUUGUGUGGGCAAUUGUCCUCUUGCUUCUUCAGCACAGGCUUGCAUCUUGCAGCUCUUCCAAGCUUACCAUUCUGAGAGCGUCUUCAACACAACAUUCCCUUUCGAGUGUAUCAAUCAUGCUCGGUCCGGAAUGAUUUUUCAAGCCUUACACCAAGGCUUACAACACCCCCUCAAAUAGAUAUUUCUAAGUGCGACAGUCAUUUAGUAUUUCAAUGUGAUCACAAGCUCACCACUCUUCCAAGAGUCUACUCAUCCAAGAGUUGUGCCUGCCCUCUGUUCCACCCUAGGAACCACGUCUUACUUCUCCGUGAGUCUCUCGCUCUUAGUCGUAAGAGUCCAGGUAGCUCUCCACCUUUAACCAUAGGGGCAGCCCAUUAAAGGUUGAUUCAUAUCUGUCUUCAUACUCUGAGUAUUACAAUGCCAUUACCGAGCUCACCACCUUAACAAGAGUCAACUCGUUCUCGGAACCUGCGCAUGCCCUUCUGCUUCUUCAUAGCAGCCGCGUCUUAAUGCUCCACAAGUCACACACUUAUUGUCCAAGGCAAAUGUCUUCUAGCUCAUUGAUCUUUAGCAUGGGGGCAAUAUCCAUGAAAGUCAAUCCUGCAUUUGUCUCCAUACUCAUCAUAGCCACUUCAUUGGCUAUCUAUACACUUGUCCACUUGUAUCUAGCCAUCACAUCGGCUUUGGAGCGUUCUGAACUGGGCUCAUAUCAUGGCCCUCACACCUUCUCCUCAGGUGUCUCCGCUCGUCAUCAUGCGACGGUCUGAACUGGGGCUCCUCUCAUAGCCCUCACACCUUCUCUACGGUGUCUUCGCCCGUUGUCAUGGGGCGGUCGCAUCCUUCUUCAGCUGGGAUGCUUCAAAGUGGCUCCAAAAUUCUCUACCACCAUGUGCACUAUGGGAGAGAUUAUAACCACUGAUUACAUAGAAAGAGAAACUUGCGGUAUACUCCUCGCAAUCCUCCACCUCGAUUUCUAUGUUUGGAGCUUUUGUGUCUUUCUACUUGAUAGCUCCACCUACACCAACUCUCUUUGGUGUCUUCGCCUUUCAUCAUAGGCGGUCGCCUUUUAUCACAGGCGUUUGCACCCCCUCAAUUAGGUGCUUCUACAACAGCUCUCUUUCCAUCCUUGCAUGCAUUGGAAAGGUCUUCGCCUGUUGUCUUCAUCAAGAGCAUAAGAGACUUCCUGUUGUACAAACUUUAACAGUCUCUGCUCUGAGCUUCAUCUGGGAACACUUCUUCUCCUUGCACCUAUUGUCUCAUUACAGUACCUCGUUGGAUCCUACGGGUACUCCUGCACAAUCUCCGUGUGCCCUCGUGCAAUUUCUGUUCUCCAGAUUUCUCCCUAUUUCUUGCUUAUGUUUGACAGCAGCUCAUCCUGUCACAACACCUGUCCAAGUCAAAAAUAUGGUGCCAAUCUUUAUCCCCUUGCUGUAUUCCUCUUCCAUUAUCAGGGUCUUCAUCAGUUCUCCCCUCGAGAAAUCACAGUCACCGAAUCUAACUUCUUUGGAGAAAUCACCACUCCAUCAGAUCCUUGAACCUUUGGAACCCAACUAUUCCCUUGUGCCGUCAUCCUGCUAGCCUUCAACUGUUUCAUUACAAACUGCUAUAUAUACAAAAAUAGUACCGUAUGGAUAAUCCUUCCACUAAGCAAGUUCCCAGGAAAGAUUGGAGGGGUCACACUGGUCCCGCUUAAAACCCAAUCUCCUAGACAGAACUUCUUAGGACAUAUCUAUCCAUCGUACUGUCUUUUUGUAUAUACAACCAUUUGCUAGCUUUGUUGCGGCUUUCCUUUACAAGUGAUCUGGGGUAUCCCGAUUUUAUACCUGAUUUCUCAACAUCUGGCGAGACUACCAGUUCUUAGAUUCGUCAAGAUUGGUCUUUAUCAAUUUUCACUCUACACCUCUAAUUGUCCACUUGAUCGGGUGUCUAGAGUGUCCCAAUUUUGCCUUCCCUCAAGGCAGUUAAAUUUCUCCCAACUUAGCAGCUCAGCACAUGUAAUUGGGUAAACAUGUGCACCUUCUUCUUCUUCUCUUCAACGACCACCAUGAUAACCUUCAGAUGCCUCCUGAUCGGGCAAUCUCUUUUGUUAAUUCAUCACUACCACUUUCGGUCUCAAAUCUCAACGAUCGGACCAUACCAUUGCAUCCGAAACGAUCAAAUUAGCUGGAAACAAGUCUGAAAUCGUCCAAAUCGCACUUCAGACGGCUAAGAUUUGAUCAAAACAAUUCUGGCCUGAUCAAUGGCUCAGAUUCAAUCUCAGAUCCGGUUGCACGUAGGAUCAGCUACACUGGAUCCUGUCCCUCGGCUCGCGGCUCGGCUCCAAUUAGGCUCGGCUCGGCUUGGCUCGGCUCGUGGCUAAUGACGUGGUUGGUGGGUCCCACUUUGCUGACGUGUCAGUGACUGUACGCUGACAUGGCAUGCCAACUGUGCAUGCUGACAUCACACUUACAUCAGGCUGAUGUCAUCCCUGGCAUGCCUACUAUGCAUGUUGACAUCACAAUUAUGUCAUACUGACGUCAUUCAUAUCCGGGUCAGCCAUGUGGGUCGGGUCAACUGGUAUUUGGGUCGGGUCAGCCCAUCCGGGCGAAGAAGACGCGUGGGGUGCGUCUGCGCGCGUGGGCAGACGCCUUGCCGGAGAGUGAUGGAGAGUACGGCCAUGUCCGACGUCCGAUUUUGACGCCGUUUUCACCAGUGGCUUCGUCUCGGCCUCCUCUACACGGUGGUAUAGUCAAAACACCAUUUUGAGAACUUUCAUUUUUGAGCAAAAAUCAAACACCCCUUUAAACCAUGUGCUCUGAUACCAGUUGUUGGGGAUUCCGGCUCCCCCAUGCGCGGACCGGGGGUGUACUGAUAGUUGCUCAACGGAGGGUAAAGCACACUGAUACAAUAUUUUACGUGGUUCGGCAAAACCGCCUACAUCCACGGGAGAGUCCAUAUUAUUAGAGAUAUAUAGAGAAAGGAUUACAACAUACAUGGAGGAGGAGGAUCACUUCACUCAAACUCAAUUCCCAGCUCUUUUGCUACACUUACAGCUGCUGCAAUGGCAGCAGCCAUUGCAGCUCUCUCUUUCUCUCCACUCUCUUGCACACACUCACGUUCUCUCUCUCUCAUUUUUCUCUCAAAUAUAAGCCUCCUUUAUAGGCAUUUCAUGGUCAACAUGGAGGGGCCAAUAGCCUUAAAGCAUGGCAUGAAUUGUGGCACAAUUCAUGCUUCCACUUGCUUAGUGGUGGGGUAUUGCCACAAAUGACAAUAUCCUAACAAACUUCAAUUCCAGACUCUAUUCAUAGGACAUUUGAUUGAGGUCUCCACAAACAUUGAAACACCGCAAUUUUUCAUGAUAAAAUCCAAAGGAUUGGUACUUUGGUGUUUGAGGGGCUGGUAAAUGAAAGAACAGAUCAAGAGAUGACAUCCCUCUAUACCGCUGUUAUUCCUUUCAAGGUGCGUAUCAGGUGUUUGAAAAACUUCCUCAACUUAAAAAUAAAAAGGUCCUGUUUACAAUGUUUUUUAGUCCUUUACAAAUCUUCCAAUGUGUUGCGUUUACUGAAUAUGAUAGUGGGAACUUAUUUAUCAAGAAUUAACUACUCAGAAGAAAAUGUAAAGACGCAAUAAUGAUUUUUUUAUUUUAGAUUCCAUAGUCUACAAACUUGGAAGCAUACGGACCAGUCAGAAGACAACAUGUUUAUUGUAUAUGAUAAACAAUAAUAAACAUCUCAUUCUUAAAAUGAUGGUAAAUCAGAAACAACCAUCCAAUACUUGAAGAUCUGUUGAAGAUAUUUGGCCUUUGGAAAUUUUGAAGAGAACUGGAGCAGUUGCAUAUGGAUUAGCUCUUCCAUCCAAUCUUUUCAUCUAACCAUCCAGUUUUCUAUGUAUCCAUGCUUUAAAAGUAUCUUCGUGCUCCAUCACAUGUAUUGGAGCCAUAAACAGUAGCAUUUCAAGGAGAUAUGUCAUGUGAAAUCCGUUCUAAUGAGAUUGCUUCAGUGAAAGUAAUGUGAGAAGGUCAUCCAAGUGAUGAAGCAACACGAGAACCUGAGAAGAUGAUACGUAAUAAAUAUCGUUAUUUCUUCAUUCAAUCAAGCUAACAAGUUUUCUACUUAAAUUCGAGGAUGAAUUUAUUUUAACAGGGGAGGUGGAAAUGUAAACCCACCCCAUAAUAUAUAACUCAUUAUUGUUUUAUAUGUUGGCCCGUUAAUUCAAGUCAUUUUCUUCUAUCUCUCUUAUAGGAAUGUUCCUCCUUCUCCCUUUUACUGCAAAUAUUCCCCCACGAUCCCAAACCAUCAAUUGACCCUAUAACUCUCUUGUUUUGAGUAGGUUUACUUCAACUUUAUCAAGUGUUUAUAAUAUUGUUUUAUGUUUAUUUAUUUAUAUAAAAUUGUUGAAUUCUAGGCGUUAUAUGAUAUUAGUUGAUGUUAUAUGGAAUUAUUUAAAUUAAUUUGUGUGUGGGUAGUAAUAAGUGUAUAUGAAUAUGAAUUGGAGUAAGGUCAUAGAUGGGUUGGUGUGAAGCUUUGAUUAAUUGAUAUAUUUUGAUGUAAUGAGUAAAUACCUUAAGAAAUUUGAAUAUUUGAAAGAUAAUAGGUAAAUAUUGAAGAAUUGUAUAGAAAGAAUCAUAUUGAAAUUAUGAAAAAUAUGUUUUGGGGUUGAUGAUGGAAGAAUUACAGUUUGGUCCUUGCUUUUGAGAAAUUAAGAUUUUGUCCCUAAAUUCUAAAACAAUUAUAGUUUAGUCACUGGUUGUAAAUAACAAUUUUUAAGAUAUUUUCCUGAUAAAUAUCUGAGAAAUAAUGAUCAUCUAUUAUCAAUUUUUAUUGUUAUCAUUUAAAUUUAAAAUUAAUUGUAUUAUCUACGAGCACAAGUGGUACAGUUAUCAAUCGAAUUUUAGCAAAAUCAAGGAUCCAAGAAUUGGCCUCUGUAACAUAUUAGGAAACUGGCAUGCAAACCCGACAAGAUAAAAGGCAAGGGACAAGAUAAAAUGAGAAAUAAGACACAAGAAUUUACGUGGUUCACCCAAUUUGGCUACGUCCACGGGCAAGUAUAGAAGGAUUUUACUAAGUAAUGUGGGAAUUACAACCUCUCUCUACUAAUAGGAGAACAACUGAAAUCUCUCUAUUAAUAGGAGAAAACACCUCACUUACUCUCUCACAAAUACCUCACAAUUUUGUGGGAUUACUUUCCCUCUCUCACUCUUCUCUUCCUCUCUUAUGAUGUGCAAAAUAAGCUUGGAUGCACUGCCUAUUUAUAGGCAAGCAUCCAAGCAAAGGACAAAAAGGCACCAAUUGGUGCUGCAAGUGGCACCGAAUUGGUGCCCAACAUUGUUGAAUUUGCAGCACAAAUUUGGUGCCUAACAUUGUUGACUUUGCCAACAAUGCAGCUGGCUUCACAUUCUCCCACUUGAAGACUUUGAUGAGUGAAUCAAGUCUUCACACUUAAUCAUCUGUGAUUCUUCUAUCCUUUCUAUACUUGUCAUCUUCAUGCUGCUUACAUUUCUGUUAGGCCAUAAGAGGAUCUGCACCAUAUGUACUUGUCAGUGUUGACUGGUUUGGUUAAAGCAUCUGCUGGGUUUUCCUUCGUGUGAACCUUUUGAAAAUCUACACUUCCAUCUUCCACUACUUCGCGAACAAAGUGAUACUAAACAUCUAUGUGUUUUGUUCUUGAAUGAAACGCGGGAUUCCUUGCAAUAUGCAAAGCACUCUGACUAUCACAAUACAAAAGAAUGUUCUCUUGUUUGUGCCCGAGCUCCUCCAUAAGUUUCUUCAUCCAUAUUGCUUCUUUACAAGCUUGUGUAGCUGCCAUGUACUCAGCUUCUGUUGUGGAUAAAGCUACAACAGUCUGAAGUUUAGAGACCCAGCUCACAGCUCCUCCUGCAAUUAUGAACACAUAGCCUGUAGUGGAUUUUCUUUUCUCAAGGUCGCCAGCAAAAUCUGAAUCAACAUAACCUCUGACGGUAAAUUCUGAUCCUCCAUAUCAUAAUGCAACAUCUGAGGUGCCCUUGAUGUAUCUCAAGAUCCUCUUAAUAGUAUUCCAAUGCUCUCUACCAGGAUUUGCCAUGUAUCGACUAGCUACUCCCACUGCUUGUGCAAUGUCUGGUCUUGUACAUAUCAUGGCAAACAUUAAGCUUCCCACUGCUGAUGCAUACGGUACUCGAGACAUCUCCAUCCUCUCUGCUUCAUUGCUAGGAGACAUACUUGAGGAUAAUUUGAAGUUAAUAGGAAGUGGGGUGGAAAUUGGCUUACAAUCUUGCAUGUUGAAGUGUCGUAAGAUCUUAUUCAAAUAAUUCUUCUGAGAAAGCCAAAUCUUCCUCUUACUUCUGUCUCGGUGAAUUUGCAUCCCUAGAAUCUUGUUUGCUGGUCCCAAGUCCUUCAUAUCAAACUCCCUAGCCAACUGUGCCUUCAAUUCUUGGACUCGAUCUUUGUUGGAGCCUAUUACCAACAUGUCAUCCACGUACAACAACAAAAUGAUGAAAACAUCAUUUUCUUCAAACCUCUUGUAAUACGUACAAUGGUCUGAACUGAGUCUGUUGUACCCAAGGCUAAUUAUGAAGGAAUCAAAUCUCUUGUACCAACAUCUCGGCGCCUGUUUGAGACCAUAUAGAGAUUUGUUCAACCUGCAAACCAAGUUCUCCUUGCCUACUUCAGCAAAACCCUCUGGUUGGAGCAUAUAAAUUUCUUCUUCAAGUUCUCCAUGAAGAAAUGCAGUUUUCACAUCUAACUGCUCUAAGUGAAGAUCAAAUAUAGCACACAUCGCCAAGACUACUCUGAUUGUAGUAAGUCAUACCACUGGAGAAAAUAUCUCAUUAAAAUCUAUUCCUUCUUUCUGAGCAUAUCCUUUCACCACCAAUCUUGCACGAUACCGCUCCACUUGAUUAUUGCCAUCAUGCUUUAUCUUGUAAACCCAUUUGUUGCCAAUGGCCUUCCUUCCUUGUGGUAGCGGAACAAGAUCCCAAGUGUUGUUCUUGUGUAGAGCUUCAAUCUCCUCUUGCAUCGCUGUCAUCCACAUAGAUACAUCUGUGCUUUUGAUAGCCUCAUGGAAAGUUGAUGGCUCUCCAUCCUCUGUUAGAAGACAGUAUGCAAUGUUGCUCUCAGUAACAUAUUCUGAGUGCCAAGCCGAUGGUCUUCUUUCACGAGUUGACCGUCGAACUUCAGGAGUUUCAGAUUCUAUUUGUUCUUGUUCUUCAUGCUCUGGUACAGCUUCAGAAGAAGUAUGAUUCUGAGUAUUUUCCAUCUGGACUGCUGUAGUCUCCUUUGGAAUGCUAUUAUGUUCUUCCAUUUGUAUUUUACCUUCUGCAAAUAUAACAUCUCUGCUGAUGACUAGCUUGUGGGAUUGGGCAGUGGGAUCCCACAAGCGAUACCCCUUCACUCCAUCAGCAUAUCCCAAGAAUACACAUUUUCUGGAUUUUGAAUCCAGCUUGUUGACUUCUUGAGUAUUGUACAUCACGUACACAGGACUUCCAAAUAUAUGUAAUUGAGAAUAAUCAGCUGACUUUCCAGUCCACAUCUCCAUCGGUGUCUUCAGCUCAAUUGCAGUUGAUGGAGAUCGAUUUAUCACAUAACAGGCGGUAUUGACUGCUUCUGCCUAGAAUGACUUUCCUAGACCUGCAGCCUUCAACAUUGCUCUCGUUCUUUCUAAUAGAGUUCUGUUCAUCCGCUCUGCCACUCCAUUUUGCUGUGGAGUGUAUGCCGUUGUGAACUGCCUUUUGAUACCUUCAUGUUGACAGAAGUUAUCAAAUUCAUCACUGGUAUAUUCUCCUCCAUUGUCAGUCCUCAAACACUUGAUCUUCUUUUCAGAUUCAAGUUCCACCCGCGCUUUGAAAGUUUUAAAGAUUGCGAACACAUCUGCCUUCCUUCUAAUUGGAUGCACCCAACAUCUCCUGGAGAAGUCAUCUAUGAAUGAUACAAAGUAUCUUGCUCCUCCCAAGGAUACAACCGGUGCUUGCCAAACAUCAGAGUGAAUCAAGUCUAAGAUGCAUUUGCUCUUAGUUGUUGAUGUGCCAAACUUCAACCUGUGUUGUUUACUUGUAACACAGUGCUCCCAAAAAGGUAAAGUAACCUUUGUAAGCCCAGGGAGUAACUUCUGAUCAAAGAGAACUUUCAAACCUUUCUCUGACAUGUGGCCUAGUUUUUGAUGCCACAUCAUCGUCUUCUUUUCUGCAGGACUGGCUGAUGCGAUUGACGCUUCUGCCCUAUGAUGUGUUUCUCCCAUUAAUACAAACAUGUUUGCAACUAUUUUUCUCGCCUUUAAAACUACCAACGCUCCUUUGACAAUUUUCAUUAUUCCAUUGUCUGUUCGGAUCUUAUAGCCAAGACUAUCAAAUUGUCCCACAGACAAAAGAUUUUUCUUUAAGUCUUUCACAUGACGCACUCCUGUAAUAGUACGAAUUAAGCCAUCAUACAUCUUCAAUUUGAUGGUGCCAAUGCCAGCAAUCUCUAAAGCAUGAUUAUCACCCAUGAACACUUUGCCUCCAGAGAUGGGUUCAUAUGUAUGGAACCAAUCUCGAUUAGGAGUCAUAUGCCAUGUUGCUCCUGAAUCCAUUAGCCAGACCUCAGUAAGCUCUUCUCUAUCUGUAGAGAUUGUCGCUGCUUCACUAUAUAAAACCUCCCCAUCUUCUGAGGUGCUCGCAACACAUCCUUGAGGUUUUGAUGACUCUGCAGUAUUCUCUAUACCCCUUUUAAACCAACAAUCCUUUUUGAAGUGCCCUUUUCUGCCACAGUUGUAGCAUUUCACAAUCUUCUUACUUCUUGAUUUGGACCUCCCUUGCCUUUGACUCCCACUGGAGCCACGCUCCGUUGAUCUCCCUCUUGACAUCAACAAUGCCUCUGCUUGGUUUGAACUAUUUCUGUCUCCUUUAUUUUUGCGCCUAUUUUCUUCUUCCAAGAUAGCGGCUGCAACAUCAUCAAAGACUAAAUAGUCUGUGAGGAUAUUAUUGGUCAAGUUGAUAAUGAGCUGAUCAUACGAAUCUGGGAGACUUCGAAGUAGAAGUUCUGCACGUUCACUUUCCUCUAUUUGUUGACCCAACGUAGUGAGUUGUGAAAAUAGAGUUCUUAUUGUGUUGAUGUGGUCAGUCACUGCCGUGGUUUCUGCCAUUCGAAGGGUAUAAAGUCUCCGCUUUAAGAAAAUCUUAUUGUGCAAAGACUUGGACUCAUAUAGCUUUGUUAGAGUCUCUCAUAUCUCCUUAGCUGUUUUCUUCUCCGCUACACUUGAUAAUACUUCAUCGGCUAAUGCUAAAUGUAUGUUAGCAAUAGCAUUGCCAUCCAUCUCAUUCCAUUUUGCAUUAUCAGUGAUCUCCGCGGGCCGAUCCCCAAUUGCUGCCAAGCAAUUGUCUUUCCUUAAGAUUGCUUUGAUUCUCAUUUUCCAGAGUGAGAAAUUGCUCCCAUUGAACCUCUCAAUCUCAUACUUUGCUGCCAUUUUAUUCACCGUGAUCUAUUCAGCUAUCACUGUUUCACAGAUCUGUAACGUAUAUAGAAAUAGUAUCGUGUGAAUAAUACUUCACUAAGUAAGUUCCCAGGAAAGAUUGGAGGGGUCACAAAUGGUCCCGCUUAAAACCCAAUCUCCUUAGACAGAACUUCCUAGACUGUAUUUAAUCACCGCACUGACUUUCUAUAUACGCCAACAGUAACGUAUGUGAAUAGUGCCGUAGACGUGAAUAGUAACCGUAUACACGAAUAACUUUUGUGUAUUAACAACACCAACCAAAAGGCUCUGAUACCACUAUUAGGAAACUGGCAUGCAAACCCGACAAGAUAAAAGGCAAGGGACAAGAUAAAAUGAGAAAUGAGACACACAAGAAUUUACGUGGUUCAACCAAUUUGGCUACGUCCACGGGCAAGUAUAGAAGGAUUUUACUAAGUAAUGUGGGAAUUACAACCUCUCUCUACUAAUAGGAGAAAACACCUCACUUACUCUCUCACAAAUACCUCACAAUUUUGUGGGAUUACUUUCCCUCUCUCACUCUUCUCUUCCUCUCUUAUGAUGUGCAAAAUAAGCUUGGAUGCACUGCCUAUUUAUAGGCAAGCAUCCAAGCAAAGGACAAAGGGGCACCAAUUGGUGCUGCAAGUGGCACCGAAUUGGUGCCCAACAUUGUUGAAUUUGCAGCACCAAUUUGGUGCCUAACAUUGUUGACUUUGCCAACAAUGCAGCUGGCUUCACAUAACAUAGUUUGUAUUCUGAGCCAAUCUGGGGUGGGACUUGAAACAAAUGUUGUAUAUUGUUUGCACUGUCACUUUGCUUACCCUCUUAGGUUUUUAUUGAGAUUAGGGAUUCUAUUGUAGCUCUUUUUUCUCCUUUUAUUAUAAUAAAAUAAUAUCUAUGGAUUAAUUUUGGUAUAAUUUAAGAAAGUAAGUCCUUUAAUCAAAUUUUAGAUUGACCAUCCUCUAUGUGUUAAAAGUAAAUGUUAAUUUAUAAAAUAAUAACUAUGUUUAAGUCUUGAUUAACUCAGAAGAUGUCUUCUAAGACGCAUCUCUGUCUUCUCUUCUCUUCUCUUCUUCUCUAUAAAAUUCCUUUUUAGCUCUCUGAUGUACUUAAUGUCCCGGAGGUGUGGCUUCUUCAUAUGAAGAAAAUGUUAAGAUUCAAUUAUGAUUUUAGAUUUUAGAUUCCAUUGUCUACAAAUUUGAACCAUGAUGAUGAAGCAUACGGACCAGUCAGUAGACAACAUGUUUAUUAUAUAUGAUAGAGGUCCUCAAUGUAUUUCACGUUUCUAUGAGAAAUUUCACGAGACUAUGAGUACUCGAAUUGAUCUUAGUACAACAUUUCAUUCUCAAAAUAAUGGUUAAUAAAAAAGAACCAUUCAAAUACUUGAAGAUAUGUUGAUAGCAUGCAUACUUAAGUGGAGUUUGCUGGAACAAAUAUGUACCAUUGGUGGAGUUCGUUAAGAGGGGGGAACUAAUUCCUCGAUAUAUUAGGCCUUUGGAAAUUUUGAAGAGAAUUGGUGCACUUGCUUAUGGAUUAGCUCUUCCACCCAGCUUUUUCAUCUAAACAUCCAGUAUUCCAUGUAUCCAUGCUUUAGAAGUAUAUUUGUGCUCCAUCACAUGUAUUGGAGCCAUAAACCGUAGCAUUUGAAGAAGAUAUGUCAUGUAAAAUUCGACUGGAGAGAAUUGAAGAUAGACAAAUUAGAAAACUUCGUUCUAAAGAUUGCUUUAGUGAAAGUAAUGUGAGAAGGUCAUACCUGAGAAGAUGAUACGUAAUAAAUAUCGUGAUUUCUUCAUUCAAUCAAGCUAGCAAGUUUUCUAAUUAAAUUUCGAGGGUGAAUUUAUUUUAACAGGGGAGGAAAUGUCAACCCCACCCAUAAUAUAUAACCCAUUAUUGUUUUAUUGGUCCAUUUAGGUAGCCCAUUUGUUAUAUACAGAAGGAGAGAGGUAAGGACAUUGUUAGUCAUUUUCUUCUUUCUCUCUUACGGGGAAUGUUCUUCCUUCUCCCUUUUACUGCAAAUAUUCCCCCACAAUCCUAAACCACCAAUUGACCAUAUAACUCCCUUGUUUUGAGUAGGUUUACUUCAACUUUAUCUAAGUGUUUAUAAUAUUGUUUUAGGUUUAUUUCUUUAUAUAAGCUUGUUGAAUUCUAGGCCUUAUAUGAUAUUAGUUGAUGUGAUUUGGAUUUAUUCUUAAGUUAAUUUGUGUGUGGGUAGUAACAAGUGUAUAUGAAUAUGAAUUGAAGUAAGUACCUUAACAAAUGUGAUGGGUUGGUGUGAAGCUUUGAUUAAUUGCUAUAUUUUGAUGUAAUGAGCAAAUACCUUAAGAAAUUUGAAUAUUUGAAAGAUAAUAGGUAAAUAUUGAAGAAUUGUAUAGAAAGAAUCGUAUUGAAAUUAUGGAAAAUAUGAUUUUGUCCCUAAAUUCUAAAAAACAAUUAUAGUUUGGUCACUGGUUGUAAAAACAAUUAUAUUUUCAAACUUUCAAUAUAGAGAGAGAAAUAAAAAUAAAAAGGAAAAGGAAAAGGAAACAACCCCCAGCUUUCUUGUGCCCUUUCCCUUCUUUACAUGGCUUCCUCGAUCGAUGUAAAAAAGCAAACGCCCCAUUUGAUUUUCAAGCAGUAUGAGUGAGAAAGAUAGAGAGGACAAGAGAGGACAAGGGGGUCCUCUCUCUCUUUCCUUGCUUUUUUUAACGCGUGGACCCAGCAGUUGUUGCCACCAAAUUCCUUCCUCAAUAUUUACCAGUGCUACACGCUUGAGAAAUUUCCUUGUUAUUUUUUUUAUUAAUGAAAUAUUACUUUUACCGUAUAGCCAUUGAAUUCUAGAUCAAUUUAUCGGGUAUUGGGCCGGUUUGGAUUUAAUAAUUAUGAUUCACAGACAUACAACUAGUACUUGCAACUAUUAAUAUUUAUUAUUUUCAUUAAGUUUUUCAAACUUUCAAUAUAGAGAGAAAAAUAAAAAUAAAAAGGAAAAGGAAACAACCCCCAUCUUUCUUGUGCCUCUUCCUUUUUUUUUAAGUUUAAUGUUGGUGUUUGGGUCAACUUGCACGCAUCUCGACUAAUUUCAUGGGCUCUGAAGUUAACAACUAUGUAAGUCUCCAAUGACCAUCAUAUAAACAACCACGGGGCUCGAAUUUAAAACUAUAAAAAAAACAAAUCUCUUAAUCACAUGAUCUUAUUAAUGUACCACCAUUUAGGUAGUUGCCCUUUCCCUUCUUUACAUGGCUUACCCGAUGAAAAAAGCAAACACCCCAUUUUGAUUUUCAUUCCGUACGAGUGAGAAAGAAAGACAGGACAAGGUUUGUUGAGGCUUUUUUUUUGGAACCUCGCUCUGGGAUUAAUUAGCGAGAAUAAGAAAAUUCUAUGCAAAUUAUACAAAAUUUAUUAUUAAUCAUCAAUAUUUAUUCUUAUCAUCAAUAUUGAAUAAUGGUUUAUUUUCUAGUAUAAACUAUGAUGGGUUCGUUUAUAAAAAUAAAUAAAUUGAGGUUUUUCAAUUUCCUUUAAACAUAUCAUAGUUUUAAUACCAUUUAUUUUUACAUUUUAAAAAUAAUUUUUAAAAAAAUUAAAAAUAAAUUUUAUUUUUUAUUUCAAAAUAAUAUUUUUUUAAAUAUUUUUAAAUUAUCUUGAUAUAUUGAUAUUAAAAUUAAUUUUUAAAAGAUAAAUUUUUUCAAACAUAAAGUUUAGCCUGCAGAUCUUCCGCUGAUCCCAUCUCAUUGUUGUAUGCAUCCAAGCUAAGCCAAUUCAAGAAAGAAGAUUUGAAGAAUACCACCAGCAGCAGGAGUAAUACAUUAACAUAACAGCAUUAUGGCAGAAGGAGGGACGACCUCACUGCAAGGGCGAAGGCAUGUUAAAGACUUGGGCGUGCUAUAAUUUAGAUUAAAACUUUAUUAAUAUUUUUUGAUUAGUUUUAUUUAAAAAAAUUGUAAUUCUUGAUUGAAUUAUUAAAAAAAUUUAAAAUUUAUGUGGAGCUUUCUAGAAUAACGUUUUAACUUGGAUUAAAAUUUCAGAAUAUUUUGAGAAAUUCAAAAAUUUGAUGAAAAAUCAUAAUUUAACUAAUUUUAUGUUAAUUGAUGUAAUUUUCAAUCCAACUAUCAAAUUGAGCUGAAAUUUUACGAGAAAUCUUAAAAUAUAUUAAAUAAAAUAUAAUUAAAAUUUUAUGAUGAGUGGAGCUUGAUAAUACUAACAAAAAAAAUCAUCAAAUAAAAACAAAUCAAGAAUAAAAUGAUUAUUUCCAUUAAAAAGUAAAAUAAAUCAACUAUUUAUAUAAUAGCUAAAUCUAUUAAGAUAAAUCGAAAAUAACUAGUAAAAUCAAUGACUUGUAUUGACGAGUGUGUCUAUAUAUACAUAUAGGAACUGCUGAUUCGAUUUGAAUAUGUUAUUUGAUUAGUCUAAUUCAUGAUUUGCAUUGACUCAAAAUUACCACUAGAAAUUCCUAGUUUCGUGGUGCUUUCUCAGCCUGCAAAUGAAUAUAAAGCAUAUCCUUUUAUCCUAUAUAAAGAAUACAAUUAACCUUUUUAUCUUUUAUAAUUAUAAUUAUUGCAUUGCUAAUAAUUUGCACGAAAGAAUAUUGUUUCUCUGAAAAGGGCUUGAGAAAACCCUAAGCAUAGUAUAUAAUCUCUUAUAGGAAUCUCUUUAUUAAAUUAUCAAAAUAUCAAAGUCUGUUUCCAAAGACUAUGACUACAGUUUAUAUAUAGAAACAACCAAAUAUAAAAAUUAUUAAUUUUUAAAUAGAAAAACCAGAGAGCUUGAUAAUAUUUAAUAAAAAAAAUAAAAUAGAAAAAUUAUUCCUUUUUAAGUAGAAAAAAAUUAUAAAGAUUUAAUAAUACUAAAUAAGAAAAAUUAAAAUUUCUACACUAAAUUAAAAAAACAAAAAAAAAACUGAGAAAAUAUUUAUUAUCCCAAUAGUUCUUAUAUUAAAAUCUCAUUUAUCAUAUGUUAUAUCUAUCAAAAUAAUAAUAAUAAUAACUUGUGACUUGAACUAAAGCUACAUGCGAAAACUAGAAAAACCCGGUAGAGACCCGUUCUGUUUUUUCAAAUAUGUUUUUUCUUCUAGCUAGAGACCUUUUUUUUUAAUAUAUUUUUCUAUUGGUUACUAAACCAUUUCAAAGUUCACUAUAUAAAUACUAGAAGAAUAUUUUAUUUUUUCAAUAUGGAAUAAAAAAAAUCAUUUUUGUUUACAUACCUCAAUUUAAAAGAAUUAGAUAAUAUUUUUUUAAUAUGAGAUAAAAAAACCUUUUGAAAUAAUCUUUUAAACUUUAUUAUAUGCAACAUGUAUAAUCUAUAUUCAUAUAAAUUAUUUCUUUAAUUUUUUUCAUUCUCAUAUUCAAACUUCCAAUAUUGAGAGAGAAAUUAAAAGGAGCAAAAGGAAACAACCAGUGAGGACAAUAUCCUCCAGCUCAUCAUCAGAUCCCACGAAAGGAACGCAGAAAGACAUUCCCUUUCUUGUCAUCAAGUUUUGAAUCAAAAAGUACUUUCGUGCAUUAUUGUCAUAAAGUUUUUCAAACUUCCAAUAUAGAGAGAGAAAUUAAAAGUAAAAAUAAAAAGAGCAAAAGGAAACAACCCCCACCCCAUCUUUCUUGUUCCCUUUUCCUUCAAUGAAAAAGCAAGCACUAAUGCACCUUCUCCACAAACUACCCCCCAAUUUCGCCACUAUAUAAAUAUAUUAUGGAAAACAAGAUAAAAAGAAAUCUUUCGGUACAUCUAUAUAUAUAUAUAUAUAUAUAUAUUAUGGCUAUGAAAAUAGGUUUGUGGAAAUUUACAUGGUUUGAUUUUGACAGUGUCAGAUUAGACAAUUGCAUGGAAAUGGUCUUCUUAGUUUGCCGUGUGGAAAAUCAUGUCAUUUACGGGACUGCUGGAGAGAGUUUCUAUUGAUAAUUUCACUCGAAAAGUUUUAGUAAUUUACAAAGGAAAUUUCUCCUUUAUAUGAAUUGAAAAACUAUUAUUGACUGACUUCUUGCAAAGUAUUUGCAAGAAAGCUAAAGAAUUAAAGUUUUUCAAUUUUGAAAAUUAUAAUUUAAAAUUUUUAGAAAAAAAUCAAUUAUUUUUAAAAUUGUUUUCAAAAAUACACUACCAGAAAUUCAUCUAAUACCAACGGACUUACCGACAGAAUUAUUCUGUCGGUAAAUUGCGGUGAUAAUUACUGACGGAUACUAAUCCGUCUGUAAUUCAGUUGGUAUAUACCGACGGAAUUAUUCCGUCGGUAUAUACCGACUGAAUUACAGAAGAAAGAUAUAGAAUUAAAAAAAAGCGGGGAUGUUGACGUGACAGUUUUUGCGGGCGAUUUUACCGACGGAAUCAACGAGGGAUUCAAACCCUGAUUUUGUUUAUGAGCAAUUUUGACUAUCUUAGAGGUAGAACUAGGUUCUCUUUAAUCAUAGAACUUGUAGCCUCAUGUCUUAGCUUUCUAACAAGACUAAUCUUGCUUAAAUCGGAGUUUUAUAACUCCAGAUAUAGUUAAAAAUAUGAGGAGAGGUCAGACAGUAACAGUUCAAUGUUUAGACAGUAACAGUUCAAAAAUGAGACAGUAAUAGUUGGACAGUAACAGUUCAAGAACGAGACAGUAACAGUUAAAAAAUGAGACAGUAACAGUUCAAAAAUGAGACAAUAAUAGUUGGACAGUAACAGUUCAAAAAAGGAGACAGUAACAGUUAAAAAACGAGACAGUAACAGUUCAAUGUCUAGACAGUGACAGUUCGGGAUUUAAACAGAAACGGUUCAAAUAUAUAUAUAUAUAUAUAUAUAUGUGUGUGUGUGUGUGUGUGUGUGUGUGUGUGUGUGUGUGUGUGUGAAAUGAGAAAAAUGUAAAAUAUUAAGAAAUGACUGAAAGAAAGACUUAUUGGUUGUUGAUAUGGUUAUAAUAAAACAUAUCCUUGAGUGAGGAAGUAGAGCUUCUAUUGCAGGUAGGUAAUCCGUACCUAUACUUUCUAGUUUAAUUCUAUGAUUUAAUAAGUUAUUGAUGUGAGAUGUGAAUUACCGAAUAUGGGAUAUUAGGAUAAAGGAGGAAAGUUUGCGUAAUGAUGCCGAUAUUUGGAAAGUAUUCUUAAUGUAUGUGUAUUCAAGGUGAACGGUUGUUCUGUGAAUUGCCAAGUGAUGAAAUUAUAAUUGAUAAAGAAAAUAUGAGAAGUGUGAUUUGGGGCGUGAACUAGCAUACAUUUAGUGUAUGUUAGGAUCCCGGGUAAGGGGAUCAAGAUGUAUUGGCUAGCAUACAUUUAGUGUAUGUUAGGAUCCCGGGUAAGGGGAUCACCAUGUAUUGGCUAGCAUACAUUUAGUGUAUGUUAGGAUCCCGGGUAAGGGGAUCACCUUGCAUCGACUCCUACAUGAUGAUGAUGAUGAUAACAGUGAAAUUGGUAUCGGUAAUGUGUUAAGCGGAAAUAAUCAUGGGUGGUUUUAUGAGAUCUUGAAUGGAGGUUGAUAAUAGAAGAGGAAAUGGUUUUUAGUAGUUGAAGGAGAAAAAGUCUCCAAUAAGAACCAAAAGGGAGAAGUGAAUAAAAUAUGAAUGUAUGUUGCCUUUUUAAAUUGCUGGAUAUUUGUAUUGCUAUAUUAUUGUGAUAUUCAUAUUUCAAUAAUAUGUAUUUUAUUUUCAGGACCAUCGCAUGCAUGACAGGAGUAGAUUUUGGCUUAGGUUCUUUUUUUGUAAUUUAGGUUCUAAGGAGUAUACCCUUGUAUUUGGUAAUAUUACAACUUUUAUUUAACUUAAUUUGUAUAAUUGAUGUUUAAACUUGAAUAGAUGAACUUAAUUCGGUAGUUUGUAUAACUAUGUUCCAUUAAGCAUGUUUAUAUCUUUAACCAUCCAUAAUGAUAAUUGUUGUACAAUGUAUAUCAUCAACAUUGUGGUUGAUAUGAAUGGUGAUGUUUGUGGGAUUGAGACCUAAGAUGAUUAGGCUGAAUUGAGUUGGAGAUGCGGUAUAUUAGAAGUGUAAACAGGACGUAUGUCGAUAACUUGGGACCUCCCGGUAUAGGGGAUACUCUGUUAAAAUUUCACUAGACUUUAAUGCAAAUACCAUGAAUAGAUAUAUAUAUAUAAAAUUUAGUCACUCUGUUUAUCAGCUAACAUGAGAUCGUUGCUUUAUCCCUGAUAUGGGAAUGUUACAGGUUCGAUAGAAGUCAUGGAUGAUUGUUCAUGGAUGUAUCGAGAUCCAUGUGUUAAUUUUGACAACAUGUAUUAAUUAAGAUGACAACAUGUAUUAAUUAACUAACAUAGUUAACUAAUACAUGUUUUCAUCAUAAUUUUAUAGAGGUUCGAUAAAAGUCAUGGAUGAUUGUUCAUGGAUGUAUCGAGAUGCACCCCAUGGAUUGCAGAGGAUUCUUUGAAGAAAAUUCAAAUUUUCAUGUUUUCGAUAAUAGUCUUGUUGAUGUUGACGCAGAGGAGUUGAAUGUUGUUUUGAGCUCUAACGGACAAGCAAAUAUCGAUGAAGAUGAUGAUUAUGAUGACAUCCAUAUUGAAGAUUGCGAUGGAGCUGAUGACUAUUCAAUUGAUGACGAAGAAGAAGAAAAUUCUGACUAACUAGCAGAAUCAAGGAAAGUGCAAAGCAUUUUUCUAAAAUGUAAUAUGUAUUAUCGAUGAUAUUUUGUAACAUGAAAUAUUUAUUUGAUAAGUGUUUAAGUGUUUUUGUGUGAUGGGCAGUUUGUAAUUUAAGUGUUUGUAGGAAGGUAAAUAGGCAAUACAAACAAAAGUUUUCAUGCACAGUGCACGAUCACCAACGUCCAUACCGAUGGAUUACAUUUCGUCGGUAUUGCACAGAGAGCUGUAAAAUAUUUAUUGGAAAUGCCACAAUCACCGACGACUUUGCAGAUGGAUUACCGUCCGUCGGCAUUCAACAGAGAGGUUCACUGGAAAUGCCACAAUCACUCACCGACGACUUUGUAGACAGAUUAAAGUCUGUCAGCAUUCCACAGAGAGGUUCACUGGAAAUGCCACAAUCACCGACGACUUUGCUGAUGGAGUAGAGUCUGUCGGCAUUCCACAGAGAGUGGUGGAAAUGCCACAAUCACCGAUGACUUUGCAAACGGAUUACAGUCCGUCGGCAUUGUGUCGGCAGCUCACAAUUAUCGAUAAAUUCACCAACGAACGGUGUGAAUUCCAAAGGACGGGUAAUAAAUGCAUAUCUGAUAGCGUGCAGCUGCCGACGGAAUUACCAACGAACUGCGAAAAAUAUGGAGGGUAAUUAAAAAAUUCUGGAGCAAAAUUCAAAAUUUACCGACGGAGUUAAAUGUUCGUCAGUGAAUCCGUCGGUAAAAUUACGAUAUAAAUGCCAGCGACCGCCCUUUGAGUUCAUUUUUUCAUCUCCUUUGUUUUUAGAGCUUAACUUUUUGUUUUUUUUCCCUCUCAUUUCCUUCAAAUCUCUUGUUUUUUCUUGUAAUCUCUAGUUAUAUCUUCAGCAAAUUAAAAGGUAUGUAUUUCCUCUACUUAAUUUGCUUUAAGAUUUUACUUUUUUAUUUGUUCUUUGUUUAGCAAUUGUUAUUUUUGUUAUGUUUUUUGUUUUGGUGUAUUUUCAUAAUGUAGAUAAAGUCUUACAAUAAACACAUUAUUAAGGUAAGCAUUUUUCAUUCUUAAAGUCUAUAGUUUUUUUUUUAACUUGUUCAAUAUAUUUUGUUGUUUGUUUUGCCAUAAUAAUUAGGGGUGAGCAAAUUCGGUUCGGUUCGGUUUUUAUCUAAAAAACUAACCAAAAUCAAAUUUUGAAAAACUUAAAAAUUCAAACCGGACCCAAACCGGAACCGGUUCAAACCGACCGGUUUCGGUUCGGUUCGGUUCGGUUUUUUUAUCAGGAAAACCGGAAAACCUGUAUUAUUGUUUUUUUGGGCUUUUUCGGGCUUUUUAAUGGGCUUUCUGAUGGGUUUUCUGAUGGGCUUGUAAUUAAUGUAAAUAUCAUCUAAUUUUGUUACAAAAUUCUAUAAUAUAUUUAAUAUUUUUUAUCACUAAAUAUUCAUUUAUAUUAAAUUAUUAGUGCUAAUAUUAUGUUUAAUAUGUUGCACAUCUUUCUAAUAUUUAUAUUUAGGAGUUUGGACUCCUCAUGCAUCAAAAUUUAAAUAACACACACACCAAAUUAAAAUUAAAAUUACAAAGCAUUGCCUUCAAAAUGGGCUUAAAAAAACAACAAAUAACAUUGCCAUAAAAAAUAAAAUACUUCAUGCAAAAAAUAUAAAUCUUCAUUGUGCACAUCAUCUCAAUCAAAAAGCACAACAAGAUGACAAGAACAUUGCACUUUGAUUCCGUAAUACCAUUGACAUCAAAACCUGAAAAUCAAGAUCUAAAAUUAUAACAUGAUAAAAUAAAUUAGAAUAUGUAAAAAUAAAUAGUAGUAUUUUACCAUCAAAGUAACUUUUGAACUAAUUAUCAUUUGUUACUAAAUGUAACUUUCCACCAAAUUCUACAAAAUAAAAAAUUAGACAUGUUAGAUGAUUGCAAACAAUUUAAUUAAUAAAUAACAAAAUAAAAGGUGCAAAUUUCUAAAAACAAUUACCUGACUCAAGGUUUUCGUAGGUUUCAAGAUCAUUUAUCAAGCUUCUAAUAUCAGUUGGAAUUGAUCCAUGAUGAAACCAAUUUUGACAACAAAUGAGUGCUUGAACAGUUGCUGGAGAUAGAGAACUUCGAAAUUGAUCAAGUACACGACCACCUGUGCUAAAUGCUGAUUCAGAAGCCACUGUAGAUAUAGGAAUAGCCAGAACAUGUUGUGCAACCUUUGAAAGUGUCUUAUAUUUCAAAGCAUUACUUUUUCACCAACCCAAAAUAUCUAACUUAUCAUCAUUACGAUCCUCACAACCUUCAAUCAAAUACCUCUCAACCUCAUUUUUAUUUUCCACACUAUCCACCUUCAGCAAAUGUCUUUUGAAUCGAGCCAAAGUGUUAACAUCUACCUCCACAUCAUCAAUAGCAUUAACAUCCUGUUUAUGCCUAUUAUUAUCCACCACUUCAUCAAUUUUCAAAUAAAACUCAUACAAGCUCACCAAAGUAUCUUUCACCUUAUUUGUUAGCAAUUGUGCUUUGUCAUAAUCAUACAAAUCACCAAAACAAAAUUCCACAUAUUUCAACUUCAAACAUGGAUCUAAGACAUUAGCCACAUAUAACAAAAAAUUCUGAUUUACUUCACAACCCCAAUACUUCUCAAACUUUAACAUCAUCUUCAUCGCCAUUCCACUUUAACAAGUUUGUAUGCAUGUAAAUCAAUUCAUUGAAGAAAGAAUUUGAUGUGACAUGCAAUGAGCCAGAAAAUAUCAAUGUAACCAUAUAAAAGAUCUUUAAGAACUUAACCAAAGUUCUUGCAUUUUCCCAAUCCUCCAAACUAGGUGGCCCUAUGUUUUUUUUAUUCCCCUUUGAAUCAACCUCCAAAAAGUAACUCAUAUACCUAAGUUCUCUUUCACCUAACCUCACAAAUACCUUUUCAAACUUUUCAGCAGCUUCUAGCAUAAGAUAAGUUGAAUUCCAUCGAGUUGCAACAUCUAAACACAAUGAUUUCUUACACUCUAUAUGCAACUUUUCAGCACACUUCUUAAAUGCAAGAUGCCUCAACGGUGAAGAUCUCACAAACCUAAUGGCAUUUCGAAUCUUAACAACUGAAUCAUUAAUCUCUUUCAAGCCAUCACACACAAUGAGGUUUACAAUGUGUGCACAACAUCUAACAUGCAGGUGCUCAUUUGACAAUAUAUUAGUUGGCCAAUCUUUCAUCACAUUCUUUAAAUAUGAAAUGGUCACAUUAUUAGAGCUUGCAUUGUCUAAUGUAAUAGUCAACAGUUUAUCAAUCCCCCACUCCAACAAACAAUUCUCAAUAACUUGGCCAAUUGUCUCACCCAUAUGAUUGGAAACUUGACAAAAAUUAAGAAUUCUUUUAUGCAAAUUCCAGUCAUUAUCAAUCCAAUGAGCUGUUAAACAAAUAUAGUUAAUAUUUUGGAUUGAUGUCCAUGUAUCUGUUGUCAAGCACAAUCGUUGACCCCUAAGAGCUGUCCUCAAUCUAUCCUUCUCUUCAACAUAAAGUUUCAAACAAUCUCUCAUAAUUGUAAAACGAGAAGGAAUGUCAAAUCUAGGUUGUAUAGUCCUAGCAAACAAUUUAAAUCCCCGACCCUCCACAAAAUUAAAAAGCAACUCAUCAAUUAUAACCAUCUUUGCUAGUGCUUGUCUACAUUCAUCAUAAUUAUAACCUAUUGCCUUAAGACUUCCCACAUUUUGUUCUCCCAAUUCACCCUUCUCUAUCUUAGGUUCUAAUACCAAAACCUUUUGUUUCUUAUCAAUCACAAAAGGGAACUUCUUGUACACUUUUAAAUGACUCCACAUAUUACUUGUGCCAUUAACAAUAGUAUGACAUGCAUAAUGUUUUCCACAAUAAUUACAUUCAGCUCUAGGGGUUUUAGGAUCAACAUCAAGUUUUGUAAAGUGAUCCCAAGUUUGUGACUUCUUUUUAUCAUCAGCAUUUCUUUUCCUAGAUGAAAGGACUUGAGGUUGUUUACCUUGUGUAUCUGUGGUGGAUCCUGCAUUGGUUGAUUCUACAUUAGGUUUUGAAGUUGGAGAAGUAGUUGAUGUUGGUGUAGUGCCUGUGGAUGAAGCAUUUUGAAUUUGAGUAGUUUCCAUCUGUUAUUAUAUAUGAAAACAUGUUAAAAACCAAUAAUUUAUAAUAGAUUAACAACAGUAUGACAUGCAUAAGUUCAACUGUAAUUUUAAAGAUUAUUUUCACAAGUUAAGUUCUUUUAUUUUGGUUGAUAUGUUGUAAAAACAAUUAUGUUGCUGAGUGCUGAGAUUGUAUUUUGUAAUUUCAAUAGACAAUAAUACAAUACAAUAUAUAUAUAUAUAAACAUUAUUCUCUUUUCAAUAAAUAAAAAAAAUUCAGUUUUCAGAAUUGAUAAAUUACAAUCCACCGAAUCCCCCCUCUUUUUUUUAACACAGAUAAUAAACAUUAUUCUCUGUUUUUUUAGCACACAGCAUUGACAGCACACCAUAAUAAUGGAUUAGCAAUAAUAUUUAAAACAAAUGCCUCUCGGGGAAACUGUAUUUUCCCAUUUUUCUCCCUAAUGUAAUAUCAGGCUCAUAAUACCAAUUCACCGCAUUGGUAUUGCAAGUUUUUAUCAUUUGUUUAGUAUCAUUUUCUUCUUCAGUCAUUUGGCUAUUGACAUAAUGAGAUAAUUUUUCUAAUCUUUUACCAGUACUCCACCUUAGAGUAUGAGUGGAAUUCAAUCUCUAAUGUCUAGCUAAAAGCCUAAAACGGCACAAAGAGGUUUCUUUAGUAAUGAUCAAGUUUUACCACUACCAGUGCCAAUUAUUCCCAUUUCUUUCAGUGAUGUGCUGUUAGCUUUAGCAUUUGGAACAAUCAUAACAUAUUGUCUUUCUCAUGACCAGUGCCAUUUCUACCAGUGCCAAUUAUCUGUGUUUUGUAUAUUAAAUUAACAUGCAAGAGUUUGUAUAUUAAAUUAACCCUCAUUCCGAUAUUAAUCUAGAUUCCAUUAUUUUUUCAUUGCUACUCAUGACCUUAAUAAAACACGAAUUCAUUAACAUAUUGUCUUUCUCAGCAAAGAAAAAACGCAUUGUCUCUGUCAUAAAUCUCUUCUUAAGAAGUUUAUUAAAAAAUAAACAGAAUCACAGAGCAAUAGAGCAUAUGUUCAAAAAAAAAACAGAGACAAAAAAAAAAUCAUACCUGGUGUGACACGAUUCAAGGUCGGGUGUGAGAGAGGGAGGUGACUGCCUCACUGGUUCGCUAAAUCUGGAGUUGGACUCUGGAGGUUCGGUGAGCCGGUGUGGUGUGUGUCCUACGAUUCAAGAUCAGGUGUGACCGUGUGAGAGAGGGACGUGGCUGACUGGGGUUUGAAGAUGAAGAUGGUGGCCGGUGGGAGAGGGAUGUGGCUGACUGGCGUUUGAAGAUGAAGAUGGUGGGAGAGGGAUGUGGCUGACCGGCGUUUGAAGAUGAAGAUGAAGAUGGUGGGAGAGGGAUGUGGCUGGUUGUGGUCCAGUAGAUGAAGAUGGAUUGAUUUCUUACAUAUGUGAAAUUGUGAGUUGUGAGUUGAGGGAGCGGCUUAGGAGAAAGGAGAAGGACGGCUGGAGCAGGAGUAUGGAUGCUAGGGUUAAGAAAAACAACGCGAUUUUUUUUGUAGCUAUUUAUAGUACCCCUUAAACCGAACCGGUUCGGUUCGAUUGGGGUUUUUCCGGUUUCAGGUUUCUAAAACCGAAACCGAACCGAACCAAACCAAAAAUUUUUACAAAAAAUUUAAUCGGUUUUUUUGGUUAUUUUUUUUUCGGUUUUCUCGGUUUAUUCGGUGUCUCGGUUUUUUUUCUCACCCCUAAUAAUAAUUGAACACUUUGUUGAAUUUUAAUUGUUAUUGUUGAAUUUACCUUGCAAUUAGUAAUUGAAUACACUGGAAUGAAUUUAAUUAUUUUAUCUCAAUUUUACUGUAUUUUUGCAUGAUAUGUGUUUAAUUAUUUUGUUGAAUUUUAAUUGUUAUUGUUGAAUUUACCUUGUAAUUAGUAAUUAAAUAUAUUGGAAUAAAUUUAAUUAUUUUAUUUCAAUUUUACUGUAUUUUUGCAUGAUAUGUGUUUAAUUAUUUUGUUGAAUUUUAAUUCUUAUUGUUGAAUUUACCUUGUAAUUAGUAAUUGAAUAUAUUGGAAUGAAUUUAAUUAUUUUAUCUCAAUUUUACUGUAUUUUUGCAUGAUAUGUGUUUAAUUAUUUAGUUGAAUUUUAAUUGUUAUUGUUGAAUUUACCAUGUAAUUACUAAUUGAAUAUAUAAGAAUAAAUUUAAUUAUUUUAUCUCAAUUUUACUCUAUUAUUACAUGAUAUGUGUUUAAUUAUUUCCAUUAAUUUUAAUUGUUAUUUGUAUAGAUGUUAGGUUAUAUGUAAGAUUUUUGAAUGGGGGUCAAUUGGUUGUGGCUAUUGUUAAUAUUUGAAGGUUUGAAAACUUUGGGUAGUCUCCAGUAUAGAAGAGACGCUGCUGAAUUUUUUUUAACAAUCGAAUUUAAUUAUAUAAUUAUUCUUAUAAAAUUGCGUAGAUGUGUAUAAUGAAAUCAACUGUUCGUCGCUCACAUAUGGUCGCAGCUAGUUCUUCUAGCAGCAAGAAUGACAUUUCCUUAGGUGUCAAUCAAGAAGAGGUACCUGCACCACCUACCGAUGCUGCCUCUUGCAGCACGGUUUCACAGCGCAGAGACGGCGUGCCUUCACAGUGGAAUCAAUUUACUUACAAGUACGAGGCACAAUGGAAGAACGAUGUUUCAAUGUAAGUUUGUUUUGAUUUUAGUUUUUUUUUUAAUUAUAACAUAAUUUAUGAACAACUAAUCAAUAUUUCAUUAAUUUAAUUUAUUUUCAGGUUCACAAACAUUGAGACCGUCCGAGUAAUAUCAUCGGCGUUUAAAUCGUCGAUGGAGAUUCCAUUAUUUCAAUGGAGUUAGGUAUCCAGACAUCCUGAAUGGAUACCUAAUAUCGAUGCAUGGUUUGAUAAAUUUGAGGUUGGUGUUAAUUUCUAAUUUCCAGCUUAUUUUUAAUAAAUUAUUAAUAUAAUUAUAAAUAAAUUAUUAUUUUUAUUUUAAAUAAAUUAUGUAUACGUGGCACAAAUUCGAGUAGGACAGCACACAUGAUAAUAUUGUGAGGAGGGUGUGGGAAAAUCAUGCGGCAACUAAGUAACAUCGAAAACAAUAUGAUAUUUUUUAAAAAAAAAAUAUGUUUUAAAAUCUAAUUUGUUACUAUGGAAGUAGGUUGUGUGAUUUUUGGUAUGAAGCACAAAAAAAGGUAAAAAAAAAAAAAACACGAGAGAUAGAGGUCUCCAAGGCUAGAACGACGUGGCGGUUUGGGGGGAUUUCAAACCGCUACACAUCCCGGAAAAUAUUUGGCCGGAAUAUAUUGAGCACGUGACGUCUGAGCGGUUCACACGACGCUCAAAGUCUGGUGCUGACAACCGGAACAGGCAAAUUCAUGGUUCACUGACAACGCACAUCGACGGCUCCGUAUCGUUUGCUACACAUGCAAAACGGAUAUAAGAUUAAUUUAAAUGAAAUAUAUCGUUAAAUAAUUUGUUGUUACUUAAUUAAUUUUUUUUCUUACAGGCUACGUCUCUUGGACGUGAGCCGAGCCCAAUGGAGCUGUUUGUAGAGACGCACAUGCGGAGUCAAGACCGCCAAAAGGGGGUGCAACAGUUCGUUGACAACCGCGCUCAACACUUUGUGGUAUGUUCGUUCAACCAUUUUAUUUCGUAAGUUAUUAUUUUUAUUGAAUUGAAUAUGAUGAUUUUUUUUUAUUUUCAGGAUACCUAUAAUAGUCGUUGAGGGAGAGAUAUAGGGACGAUCCUUCAAUCCAUCCGGAUUUCAAUCCGGAUUUGUGGAUGGCGGUAGGAUCGUCCGGUGGACUCGAUAAAAAUCAGGUGUAUGGGCUCUCCAACACCACGGCCGAGAACUUGCGAGCGGCCAGUAGUGCCUCAACCGUUGGGAGCUCCCAAUCUAAGGAGUCCGUGGCCUUGCAGCAACACACGAGUCAUCUCACCGAGAAAUACGAGCAACUCUCGACGAAUUAUGAACUUCGCCAAAUUAUCAUGAACAUGACAUCACAGAGUGACUUUAUGGUCUCGGGAAAAACCAGCCUCCUCCUCCUCCUCCUCCUCCAGCCCCGCCAUUCUGCUAAUUUAAUAUUUUUUUGGAAACACAUUCAAUUUGUAAUGAAUAUUAUUUAACUUUAUUUUUUUAUUUUUGAUGUUUAAUAAAAUUUUAUUUGCAUAAUAGUUUUUUUUACUAUUAAUUUACAUAUUUUUAUAUUAUUUAUUCUAAAUAAUUUUUUAAAAAACAAAUUUAAAAAACCCCACCAACAGAAUUCAUCCGUCGGCAUUUUACAGAAAGUUGAAAGAUAUUUACUAAAAAAGGCCACAAUCACUGAUGUCUUCACAGACGGAUAGUGUCCGUUGGCAUUUUACUUAGAAUCAAAAAAUAUUUACUGGAAAUACUAUAUUCACUGAUAUUUUCACAGACAGAUUUAUUUCGUUGGUAAAUACCGAGAGUUCAAACAAUGACUUGCAUUGACGAGUGUAAUAAUCUGGAACCACUCGCAAUAAAUAAAGCCACAAAAGGCAGACGAGAGUGUCUAUAUAUAUACAUAUAGGAACUGCUGAUUCGUGGUGCUUUCUCCUGCAAAUGAAUAGAAGACGAGUGUGUCUAUAUAUAUACAAAUAGGAACUGCUGAUUCGUGGUGCUUUCUCCUGCAAAUGAAUAGAAAGCAUAUCCUUUUAUCCUAUAUAAAGAAUACAAUUAACCUCAUUUCAAUAUCCUUGCUUUACUCUUCAGCUAACUUCUCUCUCCCAUUGCUGAAAUUUCAUAGCUAACUCUUUGUUAUAUAGAGGUAUAUAUGGCUAACUCUUCUUUGCUUCUUUCGUGUUUUAAUUUCAUGUCUUUACCAUUAACAAUAAUGUGAAAGCUUUGUUUGUUUCAUGUUUAACUUCAGUUGCUAUUGUCUUAUGCUCUCUCAUUAUUAAGCUUAAACUGUUGUAUCAUCUUCGAUGAUCUUGACAUGUAUCUCUUACUUGUAUUAGCAAGAGAGUAGAUACCUUCUGCAAUUGCUCCAUUGCUAAUUGACUGUGCCUUGAUUUCUGCAGCUGCCAUGACAGAGCCGGAGUCUUCUCGAUCUAUAUCACUAGGGGCCUAUGAUGUCUUCUUGAGUUUUAGAGGAGAAGACACUCGCAAGACAUUUACAGAUCAUCUCUAUACUGCCUUGGUCCAAGCAGGAAUCCACACUUUUCGAGAUGAUGAUGAACUUCCGAGGGGAGAAGAAAUCUCCGAUCAUCUCCUCAGGGCAGUUCAAGAAUCGAAGAUAUCCAUAGUUGUCUUCUCAAAAGGAUAUGCUUCUUCUAGAUGGUGUCUCAAUGAACUUGUAGAGAUUCUGAAGUGCAAAAAUAGGAAAACCGGUCAGAUUGUUCUUCCUAUAUUCUAUGACAUUGAUCCUUCAGAUGUGAGAAAACAGAAUGGCAGUUUUGCAGAAGCAUUUGUUAAACAUGAAGAGCGUUCUGAAGAGAAGUUGGUGAAGGAGUGGAGAAAAGCUCUUGAGGAGGCUGGAAAUCUAUCUGGACGGAAUCUCAAUGAUAUGGCAAAUGGGUAUGCCUUUUUCCCAAAUUUAUGGAGUCAAUAUACUUUACAUUUUUCAAUGUGAAACAAUAAAAUGCUUAAUUGACUCGCUAUCAAUGACUGCCUUUUGUCUAUGAGCAGGCAUGAAGCAAAAUUUAUCAAAGAGAUUAUCAAGGAUGUGUUGAAUAAAUUAGAUCCCAAGUACUUGUAUGUUCCUGAGCACCUAGUAGGUAUGGAUCGGCUUGCUCACAAUAUUUUUGACUUUCUAAGUACUGCAACCGAUGAUGUACGCAUUGUGGGCAUACAUGGGAUGCCAGGAAUCGGAAAGACAACUAUAGCAAAAGUUGUAUUUAAUCAACUCUGCUAUGGAUUCGAGGGAAGCUGUUUUCUUUCGAAUAUCAAUGAAACACCAAAAAAACUUACAGGUCUUGUUCGUUUACAAACGCAACUUCUUCGUGAUAUUUUAAAACAAGAUGUUGCAAACUUCGAAUGUGUUGAUAGAGGAAAGGUUCUGAUCAACGAACGAAUUCGUCGCAAAAGAGUUCUUUUUGUUGCUGAUGAUGUGGCUCGUCAGGACCAGCUAAAUGCUUUGAUGGGAGAGCGAAGUUGGUUCGGUCCGGGAAGUAGAGUAAUUAUUACAACAAGAGAUUCAAAUCUUCUUCGUAAAGCGGAUCAAACAUAUCAAAUUGAAGAAUUGACACGAGAUCAGUCCCUUCAGCUUUUCAGCUGGCAUGCCUUUAAGCACUCCAAGCCAGCAGAAGAUUAUAUUGAGCUUUCGAAGGAUGUAGUUGAUUACUGUGGAGGACUUCCUUUGGCUCUUGAGGUUAUGGGUGCUUGUCUGUACGGGAAAAACAGAGGUGGUUGGAAAUCUGUAAUUGACAAAUUGAGAAGAAUUCCAAACCACGAUAUUCAAGGAAAGCUUAGAAUAAGUUAUGACUCACUGGACGGUGAAGAACUACGAAAUGCAUUCCUUGAUAUCGCUUGCUUCUUUAUUGAUAGAAAGAAAAGGUACGUCGCAAAAGUGCUAGGAGCCCGUUGCGGUUACAAUCCAGAAGUUGAUUUGGAAACUCUCCGUGGAAGGUCUCUGAUUAAAGUUAAUGCCAUUGGAAAGAUAACCAUGCAUGAUCUAUUACGAGACAUGGGAAGGGAGGUUGUUCGUGAAACGUCUCCAAAAGAACCUGGAAAGAGGACCAGAAUUUGGAACCAAGAGGAUGCAUGGAAUGUACUUGAGCAGCAGAAGGUACGUAAGAGCGCAAUGCAUACAUGAAAGCAUAGUCAUGCGUAUUUUCUAGUCAAACUUAUUACAAAUAAUUGUAUGAAAGUUGGAUUGAUUUUUUUUUAGGGUACGGAUGUUGUAGAGGGUCUUGCACUGGAUGUAAGAGCAUCAGAAGCUAAAUCACUGAGCACAAGAUCAUUUGCAAAAAUGAAACGCUUAAAUUUACUCCAAAUCAAUGGAGCACAUCUCACCGGAUCCUUCAAACUGCUUUCUAAAGAGUUGAUGUGGAUUUGUUGGCUUCAAUGUCCUUUGAAAUAUUUUUCAUCUGAUUUUACCUUGGAUAAUCUGGCUGUUCUUGAUAUGCAAUACAGUAACCUCAAAGAACUAUGGAAGGGACAAAAGGUGUGAAACAUUCUACAAUCCCCAAAAUUUCUCCAGUAUGUAAUUUAUAUUUACAUGUUAUGACUUUCUAUGAUUAAUUUUCAUUAUUUUGCCCUCUAUUAAGACAGAUUCUCAACAGGUUAAAAAUCCUCAAUCUCAAUCAUUCUAAGAACCUUAUUAAAACACCAAACUUGCACAGUUCAAGUCUAGAGAAACUAAAGUUGAAAGGUUGCUCGAGUUUAGUUGAGGUGCAUCAAUCAAUUGAAAAUUUGACAAGCCUUGUUUUCUUGAAUCUGGAGGGAUGUUGGAAUCUGAAGAUUCUUCCUGAAAGCAUUGGCAAUGUAAAGUCUCUUGAAACUUUGAAUAUUUCUGGGUGUUCACAACUUGAGAAAUUGCCAGAAUGCAUGGGUGAUAUGGAAUCCUUAACCGAGCUGCUAGCAGAUGGGAUUGAAAAUGAGCAAUUUCUCACUUCAAUUGGACAAUUAAAGCAUGUCAGAAGGUUAUCGUUGUGUGGAUACAGUUCGGCUCCACCAAGUUCUUCUUUGAAUUCAGCAGGUGUUUUGAAUUGGAAACAGUGGCUGCCAACAUCUUUUGGAUGGAGAUUAGUGAAUCAUCUUGAGCUUUCUAAUGGUGGUUUGUCUGAUCGCACAACUAACUGUGUUGAUUUCAGUGGUUUGUCCGCUCUAGAAGUAUUGGAUCUAACAAGAAACAAAUUCUCUAGCCUGCCUUCUGGGAUCGGCUUCCUUCCCAAGCUAAGGCGGUUGUUUGUUCUGGCAUGCGAAUAUCUUGUAUCAAUCCUAGAUCUUCCCUCAAGUUUAGAUUGUUUGGUUGCAUCUCAUUGCAAAUCAUUGAAAAGAGUAAGAAUACCAAUCGAGCAAAAAAAAGAUCUAUAUAUAGAACUACAUGAAAGUCAUUCGUUAGAAGAGAUUCAGGGCAUCGAAGGUCGAAGUAAUAGUUUCUGGUAUAUUUGUUCUAAUCAGUUCAGUCAUUCACCAAAGAAAUUACAGAAAAGCGUUGUUGAGGUACUAUUUCUUUCAGUCUCUUUUGCACACGAAGAAACACACAAUUGGUACAUACAUUGAUUAAUGUCUAAAAUCUCAGCAUUUCUUGAAAUCAAUAUGUAUACAGGCAAUAAUCAUCAUUAUUAUUAUUUUAUUUUAAAAAAUAAAUAUGUUUAAUAAUAUUUUUUAUUUUUCUUAUUUAAUCUAAAAAAUUAAAUAUUAUCUUUAAUAAUAUGUUUUUAUUAAAUAUUUAAAGUCUGAUUGGUUUUAUUUUUUAAUUAUUUCUUGAUUUUAUGAUAAUAUACAGGUAAUGUGCAACGGUCGUCACCCGUAUCGUAUUUCCCCCAUUCGUGGUGAGAUGCCAAAUUGGAUGAGCUGCAGUGGAGAAGGAUGUUCAUUGUCAUUCCAUAUACCUUCAGUCUUCCAAGGCUUAGUUGUUUGGUUUAUCUGUCCACUUGAACCCGUGACAAUUGAAUUCGAUUCUCGCAUUAUUAUUAUUAUAAGAAAUAAAAGCAAUGGUAUUCAAUUGUUUGAAGAUAAACGAACACCAGGAACUGACAUGUUUUUUAUUGAGGGAUUCAUAAGAUACAUAAGUAUAAGUGAAAUGGGAAUGGAAGAUUACUGUGGAGAUGACGAAUUGGAACUCUGCAUUUAUUCAGAGCCAACAGAGCAUGCGGUGCGCCGUCUUCCAUUCUACCCCGUACACAUUAAAGAAUGUGGGGCCCAUGUGAUCGCAAAGAAGUUAAAUUCAUUUGAAGAGUCGGCAAUGGGAAGAGCUACAGUGAUGCCUUCACCAUCGCUGUAUCAUCUGCUUCCUCAUCCCCAUUGUGGUUCAAUUACAGCAUCUACACCUAAGCAAUGGAGUAAUUAUUUAUUUGCGAAGCUGCAAGAAUAUAACCUCAGUUUAACAUUUCAUGGUAAGAACAAAUAUUUCCUUUAGUUAUUUUUAUUCUAUUAUAUUUAAUUUAUGAGAUUAAAUAUUAUCUUUAAUUAUUUCAUUAUUAUUAUUUAAUCUAAAACAUUAAAUAUCAUCUUUAAUUAAAAAAUAUAUAUAUAUUUAAGGCUUUUUGGUAAGAAUACAUAUUUCCUUUAGUUAUUUCUAUUUAAUUUAAGAGAUUAAAUAUCAUCUUUAAUUGUUACAAUAUUUUUCUUAUUUAAUCUAAAAUUUUAAAUAUUUUCUUUAACAAUAUUUUUUAUUAAAUAUUUAGAGUCUACUUGGUUUUAUUUUUUUUCUUGAUUUUAUGAUAAUAUUUUUCUUAUUUAGUAUAAAAAAUAAAUAUUAUCUUUAAUAAUUAGAUCUAUCGAAUAUCACUUAAAAAAUAAAUUAUAACUUUAAUAAUUAUUUUUUGAAAAACAAAAAGCCAACAAUCACUAACAUAUUUUAUUAAAAUCACUUUAGUUUAUUUAGAAAAUAUUGAAAAUUGAUUAUUUUUUUUACAUUAAAAUAAAAAAAUUAAAAAAUGUUUUUAUAUUUUAUUUCAAAGUCGAUAUUUUAAAACAAAAAUGAAAAAGAUGUGAUAUUAACCUUUUUUAUUAUAAAGUAAGUUUUUUAAUUAAAAGUGAUGAGAAUUUGUUCGUAAUAACAAAAUGCAUGUUUAAUUUUCUUUUCAAACUUGGAAUAUAUUUCUAUUGAAUUUGAUGGUUUUUUUAUCUUAAAACACUUGCCAGCAAUCUUGUUUUUUCAAUGCUGCCAUUUAGCAAGUGGAGUACUGUAGCUUUUCCACAUACAUUGAAUAAUAACAGUUUGAAUAAAUAACAAGAAAAUAGAAAUUAGUUUUAUUAAUUUGAACGGUACAUCAUUCAUCGAAUAAAUUACAAAAAAGUAUUAUUGAGAUACUAUUUUUUUCAGUUUCUAUUGCACCAAAAUAAACACAUAUAUUUGUCACAUAUAUUAAUUAAUAUCAAAAAUCUCUGUAUUCCUUGAAAUCAAUAUGUAUACAAGUAAUAAUCAUUAUUAUUUUAUUUUAUUUUAAAAAAUAAAUAUCAUAUUAAAUAAUAUUUUUUAUUUUUCUUAUUUAAUUUAAAAAAUUAAAUAUUAUCUUUAAUAAUAUUUUUUAUUAAAUAUUUAAAGUCUGAUUGGUUUUAUUCUUUAUUUCUUGAUUUUAUGAUAAUAUAUUUAUACAGGCAAUGUGCAACGGUCGUCACCCGUAACGUAUUGCUUCAUUUCGUGGUGAGAUGCCAAAUUGGAUGAGCUACGGUGGAGAAGGAUGCUCCUUGUCAUUCCAUAUACCUCCAGUCUUCCAAGGCUUAGUUGUUUGGUUUGUCUAUCCACUUGAGAAGGAUUGUCAUAACCUAUUUUUAGGUUAUUUUUCAAUAUAUAUAUUUUUUUUUCUUCAAAAAAAUUACAAAAAAAAUCUAAAAAUAUUAUAAAAAAUAUAACAGUAAAAAGAGGAUGUCAGAACGCUCAGAAAAUAGUUAAAAUUUGGUUGAGGAGGUUUAAAAAUAUAAAAAUUAAAAUUUGGUAGUAUUUUAUUAACUGAUGAUAGCCCUGUUGACAAAGAAAAUUCAAUUUGAGAAAAAAAAAGUCUAAAAUCAGAUGUUGAGGGACUCAAUUAAAUUAUAUUGAAAGUUUAAUUGAAUUUAUGGAGGGUUUGAUUGUAAGAAAAAUUGAUUUUGGAGUUAAUUUGGGCUUUAAUUGGAAGAAAUUAAAGUUCUGGGGUCAGAUUAUAUUUUUUUUUAGAGUUGAUUUGGUCAAAUUGGGGGCUUAAUUGCAUAAAUAUUAAAGUUUGAUGGCCAAUCGGGGACUUAAUUGAAGAAAUCUGAGACCAAGGACCAAAAUGCAAAACGCGCGCAAAUUGAAGGAUUGAAUUGAAAUCUAGCGCUUUGGCUCCAAUUUUCAUUUAAAUGAAACAGUGCGUUUUAAGCAAAACGACGUCGUUUCAUGCACUUUCCAAAAAAAAAAAAGAGGACGAAACGGUGCCGUUUUGAGGCGGCACUGUUUCUUCUUCUUCUUCCCCUGGACAUGCAGCAGGGGAAGAGGCGUUUUUGUUUUCUUCUCUUUGUUUCUUCCUCUCCCUCCCCAUGUGCUCUGUUACAACCAAAACCGGUCGCCACUUGCCUCAUGAUGAGAUGCCAAAGCAGUCGUGCCCCGCAAGCGACGCCUCCAUUGGCCACCUCUGUCGGCGCCGUGACAGAGCAGGAGACGUGCGACGCAUGCAUGGGCAACGAUGGGACGGGGCAGGGUCGACCCCGCUCCCCUUGCCCCUAUAAAUAGUGACCCGAAAGGAGAAAAAAAGGAACACGGGAGAAAACAGGGAGGGAAACCGAGAGAGAGAAAUCGAUAGUGUUGAGAGAGAAAUGACUGAAACAGUAGAAACCAAAAAAACCGGGGAUAUCGAUAGGGAGACCGAGAGAGACAGACGGGGAGAAGGAAGAAAAAGGACAAAAGAGGUAAACCGAUGGGGAAGAAGACACUGACUGGUGUCUCUACACAGCGGAGAAGAAGCGCCGCUGCUGGCAUUGGGCUUCACAGUCACCGCCACCGCAACACCACCGAGAACGUUCACCAGCAUCACCGUCAGCUCAGCCAUCCGAGAUCACCACCUCAGGUAAAUUCUCUUCCCCUCACGCCGAUAAUUAUUCAUCUUCUUGCUUGUAGAACGUGCACUGUGCACGUUCUGCAUGCAAGAAGAAAUAAUUAGUCGGUUACCGUGCAUGCGCACAGUAACCGGCUAAUUAAUUAACUAGUUACUGUGCUCAUGCAUAGUAACUAGUCAUUGGUUUCUUCUUCUGCGAGUUGGAACAUCAGCCCAGCCCACGCGACUGGGCUGAGUCCAACCCCCUUUUUUUUAUGCGGGCUGGAACAUCAGCCCAGCCCACGCGGCUGGGCUGAGUCCAGCCCUGUUAACUGCGGCCUGGAACAUCAACCCAGCCCAUGCAGCUGGGCUGAGUCCAGCCUUGUUGCUGGGCCAAUACAGGCCCAACCCAGUUCAUUUCAUUUUUUCUUUUUUCCUUUUUGUUUUGUGUUUUAUAUAUAUAUAUUGUGAUUUUCCCACGGAUUUUUCUACGUCAUUUUAACUAAUAUUGGUCUAUAUUUUUUACUCGGUUUUCAAAAAAAAAAACUUUUGCUUUCAUGCAUACGGCCAAGUCUCUCAAAGCUAAAAAAUCAUAUUGUAUUUUUAUACAACAAAGAAAACUAAAAAAAUAUAUAUUAUUUUAGCAUGCAUUUUAGCUUUAAUAACCAGUUUAUUAAAGUCAUGAUAACUUGGCCAAUAUUUCAAAAAAUCAAAAAAAAUAUUUUGUUUUGUUUUAAUGUCUGGGAUUACGAAUUUAUACGUAAAACGUAUUCCCGAUAUUAAAAAGGUAGUUCUUUUAUAGACAUUAGGCCGGUUAGAUUUUUACCCCAUAAGAUAAGAACCUCCUUACUGAGGAGGGCUUUUCUUGAACCCUAGACAGACCAACAUGAUAAGACCUUAGAUUUUUUAUUAGACAAUAAAACAAUGCAGCUUACCUUAGGUAGGGUGUAUUUGAGGUGCUAAUACCUUCCCUUUGCGCAACCAGUCUCCGUACCCGAUCUCUAAGACCAGUUAGGGUUCCUAGUGAUCAGAAUACUAGGUGGCGACUCUCAUUCCAUUUUUUCACCGCUAAGAGACAAAGAAUUCCUUGUUUUACCAUAUUUUCCAGAAUAGAUAGACAUACCACAUUUGAUGAUGAGGGUGGUGGAUGAUCGCCGCACACGUGCGAUAGAAUGGUGACUCCACUGGGGACCCAUCAAAUCAAUCAACAGAAAAAAAAAUCACCAAGCCGAUGCCGCGCGGGUGACAUGCGACAAGGAUGAUCAUUAUUACUCACGGUCUGGCACUAUUAUUAUUAUUAUUAUUAUUAUUAUUAUUAUAAGAAAUAAAAGCAAUGGUAUUCAAUUGAUUAAAGAUAAACGAAUAGUAGGACCUUUCCUACCAAAAACUGCGGGAUGGAUAAGAUACAUAAGUAGAAGUGAAAUGGAAAAUGGAAGAUUACUGUGGAGAUGACGAAUUGGAACUAUACGUAUAUUCAGAGCCAAGAGGAGAUACAGUGCGCAUCAUUAAAAAAUGUGGGGUUCAUGUGAUCGCAGGGAAGUUAGAUUCAUUUGAAGAGUCGGAAGUGGAAAGAGAUAUAAUGAUGCCUUCACCACCGUUGUAUCAUCUGCUUCCUCAUCUCCAUUGUGGUUCAAUUACAGCGUCUACACCUAAGCAAUGGAGUGACUAUUUAUUUGCGAAGCUGAGUAAAUAUAACCUCAGUUGAACGCUUCAUGGUAAGAACAAAUAUUUCAUUUAGUUAUUUCUAUUUUAUUCUAUUUAAUUUAAGAGAUUAAAUAUUACCUUUAAUUAUUUCAUUAUUAUUAUUUAAUCUAAGAAAUUAAAUAUCAUCUUUAAUAAAAAAAAUUAUUAAAUAUUUAAGGCUUUUUGCUAAGAAUACAUGUUUCCUUCAGUUAUUUCUAUUUUAUUCUAUUUAAUUUAAGAUAUUAAAUAUAAUCUUUAAUUAUUUUAUUUUUCUUAUUUAAUUAAUCUAAAAAAUUAAAUAUGUUCUUUAAUAAUAUUUUUUAAAAAAUAUUUAGAGUCUGAUUGGUUUUAUUUUUUAUUUCUUGAUUUUAUAAUAAUAUUUUUCUUAUUUAAUUUAAAAAAUAAAUAUUAUCUUUAAUAAUUAGAUCUAUCAAAUAUCACGUAAUUAAUUAUAUCAUUAUUUUAUUGGUAGCAACUUAGGAGUCUUUUAAGCCAAAAGAAUAAUAGCUAGGAAGAGCUAAAAUUAGCAAGGAAUAUUUAGAGUCUGUUUGAUUUUAUUGUUUUUCUUUGAUUUCUUAAUAAAAAAAAUCAAAUUCUUGAAAACAAAAAUUGAAAACUUAUACGUUUUGAUUUUGAUUUUAUUUUUGAAAAUGAAAAGCCACCAAUCAAUAGCAUAAUCUAUUAAAAUCACUUUGUUUUAUUUAGAAAAUAUUGAAAACUGAUUUUUUUUACAUUAAAAUAAAAAAUUGAACAAUAUUUUUAUAUUUUAUUUCAAAUUUGAUAUUUUAAAACAAAAAUGAAAACGAUGUGAUAUUAACCUUUUUUUUAUUAUAAAGUAAGUUUCUUAAUUAAAAGUGAAGGUGAUUUGUUUGUAAUAACAAAAUGCAUAUACAAUCAUGCAAAAGUUGUAUUUAAUCAACUCUGCUAUUGAAUUUAAUGGUUUUUUAGGGAACAAAUGAUAUGGAUGAAUGUGAGAGCACAAGAUCAUUUUACAAAGAGAUUGAUUGGUACUUAAAAAUAUAUUUUUAUUAAGGUUUUAUAUCAUCAUAUUGCAUUUAAAGUAUAAUUAAAUUCUCUAAUUUAAGCAUAUUUUAUAAUAACAAGUCUGAUAACAUAAAAUAUAUUUAAUUUAUGGUAAAUGCUCAUUUUGAAUGCAGGCAUAUCUCACAAUUUAAAGGAUUGAUUGAUGUGUUUAACUAUUAAAAGUGAAAAGACAAAAAGAAGGCUAAGCUUAAAGAAGAAAUGUUGGUUCAAUUCAAACUGGAAUAUCAUUAUGUUAUUGAAUCAUAACUAUAGCUAUAGAACAUGGAUUUAGGUUUGGUUUAUAUGGAUGGAAAGCUAAGACAUAGGCCUAAAACUUUCAUGAAGAGUUCAAGAUUCAAAACGGCCCUUUUCAAGUUCAAAUUAUAGCAACAAAAGAGAAGUCGAAAUAUGACUUGUAACCUAGACACUGUUCAGUGUUCAGCCCAUAUCUCGAGUUCUAGAAGUUCAAAUAAUCUCAUUCUUGUUUUGUUGGAAAACUGAGACAAAUGCCCAGAAGUUUCAUGAAGACUAUCUGUUCAAAUUUUGAUGUUAGCAUGUUGUGUUCAGACAAGAAGAUAAUGGUUGUCACCAAGUCAAUAGGUGGCCACCCACUUAAUAAUUAGUCAUUAAAUCAAUAGUUCUGAAUUUUGGACUCUAAAAGAAGGCAUUUGCCAUACAUUUAGACAUCUUGGUGUUCAGAUCAAGAUCUUGCUCUCACUCUCUCUAUUUGUAUUUUGUAAUGUUCAAGUUUUAUUUUAUGUUAUAUUAAUCUCUUAUUUAUGCUUUUCAUUUCUUUUACUAUACUUAGUUAACUUAUAUCAUGUUUAUGUUAUUAUGUUGUUUAUUUAUGUUUUUCUUCUUCAUGAUGUUUAUCUAAGUUAAUUUUGUCAAGGUGAAAAGGGUACACUAAUGGUGUAAGAAUAAGUAUAAUACAAACUCCACAUAGACUUUAAUGUUUAAUACUAACAUGUUUUGUAUUUGUUAUCUUACUCACUCUUUAUACCUUACUUGUUAAAUGGUUAAUCUAAAUUUAUGUUGUACAACCCUUGGCAUAACAAAUACUUGACACUUUCAUAACCUACUGUAUGGUAUAAUCAACACUUGUGCUAUGAAAGGAACUUGAUUUAUUGUUAACAUAAAUUAUCAUCAUGAAUACCUGACCACAUUUACAAGUAUUGGCAUUACUCAAAUAAGAUAAUUAAUAUAAUCAUGUAUGUGGUUUCUAGUUGAGUAAUAAAAAGAGUUUAUACUAUACUUAUUUGAAAUACCUCUAACUUUAACAAUUGUUUUAUCCUUGUUUAAUCCUUACAUCAAUAUCACAUUUCAAAAGUUCUCUUCAACUCCUUUUUAAUUGUUGUUUAUAAUUUUAUAUAAUUCAUCUCCCUGUGUUUCAACCCCGGUCUUGCCGGGUUAUUUAUUACUUUGACACUCCUGCACUUGAUAUAAGACAUCAAUCUCUUGAUCGUGUUAGAGAUGCUUGAAGUUACUCUUUAUUGGUAUGGUAGUUGUUUCUAACGAGUUGAUAAGUAUUUGUUAGCUUGAAGAUUAUUUUCCAAACUUGGAAGUUAUAUUGAAUGCUUUUUGAAAUCUUUUCCAUCCGAUUUGAAAUUGGACAACCUAAUUGUUAUUAUCCAUUAUGUAAUUUAUAUUUUCAAGUUUCAACUUUUGAUGAAUAUUGUAUUGAAUGCUCUUUGAAAUCUUUUCCAUCCGAUUUGAAAUUGAAAAACCUAGUUGUUAUUAUCCAUGACGUAAUUUAUAUUUUCAAGUUACAACUUUUGAUGAAUAUUGUUUCCUUUUUUUCUCACUUCUUGGAAGUAUUCUCAAAAAGAUGAAAAUCCUCGAUCUUAGUUAUAAAUAAAUUGGUUUUCUAGGAAGAGAUUAUUAGGUGGGAUAUAUUAUUUGAGUUGGUUCUUCAUCAUUUAAUGUUAUGAUUUAAGAUAAUUGAUGAAAACUACCAAUACACAAGAAUGUUUAGAAAGCAUCUUUAAUUGGUCUAAUAAGUAAAGUCUUGUUAGUUUUGGCCAUAAGCUAUGUAUUAUUGCUUGUUUUUUACUAUUUUUUUACCUUUUUUGUUUUUUGUAUAUACAACUUUUGUUUUUCUUGCGAGUUUCUCAUUAGCUUUAUGGCACUAACAUCAAUUAAUAAUAAAUCUUGGACUAUUAUUAAAUAAAAAAAAACAUAAACAUUGUUAAAACACCAAACUUGCAUAGUUCAAACCUAGAGAAACCCUAUGCCAAUAAUCUAAUUUAAAAAAAUAAUUAAUUUAUCCUUGUAGUCUUAGAAAAUAGUAUUUAAUCCUUAUGUUUUUACAUUUAUCUUUGAUUUAACCUUUUACAUCUAUUUCAUCUUAUUAUUUUGGUUUACUAAGUAAAGUCUUAGAAACCUAUUUAUGGUCUUAAACAACUUAAAAAGGCUCAAAAACCUAAAAUGAACUCAAACCUGAAAAUCUUCAUGCUGAGAGGUCUGUUUCAUCAAGCAAGGAAAAAGAAAAAAAAAACAUAGGUGAAACUUCCCUCAUCAAAUAAAAUCCAAUGACACUAGGAUUGACUAUUUUGGUGGCUAGAAUAGAAGUCAACGAUAACAUUUUCUUUCCACGUCGGAAUCUAGCAAGUUUCUCUCUUCUCUCACAAAAAAAAACUAAAAAAUAAGGAAAAUAAAGUUUGGUAUUAAAAUCAAAUUUCCGACAACUAAAGAGACCAAUCACCUAUUAACUAAAAACAAUUGGGGACCGAACUAAGUUUUUCAUAUGAAAUAUGAAGUUGACAUCUAUUUUCUCCAUGUUUUUUACUUUGGUUAUCUAUCUUUCAAUCCAACCCUUUCUUCAUAAAAAUAGAAGUAACUUUGUAUUAAUUUGGACUAAAAAAGGUACAAUAGUGCAAAAACAAAUUGAGGAUCAAAUUGAGAAUUAAAAAAUAAUUGAUUAUUUUAAUCUAUAAUGAUAUGUGAGAGAGUGCACAUUAUAAAGUGAAGAGAAAAAACUCCACAUGACUUUGAAACACCUUUGAUGGUUGAUUGAAAUUGGUAAGUGAGUUUCCUCACAUGUUGUUUUUUCGGUUUUGAGUCCAAAUAUGGAGAUUUUAUGAUUUAAGGUAUUUUUCAUGAAUGCAACCCUUCAUGUAUUCAAUAACUUAUUUUCUAGUAUAAACUACGUUUGAAAUAAAAUUGAUAAAAGACAUGUGGUACACAAUUAAUGAUGGCAUGUAUAUAAAAAUAAUUAAAUUGAAAAUUUUCAAUUAUCUUUAAAGAUAUCAUGGUUUUAGUCGGUUAAAUUAUAAAAAAAAUAUUUAAUUUUUUGAUAUAAAUAAUAAUAACAAAUUAGAUAAUAGUAACAAGAAAAUAGGAAUUAGUUUGAAUAAAUGGUACCAGUUCCUAUUAUGAUAUAUCUAGAGAAGAAGUUUGAAGAAUAAAAUGAAGUGAAAUAUUCUUAAUAAAAAAAGAAAAACACAAAAAGAAAUAAAAAAAUAUUCUUAAUAAAUAUAAAAGAUGGGUGAAAUUAGAGAACAAGAAAGAGAUAUAGAAUCUCUUUGUAAGAUUUCUAAAAACUUAAUUACAAUUAUAUUAUAAUUUCUUCCCUAAAAUUAUUUAAAAUAUAGUAUUAGAAUUACAUAAUGCUAGGUUUUAAUAUAUAAUUAAAGAGUUUCUCCUUAACCAAAUAUAAAAAUAUUUUAUAAUUCUUUUGAAUGAAUUAUUAACGGAGGGACUGUUUUGGGUCCCUAUUUAGCUGAUUUUAUUUGAAUAUAUUAUUUGACUAGUCCAUUUAUAGGUUUACUCUACUAUUCUUGCCUUACUGGAACCGGAAAAUUCACUCGAAAUUUCUAGUAGUUUACACAGAAAUUUCCUGUGCUAAACUUCAAAGAAUUUCUUUUCUUUUCAUUUUGUAUUUUCUCAUUUUCUUGGCAUGCGCGCAGCUGCAUCAAGGAAAAAACGUUUCAGAUGCGUGUAAUAAAUCCAAUCGAUGAAUGAGAAAGGGACGCAAAAUAAAGAUAAAAGUGGAAUAUUCUCAUUAAUUGGUCAUCAUUUAAACGUUGGACACAGCCAUCUAUAUGUUGUUUAAAGAAUUUAAAUGGUUAGUCAGAAAGGAUUGCUUUUUAAUUAAAAAUAUAUUAAAAUAAUAUUUUUAAUGCCAAGUAUUUGUUCAACCUCAUUAAUGCUAACGAGUGGACCCAGUUGUUGUGGAAACUUUGCUAGGGAUCUGGAGUGUCAUAAUCCAAAAUUAUUCCUUAAAAUUUAUAUUUUUUCAAAAUAAAAAUCAAAAAAAUAAAAUAAAGGCUGGCAACGUGGAGAAAGCAGGCCGGAAAAUCAAGCUGUAAUUUUUGGAGGAAAUUCAAGGCGUAAUUGUACCCCACUAUGCCCCAAAAUAGAGAGAAAAUAUAAAUUCAAGGUCAAAUUAAAUGAUUAUUUGACAAAUUUGCAUAAACAUUAAGUCCGAUGACAUAAUUAAAUUUUUAAUAGGCCAAUUUGAUUUAAUCACGGGCCAAAUUAAAUUUUAAUUAUGUUUAAGAAUUAAUUUGCGUCCAAUUGAAGGAUUUAAUUAAGUGCAAGGACUUAAUUAUACUUUAAAUGGGUCAAAUUAAUUUUAUUUUGGGCUUAAUUGGUGAAAACUUAAGUUUGGGAGCUUAAUUGAGAAGAUUGGAAUUUUAAGAGACCAAAUUUAAUUCUUACCAAGUUAAUUGAUUGAAAUUAGGGGCCCAAUUGCAAGAACAUUGAAGUUUUGGGGUCAAUUGGGGGUUAAAUUGAAGAAAUUGACAGCUAAGGACCACUCUGCAAAAGGCGAAAACAUUUGGGGACUUAAUUGACAACCACCGGGGCAAAAUUGAAGAAAUUGAAAGUAUAAUGGUCAAUUAGAGGUUAAUUUGACAAAAUUCGAGACCAAGGACCAUAUUGCAAUAGGCGCGUAACUUUGGGGUUUCAAUUGAAGUUUAUCAGGGGCUUAAUUGCAUUAAAUCCAAAGUUAAGGGUUAAUUAGGGGUUCAAUUGAAACCAAUUGAAAGAUGGAGGACUAAGAUGAAAAUAUGUUAAAAUCCCUAAUUCAACUCAAAAUGGCGCCGUUUUAUAUUAAAAAAGAGAGAGAGAGAGGGGACCAGACGACGCGUUGUCGGGUCACUGUUCAUUGUCUUCUUCUUUUACCCGAAAGAAACUGCUUGGGAGCCUUAUUUGCAGGUGCAUUUAAUGCUUGAUUUCUCCAUAAAAUUGAACAAAACUUGCACGAAAAGGAUCCCCUGCAAUUCCUCUACAAACCCAUGUGAACUUUUCAGGAUUAAUGACAGCACAGCUACGCCGGAGAUGGCGUGAAGAGGUCAACUCAGGCAGCCUUUUCCUGCAGAUUUGACAACUCAGGGAGGCUACUUUGAGCCAACAGUUGGGAUCCUUCCCAACAGAAUCAAGAGCUAAAAUUUUACCCCAGUGCAAAAGAGAUUACCCUCUUCGACCGCCUAUAAAUAGAGGCUGAUUUGAUGGCCUGAGGGAGGAAAAAAAAUCGGGUCCAAAAUUUGAAAAAAACAAGCUCCCACUGCCCCCGUUUCUGCAAUUUCUCUCUCUCUCUCCGUCGCUUCAACCACCACCAACCUCAUCACCAGCUUCUCCACCACCAGCUCCAUCACAGUAAGCCACCAACCGACCACCGAGAGCCACCGUGAACCUUUCUCUCUCCUCUGCAAACCGGUUUCUUCUUUCUCCCACAGCGACUCCACCGGCCAAAACUCUCCACCAACGCCGCCAUCAGCCUCUUUUCUUCCACGACCAGACCACCGCCAACUUCACGCCAGGCCAGAGACAGCAGCUUCUUCUCCUCCGCAAGGUCGCCUCCCACUUCACUCCGCCGUCUGCGCAAAGUUGCAUGCAGAACAUGAACUUACUGUUCACGUUCUACAAUUAAUUCAUCCCUCACUUGGGCCGGGCCAUAAAUGUUUGGCUGGGUCUGGCCCGGCCUCAAAAGAAAAGGAGAAAGAAAAUAUGUUGGGCCGAUAUCGGCCCAACCUUUUUGGACCGAGAUCGGCCCAACUGUUUCUGGGUUUCUGCUUGGUCCAGUUACUUGGGCCAUCCCGGCCCACCUGUUUUAAUAAUAUUUAAUUAAUAUAUUAUAUUAUAUUAUAUAUUUCCUUUUAAAAAAAACAAAAAAAUCCAAAAAAAAUUUCAAAAAUCAUUUUUAAAAAAUUACGAUUUUCUCAAAUAUUUUUCUACCACUUUUGUAUAAUAUCGGGUUGUAUAUUUACACUGUAAAAUACAAACCUGGUAUUAAAAUACCCGGUUUUCUCCUAAAUAUUUCAAAAACAAAAUUCAAAACAUUUUCAAAGAGAAAAAAAAUAUUUUGUUGCAUACGGCCAAAUCUUAAAAUUUUUCCAAGCAUAUUUUUCAAUAAAAAAACAAAAAUUGCAUCUUUCUCCAGUUUUGAAAAUAAAAAAAAUGGAUAUCAUAACCAGUUUGUGAAUAUCCAUUAGAAUUUGGCCAACAUGUCAAAACCUUUUUCCAAUCUUUUUAGGGUUCAGAUGCAGACUUUAGUAUUUGUGGAGUGUAAAAUUACACGAUAAAGUACACCCUCAGGUAUUAAAGAUACAAGGUGUAAAUAAAUGCGAUGCUAAAAUUCAGACUUUAGAAUGGUUAGGAUUUAACCUGAUAAAGUAAAGACUUUCUCAUGAAGAGAGAUCUGCCUUAAACCUUAAAAAAGACCAACGAAUAGAAACCCGAUUUAGAAAAAAACAAUCAAACAACAAUGUAGCUUACCUUAGGUAGGGUGCACUGGGGGUGAUGCGUCUUCCCCUUGCACAACCAGUCUCUUACCCAGACUCUCGCAGACCAUAGGUUUCUAGUGAUCAUAAUACUAGGUGGCGACUCCUAAACAUUAAUCAUAAUUUUAUAAUUAAAUCCAAAAAACCUUCCCAACACACAACACCUCACACAGGAGGCACGACAAGAAGCCUUUGCCGUCGCCAGACGACGUCGCGCCCCUUGCGACAUGGAGGAAGAAAAAUGAUUGCAUUGCUAAUAAUUUGCAAGAGAGAAUUCUUUUUCUGAAUAGAAAAAACUAUUAUUUUUAAAAUAAAAACAACUAAAUAGAAAAAUUAUUAUUUUUUAAAUAGAAAAACUAGAAAAGCCUUGUAAUAUUGAAUAAAAAAUAAAAUAGAAAAAUUAUUCUUUUAAAGUAGAAAAAAUUAUGACAAUUUAAUAAUACUGAAUAGAAAUAAAUCAAAUUUUUAAACUAAAUAAAAAUAAUAGAGAAAAAUAUUUAUUAUCCUAAACUUUUUUAUAUUAAAAUCUUAAUUUAUAACAUGAACUGAGUCUACAUGCUAAAAUUAGAAGAACAAAAAAAAAAUGUAACAAAAAAAUUCCAUACAACACAAUUAAUGAUGGGAUCAUAUAUUUUGAGACUAAAAUGAGGUUUUCGAAUUACCUUUAAACAUAACAUAACAUGAUUUUAAUAGAUGUACUGUACAUCAUUUGAAUUUAUUAGAAAAAACAUAUAAUGUAAAGUAUGAACCACUUACCAUUAACUAGAUUUUUCAAUUGGAUUUUUUAUUUAAAUGAAAAGGAAAAUUUAUUUUAUUAUGAAAAAUAUUUUUUAUAUAUAUCUAGUAAUAAUAAAUUAAAGGAUAAUAACAAGAAAAUAACAAUUAGAUCGAAUAAAUGGUACCAAUUUCUAUUCUGAUAUAUCUAGCCAAAGAAUAGAAUGAAUCAAAAUAUUCUUAAUAAAAAAAAUAGAAAACACAGAAAGAAAUAAAAAAAUGUUCUUAAUUAAUAUAAAACUAUUAAUUUACAAAAGAAAUUUUCUGGUACUUUAUACUGUAUAUAAUUUGAAAAAUUGUGACUGACCGACUUACUUGCAAAGUAUUUGCAAGAAAGUUAAAGAAUUAGAGUUUUUUAAUAUUCAAAAUUAUAAUUUUAAAUUCUACGAAAAAAAUCAAUUAUUUUUAAAACUGUUUUCAAAAAUAAAACAUCAACUAUUUAUAUAAUAGCUAAAUAAAACAAUUAAAAUAAAUAAAAAAAUAACUAGUAAAAUCAAGUGAAUAAUCCAAAAAUAACAAGAAAAUAGAGAUAUUUCCUAAAUAUGAUUUCAGUUUGUUGUAUUGAUCAAUUUGCUAACAUAAAUAGCAUAAACGAACUUUAUUCUAAUAGUAUGUUUGAUAUUUAAAAAAAAAAAAAACUUAUAGAUAUUAUAUGGGUUGGCAACCCAUUUUUUAUUAAAUUUUAAAUUUUAUUUGUUUAAAAAUAUUUGUUUAUGUUUUUUAAUUAUUUUAAUAUGAUAAUAUCAAAAAUAAAUAAAUAAAAUUUUUCUAAGUUUUACUACUUCUGACUUGCUUUGACUCGAAAUUAGUGGUGCUUUCUCCUGCGAAUGAAUAGAAAGCAUAUCAUAAAGGUGUGUUUGACAUUGUGUUUUGGAAGUAUUUUUUAAAAAAAUAAAUUUUUUUAUUUUUUUUCUUCAAAUUAUUUUUUUUGUUGAUGUUUUCAUAUUAUUUUGAUAUGCUGAUGUCACAAAUAAUUUUUAAAAAAUAAAAAAAUAUAUUAUUUUGAUGUGUUUUGAAAUGAAAAAACUUUAAAAAGCAACCGCUACCACACUCUCAAACUCCUUUGUUUAUUGAGUCUUACUGUGAAACCUCGUUUUGGGAUGAAUUGAUUGUAAGAAUAAGAAAUUAUGUGCAAAUUAUACAAAAUUUAUUAUUCAUCAUCAAGAUUUAUUAUUUAUUAUCACUAUUGAAUAAUGAUUUAUUUUAUAAUAUAAAUUAUGUUUAAAAUAAAAUUGAUAAAAUUAAAAUACAUGAAACGAGGUCGUAUAUUUUGAAACUAAAUUAAAAUUAUUUUCUUUUUCAAUGAUAUCAUUUGUUAGUUUGCAAGUCCACAUGUCACGAGUCUCCACUGCAUGAAAUUUGCAAAAUCAUAUGGCCCAUUGAUAGAAGGUGUGUUGAAGCAAAAUCUGUUUUAUUGAUUAUCAAUAUUGAAUAAUAGCUUAUUUUCUAGUAGAAACUAUGUUUGAAAUAAAAUUGAUAAAAGACAUGAUAUACAAUUAAUAAUAGGAUCGUAUAUAAAAAUAGGAAAUUUCCUGGUAAUAAAGUCCCAACUUUCGUAGGCGAGCACUAAAGUCCCAAACUUCAAGAAUUUCUCUUCUUUUCCUUUUGUAUCUUCUCAUUUUCUUGGCAUGCGCGCAGCUGCCUCGAGGAAAAAACGUUUCAGAUUCGGAAAAUAAAGAUAAAUGUGGAAAAAAAAAAUCCCAAAUAAAGAUAUCUUUUCGUCCCUUGGUGUCGUGUGAAUACCAUGUGGAUAUCAUUUCAGAAAAUCAAUUCAACCGUUCUCCAAAGAACACUCAUACUCCAAUAUCAGCAACUACCACGAAAGUUACCACUCUAAAUUCCAGCUCAAUAAUUAAGGUUCCAAGAUAAGCCUAAAAAAUAUUUAUUAGGCUUAUCUUAAAGCCUAAUAAAUAUCUAAAAAAAAACAAAAAAACAAAAUUCCACCCUAGGCUGUGAUUAACAGAUUAUCUGAUGGAAACAUGAUGAGCUUUUUUUUAGUGAAUUAAGUUCAAUUAAAAAAAAAUUAAGGUUAAAUUGAUGAUUAAUAAUGAAUUUUGUAUACUUUGCACAGGAUUUUCUUAUUCUCGUCAAUUAAUCUUAAAGCGAGGUUCCAAGAUAAGCCUAAAAAAUAUUUAUUAUUGAUCAACAAUAUUGAAUAAUGGCUUAUUUUCUAGUAUAAAUUAUGUUUGAAAUAAAAUUGAUCAUAAGAGUAGAUGAUAUACAAUUAAUGAUGAAAUCGUAUAUUUUGAGACUAAAUUAAGAUUUUUCAAUUAUCUUUAAAUAUUAUGGUUUUAAUAGGUGGACAAUGCAUUCUUUGAAUUUAUUACAAGUAAUGUGUAAUUUAAAUUAUAAAAAAAUAUUUAUUUUUCUGAUAUACAUGAUAAUAAUAAAUUUGAUGAUAGCAACAAGAAAAUAGAAAUUAGUUUGAAUUAGUACGUUUCUCAUUAACAUUAAUGAUGGAAUCAAAAUCUUUGUUAGCGGUCACCUGUUCGACCUCAGUAAUGUUAACGCGUGGACCCAGCUGUUGUAGAAACUUUGCAAAGGAUCUCGAGGAAGAAAAAUGAUUGCAGUGUAAGACUUAAUUACCGAUUCUAUGAUGGGGAAUAAAUAUGUUUAUAACAGAAUUGUAAGUUAUAAUAUGUAAAAUUUAAUUAACGAUUCUAUUAUACGAAAUAAAUAUGUUUAUAACGUAAUCGUAAGCCUUAAUAAUAAGAAAUCAAUAUCUCCAUCUAUUAAUGUUCCUCAUGUAUUUAUUAUUCUUUUUUAUAUAUAUUUGAUACUUUCAAACUCUACUCACUUUAUAUAGAUUGUGUAAAACUUAAGAGAACUCAGUAAGUGAGUAUAGAGAUCAAAUAACAUUAUUUAUAGCCAAAGCUUCCCUCAAGCUUUAAUGGCUAUAUGUCCCACAUAUUUAUUAUAUCAUGGGUAGUUACAAGUGAAUCACUUUAAGAGCUUAUAAAUGUAAAUGUUACAACUUUAAAAUGAACGAUUUUAAGAGUUUAUAAAUAUAAAUAUUAUAAUUUUUAGAGUGGAUCACUUUUAGUGUGAAGGAGAGUUAGAGAAUCGAUUAUAAUGACUCUGUAAAAAACAGUCAACAUGCAUUGCUAAUAAUUUGCAACGGAGAAUUCUUUAUUGAGAUUUAUUGUUAAACCUCGCUUUGGAAUGAAUUGAUCACGAGAAUAAAAAAUAAUCACUACAUACACCCUUUAACUAUUUUACUUGAAAGUUUCGAUUAUUUCCUAAGCUCCUUUGUUCAUUUUCUUUUUUAUUACCCCUUCAUGCACGACACUUUAUGCCACUUCAUGAUACCCUUGUUUUCAACGUUUUACACUACUUUAAAAGCGUGUUUGGUAGUGUGGUUGCGGGUGCUUUUCAAAUAACUUUUCGUGUCAAAAUACAUGCCAAUGAUAUUUUUUUUAUUUUUUAAAAAUUAUUUUUGACAUCAGCACAUCAAAACGAUCCAAAACAUAUAAACCUUAUUAAAUUUUAAUUUAAAAAAUAUUCAAUUUUUUUGGGAACGCAGCCGCAUCCGCGUUCACAAACGAGUCCUCAAGUCAAUUGUUAGAUACUAAAAACAGCAAGAACUGUACUCAAUCAGCAACCACUGUGAAAUUACCACUCAAAAUCCCAUGAAUAUAUAUAAAAAAGAAUUUUGUCUAGAAAAAUUCUAUCAAAUUCUCUACUUUAUUACUCUUCAAUGUUUUACACUGCUUUAGUUCUAAAAAAACUCCUAGAUGUUAUAAAGCAAGAUAUAUACAACUAUAUAUAUAUAUAUAUAUAUAUAUAUAUAUAUGAAAGUGUAAUAAAUAUUAUAUUUUAAAGUAUUUUUUAAAUAUAUUAAAAUAAUAUUUUUUUAAAAAUAAUUUUGAUAUUAGUAUAUUAGAAUAAUAAAAAAAUAAUUUAAAACAAUAAAAAAUAUUGAAAUUUUUAAAAAAUAUGAUUUGACUGAACUCCAAAACACACGCAUGCUCCCUCAGCAGCCACCACGAAAUUACCACUCUAAAUUCCAGCUCAAUAAUUUAUUCUUUAGCAAUUAUUGCUUGCUCUUUGACAAGUACUGCUUUGCUAAUAAUUUGCAAGAAACUUUCUCAAUUUCCUUCUAUUUUCUUUUUAUCAUGGAAACUUUAAGUCACAUACCACUAAAUUACCGAUAAUUAAAUUUCAAUGUGUAAUUGUGUAGGUUUCAAUUAAAAAUGUUUUAAUUUGAGAAAAUUUGUUAAAAAAAUAGUAUAAAUUAUAUUUUAGAGUUUAUUUUAAUAGUUUAAAUUUUUAGAUGAAUAGUUUUCUAACAAAUAAAGACAUAGUUUUACGAUAAAAUGCAUUUUUUAAAAUGAAAUUAUAUUAAAUUAAGCAUGGUCGAGAUUAUUCAAAUUAUUAAUUAAUUAUAAUUAACUUUAUGUCUUUAGAGGAAACAAAAGGAAAGGACAAAAUGAUUAAUUAAAUUUUUAGAUGAAUUAAUAAAUCUUUACAAAUAAAAGAUAUAGUUUUUCAUUUUUUGAAAUGAAAUUAUAUUAAAUUAAGCAUGCUCGACAUUGUUCAAAUUAUUAAUUAAUUAUAAUUAACUUUAUGUCUUCAGAGUAAACAAAAGGGAAGGACAAAAUUAUCUUCCCCACAACGAUAAACCUAGCCCCCUUUCCAAACCAAUCCUCUAGUAAAUAGAAUGAUGGUCCCAUAAAUUGCUUUAUUCUUUCCAGCCCGCCAAGUAGUUUGGUCUCCCUCACAGGACCUCCUUAGCAUGGGAAUCAUAUGAAUUUCCUUGCUUUUCUUCCUCUACGCGUUACCUUUCACCUUUUAUAAUUAUUAUUAUUGCAUUGCUAAUAAUUUGCAAGAAAGAUUAUGAACAUUUUUUUUAGUGAAAUAAGCUCAUUUCAAAUUAACAAAAUAUAGUUUGUUGAGGCUUGUCUUGAAACCUCACUUUGGAUUAAUUGACAGGAAUAAUAAAAUUUUAUUCAAAUUAUAUAAAAUAUUAGGUGUGGAUGUGCCCUUGCCCAACAAGCUACCAUGACCUUAUCUAGAGUUGGGUGUUAACGAGACAAGCCCUUGUCCAACUCAGAGUUCGGCAUAGAUAUAUCAUGACCCAACAUAAAGUUUGGAUGCGGAAAAAAUAUAAUUUCAUUUUGAAUUAUGAUUUUUGUUGGAUAGUCUUUAAAUAAAUUUUUUUUUUAGAAAAUCAUGACCCAUAUCUGGUUAUCGGAAAAACAAUUAUGGUUGAUUUAGCCUCAUCUUCUCUGCUUGUAAAAUUGGGGCAGAUUAUGGACUUAACCGAGCAAUUACCGCUCAAAAUUCCUAGCAAUUUACAAAGGAAUUUUCCUUGCUUUUUCUCAGUAUAUUAUUAGAAAAACCGUCAUUGACUGAUUUAAUUGUAAAGUCUUUGCAAGAAAGUAAAAAAAUUAGUUUUUUAAAAUAAAAAAUAUAGAGAGAGAAAUAAAAAAUAAAAAAUAAAAAAAGGAGCGAAAGGAAACAACCGCCAUCUUUCUUGUUCCUUUUCCCUUCUUUACACGGCGUCCUCGAUGAAAAUAGCAAACACCCCAUUUGAAUAUAUAAUUAAAGAAAGAAAGAAAGAGAGGAAAAUUCCUUCCUCAAUACUUACCGCUACACGCUUCAGAAAUUCCUUGCUUUUUUUUUUUUUUUUUUCAUCUCUACUUACGUGUUACCUUUUACCUUUUAUAAUUAUGAUUAUUGCAUUGCUAAUAAUUUCCUUGCAUUUCUUUAAUAUAUAAUUAAAGAAAGAAAGAUGUUGAACACUUUUUUAGUGAAUUCAAAAUAACAAAAUAAGGUUGUUGAGGCUUUUCUUGGAACCUAGCUCAGGGAUUAAAUUAUAAAAAAAUAUAUUUAUUUUUCUGAUUAUAUAGCAAUAACAAAUUAAAUAAUAGCAACAAGUAAAUAGGAAUUAGUUUGAAUAAAUGGUACCAGUUCCUAUUAUAAUAUAUCUAGAGAAGAAGUUCGAAGAAUAGAAUGAAGUCAAAUAUCCUUACAUAAUGCUAGGUUUUAAUAUAUAAUUAAAAAGUUUUCCAUGAACCAAAUAAUAAAAAUAUUGUACAACUUUUUUGAAUGAAUUAUUAACAUAGAGGCUUAUUUGAUUUGAAUAUAUUAUUUGAUUAGUCCAUUUAUAGGUUGUCUCUAUUAUUCCUGCCUUGCAUUGCCAGGAAAUUUCACUAGAAAUUUCUAGUAAUUUAAACAGGAAAUUUGCUGGUGAUAAACCUGGAAUAUGAUUUUCAACUUUCGUAGGCGAGCACUGAAGUCCCAAACUUCAAGAAUUUCUUUUCUUUUCCUUUUGUAUCUUCUCAUUUUCUUUCUAGGAAUGUUAUGAGAAGCAGCAGAGUCAAGAGGCCAUUUUUGAUCCUGUGGACCGGAAGUAGUUGCAUAGUUAGUCGUAACCUCUGAUCAAUGGAGUCGUGGGUAAGACUUGGCUAAAUGGCCUAUCUGAUCAGGAAAUUGGCAUUUCGGUUGAUAAUGCAUUUGAGUGGUACCGAUUGGUUGAAGACUUGCAGUUGUCUUUGAAUGGACCGACCUUGAGGGAUUUUAUUGUGGCCUGGAGACCGAGAAGAUCCAUUAGUCUUAUUUGAACCCUUCGGGUGAGACCCACCAUAUGAACUAUUUAAGUUCUGUUUGUGAAGAUAAGAAUAAUUGGCAGAGGCCACAAGCUGCUGAGUUGAAGAUUCCAAACGCCGCAGGUAACUGUCAUGCCCCUCAAGAAUAUCUUGAAGCUCUUCAAAUUAUCCCAAUAGUUCUUAUAUUAAAAUCUCAUUUAUCAUAUGUUACAUCUAUCAAAAAAAAAAAAAUAAUUUGUGACGUGAACUAAAGCUAUAUGUGAAAACUAGAAAUAACAAAUGUAUGAAAAAAAAAUCAGCUGUGAUUAACAGAUUAACGAUGGAAAUUAAGAUGAUGAAUAUUUUUUUGUAAAUUAAUUUCAAUUUAAAAUAACUACAAAGAAGUUAAUUAGGAUUCCUUCCUUGAAAUUAUUAAAAAUAUAGUAUUAGAAUUAUAGAAUGCUAGGUUUUAAUAUAUAAUUUUUAAUAUUAAUUGUUAAAGAGUCUCUCUCGAACCAAAUAAUAAAGAUAUUAUAUAACUCUUUUGUAUGAAUUGUAAAUCUAGGGAUAGUUUUGGGUUUUCCAAUCACAACUUUGGACUAAAAUUAAUAACAAAAUAAAGACCAAAGAUAACGGUAUGUAAAUCUAGGGACCAAAAAUAAUACAACUGCAUUUACUGUAGAUUUCACUUAGAAUUUCUAGUAAAUUACAAAGGAAAUUUCUUGUGCUUUUUAACGUACAUGAAUUGAAAAACUACCAUUGACUGACUUGCAUUGACUGACUUGCUAAGCAUUUGCUGCUCGAAAUUUUCUCCCUAAAAAUUUUCAAGCAAUUUACGGAGCAAAUUUCCUUAUGCUCUCUCUUGUAUAUUAUUAGAAAAAUUGUUUUUAAAAAUCAAUUUUUUUUUAUUUUCCUGAGAUUCUAUUUUUUAGUCGAGUCAAUUUCAAGUUGGGUUCAAUAAUUAUGAUUAAAUUUACUGAAAAAAAAAUAAUUUUAUGUCACUUCAUGAUACCCAUGUUUUCAACGCUUUACACUGCUUUAAUAAAUUGUUACAGUAAUAGCACAGAGAGGAGCGGUUCCAGAAAAAACAAUAAUGGAGAUGAAGCAAAAUCUGUGUUUGAUUUUUUCUUUUUUGUGUUUUCGGUACAUUGGUCAACAAUAGCUUGGAAGAGUUUGGAAUCAGUAACACGUGGACCCAGUUGUUGUGGAAACUUUGCAGAGGAUCUUCACUCUGCAGGAAGAAAAAUGAUUUUAAUAGAUGUACUGUACAUCAUUUGAAUUUAUUAAAAGUAACGUGUAAUGUAAAGUAUGAUUCACUUACCAUUAACUAGUUGGACAAAAAAACUAAACUUUCUCAAUUUCCUUCUAUUUUCUUUUUAUCAUGGAAACUUUAAGUCACAUCUGCGCCUACCACGAAAUUACCGAUAAGUAAAUUUCAAUGCGUAAUUGUGUAGGUUUCAAUUAAAAAUGCUUUAAUUUGAAAAAUUAUGUUAACAAUAAUAUAAAUUAAUUUUUCUUCAAAAUAAAAAGUAAUUGGGUAUUAAUUUAGGCUAUAAAGAUAAAAUAAUAAUAAUAAAAAAGAGUUCGAGGGUAUUCAUUUUAUUAUUUGUUAUGUAACUAUAUAAUCUAAUUUGUUGAUGUGGAAAAUAGCACAAAGUUUUUGACAUGGAUAUUGGUGAGAAGCAAAAGCAGUAUCCACUAUGAGAGCUUUUGUAAACGCGUGGACCCAGUUGUUGUGGAAACUUUGCAAAGGAUCUGCAGGAAGAAAAAUGAAAUUUGCAAAGUAUUUGUGUGUAUUAUAUAAUUGUGUUAAUUUAAGGAUUAUUUUUUAGUUGUAUUAAUUUAGAAAAUAUUUUGUCUCACCGGAAAACUCUAAUUACGUUCGUAUAUUUGUUUUUGGUAACAGAUGCAAUAUGCUUUUUAAUUCAAGAUAUAUUAAAAUAAUAAUUUUUAAAAAAAAAUUAUUUUUUUUAUUUUAGUAUAUUAAAAAUAAAAAAUUUAAAAAUAGUAAUUUAAUAUUUUCUUAAAAAUAUAUUUAAAAAACACUUUUAAUUUUGUUUUUCAACUGUACUAUUCCUUGAAAAAACUCAAACUCUAAAUAAUAUCUUCUACUACAUACUUUCUAAGACUAAAAAUUAAUCUAAAUGUUUUUGAAAAGUAGUUCAACCAAAGUACCAAAUAUGUUUAUAUACUCCAUCUUCAACCACUGUAAAAUUACCACUCUAAAUUACAACUCGGUAUCGAUUACCUUUUAUCUUUGACAAUUAUUGCAUUGCUAAUAAUUUGCAAGAAAAAAUACAUUCUCAAUUUCCUUCUAUUUUUUUUUUAACAUGAAAAACUUUAAGUCACUCAAUCUGCAACCACCAUGAAAUUACCGGUCCGAAUUCCAGCUCAAUAUUUACCGGUACGACACGCUUGAGGAAUUUCCUUGCUUUUCUUCCUCUACGCGUUACCUUUCACCUUUUAUAAUUAUUAUUAUUGCAUUGCUAAUAAUUUGCAAGAAAGAUUAUGAACAUUUUUUUAGUGAAAUAAGCUCAUUUCAAAUUAACAAAAUAUAGUUUGUUGAGGCUCGUCUUGGAACCUCGCUUUGGAUUAAUUGACAGGAAUAGUAAAAUUUUAUUCAAAUUAUAUAAAAUAUUGGGUGCUGAUGUGCCUUUAUCCAACUUAGAAUUGCGACAAGCUACCAUGACCUUAUCUAGAGUUGGGUGUUAAUGAGACGAGUCCUUGCCCAACUCAGAGUUUGGCAUGGAUAUAUCAUGACCCAACAUAAAGUUUGGAUGCAGAAAAAAUAUGACUUUAUUUUGAAUUAUGAUUUUUGUUGGAUGGUCUCUAAAUAAAUUUUUUUUAUAGAAAAUCAUGACCCAUAUCUGGGUAUCGGAAAAACAAUUAUGGUUGAUUUAGCCUCAUCUUCUCUGCUUGUAAAAUUGGGGCAGAUUAUGGACUUAACCGAGCAAUUACCGCUCGAAAUUCCUAGCAAUUUACAAAGGAAUUUUCCUUGUUUUUUCUCAGUUCAUUAUUAGAAAAACUGUCAUUGACUGAUUUAAUUGUAAAGUCUUUGCAAGAAAGCUAAAAAAAUUAGAGUUUUUUAAAAUAAGAAAUAUAGAGAGAAAAAUAAAAAAUAAAAAUAAAAAAAGGAGCAAAAGGAAACAACCCCCAUCUUUCUUGUUCCUUUUCCCUUCUUUACAUGGCGUCCUCGAUGAAAAUAGCAAACACCCCAUUUGAAUAUAUAAUUAAAGAAAGAAAGAAAGAGAGGAAAAUUCCUUCCUCAAUACUUACCAGUACUACACGCUUGAGAAAUUCCUUUCUUGUUACCUUUUACCUUUUAUAAUUAUGAUUAUUGCAUUGCUAAUAAUUUCCUUGCAUUUCUUUAAUAUAUAAUUAAAGAAAGAAAGAUGUUGAACACUUUUUUAGUGAAUUCAAAAUAACAAAAUAAGGUUGUUGAGGCUUUUCUUGGAACCUCGCUCAGGGAUUAAUUAACAAGAAUAAAAAAAUCCCCUGCAAAUUAAACAAAAUUUAUUAUUAAUCAUUGAUAUUUAUUAUUGAUCAUCAAUAUUGAAUAAUGGCUUAUUUUCUAGCAUAAAUAAAAUUGUUAAAAAACAUGAUUACACAAUUAAUGAUGAGAUCGGUUAUAAAAAUGACUAAAUUGAGGUUUUUCAAUUACCUUUAAACGUAUCAUGGUUUUAAUAGGUGGACAGUACAUCCUAUUAUGUAAAUUAUAAAAAAUUAUAUUUAUUUUUCUGAUAUAUAUAGCAAUAACAAAUUAAAUAAUAGCAACAAGUAAAUAGGAAUUAGUUUGAAUAAAUGAUACCAGUUCCUAUUAUUAUAUAUCUGGAGAAGAAGUUCGAACAAUAGAAUGAAGUCAAAUAUCUUUACAUAAUGCAAGGUUUUAAUAUAUAAUUAAAAAGUUUUCCAUGAACCAAAUAAUAAAAAUAUUGUAUAACUUUUUUGAAUGAAUUAUUAACGUAGAGGCUUAUUUGAUUUGAAUAUAUUAUUUGAUUAGUCUAUUUAUAGGUUGACUCUACUAUUCCUGCCUUGCAUUGCCAGGAAAUUUCACUAGAAAUUUCUAGUAAACGAAAUUUGCUGGUGAUAAACCUGGAAUAUGAUUUUCAACUUUCGUAGGCGAGCACUAAAGUCCCAAACUUCAAGAAUUUCUUUUCUUUUCCUUUUGUAUCUUCUCAUUUUCUUGGCAUGCGCGCAGCUGCCUCGAGGAAAAAACGUUUCAGAUGCGGAAAAUAAAGAUGAAAGUGGAAAAUAGAAGCGGGGAAAAAAAUCCCAAAUAUCGACAAACAUCACAAGAGAAGCUUGAUAUCUCUUCGUCCCUUGGUAUCGUGUGAAUGUGGAUAUUAUUUCAGAAUAUCAAUUCAACCGUACUCCAAAGAACACUCAUACUCCAAUAUCAGCAACCACCACGAAAGUUACCACUCUAAAUUCCAGCUCAAUAAUUUAUUCUUUGACAAUUUUACUUCUAAAAAAAAUGAAUUUUUUUUUAUAAUUAUACGCCAUCAGCAACUACCAUUACGACUCCAAAUUCCAGCUCAAUAUCGAUCAACACGUGGCUAAAGAAUUUGUUUCCUUUUUUUUCCUGCACGUGUUACCUUUUUAUCUUUUAUAAUUAUAAGUAUUGCGUUGCUAAUAAUUUGCAAGAAAUAAUAUUCUUUCUCUAAAAAGGGCUUGAGAAAACCCUAAGCAUAGUAUAUAGUCUCUUAUAGGAAUCUCUUUAUUAAAUCAUCAAAAUAUCAAAGUCUGUUUCCAAAGACUAUGACUACAGUUUAUAUAUAGAAACAACCAAAUAUAAAAAUUAUUUUUUAAAAAUAGAAAAAACAGAAGAGCUUGAUAAUAUUUAAUUAAAAAAUAAAAUAGAAAAAUUAUUCCUUUUUAAGUAGGAAAAAAAAAUAUAAAGAUUUAAUAAUACUGAAUAAGAAAAAUUAAAAUAUUCUUUCUCUGAAAAGGGCUUAAGAAAACCCUAAGCAUUGUAGAUAAUCUCUUAUAUGAAUCUCAUCAAAAUAUCAUAGUAUAUUUCCAAAUACUAUUACGUACUACAUUUAUAUAUAUAUAUAUAUAUAUAUAUAUAGAGAGAGAGAGAAAGAGAGAGAGAGAUAGAGAGAGAAACAACUAAGUAGGUAAAGCUUAUGUUUCUUUGUUCUUGUUCCUUUAUAUAUAUACAUUCUCAAUUUCAUAAAAAAAAUUAAUUAGUCCUUGAAAUCUUAAAAAAUAGUAUUUAAUCCUUAUGUUAUUAUAUUCAUCUCUAAUUUAAUUUUUUUCAUCCAUUCAUCUUUUUAUUUAUUUAAUAGCUUAAGUUUUUAGUUAAAAGAUAAAUAGUUUUACUAUUAAAAGCAUUUUUUCGAAAUAAAAAUAAUAUUAAAUUAGGCAUCCUCAACAUUGUUCAAAUUAUUAAUUAAUUAUAAUUAACUUGAGGUUUAGAAGAAACAAAAGGGAAGGACAAAAUUAUCUUCCCCACAACCAUAGACCUAACCCCUUUCCAGACCAGUCCCCUGGUAAAUGGAAUAAUGGUCCCAUAAACAGCUUUUUUUCUUUCCAGCCCGCCAAGCAGACUAAGGCCUGUUUGUUUCUGUGUUUUAAAAGUGUUUUUGAUAAAAUUUAAAAUUUUUUUGUUUUUUUUAUUAACUUCAAAUUAAUAUGUUUUUAGUGUUUUUAAAUCAUUUUGAUGUGCUGAUGUCAAAAAUAAUUUUUAAAAAAUAAAAAAACAUCAUUAGCAUGUAUUUUGACACGAAAAACUAUUUGAAAAGCAACCGCAACCACACUACCAAACACACUCUAAGCAGUUCGGUCUUCCUCGCUGGACCACCUUAGCAUGAGAAUCACACUAGUUGGAAGUAUCUUUAAACCUCAUAAAAAUGAAUAACUGAUAAUAAUAUAAUUGGGAUUUAAAAAAAAUUCAUAAAAAAAUUUCUUAAAAAAAUCCAAAAAAUUAAACCGGACAAAAAUAAACAACCAAUAAUAAUAUAGUUAAAAUGAUAAAAAAGUGUUUAAAAAGCAAUUUGAAACCAAUUAAUCUUAAAAAAAAAAAACCAAAAAGAAACAUGCGAUGAAAACCAAUUCAUGAAAAAGUAAUUGGAUAUUAAUUUAGACUAAAAGGAUGAAAUAAUAAAAACAAAAGGAGAGUUUGAGGGUAUUCAUUGUUCAAAGGAACGCAAAAAUGCAUUCCAAGUAUGAAGUGUUUUAUUGUUAUAAAGUUUUUCAAACUUACAAUAUGGAGAGAGAAAUAAAUAAAAAGAAAAAAUAGCAAAAGGAAACAGCCCCCAUCUUUCUUGUUCCCUUUCCCACGGCCUACUCAAUGAAAAAGCAAACACCCCAUUGGAUUUCCCACGGCCGCCCACGAAAUCCCUUUAUCCUCUGCUGUUAAUUUUUUAAUGACGCAUAUCAGGUGUUUGAUAAAAUUCCUUAGCUGGGAAAGGAAAAAAAACCAUGUUAAGAAUGCUUUAGUCCUUUUCGAGUGGAAAGUGGUGUGAAAGUGAGAAGUACUGUGAGAGCUUUAUACCACUUUCUAUCUUAGACGUAAUGGCUUUGGCAAAAAGAAACCAAUAAAAGUUAGUGUUCGCACUGCUUUAGUCCAAGAGUCUUUCAUGGUUGCAUUGAUUGACUGGAAAAAAUCUCAAAGUUUUUAGAAAGAAACAGCCUUCAUUGCUUUUCGAAACCAAUCUCAGUAAUGUUAACGCGUGGACCCAGUUAUUGUGGAAACUUUGCAAAGGACCUCGAGGAAGAAAAAUGAUUGCAUUGCUAAUAAUUUGCAAGAGAGAAUUCUUUCACUGAAUAGAAAAAAGUAUUAUUUUUAAAAUAACAACAAGUAAAUUUAAAAAUUAGUAUUUUUUAAAUAAAAAACUAAAAAUUCCUGAUAAUAUUGAAUAAAAAAUAAAAUAUAAAAAUUAUUCUUUUUAAGUAUAAAAAAAUAUAAAAGUUUAAUAAUACGGAAUAGAAAUAAAUAAAAAUUCUAAACUAAAUAAAAAUAUUUUCUAUCCCAAAAAUUCUUAUAUCAAAAUCUCAUUUAUCAUAUUUUAUAUCUAUAAAAAACUAAUUUGUCAUGUGGAAUAAGUCUAUAUGCUAAAAUCAGAAAAAAAAUGUUACAAAAACAAAUUCCACAAAAGGCUGUGAUUAAAAAGAUGAUAGAUAUUUUUUAGUAAAUUAAUUUCAAUUCAAAAUAACAAAAUAAGGUUUAUUGAGGCUUACCGUUAAACCUUGCUUUGGGAUGAAUUGAUCACGAGAAUAAGAAAUCAUGUGCAAAUUAUACAAGAUUUAUUAUUAAUCAUCAAGAUUUAUUAUUUAUUAUCAAUAUUGAAUAAUGAUUUAUUUUAUAAUAUAAAUUAUGUUUAAAAUAAAAUUGAUAAAAUUAAAAUACAUGAAACGAGGUUGUAUAUUUUGAAACUAAAUUAAAAUCAUUUUCUUUUUCUAUUAUAUCCUUCAAAAUUAUUUAUUUUAUAAAAAACAAAACUUGUUAGUUUGCAAGUACACAUGUCAUGAGUCUCCACUGCAUCACUUUUGCAAAAUCAUAUGGCCCACUGUAUAUUUUGAAACUUGUUGAAGCAAAAUCUGUUUUAUUGAUCAUCAUCAAUAUUGAAGAAUGAUUUAUUUUCUAGUAUAAACUAUGUUUGAAAUAAAAUUGAUAAAAGACAUGACAUAUACAAUUAAUGAUGGGAUGGUAUCUAAAAAUGAUUAAAUUGGCAUUUUUCAAUUACCUUUAAACAUGCAUAUCAUGAUUUUAAUUGGUGGACAAUACUGUUAAAUAAUAUAUUUAUUUUGUUUUAUUUAUUAAGAUUAAAAUAAUAUUUUUAGCUUAAUCUAUAUAUAAACUCUUUAUAUUUAGAUUAAGCAAAAAUAAUAAUAUAUAUCAGAAUUCUAGUCUCAUUCCUUUUCGUAUUUAUUUUUAUGUUAAUUAAAUUGUUUUAACAAUACAUCAUGUAAAUUAUAUAAAAAUAUAUUUAUUUUUCUGAUAUAUAAAUACCUCUCUGUCCCAUUGCUGCCAUUUCAUAGCUAACUCUUUGUUAUAUUUAACUUCCUCUUCUUUGCUUCUUGCUCAUAACGAUAACUUGAAAGCCUUACGUUCAGAUAGAUAAUCAUUGACUAGCUCAUCCUAUAUCAUUCUAUUCAAUUUAUAUAUGCAGAAAGAAAAACGCAAGCAAUCCAAAGAUGAAGAAAACGCUUCAUCCUCGCGAAAGAGAAGAAAAGCUGACCUCAGUAAGCCUAUAUAAAGAAUACAAUUAACCUCAUUUCAACAUCAUAGUUAACCUCAUUUCAAUAUCAUAGCUUUGGAAUUUCAUAGCUAACUCUUUGUUAUAUUGCUCCAUUGGUAAUUGAUUGUGCCUUGAUUUCUGCAGCUGCCAUGACAGAGCCAGAGUCUUCUCGAUCUAUACCAGAAGGGGCCUAUGAUGUCUUCUUGAGUUUUAGAGGAGAAGAUACUCGCAAGACGUUUACUGAUCAUCUAUAUGCUGCCUUAGAUCAAGCAGGAAUCCACACUUUUCGAGAUGAUGAUGAACUUCCUAGAGGAGAAGAAAUCUCCGAGCAUCUUCUCAAGGCAAUUCGAGAAUCAAAGAUAUCCAUAGUUGUCUUCUCAAAAGGAUAUGCUUCUUCUAGAUGGUGUCUCAAUGAACUUGUAGAGAUUCUUAAGUGCAAAAGGAAGAAAACCGGUCAGAUUGUUCUUCCUAUAUUCUAUGACAUUGAUCCUUCAGAUGUGAGAAAACAGACUGGCAGUUUUGCAGAGGCAUUUGAUAAGCAUGAAGAGCGUUUUGAAGAGAAGUUGGUGAAGGAGUGGAGAAAAGCUCUUGAGGAUGCCGGAAACCUAUCUGGAUGGAGUCUCAAUGAUAUGGCAAAUGGGUAUGCCUUUUUUCCAAAUUUAUGGAGUCAAUAUACUUUACAUUUUUUAAUGUGAAACAAUAAAAUACUUAAUUGACUCGCUAUCAAUGACUUGCUUUUGUCUAUGAGCAGGCAUGAAGCAAAAUUUAUCAAAGAGAUUAUCAAGGAUGUGUUGAAUAAAUUAGAUUCCAAGUACUUCUAUGUUCCUGAGCACCUAGUAGGUAUGGAUCGGCUUUCUCGCAAUAUUUUUGACUUUGUAAGUACUGCAACAGAUGAUGUACGCAUNNNNNNNNNNNNNNNNNNNNNNNNNNNNNNNNNNNNNNNNNNNNNNNNNNNNNNNNNNNNNNNNNNNNNNNNNNNNNNNNNNNNNNNNNNNNNNNNNNNNNNNNNNNNNNNNNNNNNNNNNNNNNNNNNNNNNNNNNNNNNNNNNNNNNNNNNNNNNNNNNNNNNNNNNNNNNNNNNNNNNNNNNNNNNNNNNNNNNNNGAUGAUAGAGGAAAAGUUCUGAUCAAAGAACGACUUCGUCGCAAAAGAGUUCUUGUUGUUGCUGAUGAUGUGGCUUAUCUGGACCAGCUAAAUGCUUUGAUGGGAGAGCGAAGUUGGUUUGGUCCCGGAAGUAGAGUAAUUAUUACAACAAGAGAUUCAAAUCUUCUUCGUGAAGCAGAUCAAACAUAUCGGAUCAAAGAGCGACUUUGUCGCAAAAGAAUCUUGUUGUUGCUGAUGAUGUGGCUCAUCAGGAGCAGCUAAAUGCAUUGAUGGGAGAUCGAAGAUGGUUUGGUCCCGGAAGUAGAGUAAUUAUUACAACAAGAGACUCAGAUCUUCUUCGUGACGCAGAUAAAACAUGUCAGAUCGAAGAAUUGAAACUAGAUGAGUCCCUUCAGCUUUUCAGCAGGCAUGCCUUUAAGGACACCAAGCCAGCAGAAGAUUACAUUGAGCUUUCGAAGAAAGCCGUUGGUUACUGUGGAGGACUUCCUUUAGCUCUCAAGGUUAUAGGAGCUCUUCUGUACGGGAAAGAAAAAGAUAGAUGGGAAAGUGAAAUUGACGACUUGAGCAGAAUUCCAAACCAAGAUAUUCAAAGAAAGCUUCUAAUAAGUUAUGACGCACUUGAUGGUGAACUACAAAGAGCAUUCCUUGAUAUUGCAUGCUUCUUUGUUGGUAUAGAGAAAGAAUACGUCGCACAAGUGCUAGGAGCCCGUUGCCGUCGCAAUCCAGAAGUUGUUUUGGAAACUCUCCGUGAAAGGUCUCUGAUUCAAUUUCAUGAGUGUAUAAUUGAAGAUGAAAGGCAGUUAUCUGGAAGGACGGUAGCCAUGCAUGAUCUAUUACGAGACAUGGGAAGGGAGGUCGUUUGUAAAGAGUCUCCCUUGCAUCCUGAAGCAAGGACCAGAAUUUGGAAUAAAGACGAUGCAUGGAAUGUACUUGAGCAGCACAAGGUAAGUAAGAGCUCAAUGCAUACACGAAAGCAUAGUCAUGCGUAUUUUCUAGUCAAGCUUAUUACAAAUAAUUGAAUGAAAGUUGUAUUGAUUUUUUUUUUAGGGUACGGAUAAAGUUGAGGGUCUUGCACUGGAUGUCAGAGCAUCAGAAACUAAAUCACUUAGCGCAGGAUCAUUUGCAGAAAUGAAAUGUUUAAAUUUACUCAAAAUCAACGGAGCACAUCUCACCGGAUCCUUCAAAUUGCUUUCUAAAGAGUUGAUGUGGAUUUGUUGGCAUGAAUUUCCUUUGAAAUAUUUUCCAUCUUAUUUUACUUUGGACAAUCUAGCUGUUCUUGAUAUGCCGUACAGUAACCUCAAAGAACUAUGGAAGGGAAAAAAGGUGCGAAACAUGCUACAAUCCCUAAAAUUUCUCCAGUAUGUAAUUUAUAUUUACAUGUUAUGACUUUCUAUGAUUAAUUUUCAUUAUUUUUCUCUCUAUUAUAACAGAUUCUCGACAAGCUUAAAAUUCUUAAUCUCAGUCAUUCUCAGCACCUUAUUAAAACACCAGACUUGCACAGUUCAAGUCUAGAGAAACUAAUUCUGGAAGGUUGCUCGAGUUUAGUUGAGGUGCAUCAAUCAAUUGAAAAUUUGACGAGCCUUGUUUUCUUAAAUCUGAAGGGAUGUUGGAGUCUGAAGACUCUCCCUGAAAGCAUUGACAAUGUAAAAUCUCUUGAAACUCUGAAUAUUUCUGGGUGUUCACAAGUUGAGAAAUUGCCGGAACGCAUGGGUGAUAUGGAAUUCUUAACCGAGCUGCUAGCUGAUGGGAUUGAAAAUGAGCAAUUUCUCUCUUCAAUUGGACAAUUAAAGCAUUGCAGAAGGUUAUCAUUGUGUGGAGACAGUUCGACGCCACCAAGUUCUUCUUUGAUUUCAACAGGUGUUUUGAAUUGGAAACGUUGGCUGCCAGCAUCUUUCAUUGAAUGGAUAUCAGUGAAACAUCUUGAGCUUUCUAAUAGUGGUUUGUCUGAUCGCGCAACUAACUGUGUUGAUUUCAGUGGUUUGUCCGCUCUAGAAAAAUUGACUCUAGAUGGAAACAAAUUCUCUAGCCUGCCUUCUGGGAUCGGCUUCCUUUCCGAGCUAAGGGAGUUGUCUGUUAAGGGAUGCAAAUAUCUUGUAUCAAUCCCAGAUCUUCCCUCAAGUUUAAAGAGUGUGUUUGCAUGUGAUUGCAAAUCAUUGAAAAGAGUAAGAAUACCAAGCGAGCCAAAAAAAAGACUAUUUAUAAAGCUAGAUGAAAGUCAUUCGUUAGAAGAGUUUCAGGGCAUUGAAGAUCUAAGUAAUUGUUUCUGGUAUAUUCGUGUUGAUGACCGCAGGCAUUCAACAAGUAAAUUACUGGAGCGUUGUUGAGGUACUAUUUCUUUCCGUCUCUCUUUCGCACAAAAAGAAACACACACAAUUGACACAUACAUUGAUUAAUGUCUAAAAUCUCAGCAUUCCUUGAAAUCAAUAUGUAUAUAGGCAAUAAUCAUUAUUAUUAUUAUUAUAUUUAAAAAAACAAAUAUCAUCUUUAAUAAUAUUUUUUUAUUAAAUAUUUAAAGUCUGAUUGGUUUUAUUUUUUAUUUCUUGAUUUUAUGAUAAUAUAUUUAUACAGGCAAUGUGCAACGGUCGUCACGGGUAUUUUAUUCGCCACACUCCUGGUCAGAUGCCAAAUUGGAUGAGCUACAGGGGAGAAGGACGCUCAUUGUCAUUCCAUAUACCUCCAGUCUUCCAAGGCUUAGUUGUUUGGGUUGAUAAGGAUGAUAAGGAUGCUCACAUUAUUAUUAUUAUAAGAAAUAAUAGAAAUGGUAAUCUCUUGUUUCAAUGUACGAAAUGGUAUUAUCAUCCAAAAACUGGAAGUAUAAGAUACAUAAGAAGAAGUGAAAUGGCAAUGGAAGAUUACUGUGCAGAUGACGAAUUGGAACUAUACAUUUAUUCAAAGCCAUCACCGUUGGCAAUGGCAAUGGCAAUGAAGGAUGCUGUGAUGCCUUCAUUUGAACCGUCUACACCUAAGCAAUGUGGGGUCCAUGUGAUCGUAGGAAAGUCAGAUUCAUUUGAAGAGUUGGCAGUGGGAAGAGAUGCAGUGAUGCUUCCUCAUCCUCGUUGUGGUUCGAUUACAGCGUCUACACCUAAGCAAUGGAUUGACUUUUUAUUUGCGAAGCUGCAAAACCAUAACCUCAAUUUAAGGCUUUUUGGUAAGAAUACAUAUUUCCUUUAGUUAUUUCUAUUUUAAUAUUCUAUUUAAUUUAAGAGAUUAAAUAUCAUCUUUAAUUAUUACAUUUUUCUUAUUUAAUCUAAAAAAAUAAAUAUUAUCUUUAACAAUAUUUUUUAUUAAAUAUUUAGAGUCUGCUUGGUUUUAAUUAUUUCUUUUCUUGAUUUUAUGAUAAUAUUUUUCUUAUUUAAUAUAAAAAAUAAAUAUUAUCUUUAAUAAUUAGAUCUAUCGAAUAUCACUUAAAAAAUAAAUUAUAGCUUUAAUAAUUAUUUUUUGAAAAACAAAAGCCAACAAUCACUAACAUAUUUUAUUAAAAUCACUUUAGUUUAUUUAGAAAAUAUUGAAAAUUGAUUUUUGUUUUUUUACUUCAAAAUAAAAAAAAUUGAAUAAUGUUUUUAUAUUUUAUUUCGAACUCGAUAUUUUAAAACAAAAAUGAAAAAGAUGUGAUAUUAACCUUUUUUAUUAUAAAGUAAGUUUCUUAAUUAAAAGUGAUGGGAAUUUGUUUGUAAAAACAAUCUUGCACAUCUAACUUUCUUUUCAAAUUUGAAAAUUUUAUUAACUUUGAUGGUUUUAUAUGUAUGAAGGAUCUGGAUGGACGUAAUAGCACAAGAUCAUUUGACAUAGAGAUGCUUGAAGUUACUCCAAAUUAGUACGGUACUUUUAUCUAAUGUAUUGAUAUGUAUUUGUUGGCUUGAAGAUCAUUUUCCAAGCUUGGAAUUUUUAUUGAAUGCUCUUUGAAAUCUUUUCCAUUUGCUUUUAUAGUGGACAACCUAGUUGUUAAUUAUUAUCCAUGAUCUAAUUUAUAUUUUCAAGUUAAAAAUUUUGAUGAAUAUUAUUUCAUUUUUUUCCUCACUUCAAAAGAUGAAAAUCCUUGAUGUUAGUUAGUAAUAAAUUGGAGAGAAUAAUAAUAAUUUGUGUGUAUAAGCUGAUUGAAAUGAAGAUUAAAAUAAAGAAGUAAAAAAAAAGAGACUCGUAAAGAUUUUAUGUUAGUACUCAACAUGUCCUUUCUUGUUUUUUUUUUAAUUGGAUUACCUUUGUCUUUGGUUAAACUGCACUUCUUAAAAUAUUUUUGGAUUGUUCUGAUAUCAAAAAUAAUUUUUUUUAAAUAUUAUUUUAAUACAUUUUCAAUUAAAAAAUAUUUUGAAAAACAAUAUCUAACACACUCUCAAACAAGUUAAAACGUUAGUAAUAAAAUAACUUUUACAUAUUUUUCAAGUUUAGUAGAAUAGUAGUGGAAUAAUAUUUUUAAUAUUUAAAAAUUAAAAUUUUUUGUGUAACUGUUUUGUUAAAUUAUAAAGUUAAGGACUCUUUUGUAGUUUACCUUACACUAAAGUUAAUAAAUAAUAACACAAGAAAGGACCAAAGUUAACUACAAUACGAGGAAGUUUCAUACUAAAGUUAAAAUACCUCACACUUUUCAAUGAAACAUUACCUCUCCUGUACAUGAAUAUAAAUAAUUUCGUUGACCGACUCUUAUUUCAUUAAUUAUUGAUUAUUUGGAAGAAGAAAGCGUAUCCCUUCUCACUUUUAGAGCGUAUUUAGGGUAUUUAAGAGCGCAUUAUAAAUCCAGGGACAAUUUUGGGUUUUCUAAUCAGAACUUUGGACUAAAAUUAAUAGCAAAUUAAAUAAGGACCAAAUAUAACAGUGUGUAAAUCUAGAAACCAAAGAUAAUACAGCUGCAUUGACCGGAGAUUUCACUCGAAUUUUGACUAAAAAUUAAAAUUUUAUCAAAUUCUCUACUUUAUUAGUGUUCAUUUUCUUCUUUUUUUUUACCUAUCUUUUCCAACUGUUUAGAAAAUUUUUAUGGAUAAAAUUAGAGGAUAAGAAAGAGAUAUAGAAUCACUUUGUAAGAUUUCUAAAAACUUAAUUAUAUUAUAAUUUCUUCCUUAAAAUUAUUCAAAAUAUAGUAUUAGAAUUACAUAAUGCUAGGUUUUAAUAUAUAAUUAAAGAGUCUCUUCUAAAAGAAAUAAUGAAAAUAUUGUAUAACUCUUUUAGAAUGAAUUGUAAAUCCAGGGACAGUCUUCCUGGUGGUUUUUACUGUAUAUGAAUUGAAGAACUAUCAUUUGCUGAUUUACUUGUAAAGUAUUUGUAAGAAAGCUAAAAAUUAGAGUUUUAAAAUUUCUAAAAUAAAUAAUCUUCUCUAAAAUAAGUUUUUUUUAAUUAUACUUAUAAAAUUAAUUAAAUCUCAGGAUAAUAAGAUAUGUCCGGAUAUUUGGCGACUGANNNNNNNNNNNNNNNNNNNNNNNNNNNNNNNNNNNNNNNNNNNNNNNNNNNNNNNNNNNNNNNNNNNNNNNNNNNNNNNNNNNNNNNNNNNNNNNNNNNNGUAUGUUACAAAUUAAAUAUUAGUAUAUUUUUUUCAAGGUGAUAUCUCUUAUUAAAUCAGAGAUUCUCUCUAUUUUUUACAUGCAAUAUAAUCACGGAAUAAUUAAAUAAUUUGAAAAAUAAAUAAAUUUUUAUUGUGGAAUAAGUAAAUACUAAUAUCUAUAACUAGAAGUAACUAUAAUUAUAAUAUUAAAAAAAAGCAUAAUAAAAUGAAUUUAUUUAUAAAUUAGAUAAGAUUCAAACCAAGGGAAUUAAAGUGUAAAAUAAGGAAAACACCCUUGCCAGUCUAAAAUAAUUGAAGUAAUGAGUAAAUGCAUGAAGCAAGAUAAUUAGUUGAUAUUGUGACUAUUCAAGAUAAUUAUAAUCUAUAGGUAAUUGUAUACUAUAAAUUAAUAUCAACAAAAUAAUUGUAUUUAAUUGUUUGAAGUUAAACAAAAAAACAUACAUUCUCCCUUUCCCUUCUUUACAUGGCUUACUCAAUGAAAAAGCAAGCACUAACGCACCUUCUCCACAAACUACCAUAAAUAUAUAAAUAUAUUAUGAAAACAAGAUAAAAAGAAAUCUUUUGGUACAUAUAUAAAUAUAUUAUGGCUAUGAAAAUAGGUUUGUGGAAAUUUACAUCAUUUGAUCUUGACAGUGUCAGAUUAGACAAUUGAUUGCAUGGAAAUGGUCUUCUUAGUUUGCCGUGUGGAAAAUCAUCUCAUUUACGGGACUGCUGGAGAGAGUGUCUAUUGAUAAUUUUACCUUCUUUUCAAAUCUUUGACACUGCUUGGAUUGACCGGUAAUUUCACUCGAAAAUUUCUAGUAAUUUAUAAAGGAAAUUUCUACUGACUAUUAUUGACUGACUUCUUGCAAAGUAUUUGUAAGAAAGCUAAAGAAUUAAAGUUUUUUAAUUUUUAAAAUUGUAAGAAAAAAAUCAAUUAUUUUUAAAAUUGUUUUCAAAAAUAAAACAUCAACUAUUUAUAUAAUUGCUAAAUCUAUUAAGAUAAAUCCAAAAUAACUAGUAAAAUCAGUGACUUGCAUUGACGAGUGUAAUGAUCUUGACAGCAUCAGAUUAGACAAUUGCAUGGAAAUGGUCUUCUUAGUUUGCCGUGUGGAAAAUCAUGUGAUUUACGGGACUGCUGGAGAGAGUGUCUAUUGAUAAUUUUACCUUCUUUUCAAAUCUUUGACACUGCUUGGAUUGACCGGUAAUUUCGCUCGAAAAUUUCUAGUAAUUUAUAAAGGAAAUUUCUACUGACUAUUAUUGACUGACUUCUUGCAAAGUAUUUGUAAGAAAGCUAAAGAAUUAAAGUUUUUUAAUUUUUAAAAUUGUAAGAAAAAAAUCAAUUAUUUUUAAAAUUGUUUUCAAAAAUAAAACACCAACUAUUUAUAUAAUAGCUAAAUCUAUUAAGAUAAAUCCAAAAUAACUAGUAAAAUCAGUGACUUGCAUUGACGAGUGUAAUGAUCCGGAACCACUCGCAAUAAAUAAAGCCAAAAAAGGCAGACGAGUGUGUCUAUAUAUACAUAUAGGAACCGCUGAUUCGAUUUGAAUAUGUUAUUUGAUUAGUCUAAUUCAUGACUUGCAUUGACUCAAGAUUACCACUCAAGAUUUCGUGGUGCUUUCUCGGCCUGCAAAUGAAUAGAAAGCAUGUCCUUUUAACCUCAUUUCAAUAUCGUUGCUUUACUCUCCAGCUAGCCUGAUACAUAUGAGUCUCGAGACAUACGGCCAUUGAUAGAAAGGUGUGCUGAAGCAAAAUAUUUUUUUAUCUGUAGCGACCUCAAUAAUGUUAAAGCGUGGACCACCAUGAAAUUACCGCUCCAAAUUCCUUGUUCUUUCUAUAUUAUUAGAAAAAUUAUCAUUGACUAAUUUAAUUGGAAAUUAUUUGCGAGAAAGCUAAAAAGAAUUAAAGUUUUUUAAUUUAUAAAAUUAUAAUUUUAAAUUGUAAAAAAAUUCAAUUAUUUUAAAAAAUAAAACAUCAACUAUUUAUAUAAUAGCUAAAUAAAUCUAUUAAAAUAAAUUGAAAAUAACUAGUAAAAUCAAGCAAAUAAUCCAAAAAUAACAAGAAAAUAAAUAUAUUUCCUAGAUCUAAUUUGAUUAUAUUUUUUAUCUUGAUUGACUUACUUGCUAAGUCUUUGAACUUUAAUCUAAGAAUUUGUUUUAUAUUUCUUCAUUUAUUAAUGAAAUAUUACUUCUAUUGUAUAGUUUUUGGUUUCGAGUCGAUCCACCAGAUUAAUAGGUGAACAAUACAUUUUUUGAAUUUAUUAGAAGAAACGUGUAAUGUAAAUUAUAAAAUAAUAUUUAUUUUUCUGAUAUAUAUAAUAAUAAUAAAUUAGAUGACAGUUACAAGAAAAUAAAAAUUAAUUUGAAUAGAUGGUACGAGUUUCUAUUCUGAUAUAUCCAGGGAAGAAGUUCGAAGAAUAGAAUGAAGUUAAAUAUUCUUAAUAAAAAAAGAAAAAAAAAAGAAAAAAAAUAUAUUUUUAAUAAAUAUAAAAGAUGGAUAAAAUUAGAGAACAAGAAAGAGAUAUAUAAUCUCUUUGUAAGAACUUCUAAAAAUUUAAUUACAAUUGAGAAUUUCUUCCUUAAAAAAAUCCAAAAAAAUCCUAUUAUAUAUGAAUCAAGACAACAGUUGAAUAACUAUUACAUAUUUUUCAAGUUUACUUAGAAUAAUUAUUUUAAUAUUUAAAAAUUAAAAAAAUACUGUGUAGUUGUUUUGUAUAAAUUCUAAAGUUGAGAACUCUUUUGUGCUUGGUAAAAUGAAUAACUUUUACAUAUUCUUCAAUGUUUCACACUGCUUUAAUAGAUUGGUACAGUAAAUACCUCACACUACAGUUAAUAAAUAAUAACACAAGAAAGGACCAAAGUAUAUAAAUAAUAGCAUGUUUCACACUGCUUUAAUAGAUUGUUACAGUAAAAGCACAAAGAAGAACGGUUCAAGAUGUGGUAGAAUCACCUUCGAAGUGACUAAAUCUGCUUUAAUAUAUUUGAGAUUCACGCAAUGCCACUCUCAUCGGUAUUCUAAAAGCGAAGAGAAGAGUAGAAGCAAUGUGAUAGCUAUACAGGUGAGACUUAAUAAUUUACAGGUGAUAAUUGUUUUUUAAAAUAUUUUUUUUAUUUGAAAAUGUAUUAAUUUAAUGUAAAAUAAUAAAUAAAAUUUAAUUUUUUUUAAUUGUUUUUUAAAAUAUAAAAACAAAGAGGAUAUAAUCAACCUCUUGAUGUCACUAUUAAUUAUUGAUGUCGAUUGAUGCACAUGCUAACACCAGCGAAGAAUUAAGAGGCCAAUAUGCCAUUUGAUGCGAUAUUGCAAUUCAACAGCCAAGACACCACGGCUGAUAGAUGUAGACAGCGGUAAUGAACAGGAAAAGUUAAAAAAAUUAAAAUAUUUCAUGUCUUCACAGUCGUUUAGAAAAGAAACAAGAUCAAACCUUGGUUUCAUUUUGUCAGUUGACUCCAAGUCAAUGUCUAAAUCUCCUCUAAAUUCCAAACUGGGUCACCCAGCGAAUUAAGGUAUAGAUUUUAUUGGACGACAAUCAUAUUAAUAAAUAUGGGACGACAAAUCACAAACAUAAUCAAUUCAACCGUACUCCAAAGAACACUCAUACUCCAAUAUCAGCAACCACCACGAAGGUUGAAUUACACUACUUGUUAAAUUAAUAAAGUUACUAGUUGCUAUAAAGUAAGAGAUAAGAAAAUAUUGUGUUUUAAAAUAUUUUUGUUUUAAAAUAAUAUUUUUUUAUUUUUAAAAUUUAUUUUUAAUAUUAUUACAUCAAAACUAUAUAAAAAAAAUAUUUCAGAUUAUCAAUUCAACCGUUCUCCAAAGAACACUCAUACUCCAAUACCAGCAACCACUACGAAAGUUACCACUCUAAAUUCCAGCUCAAUAAUUUAUUCUUUGACAAUUAUUGCAUUGCUAAUAAUUUGCAAGGAAACAUACUUUUAACUAUAUUCAAUUCCAGAAUAUUUUUUUUUGAUAAAUAUUUGAGAAAUAUUGAUAAUCUUUUAUCAAGUUUUAUUUUUAUCAUUUUUAUUUGGAAUUAAUUCUAUUAUGUAUUUAAAUGUGUUUAGUUACCUUGUAAACUGUAUGUUAGAGUCCCUCAAAUAUUCUGGCCACAUCAACCACUAUAUUUUAUGCCAAGCAGUAUUUUGUCCUUGAACCCUUUGGCCCUCUAAAUUACCCAAAAAGGACAAUAAUUGAGCACAAGUGGUACAGGUCAGGGUUAAACUCAGCUUGCUAGAGCCAGUUCUCAAUUUUAGGCGCCAGUUCUCAAUUUUAGGCACCAGUUCUCAAUCGAAUUUUAGCAAAAUCUGGGCUAGGAUUUGAAACAAAUGUAGCUAUUUUUUCUCCUUUUAUUAUUAAAAAAUAAUAUUCAUGGAUUAAUUUUCGUAUAAUUUAAGAAAGUAAGUCCUUUAAUCAAAUUUUAGAGUGUUGCAAUUACUACGAAAGGAACGCAAAAAGACAUAAAGUUUUUCGAAGAGAGAAAUAAAAAGGAAAAGGAAAAGGAAACAACCCCCACUCCAUCUUUCCCUUCUUUCCAUGAAAAUCAAUUUUAGGAUUUUGAUUUUCAAUCAGUAUGAGUGAGAAAGAAAGAGAGGACAAGCCGACACUUCAAAGGUCCUCUUUCUCUUUCCUUGCUUUUUUUAACGCGUGGAGCCAGCAGUUGUUGCCACCAAAUUCCUUGCUCAGUAUUUGAAAAUUUUCCUAAUUUUUUUUCCUCUACGUGCUGUUACCUUUUACCUCUUUUAUAAUUAUUAUGAUUAUUGCAUUGCUAAUAAUUUGCAAUAAAGAUGAUGAACAUUUUUUAGUCAAUUCAAAAUAACAAGAUAAGGUUUGUUCAGGCUUUUCUUGGAACCUCGCUCAGGGAUUAGUUAGCGAGAAUAAGAAAAUGCUGUCCAAAUUAUACAAAAUUUAUUAUUAAUCAUCAAUAUUUAUUCUUGAUCAUCAAUAUUGAAUAAAGGCUUAUUUUCUAGUAUAAACUUUGAUGAGAUUGUUUAUAAAAAUAACCAAAUUGAGGUUUUUCAAUUACCUUUAAAUAUAUCAUAGUUUUAAUAGGCACACAGUAUAUUUUUUAAUUUAUUAGAAAAAACAUGUAAUGUAAAUUAUAAAAAAUAUUUAUUUUUCUGAUAUACAUAGUAAUAAUAAAUUAGAUGAUAGUAACUAGAAAAUAGAAAUUAGUUUAAAUAAGUGGUACCAAUUUCUAUUCUAUAUAUCUACGGAAGAAGUUCAAAGAAUAGAAUGAAAUCAAAUAUUCUUAAUAAAAGAGGAAAAAAAACACAAAAAGAAAUAAAAUAUGUUUUUAAUAAAUAUAAAAUAUGGAUAAAAUUAUAGAACAAGAAAGAGAAGUUAGAUACCUCAAAUUUUAGUAAGGAUCCAAUUGGAUUGUUUAAAAGAGGAGAAACUGUCAUUGACUGAUUUAAUUGGAAAGUAUUUACAAGAAAGCUAAAAGAAUUAAAGUUUUUUAAUUUUAAAAUUAUAAUUUAAAAUGGCAAGAAAAAAAUCAAUUAUUUUUAAAAUUGUUUUAAAAAAUAAAACAUCAACAAUUUUAUAAUAGCUAAAUAAAUCUAUUAAAAUAAAUUGAGAAUAACUAGUAAAAUCAAGCAAAUAAUUCAAAACCAACAAGAAAAUAAAUAUAUUUUCUAAAUCGGGUUUGAGUAUGUUUUCUAUCUUGAUUGACUGGCUAACUUGAUAAGUCUUUAUUAAGUGUAAAUCAACUUUAUUCUAAAAGUCUGUUUGAUAUUUUUUUAUUUAUUAAUGAAAUAUUAUUUUUACUAUACAGUUAUUAGAUCCCAGGCUAAUCUACUGGGUCGGUUUAAAUUUAAUAACUAUGGUUCAUAGUCAUAUAGCUAGUAGUUGCACUAAAGCUAAUAAUUUAAAAAAAAUUAAAUAUCAAUAAUUUUUGUUGGCAUCAAAUAAUUAAAAAUGAGAAUUUCAGAGCAGAGGGUUUAAGAAAUAUUAAAAUAGAAGGUUUUGUGUAAUUAUUAGAUAAUUGAAAUCAUCACUAAUCUCCUUUGUUCAUUUUCCUUUUUUAUUACCCUUACCAUGCACAAAACUUCAUGUCACUUAAUGAUACACUUGCUUUCAACGUUUAAACUGUUAAAGAAUAAUAUAAAUUAUAUUAUGAGAUCUUACCUAACAGCUUAAGUUAUUGGGUUGAGAUGGUUCUUUGAUAUGGUAUCAGAGCCUUGAUGAUCAAGCGGUCACGAGUUCGAAUCUCACCAUCUCUAUUUAUUUGAUAAAAAUUAAGCACAAAGUAAUGUGGAUUUGUGCAAGUUUUAAGCCCAAAUGGCUUUCACUUGAGGGAGUGUGUUAAAGAAUAAUAUAAAUCAUAUCCUGGGACCUUACCUAACAGCUUAAGUUAUUGGGUUGGGAUGGUUCUUUGAUAUAAUAGCAACCAUCAUGAAAUUACAACACUAAAUUUAUUCUUUAGCAAUUAUAUAAUGCUCGCUCUUUCACAGUUAUUGCAUUUCUAAUAAUUUGCAAGAAAAUUAACAUUCUUUGUCUCUCAAUCUGCACCUACCAUGAAAUUAACAUCCUUUCUCGACAUUUCCUAGCAAUUUAUGGAGGAAAUUUCCUUGUGCCCUCUCUUAUACAUUAUUACAAAAACUGUCAUUGAUUGAUUGACUUGCAAAAGUAUUUGCAAGAAACCUAAUGAAUUAGAGUUUUUAAAAUUUUUAAAUUAUUAAAAACAUCCAAUUGUUUUUUUUUUAAAUCAAGAAUAAAACAUCAACUAUUUAUAUAAUUACUAAAUAAAUCUAAUAAAAUAAAUUGGAAAUAACUAGUAAAUAAUUCAAAAAUAACUAGAAAAUAAAUAUAUUUUCUAUGAUUUGAGUAUGUUUUUGAUUCACUAAUUUGCUAAGUAUUUGCUAAGCAUAACCGAAAGAAAUUAUUUGCUAAUCACUCACUAAUUCAUCCAUGAUAUGUUCAAAAAAAUGGGUUAAAAAUUGGGUAACAACACCAUAUCUAUUUUAUUGAAAACCCGGGCCUGUAAUUGACCGGAAGAAAACCGAUCAACCCACUAAGUAGAUCUGGAACCUUGAUGACCCAACAAAACCUGGUAGAAAUUCAUUUUUUUUUCAAAUGUAUUUUUUCUUCUAGCUAGAGACCUCUAUUUUUUAUAUAUUUUUCAGUUGGUUACUAACCCAUUUCAAAGUUUACUAUAUAAAUAUUAGAAGAAUGUUUUAUUUUUUUAAUGUGGGAUUUGAAACCUUUUAGUAUAUAUACUCUUUGUUUACUAAAAAAAAAAUUAUGUUUUUUUAAUAUGAAAUAAAAAACCUUUUUGAUUUAAAUACUUCAACUCAAAAAAAUAAGAUAGUAUCUUUUUAAUGUGGAAUAAAAAAAACCAUUUGAAAUAAUCUUUUAAACUUCAUUAUUUAUAACAUGUAUAACUUAUAUCUUUCUUAAUUUUUUCAUAUGAAAUAUUAAAACCUUUAAUAUUUUUUUUUUCUUGGUUGACUUGGAUCAAUCCUUGUAACUCGAGACUCAGCUCCUUGAUUGAGUCGAUCUCGAGUCGGGUUUGAUAAUUAUGAAAAUAUUUAAUGAAAAAAUAUAUUUUUUUUGUAUAAAAAUGAAGGGUAAAAUAUUAAAUUAUGACAUAUAUCAUUAAUUAUUGACAUACUCUUGUAACAAGCAUGAAACUUUAUGUUAUUUCAUGAUACCCAUGUUUUUAACGCUUUACACCGCUUUAAUAAAUUGUUACAGUAAUAGCACAGAGAGAAGAACGGAUCAAGAGAAAAUAAUAAUGUAACCAUCUAGAAAGUGAUGCAAUGAUAAGAAUUUGGAACUAAAGAGUUUGUUUUUUUUUUUUUUUUCAGGUUCGAGUUUUGUGGUUGCUAAUAUAAUAGUUACUGGAGAUUUACAUGAUCGUUAACUUUAGGACUCGUAAGAUUAGUUUCGAGUUUUGUGGUUGCUAAUAUAAUAGUUACUGGAGAUUUACAUGAUCGUUAACUUUAGGACUCGUAAGAUUAGUCAAGAUGCAUGCAAACUGGACUGGAUACCUACAGGAAUCUAAAAAAAAAUAAUAAUGGAGAUGAAGCAAAAUCUCUGUUUGAUUUUUUCUUUUUUGUGUUUUUGGUACAUUGGUCAACAAUAGCUUGGAAGACUUUGGUAGCAGUAAGUAACCUGUUCUUCCUCAAUAAUGUUAACGCGUGGACCCUGUUGUUGUGGAAACUUUGCAGAGGAUCUUAAUAAAAACAAGUAAAUAGAAAAAUAUUAAUUUUUAAAUAUAAAAACUAGAAAACCUGAUAAUAUUGAAUAAAAAAUAAAAUAAAAAUUUAUUCUUUUCAAGUAGAAAAAAAAUAUAAAAGUUUAACAAUAUUGAAUAGAAAUAAAUAAAAUUUUUAAACUAAAUAAAAAUGAUAGAAAAAAAUAUUUAUUAUCUUAAAAAUUCUUAUAUUAAAAUCUUAAUUUAUCACAUGAACUGAGUCUAUAUGCUAAAAUCAGAAGAAAAAAAAAAACAAAUGUAACAAAAAAAAUUCUACACAACACAAUUAAUUAUAGGAUCGUAUAUUUCGAGACUAAAUUGAGGUUUUUGAAUUAUCUUUAAACAGAACAUGAUUUUAAUAGGUGCACUGUAUAUCCUUUGAAUUUAUUAGAAGUAACGUGUAAUGUAAAGUAUGAACCGCGUACCAUUAACUAGCCUUUUCAAUUGGAUUUUUUAUUUAAAUGAAAAGGAAAUUUUGUUUUAUUAUGAAAAUAAUAUUUAUUUUUUGAUAUAUCUAAUAAUAAUAAAAUAGAAAGUAGAUUGAAUAAAUGAUAUCAGUUCCUAUUAUGAUAUAUCUAGUAAAAGAAUAGAAUGAAUUAAAAUAUUCUUAAUAAAUAUAAAAGAUGGGGAAAUUACAUCACACGAAACUACCAAUAAGCAAAUUUUAAUCUGUAAUUAUGUAGGUCUUAAUUACAAGGGUUUUAAUUUAGGAAGUAUAUUAAAAAAUAAUAUAAAUUAUAUUCUAGAAUUUAUUUUAAUAGUUUAAAUUUUGAGAUGAAUUAAUAAGUCUUUACAAAUAAAAGAUAUAGUUUUACAAUAAAAUGCAUUUUUAGAAAUGAAAUUAUAUUAAAUUAAGCGUGCUCGAGAUUGUUCAAAUUAUUAAUUAAUUAUAAUUAACUUUAUGUCUUUAGAGGAAACAAAAGGGAAGGACAAAAUUAUUUUCCCCUCAACGAUAGACCUAGCCCACUUUCCAAACAAAAGGUAAAUAGAAUGAUGGUCUCAUAAAUUGCUUUUUUUCUUUCUAGCUCGUCAAGCAGUUUGGUCUCCCUCACUGGAAAAUCUCCUUUUUCCCUGCCUCUGUGCACGUAGGGGAAGAAGGAGAAUAGUAUCGUUCAAAAUAUCACUGUUUUGAAAUUUUUUUUGAAAAAAAUAAAAUGAAUUUAGGAAUAAUUUAAAAAUAGAUUAUGAUAUUUUCCAUCACUUUUUCUUAUCAUCAACUUCAAUAUGUUGCUUCUUUUUUAAAGGUUUAACACUAGAAAGCCUUUUUUUUGUUUCAUUCUUCAAAUCUUAAUAACAAACGUAUGUAAUAGACAAUUGAUAGUGAAAUGAAAAGGUUAAGGAAGAUGAAAUUGUAAGAAAAGAAAAUAAAUUUAAAAUAUUAUUAUGAAAAAAACAAAAAACAAUAAAAAAUAUGGACCAAAACUUAAAGAUAAAAAAAUUAAAGGUAAAAUUGAAAAAUAAUUCUAGUUUUAUAAAUUAUUAAAAAAAGAUUUCAAAUAUUUAAUGAUGAAAUCGAAAAAUAUUAACUUUAAAAAUUAGCCAGAAAAAUUCAAUAAAUAAUAAAAAAACAAACUCAAGAAAAUCUAAAUCAUUUAUAAAAUUAGUAAAAACUUCCACACUAAGUAAACAAAUAAAAACAAAACAAAUAGAAACAAGGAAGUAAAGUCUGUAAUUAAAUAUAUACGCGGAGACAAAAACAUGGGCAUGUGACAGGAGACAAAAGGGCAAAGGAAGGUCUCUAUCCAACUUCCUUUUCCUUUUUCUUAGAAAAAAAGUGACAAAAUCUGAUAGAACACAGAUUCCAUCUCUUUUUCAUUGGUUUUUUUGUUUUUUUAAUGUUUAUGCAUGUGGCUCAACCUUUCUCAGUAAUUGCAACAUGUUUCUUUGUUGAAUAAACUGCAAUACUGGUCUCCCUCACUGGACCCCUUUAUAAUGAGAAUCACACUAGGAAAUUUAAAAGUAAUUUGAAGUAUUAUUAAAGCCUAUAAAAAUAAAACUGAUAAUAAUAUAGUUGGGAUUUUAAAAAAAAAAUUGAUAAAAAACCAUAUAAAAAGAAAUUUGAAACAAAGUAAUCUUAAAAAACCAAAACAAACAUGCCAUGAAAACAAAUUUAAAAUAAACAAAAUACUUUAAAAAAAAAUAAUUCAACCAUUUCUUCAUAAAAAAAACAGUAAUUGGGUGUUACUUUAUGGUCAAAAAGUACAAUAAUGCAAAAAAAAAAAAAAAAAGAGUUUUAGGAUAUUGAUUUUAUUAUUUGUUAGGUAACUAUGUAAUCUAUACGUUGAUGUGGAAAAUAGGACUAAGUUUUUUUGUCAAAAGAGUAACUGUGUAAUCUAAUAUUCAUCUCUCAAAUCCCUAAUCCAAUUGAUCAUAUAAUUAAAUAAUUGUUUUAAUUAAUAACUAUAAGAAACAAACUCCCUUGUUAGUUCAUUACUUAAAUAAAAACUCAUGAUUGUCUAGCAAAGUAAAUAAAUUACUUAACCGGAUCACCAGAGGAGUUAUUUGCCAAAAUAAAAACUCAUGAUUGAGUUAUAUAACAGUUUAUAAAUCAUGCUAUCAUCUCCAUCACCAUAUAUAAAGCUAGACAAAAUAGGAUAAGACGGGAUUAAAUUUAAUUUUAGGAUAUAUUUGAGAAUAUGAUUGAAUCAUGCUUUUUAAAAUGUUUUUGAAUUAUUUUAAUAUGUUGAUGUCAAAAAUAAAUUUUAAAAAAUAUUAUUUUAAUAUAUUUAUAAUAAAAAAAUAUAUUUUAUAAAGCAAUUUUCACCAUAUUUUCAAAUAAAUUAAAAUUUUUCAAAUAAAUGGAUUGAUAUAUCGAUGACACUCUCUAGUCAGUUUUGAGAAUUUUGAAUCCAAACAAGUGAAUUUAUAUGCAUGCUUGUACAACUUGAUUUUCUCUUUAAUUUAAUCAACAAUAAUUUCUCAUACUCAAUAGAAAUUUGGGUUUAUCAUUAGGGUAAGACAACCUGUAUUUUAAAAUACUAUUGCCAAAAGAUCAUAUUAUUUAUUACCACAAGAAAGGACCAAAGUUAAUAAAUAAUAGCAUGCACGAAACUUCGUGAUACCCAUGUUUUCCACGUUUAAUAGAGUGUUACAGUAAAAGCACAGAGAGAAGAACGGUUCAAGACAGAACAAUAAUGUUAACGCGUGGACCCCAUUUGCUGUUUUUUCCUCUACGUGUUACCUUUUACCUCUUUUACCUCUUUUAUAAUUAUGAUUAUUGCAUUGCUAAUAAUUUCCAAGAAAGAUGAUGAACUUUUUUUAGUGAAUUCAAAAUAAACAAAAUAAGGUUUGUUGAGGCUUUUCUUGGAACCUCGCUCUGGGAUUAAUUAGCGAGAAUAAGAAAAUCCUGUGUAAAUUAUACAAAUUUCCUUGCUUUUUUUUUCCUGCAUGUGUUACAUUUUUAUCUUUUAUAAUUAUAAUUAUUGCAUUGCUAAUAAUUUGCAAGAAAGAAUAUUGUUUCUCUGAAAAGAAGUCUGAAUGUUUUUAGAAAGAAGCAGUCUUCAUUGCUUUUCAAAACCAAUCUCUGGAUCUAUUAACAAAAACUCUAAAUCGCGAGUAAUAGACACAAUUAAUUAUGCAUUGCUGUAAUAAAAUCACGUAUUUAUUUUCAAGUGGGAAAAAAUUAAGCCAUGAGGCCAGGGGUUCUUUGGUCUUUACCUAUUUUCGUUUUGGCCACCGAAUUUUAUUUUUUUUUCAAUAAAAGAGAAGGUUUUGUGUAAUUAUCAGAUAAUUGAAAUCAUCACUAACUCCUUUGUUCAUUUUCAUCUUUUUUUAUUACCCUUAGCAUGAUACACAGAAAAGAAGAACGGUCAAGAGAGAAGAAUAAUGGAGAUUACUGUGGAGAUGACGAAUCAAAAUCUUUGCUUGAUUUUCUGUUGUGUUUUUGGCACAUUGAUCAACAAUAGCUUGGAAGAGUUCGAUAGCAGAGGAAGAAAAAUAAUAGCAGUAACCUUUUCCACCUCAAUAAUGUUAACGCGUGGACCCAGUUGUCGUGGAAACUUUGCAGAGGAAGAAAAAUAAUAGCAGUGACCUUUUCUACCUAAUAAUUUGCAAGAGAGAAUUCUUUCUCUGAAUAUAUAGAAAAAAACUAUUAUUUUUUAAUAAAAACAACUAUAUAGAAAAAUUAUUACUUUUUAGGUAGAAAAACCUCAUGAUAUUGAAUAAAAAAAUGAAAUAGAAAAAUUAUUCUUUUCAAGUAGAAAAAAAUAUAAAAGUUUAGUAAUAUUGAAUAGAAAUAAAUAUUAAAAUUUCUAAACUAAAUAAAAAUAACAGAGAAAAAUAUAUAUUAUCCUAAAAGUUCUUAUAUUAAAAUAUUAAAAAGAACUGAGUUUACAUGCUUUAAACAGAAAAACAAUAAAAAAAACAAAUGUAACAAGAAAAAUUCCACGCAACAUAAUAUAUAUGAUAUAAAUUGAGGUUUUUAAAUUACCUAUAAACAUAUCAUAAUAUAUAUGGUACAUCCUUUGAAUUUAUUAGAAAGAAGCCAUUAACUAGCCUUUUCAAUUGGAUCUUUUAUUUAAAAGAAAAGGAAUAUUUAUUUUAAUAUGAAAAAAAUAUGUAUUUUUUAUAUAUAUCUAGUGAUAAUAAAUUAGAGGAUAGUAACAAGAAAAUAGAAAUUAGAUCAAAUAAAUGAUACCAAUUUUUAUUCUGAUAUAUCUAGCUAAAGAAUAGAAUGAAUUAAAACAUUCUUAAUAAAAAAAAAACAGAAAGAAAUAAAAAAAUAUUCUUAAUAAAUAUAAAAGAUAGGUGAAAUCAGAGAACAAGAAAGAAAUAUAGAAUCUCUUUCUAAGAUUUCUUGUUCCCUUUCCCUUCUUUACACGGCCUCCUCAAUGAAAAAGCAAACACCCCAUUUGAUUUUCAUUCAGUAUGAGAGUGAGAAUGAGAAUGAGAAUGAGAGAGAGGUAAUUUCGACUAUACAUAGAACUCGACAGGACAGAAGACUUAAAGAUAAAAUAGCUUUGAUUUACAACCAUGGCUUCAAGGGCCUGGAAUAGGACCAGGUACAAGUUUGUUUCUAUCUAAGAAAGCAAGAAGCUCCCACUAAUGCAUGCUCUCAACAAACUACCCCCAAUUUCGCCACUACAGCUCAAGUAGCUUUGAGUCAUUCCAACAAGUAGGAAUUGAAUUCAAAGGAAUAAAUCAUUAAAUGCGGAGUUGGUGUUCUCCUGUUUGUGGUUCUGAUAAAUGUAAGAACGGACAGAGAGAAGAAAUAGGAAAAAUCCAUGUAUCUAUUAGUUGGCAGCAGUUAUCAUUCGGCCCUUGCCGCCCACGAAAUCCCUUUAUCCUGCUGUUAAUUUUUUUAAAGACGCGUAUCAGGUGUUUGAUAAAAUUCCUCAACUGGAAAAAAAAACCAUGUUUAGAAUGCUUGAGUCCUUUACAAGUGGAAAGUGGGAACUAUCCACUUUCCCAUUUGAAAUCAUCACUAACUCCUUUGUUCAUUUUCUUCUUUUUUUAUUACCCUUAGCAUGAUACACAGAAAAGAAGAACGCGUGGUUCAAGAGAGAACAAUAAUGGAGGGGAAUCAAAAUCUUUGUUUGAUUUUAUGUUGUGUUUUUGGUACAUUGAUCAACAAUAGCUUGGAAGAGCUUGAUAGCAAUAACCUUUUCGACCUCAAUAAUUAAUGUUAAUGCGUGGAUCCAGUUGUUAUGGAAACUUUGCAAAGGAUCUGCAGGAAGAAAAAUGAAAAGCUUUUCGAACCUACAAUAUAGAGAGAGAAAUAAAUAAAUAAAAAGCUUUUCAAAACCAAUCUCAUGCCAAAUUGGUUUGUCUGUCCAGUACUUGAGCUUGCACACUUCGUUUAUAUUCAAACAAUAUUCUUCCGUUGCUUUUAUUCUUUACAAUAAUGUGAUAGGAAUAACAUUAAUAUUAUUAUAAAGAAAAAACUCCACCCACUUUGAAACACCUUUGAUGUGUUGAUUGAAAUUGACAAGUGAGUUUACUCACAUGUUGUUAUAUUGGUUUUGAGUUCAAAUAUGGAGAUUUUAUGAUUUAUUCACAUGAAUGCAUUCAUUUAUUCACCUAUUAACUAAAUCAUGUAUUCAAUAUGAAUGAUGGGAGAUUUUUAAUGUCUUCUGAAUACAUUCAUUUAUAUAUGAAAAUAAUUUAUGUGUGUGUAUAAGGUUAUUGAAAUGAAGAUUAUUAUCCUCCAGCUCAUCAUCAGAUCACACGAAAGGAACGCAGAAAGACAUUCCCUUUCUUGUCAUAAAGUUUUGAAUAGAAUGCCCAUCAAAAAGUACUUUCGUGCAUUAUUGUCAUAAAGUUUUUCAAACUUCCAAUAUAGAGAGAGAAAUUAAAAAAAAAAAAAAAGCAAAAGGAAACAACCCCCACCUCAUCUUUCUUGUUCCCUUUUCCUUCUUUACAUGGCUUACUCAAUGAAAAAGCAAGCACUAAGGCACCUUCUCCACAAACUACCCCCCAAUUUCGCCACUAUAUAAAUAUUAUGGAAAACAAGAUAAAAAGAAAUCUUUUGGUACAUAUAUAAAUAUAUUAUGGAAAUUAACAUGGUAUCAGAGUAUCUGUGAACUAUUGCUGGGAUUGGGAAGUCAUAAUUUUUGACACGCCUAAUCACAGUCUUUUUUGGAAAAAGAAGAAGAAGCCAGGCUAUGAAAAUAGGUUUCUGGAAAUUUACAUCAUUUGAUUUUGACAAUUGCAUGGAAAUGGUCUUCUUAGUUUGCCGUGUGGAAAAUCAUGUCAUUUACGGGACUGCUGGACAGAGUGUCUAUUGAUAAUUUUACCUUCUUUUAAAAUCUUUGACACUACUUGCAUUGACUGGUAAUUUCGCUCGAAAAUUUCUAGUAAUUUAUAAAGGAAAUUUUUACUGUAUAUGAAUUGAAAAACUAUUAUUGACUGACUUCUUGCAAAGUAUUUGUAAAAAAGCUAAAGAAUUUAAGUCUUUUAAUUUUUAAAAUUAUAAUUUGUUGAGGCUUAUCUUGGAACCUCGCUUUGGGAUUAAUUAGCGAGAAUAAGAAAAUCCUAUGCAAAUUAUACAAAAUUUAUUAUUAAUCAUCUAUAUUUAUUAUUGAUCAUCAAUAUUGAAUAAUGGCUUAUUUUCUAGUAUAAACAAUGUUUGAAAUAAAAUUGAUAAAAGAUAGUAUACAUAAUUAUUAAUGAUGGGAUUGUUUAUAAAAAUGACUAAAUUAAGGUUUUUUAAUUAUCUUUUAACAUUUUAUGAUUUUAAUAGAUGGGCUGUACAUCAUGUAAAUUAUAAAAGAAUAUUUAUUUUUCUGAUAUAAUAAUAAUAAUAAUUAUAAUAACAAUAAUAAUAAUAAAUUAGAUGAUACUAACGAGAAAAUAGGAAUUAGUUUGAAUAAAUGAUACCAGUUCCCAUGAUGAUAUAUCUAAAGUCCUAAACUUCAAGAAUUUCUCUUCUUUAUCUUUUGUAUUUUCUCAUUUUCUUGGCAUGCGCGCAGCUGCUUCAUGGAAAAAACGUUUCAGAUGCGGAAAAUAAAAGCGGAAAAAAAAAUCCCAAAUAUCAGCAAACAUCACAAGAGAAGCUUGAUCUCAACAAGAUGUUGCAGUCCACAGUCUUUCCAUUACAUUAUAAUUACUUCUAAAAAAAAUUAAUUUAAUUUUUAAUUAUAAGCCAUCAGCAACUACCUCAAAAUUACCACUCUGAAUUCCAGCUCAAUAUCGAUUAACAUGUGGCUACAGAAUUUGAAUUAAGUUCAAUUAUACAAAAUCCUGUGCAAAUUAUACAAAAUCCUGUGCAAAUUAUACAAAAUCCUGCUUUAAGUUCUUGGAACCUAGCUCUGAGAUUAAUUAGCGAGGAUAAGAAAAUUCAGUGCAAAUUAUAUAAAAUUUAUUAUUAAUUAUCGAUGUUCAAGAUUUUCUUAAAUGUUAUUUUAUUUUCAUUAUUAUUUAUAAAAAUCCAAAAAAAUUAAGAAAAAGUUUAAAAAUUCAAAAAUAUAUUUUUCUCGAGUCAAUCACAUUUUUCCAUCAAAACCAAGUCCACCGGGUCAAACCAUGUCGACUAGGGUAAAAAAUGAGUUUCGGGUCAAAACCGUCAUUUCCGACCAAAACCGAGCUCACCGGGUCAAUACGGGUCAAACCAUGUCGACCAGGGUAAAAAAUAAGUUUCGGGUCAAAACCGUCAUUUCCGACCAAAACCGAGCUCACCGGGUCAGGACGGGUCAAACCAUGUCGACCAGGGUAAAAAAUGAGUUUCGGGUUGUUUCGGGUCAAAACCGUCAUUUCCGACCAAAACCGAGUCAUUAGGUCAGUACGGGUCAAACCAUGUCGACCAGGGUAAAAAAUGAGUUUCGGGUUGUUUCGGGUCAAAAACUGUUAUUUUCGACCACAACCCGGUUCACCGGGUUGAUACCCAUCAAAUGUUUUUUUUGAUAUUCUAUUUCUUUUUUUGCGGUUGAAACCGGCUUUUUCUAAUACUAAUUUGAAUUUUUAAUUUUACCUAUAUAAAUAUUUAUUAUUAUAUAUAAUAAAACAAAAUCAAUAAUUCAACAAUUUGUCAGCGGAGCAGUUGAUUUUUUUAUUUAAGGUAGAUGGCAGAAGGGAAAGGAAAACAGAAAGAAAGAAAGAAAGAAAGAGAGAAGAGUGUACUAUUCAUAUCUUUUUUAGUUUUUCUUCAUGAGAGUAGGAUAUUGUUUUUUUUUAAAAACAAUAUGGAAAAUAUCAAACAUAUCCCAACCACUGGAUUCAAUAGUGUUAGUUCUGGGCCUUUAAUUUAAUAGGAUACAAUAGGACUUACCACACUAGAUUAAAACCCAAACACAUCUCAGCCCUUGAAAUAAUCUAAGCUUUGAUCCCGUUGCCCCACGUCACCCGGUGUACUGAGAUUUCGGUGCACCGCGUCACACCAGGUCAAACAUCUGCUCAUCCAGACCGUCCGAUCAACCUGCAGAUCGAGCCAAUCACAACCACACGAUCUUUUCAUCAGAGAUCCAACAGAUCACAGGCUUAAGUUGCACCGGUGUAUAGUGCUAGCGCUCACACCGUAGUAUAACCCAAAGCCUCUCUCUCCUAUCGCCGGCGACUCUCUCUCUCCUCCGAUCUCCCAUCUCCGGCUGUAUAAAGCCUCCAAACUACCACAGAAAGGUCGCCAACCUCCUACAAAGCAAAACACCGGCCUUUUUCAGCGUUUUCUCCGCCUUAUCUGGCCGCAAAAAGGCCGCGAUCGUCGCUGGCCAGCGACGCUUCAAGUCGUCGAUUCUCACUCAUCAGCCAUCAACGACCGUCAAGACCACCACCAUCAGAAUCCUCGACAUCAGAUCUACCAGGAUCGACCAUCGGUUGGACAGAAAUCUCACCGGAAAAUCUCGCCGCCGCCAACAGUAACCGCACGUGAGACACGCGCCACCAGUGGCAUUUUCGUAAUUUUUCAAGAAAUCCGAGGGUAUUUAAGUCUUUUACCUGGCACUCAUGUAUUUUUUUUAUCUAACAUUUUUUUAUUUUGUAUAAAAAUUUUCUUGCAUGUAGAAAAAAAAUAAAAAAAAAAUAAAUAUAAAAAACGACGUGGGUCCAACACCCAUCUUAUCAUAUUAUUGGUCGUGGGUGCAAAGCCCAACCUCUCAAGAAUAGUUAUACCUAUUUUUAAUGACAUCAAAAUAUUUGUUUUUAUAAAUAAAUAUUAUUUGUUGACACGUCUCUUUUUAUAGAAAAGGACCGAUGUCAAAAAAAGUUUAAAUACCAAACAAAUAUGGAUUAUGUUUAUAAUUUUGUUUUUUUUGUAAAUCAGACGUAAAUCUCCUUUUUAGGAUUAGACAUCGAUAUUUUAGACGAGUCUUCUAUUUUUAAGGACUGAUGUCAUUUUUAAUGUGUCUCUUAUUUUUAAGGACCGACGUUAACCAUUUUAAAAAAAUAAUAAAAUUACAAAUAAGCUCAAAAUACAAUAUCAUUUGAAACAAAAAAAAAACACAAGUAAAGAUAACUUUUCUUUUGAAAUGAUAAUUUAAGGGUGAUGUCUACCUUCCCUUAAUCAUAACUAACCCAGUACCUAAAUCUCUGGGACCAGUGUCUAAUUUGGGAUUUUUAGUUCCCUCAUAUUACUAGAUGGCGACUCCAAUAAAAUCUUAAUUUCCCCAAUAAAAAAUCUCUUUUUAUUAAAUAAACAAAAAAAGCGGAGCCAACAAAAAAAAUAGAGCCGUCGCCCGACAUUGUGUAUAAGUUUAUAUAAGCUUAUUUGAACUCGUACACGUUAAAGAAUAGUAUUGACCUUGAUAUUAGUUAUAAAUAAAUUGGUUUUUCAGGAAGAUAUUGUUUUAGGUUUAUUUCUUUAUUUAAGCUUGUUGAAUUCUAGGCCUUAUAUGAUAUUAGUUGAUGUGAUUUGGAUUUAUUUUUAAGUUAAUUUGUGUGUGGGUAGUAAUAAGUGUAUAUGAAUAUGAAUUGAAGUAAGUACCUUAACAAAUGUGAUGGGUUGGUGUGAAGCUUUGAUUAAUUGCUAUAUUUUGAUGUCAUGAGCAAAUACCUUAACAAAUUUGAAUAUUUGAAAGAUAAUAAAUAAAUAUUGAAGAAUUGUAUAGAAAGAAUCGUAUCGAAAUUAUGGAAAAUAUGAUUUUGUCCUGAAAUUCUAAAAAACAAUUAUAGUUUGGUCACUGGUUGUAAAUAAUAAAUUUUAAAAUAUUUUUUGAUAAAUAUUGAUGAUUUAUUAUCAAUUUUUAUUGUUAUCAUUUAAAUUUAAAAUUAAAUAUAUUCUGUAUUUAAAUGUGUUUCGUUUCUUUGGAAACUGCAUGUGUUGGGAAAACUAGGGACAACUAACCGGAUCAAUUCAGCGGAAUACAAUUCACAAUUCACAAGUCCCAAUCAUUUUUCCCUCUUUGUGCAGUAAAAACAGAAUCAAACAAUGAACAAAUAUAAUGCAACAAUCACACAAAUCAACGCCAAGAUUUUUACGUGGAAAACCCGAUGCGAGAAAAACCACGGGACCGGAGUCCACCUAAAAACUUCCACUAUCACAAAUAAUGGGUUCACAAUUGUUCUUCCUCAGAUUCAACUAAGGGCUACAACAUAUAUAUAUCAUCAAGAACAACUUAUUCUCGGAUUACAACAAGAUUAAAGAGAGUAAUGUUAGAGAAAAGCUCACAACACUGACAGCCCUGUUUUCUGUCAAAACGACCAGCUUCCACACCACCAAUCUUCAAUCCAACCGUUCAGAAUGAAGAGGAACGUGUCUAGAAGUUUCUGUCAAAAUCUCAGCCCGAUCCAACGGUGAAACAACUGGAAAAUGAAGAAAGAAGACAGACUGCUCUGCUGCCUCCUCUUCUUUCUUUCUCUCGGUUUUCUUCUCCUCUCUUCUCAAAUUUUCUACUACUAUCUACAGUAACCGUUUCAUUUAAUUUAAACCAAAGAGGCAGCCAGCUGCCUCCUUAAUUAAUGUGGUGGUCCCCCAUCACAUGGUGCGGGACCACACAACAGUAUGCUAGAGUCUCUCAAUAUAUUAAAAGGGCUAACUAUAAGGUAAAAUAAUGAUCAGUUUUAGUUAGCUCCUGCGGGACUUUGCAUUCUAUAAUUUAUGCUAUGCAUUCUAUAACCCUUGGCCCUCUAAAUUACCCAAAAAGGACAAUAAUUGAGCUUGGUGAUCUAAGAGCACAAGUGGUACAGUUCUCAAUCGAAUUUUAGCAAAAUCAAGGAUCCAAGAAAUGGCCUCUGUAACAUGGUAGCUAUGAUUUGAAACAAAUGUAGCUAUGUUUUCUCCUUUUAUUAUAAAAAAUUAAUAUUCAUGGAUUAAUUUUCAUAUAAUUUAAGAAAGCAAGUACUUUAAUCAAAUUUUACAUUGACCAUCCUCAAUGUGUUUAAAGUAAAUGUUAAUUACCAAGCUGUUGCAAUUAAACCUGACCGGCCCGGUAGGUUUACUGUUACCUUUUACCUUUUAUAAUUAUGAUUAUUGCCUUGAAUAUAUUAUUUGAUUAGUCCAUUUAUAGGUUGACUCUACUAUUCCUGCCUUGCAUUGACAGUAAAUUUCACUAGAAAUUUCAAGUAAUUUACACAGGAAAUUUCCUGGUGAUAAACCUGGAAUCUGAUUUUCAACUUUCGUAGGCACUAAAGUCCCAAACUUCAAGAAUUUCAGAAUAUCAAUUCAACCGUACUCCAAAGAACACUCAUACUCCAAUAUCAGCAACGACCACGAAAGUUACCACUCUAAAUUCCAGCUCAAUAAUUUGUUCUUUGACAAUUAUUGCAUUGCUAAUAAUUUGCAAGGAAACAUACUUUUAACUACAAGAGUCUGUUUGAUAUUUUUCCAACUUUUACUGUUUCACUUCAAAGUUUCAAUAAUUGUUUUUUCAUUACAUAUUCUUUCCAACGUGUAAUAAUUCGGAACCACUCGCAAUAAAUAAAGCCAGCAAAGGCAGAUGUGUUUGUCUAUAUAUACAUGAACCUGCUGAUUCGAUUUGAACACCCCAUUUCUCCGAUUCAAUAACUUCAGUUGCAAAACUUCUCUCUCCGAUUGCUGCAAUUUCAUAGCUAACUCUUUGUUAUACACAGGUAUAUAUGGCUAACUCUUCUUAGCUUCUUUCUUGUUUUAAUUUCAUGUCUCUACCAUUAACAAUAAUGUGAAAGCUUUGCUUGUUUCAUGUUUAACUUCAGUUGCUAUUGUCCUAUGCUUUCUCAUUAUUAAGCUUAAAUUGCUAAUUGAUUGUUCCUUAAAUUCUGCAGCUGAAAUGAGAGAGUCAGAGUCUUCUCGUUCUAUACCAGAAGGGGCCUAUGAUGUCUUCUUGAGUUUUAGAGGAGAAGAAACUCGCAAGACGUUUACUGGUCAUCUAUAUGCUGCCUUAGAUGAAGCAGGAAUCCACACUUUUCUAGAUGAUGUUGAACUUCCUAGAGGAGAAGAAAUCUCCGAGCAUCUUCUCAAGGCAAUUCGAGAAUCAAAGAUAUCCAUAGUUGUCUUCUCAAAAGGAUAUGCUUCUUCUAGAUGGUGUCUCAAUGAACUUGUAGAGAUUCUAAAGUGCAAAAGGAAGAAAACCGGUCAGAUUGUUCUUCCUAUAUUCUAUGACAUUGAUCCUUCAGAUGUGAGAAAACAGACUGGCAGUUUUGCAGAGGCAUUUGAUAAGCAUGAAGAGCGUUUUGAAGAGGAGUUGGUGAAGGAGUGGAGAAAAGCUCUUGAGGAUGCCGGAAACCUAUCUGGAUGGAGUCUCAAUGAUAUGGCAUAUGGGUAUUCCUUUUCUCUCUAAGAUUCACUUGCAGACGUUUAUGGAGUAAUUUUACAUUACAUUUUUCAAUGUGAAGUUAUAAAAUAUUUCUUUUUAGCAUACUUAAUUGACUUGCUAUCGAUGACUUGCCUUUUUUUCUGUGAGCAGGCAUGAAGCAAAAUUUAUCAGAGGUUCCUGAGCACCUCGUAGGUAUGGAUCGGUGUACUCACAAUAUUUAUGACUUUCUAAGUAAUGCAACAGAUGAUGUACGCAUUGUGGGCAUACAUGGGAUGCCAGGAAUAGGAAAGACAACUAUAGCAAAAGUUGUAUUUAAUCAACUCUGCAAUGGAUUCGAUGGAAGCUGUUUUCUUUCGGAUAUCAAUGAAAGGUCAAAACAAGUUAAUGGUCUGGCUCUUCUACAAAAGCGACUUCUUCACGAUAUUUUAAAACAAGAUGCUGCAAACUUCGAUUGUGUUGAUAGAGGAAAGGUUCUAAUCAAAGAGCGACUUUGUCGCAAAAGAGUUCUUGUUGUUGCUGAUGAUGUUGCUCAUCAGGACCAGCUAAAAGCUCUGAUGGGAGAUCGAAGUUGGUUUGGUCCCGGAAGUAGAGUAAUUAUUACAACAAGAAAUUCAAAUCUUCUUCGUAAAGCGGAUCGAACAUAUCAAAUUGAAGAAUUGACAAGAGAUCAGUCCCUUCAGCUUUUCAGCUGGCAUGCCUUUGAGGACACCAAGCCAGCAGAAGAUUAUAUUGAGCUUUCAAAGAAAGCAGUUGAUUACUGUGGAGGACUUCCUUUAGCUCUUGAUGUUAUGGGUGCUUGUCUGUCCGGGAAAAACAGAGAUGGUUGGAAAUCUGUAAUUGACAAAUUGAAAAGAAUUCCAAACCACGAUAUUCAAAGAAAGCUUAGAAUAAGUUAUGACUUACUGGACGGUGAAGAACUAAAAAAUGCAUUCCUUGAUAUCGCAUGCUUCUUUAUUGAUAGAAAGAAAGAGUACAUCGCAAAACUGCUAGGAGCCCGUUGCGGUUACAAUCCAGAAGUUGAUUUGCAAACUCUCCAUGAAAGGUCUCUGAUUAAAGUAUUGGGAGAGACGGUAACCAUGCAUGAUCUAUUACGAGACAUGGGAAGGGAGGUCGUUCGUGAAUCGCCUCCAAAAGAACCUGGAAAGAGGACCAGAAUUUGGAAUCAAGAGGAUGCAUGGAAUGUCCUUCAGCAGCAGAAGGUAAGAGCUCAAUGCAUACAUGAAAGCAUAGUCAAACUUAUUACAUAUAAUUGAAUGAAAGUUGUAUUGAUUUUAUUUUUUUAGGGUACGGAAGUUGUAGAGGGUCUUAAACUGGAUGUCAGAGCAUCAGAAACUAAAUCACUGAGCACAGGAUCAUUUGCAAAAAUGAAAGGCUUAAAUUUACUCCAAAUCAACGGAGCACAUCUCACCGGAUCCUUCAAAUUGCUUUCUAAAGAGUUGAUGUGGAUUUGUUGGCAUGAAUUUCCUUUGAAAUAUUUUCCAUCUGAUUUUACUUUGGACAAUCUAGCUGUUCUUGAUAUGCAGUACAGUAACCUCAAAGAAUUAUGGAAGGGAAAAAAGGUGAGAAACAUGCUGCAAUCCCCAAAAUUUGUCCAGUAUGUAAUUUAUAUUUACAUGUUAUGACUUUCUAUGAUUAAUUUUCAUUAUUUUUCUCUCUAUUAUAACAGAUUCUCGACAAGCUUAAAAUUCUUAAUCUCAGUCAUUCUCAGCACCUUCUUAAAACACCAAACUUACACAGUUCAAGUCUAGAGAAACUAAUUCUGAAAGGUUGCUCGAGUUUAGUUGAGGUGCAUCAAUCAAUUGAAAAUUUGACGAGCCUUGUUUUCUUGAAUCUGAAGGGAUGUUGGAGUCUGAAGACUCUCCCUGAAAGCAUUGACAAUGUAAAAUAUCUUGAAACUCUGAAUAUAUCUGGGUGUUCACAACUUGAGAAAUUGCCGGAACGCAUGGGUGAUAUGGAAUCCUUAACCGAGCUGCUAGCUGAUGGGAUUGAAAAUGAGAAAUGUCUCUCUUCAAUUGGACAAUUUAAGCAUGUCAGAAGGUUAUCAUUGCGUCGAAAUAGUUCGGCUCCACCAAGUUCUUCUUUGAUUUCAAUAGGUGUUUUGAAUUGGAAACGUUGGCCGCCAGCAUCUUUCAUUGAAUGGAUAUUAGUGAAACAUCUUGAGCUUUCUAAUAGUGGUUUGUCUGAUCGCGCAACUAACUGUGUUGAUUUCAGUGGUUUGUCUGCUCUAGAAAAAUUGGAUCUAGAUGGAAACAAAUUCUCUAGGCUGCCUUCUGGGAUCGGCUUCCUUCUCAAGCUAAGGGAUUUGUCUGUUGAGGGAUGCAAAUAUCUUGUAUCAAUCCCAGAUCUUCCCUCAAGUUUAACGCGUUUGGGUGCAUCUUAUUGCAAAUCAUUGAAAAGAGUAAGAAUACCAAGCGAGCCAAAAAAAGAACUAUAUAUAUUCCUAGAUGAAAGUCAUUCGUUAGAAGAGUUUCAGGACAUUGAAGGUCUAAGUAAUAGUUUCUGGUAUAUUCGUGUUGAUGACCGCAGUCAUUCACCAAGUAAAUUACAGAAGAGCGUUGUUGAGGUACUAUUUCUUUCUGUCUCUCUUUCGCACAAAAAGAAACACACAUAAUUGGCACAUACAUUGAUUAAUGUCUAAGAUCCUAGCAUUUCUUGAAAUCAAUAUGUAUACAGGCAAUAAUCAUUAUUAUUAUUAUUUUAUUUUAAAAAAUAAGUAUCAUCUUUAAUAAUAUUUUUUAUUUUUCUUAUUUAAUCUAAAAAAUUAAAUAUUAUCUUUAAUAAUAUGUUUUUAUUAAAUAUUUAAAGUCUGAUUGGUUUUAUUUUUUAUUUCUUGAUUUUAUGAUAAUAUAUUUAUACAGGCAAUGUGCAACGGUCGUCACGGGUAUUUUAUUCGCCACACUCCUGGUCAGAUGCCAAAUUGGAUGAGCUACAGGGGAGAAGGACGCUCAUUGUCAUUCCAUAUACCUCCAGUCUUCCAAGGCUUAGUUGUUUGGGUUGAUAAGGAUGAUAAGGAUGCUCACAUUAUUAUUAUUAUAAGAAAUAAUAGAAAUGGUAAUCUCUUGUUUCAAUGUACGAAAUGGUAUUAUCAUCCAAAAACUGGAAGUAUAAGAUACAUAAGAAGAAGUGAAAUGGCAAUGGAAGAUUACUGUGCAGAUGACGAAUUGGAACUAUACAUUUAUUCAAAGCCAUCACCGUUGGCAAUGGCAAUGGCAAUGAAGGAUGCUGUGAUGCCUUCAUUUGAACCGUCUACACCUAAGCAAUGUGGGGUCCAUGUGAUCGUAGGAAAGUCAGAUUCAUUUGAAGAGUUGGCAGUGGGAAGAGAUGCAGUGAUGCUUCCUCAUCCUCGUUGUGGUUCGAUUACAGCGUCUACACCUAAGCAAUGGAUUGACUUUUUAUUUGCGAAGCUGCAAAACCAUAACCUCAAUUUAAGGCUUUUUGGUAAGAAUACAUAUUUCCUUUAGUUAUUUCUAUUUUAAUAUUCUAUUUAAUUUAAGAGAUUAAAUAUCAUCUUUAAUUAUUACAUUUUUCUUAUUUAAUCUAAAAAAAUAAAUAUUAUCUUUAACAAUAUUUUUUAUUAAAUAUUUAGAGUCUGCUUGGUUUUAAUUAUUUCUUUUCUUGAUUUUAUGAUAAUAUUUUUCUUAUUUAAUAUAAAAAAUAAAUAUUAUCUUUAAUACUUAGAUCUAUCGAAUAUCACUUAAAAAAUAAAUUGUAACUUUAAUAAUUAUUUUUUGAAAAACAAAAAGCCAACAAUCACUAACUUAUUUAUUAAAAUCACUUUAGUUUAUCUAGAAAAUAUUGAAAUUGAUUUUUUUUUUACAUUAAAGUAAAAAAAAAAUAAUGUUUUUAUAUUUUAUUUCAAACUCGAUAUUUUAAAACAAAAAUGAAAAAGAUGUGAUUUUGACCUUUUUUAUUAUAAAGUAAGUUUUUUAAUUAAAAGUGAUGGGAAUUUGUUUUAUUGCAUGUACAAUCAUGCACAUUUAACUUUCUUUUUAAAUUUGAUGGUUUUUUAGUACGGGAAUGACUUGAAGAUGAUUUUACAUAGAGAUGCUUGAAGUUGCUCCAAAUCAGUACGAUACUUUCAUCUGACAUGUUGAUAUGUAUUUGUUGGCUUGAAGAUCAUUUUCCAUCCGCUGGACAACCUAGUUGUUAAUUAUUUUCCAAGGUACUUCUAUCUGAUGUAUUGAUAUGUAUUUGUUGGCUUGAAGAUCAUUUUCCAAGCUUGGAAGUUUUAUUGAAUGCUCUUUGAAAUCUUUUCCAUCCGCUUUUAUACUGGACAACCUAGUUGUUAAUUAUUAUCCAUGAUGUAAUUUAUAUUUUCAAGUUAUAAAUUUUGAUGAAUAUUGUUUCAGUUUUUUCCUCACUUCAAAAGAUGAAAAUCCUUGAUGUUAGUUAGAAAUAAAUUGGUUUUCUAGGAAGAGAUUAUUGAUUGGAAUAUAGUAUUUGAGUUGGUUCUACAUCAUUUACUGUUAUAAAUAAUUUAAAAUAAUUGAUGAAAAUUACCGAUACAUAGAAAAGUUGUGAGAGCAUCCUUAAUUAGUCUAGUAAGUAAAGUGUUGUUAGUUUUGACUAUAAGAUCUUGCUAUGUAUUAUUGCAUGGUUUUUACUAUUUUUAGGCAUUUUUCUUUUUGUAUAUACAACUUUUGUUUUUCUUGCCGCUUGUCAUUAGCUUUAUGGCACCAACACCAAUUAAUAAUAAAUCUUGAACUAUUAUUAAAUAAAGAAAAAAUAUAAACAUUGUUAAAAUACCAAACUUGAAUUGCUCAAUCCUAAAGAAACCCUAUGACAAUAAUCUAAUUUAGAAAAUAAUUAAUUUAUCCUUGUAGUCUAAGAAAAUAUAAACAUUGUUCUUUCUUAUUUUAUUUUUUUUAAUUGGAUUACCUUUAUCUUAACGAGUGAAAUAAAGAAACACUCCCCCCAUCUUUCUUGUUCCCUUUCCCUUCUUUACAUGGCUUACUCAGUGAAAAAGCAAUUAAACACCCCAUUUGAUUUUCAAUCAGUAUGAGAGUGAGAGAGAGAGAGGCCAAGGUGGUCCUUGAAUAUUUUCUUCUUUUUUGUCUCGCUCACUGGGGCAAACCAUUUUUUUCAACAUUUUGAAUAGCAUGCCAUCAAAAGGAAUUUUGUUCAAUCCCAAUCCCACAUUGUCUGUAGAAGUAUUUACUUUUGACUCCACACUUUGUUAUUUUCCAAUCCCUCCCCAGUUCUGCAACCAUUUCUCUACUUUCUAUGCUCUUGGCUUGCUAAAAACUAAAGAAAACACAUUGCUCUAGUUGCCUCCCUUCACUCUUCAGAUUGCUCAACAAAUCCCUUGAGACCUUCUCCAUAGUUAACACAUCACAUAAUGGGUACUCUAAAAAAUUUAGCCAUAAACAUUGAACACCUUGAGCAAUCAACGUGCCUUCCUUCACAAUAUCCAUCGCCCAUAAAUCUUUCUUUUGGGAUGUCGCGGGAGUUUAAUCUCCGAGUGUUAAAAUUAUGUAUAAAUUUCCAUUCUUUCCUUCCAUCCAUUACUUGUCCUCUAUGAAGAUUCUAUGUAUGAAAUCUCGGAAUCUUUUCGAGUAUAACUUGGGAUCAACAGCUGAGAUAGACGUGGGAUCCACUUGUAAGGACUUGUAUGCAUGCUCUAGCUUUUUGCUGAUAUCAUAAUCUUGGAGGAUGUCAAUGAUACCAAAGUGAAGAACUACAUCUCACAAUCACCAAAAUUCAAAGUAAAGUAACGGAGAAGAAAAUCUGAUAACAAUGAAUGAUCACUCAUUAACCACAGCGAAUCUUACGCUUUGAAAACACUUUUCACCAUCAAUUUUCCUUUUCUCAUUGAUUUUAAAUCUUCCAGGCAGAUAAAAUAGCAUUGGUUUCAUUCUGUUAAAAAUGGACCUAUUCAUCAGCUUAGGCAUCAACAACAUGUUGCAUCCACAAUCUUACUACUACAUUAUAAUUAUAAACAAAACUAAAAAAAUAUAUAUAUGAGGACAGAGUUAACAGACAUGCACUAAGAGUUAACAGACAAUUCUGUUAUAACAAACAAGUGAACAAUCUGUUUUCUCCAACCUUCCAGCAUUAUUCUCCCGAGCAUAUUCUGUCAGCUCAAGAUUAGGCAAUUCUGUUAACCAUGCUGUUAGCUCUGUUCUCUUUUGUUGUAUAUAUACUUGAUUGAUUGAUUGAUUCAAUAACAUUAUCUUUCUCUCUUCUCACCUGCCCCCUUUUUCUUCUCCUUUUACCUCUAGCUUCCAAUGCCUAUCAACACCACCAUCCUUAACACAAAUGAAUCUCACAGCAUGUUGAUUACCAUCAAUGUAGCAGCCCAAACUCCAUUAAAACUUACCUCCACCAGGCACCAACUAUCUAGCCUGGAAACUUCAAUUCCAGACUCUAUUCAUAGGACAUUUGAUUGAGGUCUCCACAAACAUUGAAACACCGCAAUUUUUCAUGAUAAAAUCCAAAGGAUUGGUACUUUGGUGUUUGAGGGGCUGGUAAAUGAAAGAACAGAUCAAGAGAUGACAUCCCUCUAUACCGCUGUUAUUCCUUUCAAGGUGCGUAUCAGGUGUUUGAAAAACUUCCUCAACUUAAAAUAAAAAGGUCUUGUUUACAACGUUUUUUAGUCCUUUACAAAUCUUCCAAUGUGUUGCGUUUACUGAAUAUGAUAGUGGGAACUUAUUUAUCAAGAAUUAACUACUCAGAAGAAAAUGUAAAGACGCAAUAAUGAUUUUUUUAUUUUAGAUUCCAUAGUCUACAAACUUGGAAGCAUACGGACCAGUCAGCUGGUAAAUGAAAGAACAGGGAUCAAGAGAUGAAAUCCCUCUAUACCGCUGUUUGAUACAAAAGUUCAUGGCCAAGUAAAAGAUGUUUAUUUUGGAUGUAAUAAAUAUUCAUAUUGCAACAUAAUAGUCAUCUCUCAAAUCCAUAAUUCAAUUGAUCAUAUAAAUAAUUGUUGAUUACUUAAAUAAACAAUUAUAUAAUUAAAUACUUAAUUAUAAAUUAAAGAGAUGGACAAUUAUAUAUUUCUAAAAUCUUAAUUACAAUUAUAUUAUAAUUUCUUCCCUAAAAUUUUUCAAAAUACAGUAUUAGAAUUACAUAAUAAAAUACAGUAUUAUAAUUUCUCAUCUAAAGGUCCAGCAUACCCUGGGAAUCUGAUCGGGUCAAGCUACGAGCAAUUAGGAGGCAUGACCAUCACCCACAUGUAACUUUGCUAAUAAUAUAUUACGGUUGUCAAAAUUAAUUAUUAUUAGCAAAAACUUAUUUUAUUUGUGAAUCUCUCAACCGUUGGAUUUAGAUAUGAGGAUAAGAGAUUGUGGGCACCUCUCUUUUUUAAAAUAACUAAAAUCUAAAUCAUCGGACGNNNNNNNNNNNNNNNNNNNNNNNNNNNNNNNNNNNNNNNNNNNNNNNNNNNNNNNNNNNNNNNNNNNNNNNNNNNNNNNNNNNNNNNNNNNNNNNNNNNNCCGGGAUUAUUUUAACUCAGUGAUCCUUCCCAGGUAGGCCCAGGUCACAUUGAUUAUGUUAAAAAAAAAAAAAAUCUAAUGUCUUUACCAUUAUAUUAUAAUUAUUUAGGAGGAUAGUUGAACAAUACUUUUUUAAAAAAAAUUAAUUUUUGACGAGUAAAAUAAUGUGGAACCAAUCGCAAUAAAUAAAGCCAAAAAAGGCAGACGAGUGUGUCUAAUUCAUGACUUGCAUUGACUAAAAAUUACCACUAGAAAUUCCUAGUUUUAUCCUAUAUAAAGAAUACAAAAAAGGCAGACGAGUGUGUUUCGUGGUGCUUUCUCGGCCUGCAAAUGAAUAGAAAGCAUAUCCUUUUAUCCUAUAUAAAGAAUAAUACAAUUAACAAAGCAUAUUUCAAUAUCCUUGCUUUACUCUCCAGCUAACCUGAUACAUAUUUCAAUGUCUCAAGACAUACGUAUGCCAUUGAUAGAAAGGUGUGUUCAAGCAAAAUCUUUUUUUAUCUGUAGCGACCUCAAUAAUGUUAACGCCACGAAAUUACCACUCCAAAUUCCUUGUUCUUCCUUUUUAUAUUAUUAGAAAAACUGUGAUUGACUGAUUUAAUUGGAAAUUAUUUGUGAGAAAGCUAAAAAGAAUUGGAGUUCUUCAAUUCCUAAAAUUCUAAUUUUAAAUUGUAAAAAAAAAUUAAUUAUUUUUAAAAUUAUUUUAGAAAAUAAAACAUUAACUAUUUAUAUAAUAGCUAAAUAAAUCUAUUAAAAUAAAUCGAAAAUAACCAGUAAAAUCAAGCAAAUAAUUCAAAUAUAACAAGUAAAUAAUUAUAUUUUUUUGGUCUGAUUUGAGUAUGUUUUCUUGACUUGCUUUAGUGUUCAUUAAACAUAAACAAACUUUGCUCUAAGAGUCUGCUUAUCAAUAAAAUAUUACUUUUACUGUACAUAAUAGAAAUAAUUUGGUUACCCGUCGACACUUACGUCACUUUACUCUUCAAUCGAUGUAAUUUCAUAGCUUUUCUCAGCAGGUGGGAUCCAACUAAUUUCAUAAAUCAUAAUUCUUCCUAAGGCGAUGCCAAAUAGGUGCCAAGAGUAUACCGCAUUAAGCGAAAACAUGCUGUCGCCAUAGUCUUACAGCUAANNNNNNNNNNNNNNNNNNNNNNNNNNNNNNNNNNNNNNNNNNNNNNNNNNNNNNNNNNNNNNNNNNNNNNNNNNNNNNNNNNNNNNNNNNNNNNNNNNNNCCAUUAAUAUUUGAUUGUUAUAAUUUAAUUUUUUUUUAAAAGCAAUUAAUCUUCAUUCUCUUUAUUUUUUUUCAAUCCAUUUAGUAAUUUGAUUUUUUUUUUUAAUUUUACCCUUCAAUUUAAAAUUUUAGUUUGUCCUCUCAAUUUUUUUUCAAAUGAUGUUCUUUUUUCUUAAUUGUUGUUUUUUUAUCCUUUAAUUUUUUUUAAUUUUAUUAUUCAACAUUUCAUUAAUUGAGAUUUGGUCUCAUUAAGCCCUACCCAAGAGUCAAUCUGGGAUAAUUAUUAAGUCACAAGUCGAGUAAGUUGACUCGAGUUAACCUAAGUUAACCAAAUCGUUUUAUUUUAUAAAAAGCCAAAAUGAUACCAUUUUUUUUAAAAAAAAUAAUAAACAAGUUUUGACCAUGUUUCGGCUAGGUUUUCUCAGGGUUAACUGAAAUAUUGGUCAACCCAGGUUUUGAUCGUAUUAUACUGGAGUAAUUCUCCGUCAAUUUUUUUUGAAACUCGAGCCAGUUUCAGCUAAAGGUCACUUAGAACACAGGUCAACCCAUAAGUUAAACCAAAUUUUUAAAUAAUAACUUUACAAAUAUAGUUCUUUCAAUUUAAUUACUAUCUCAGAUUAAGAUUUGAAAAAUUAACAUGGAUUUCUUUCGUUAUUCAUUUUAAAAAAGAACUCGUUAGUUUGCAAGUCCACGUGUCAAAUUUGGAAAAUCAUAUGGCCCAUUGAUAGAAAGGGGUGUUGAAGCAAAAUCUUUAUUAGCAAAGCCUGUUCGACCUCAAUAAUGUUAACGCGUGGACCCAGUUGUCGCAACCACCGCGAAAUUACCGCUCCAAAUUCCUUGUUCUUUCUCCGUAUAUUAUUUUUGAAAAACUGCCAUGUAUUUAAUUGUAAAGUAUUUGCAAAAAAGCUAAAAGAAUUAUAGUUUUUUAAUUUUUAAAAUUAUAAUUUUAAAUUGAAAAAAAAUAAUUAUUUUUAAAAUUGUUUUAAAAAUAUAACAUCAACUAUUUAUAUAAUAGCUAAAUAAAUAUAUUACAAUAAAUCAAGAAUAACAAGUAAAAUCAAGCAAAUAAUCCAUAAAUAACAAGAAAAUAAGUAUAUUUUCUAGAUCUGAUUUGAGUAUAUUUUUUAUCUUGAUUGACUGACUUGCUAAGUUUUUGCUAAGUAUAAACUAAUUUUACUCUAAGAAUUUAUUUGAUAUUUCUUCACUUAUUAAUGAAAUAUUAUUUCUACUGUAGAAAAUAGAAAUAAUUUGGUUGACCAUCGACACUUAUGUGAUUGAUUAUUGAUUAUUUUACUCUAAGAUGAAUAUUUUUUUGUUUGCAUCAAAUAAUUAAAAUUGAGAAUUUCAAAGCAGAGGGUUUAAGGAAUAUUAAAAGAGAAGGUUUUACGUAAUUAUUAUAUAAUUGAAAUUGUCACUAAUCUCCUUUGUUCAUUUUCUUUUUCUAUUACCCCUUCCAAUCAGCAUGCAAGAAACUUUCAACGUUUUACACUGCUUGUUCACUUAAUAAAACUAUUACUUGCUAUAAAGCAAGAAAUAAUAUUCUUUCUCUGAAAAGGGCUUGAGAAAACCCUAAGCAUGGUAGAUAAUCUCUUAUAGGAAUCUCUUUAUUAAAUAAUCAAAUAUCAAAGUCUAUUUCCAAAGACUAUUACUACAGUUUAUAUAUAUAUAUAUAUAUAUAUAUAUAUAUAUAUAUAUAUAUAGAAACAACUAAAUAGAGAAAUUAUUAUUUUUUAAAUAGAAAAGGUUGAAAAGCUUGAUAAUAUCGAGUAAGAAAUAAAAUAUAAAAAUAAUUCUUUUUUAAAUAAACAAAUAUAAAAGUUUAAUAGUACUGAAUAGAAAAAAAAAUAGAAUUUCUAAACUAAAUAAAAGUAACUGAAAAAAGUAUUUAUUAUUCCAAAAAAUUAGAGUUUUUUAAUUUAUAAAAUUAUAAUUUUAAAUUGUAAAAAUAAUUCAAUUAUUUUUAAAAUUAUUUUAAAUAAUAAAACAUCAACUAUUUAUAUAAUAGCUAAAUAAAUCUAUUAAAAUAAAUUGAGAAUAACUAGUAAAAUCAAGCAAAUAAUCCAAAAAUAACAAGCAAAUAACUUGUCAAGUCUUUAUUCAGCACAAACGAACUUUAUUCUAAAAGUAUAUUUGAUAUUUCUUCACUUAUCUAUGAAAUAUUACCUCUACUGUACAGAAUAGAAAUAAUUUGAUUGACCGUCGAUACUUAUGUUAUUGAUUAUUGAUUAUUUGGAAGAAGAAAUUGUAUUCAUUCUUCUUAUUUAUUUUUAUUAUUAACGUGGAUGUUCAGGCCAGCUUGCGCACACCUCGACUAAUCCCACGAGUCCUGAAGUUAACGAUCAUGUAAGCCUCCAGUGACCAUCAUAUUAGCAACUAUAGAGCUCGAACCUGAGAUUAUAGAGGGAACAAACCUCUUAAUCUCAAACUCUUAUCACUAGAUCACCUACUUUACUAUUCAGCUCGUUGUAAUUUCAUAGCUUCUCCCAGGUGGACGCAACUAAUUUCAUAAAUUAUAAGUCUUCGCUAAGCAUAAAUGAACUUUAUUCUGAGAGUCUGAUUGAUAUUUUUUCAUUUAUUAAUGAAAUAUUACUUCUAUUGUAUAGUUAUUGGGUACCGAGUCGAUCCACCUGGUCAAUAGAUGAACGGUACAUUCUUUGAAUUUAUUAGAAGAAAUAUGUAGUGUAAAUUAUAAAAAAAAUAUUUAUUUUUUGAUAUAUAAUAAUAAUAAUAAUAAUAAUAAUAAUAAAUUAGAUGAUAGUAACAAGAAAAUAGAAAUUAAUUUGAAUAAAUGGUAAGAGUUCCUAUUCUAAUAUAUCCAGGGAAGAAGUUCGAAGAAUAGAAUGAAGUUAAAUAUUCUUAAUAAAAGAAAGAAAUGAAAUAUAUUUUUAAUAAAUAUAAAAGAUGGAUAAAAUUAGAGAACAAGAAAGAGAUAUAUAAUCUUUUUGUAAGAACUUCUAAAAAUUUAAUUACAAUUCAGAAUUUCUUCCUUAAAAAUAUCCAAAAAAUCCUAUUAUAUAUGAAUCAAGACAACAGUAGAAUAACUUUUACAUAUUUUUCAAGUUUACUUAGAAUAGCAGUGGAAUAAUUCUUUUAAUAUUUAAAAAUUAAAAAAAAAACUGUGUAGUUGUUUUGUAUAAAUUCUAAAGUUGAGAACUCUUUUGUGCUUGGUAAAAUAUGAUUUUCAACUUUCGUAGGCGAGCACUAAAGUCCCAAGCUUCAAGAAUUUCUCUUCUUUUCCUUUUGUAUUUUCUCAUUUUCUUGGCAUGCGCGCAGCUGCUUCAUGGAAAAAACGUUUCAGAUGCGGAAAAUAAAGAUAAAUGUGGAAAAUAGAAGCGGAAAAAAAAUCCCAAAUAUCGACAAACAUCACAAGAGAAGCUUGAUAUCAACCACAUGUUGCAGUCCACAGUCUUUCCAUUACAUUAUAAUUACUUCUAAAAAAAAAUUUAAUUUUUUUUAAUUAUACGCCAUCAGCAACUACCUCAAAAUUACCACUCUAAAUUCCAGCUCAAUAUCGAUUAACAUGUGGCUAAAGAAUUUGAUUGCUGCUCAAUAUUUACCAAUACGCGCUUGAGAAAUUUCCUGCACGUGUUACAUUUUUAUCUUUUAUAAUUAUAAUUAUUGCAUUGCUAAUAAUUUGCAAGAAAGAAUAUUGUUUCUCUUAAAAGGGCUUGAGAAAACCCUAAGCAUUGUAGAUAAUCUCUUAUAGGAAUCUCUUUAUUAAAUCAUCAAAAUAUCAGAGUAUAUUUCCAAAUACUAUUACUAUAGUUUUUAUAUAUAUAUAUAAAAAUAGAAACAACUAAGUAGAGAAAUUAUUAUUUUUUAAAUAAAAAAACUAGAAAAGCCUAUAAUAUUAUUGAAUAAAAAAUAAAAUAGAAAUUUAAUCAAUUAAAAGUUUAAAAAAAAAUACUGUUUAACUGUUUUGUAUAAAUUCUAAAGUUAAAGAGUCUUUUGUGCUUGGUAAAAUACGUCACACUAAAAUUAAUAAAUAAUAACACAAGAAAGGACCAAAGUUAAUAAAUAAUAGCAUGCACGAAACUUCACGAUACCCAUGUUUUCCACGUUUUACACUGUUUUAAUAGAUUGUUACAGCAAGAGCACAGAGAGAGGAACGGUUCAAGACAAAACAACGAAGGAGGGGCAGAUGCUCAAGUUGUUGCAACCACCAUGAAAGGAACACAUUAAUGUUAACGCGUGGACCCAGUUGCUGCACCAGCACGAAAGUACUACUCCAAAUUCCAGCUCAAAUUGAAUAAUGAUUUAUUUUCUAGCAUAAAUUAUGUUUGAAAUAAAAUUGAUAAAAGACAUAAUUACACAAUUAUUGAUGGGAUCGUAUAUAAAAAUAAUUAAAUUGUGAUUUUUUAAUUAUUUUUAAACAUAUCAUGGUUUGAGGUACAUCAUGUAAAUUAUAAAAAAAAUAUUUAUUUUUCUGAUAUAUAUAUAGUAAUAACAAAUGGUUAGAAUGCUUUAGUCCUUUUCGAGUGGAAAGUGGUGUGAAAGUGGGAACUACUGUGAGAGCUUUAUGCCACUUUCUAAAUCGCGAGUAAAGUCUGAAUGUUUUUAGAAAGAAGCAGCCUUCAUUGCUUUUCAAAACCAAUCUCUGUAUCUAUUAACAAAAACUCUAAAUCGCGAGUAAAGUCUAAAUGUUUUUUAAAAAGAAGCAGUCUUCAUUGCUUUAAUAAAUUGUUACAAUAAAGCACUGAGAGAAGAAUGGUUAUACCGUUGAGCCGGGUCGAGUUUUAAAAUUAUAAUUUAUAUAUAAAAACAACUAAAUAGAAAAAUUAUUAUUUUUUAAAUGAAAAAACCAGAAGAGCUUAAUAAUAUUUAAUAAAAAAAUAAAAAUGAAAAAAUAUUCCUUUUUAAGUACAAACUAAUUUAAUAAUACUGUAUAAAAAAAUUAAAAUUUCUAACCUAAAUUAAAAAAAAUAAAAAUAACUGAGAAAAUAUUUAUAAAGAUAACGGUAUGUAAAUCUAGGAACUAAAAAUAAUACAACUACAUUGAUUGGAGAUUUCACUCAGAAUUUCUAGUAAAUUAUAAAGGAAAUUUCCUAGUGCUUUUCAUGUACAUGAAUUUAAAAAUUAUCGUCGCGGAACUUACUUGCAUUGACUGACUUGCUAAAUAUUUGUGCUCGAAAUUUCCAAGCAAUUUAUGGAGGAAAUUUCCUUGUGCUCUCUCUUGUACAUUAUUAGAAAAGCUGUCAUUGAUUGAUUGACUUGCAAAAGUAUUUGCAAGAAAGCUAACGAAUUAGAGUUUUUUAAAAUUUUAAAUUAUUAAAAAAAUCCAUUUUUUUUUUAAAUCAAGAAUAAAACAUCAAGUAUUAUAUAAUUGCUAAAUAAAUCUAAUAAAAUAAAUCGGAAAUAACUAGUAAAUAAUCCAAAAAUAACUAGAAAAUAACCUUUUCCACCUCAAUAAUGUUAACGCGUGGACCCAGUUGUUGUGGAAACUAUGCAGAGGAAGAAAAAUGAUAGAAAAAUUUGCAAGAGAGAAUUCUUUCUCUGAAUAGAAAAAAACUAUUAUUUUUUAAAUAAAAACAACUAUAUAGAAAAAUUAUUACUUUUUAGGUAGAAAAACCUCAUGAUAUUGAAUAAAAAAAUAAAAUAGAAAAAUUAUUCUUUUCAAGUAGAAAAAAAUAUAAAAGUUUAAUAAUAUUGAAUAGAAAUCAAUAAAAUUUCAAAACUAAAUAAAAAUAAUAGAGAAAAAUAUUUAUUAUCCUAAAAAUUCUUAUAUUAAAAUAUUUAAAAGAACUGAGUUUACAUGCUUUAAACAGAAAAACAACAAAAAAAAAAAACAAAUGUAACAAGAAAAAUUCCACACAACGUAAUAUGAUAUAAAUUGAGGUUUUUAAAUUACCUAUAAACAUAUCAUAAUAUAUAUGGUACAUCCUUUGAAUUUAUUAGAAAGAAGCCAUUAACUAGCCUUUUCAAUUGGAUCUUUUAUUUAAAUGAAAAGGAAUAUUUAUUUUAAUAUGAAAAAAAUAUUUAUUUUUUUGAUAUUUCUGGUAAUAAUAAAUUAGAGGAUAGUAACAAGAAAAUAGGAAUUAGAUCGAAUAAAUGGUACCAAUUUGUAUUCUGAUAUAUCUAGCCAAAGAAUAGAAUGAAUUAAAACAUUCUUAAUAAAAAAAACAGAAAACACAGAAAUAAAUAAAAAGAUAUUCUUAAUAAAUAUAAAAAAUAGGUAAAAUCAGAGAACAAGAAAGAGAUAUAGAAUCUCUUUCUAAGAUUUCUAAAAACUUAAUUACAAUUACAUUAUAAUUUCUUCCUUAAAAUUAUUCAAAAUAUAGUAUUAGAAUUGCAUAAUGCUAGGUUUUAGUAUAUAGUUGUUUAUAUUGUUAAAGAGUCUCUCCUAAAACAAAUAAUAAAAAUAUUGUACAACUCUUUUGAAUGAAUUGUUAAUGCACGGACUGUUUUGGGUCCUGACUUGGUUGAUUUAACUUGAAUGUAUUAUUUGAUUGGUCCAAAUAAAAGUCGACUCGAAAUUUCUAUUAAUUUACAAAAGAAAUUUCCUAGUACUUUAUGCUGUAUAUAAUUUGAAAAAUUAUGACUGACCGACUUACUUGCAAAGUAUUGGCAAGAAAGUUAAAGAAUUAGAGUUUUUAAAUAUUUAAAAUUAUAAUUUUAAAUUCUAAGAAAAAAAUCAAUUAUUUUUAAAAUUGUUUUAAAAAAUAAAAGCAUCAACUAGCUAAAUGAAUCUAUUAAAAUAAAUAAAAAAAUAAUUAGUAAAAUCAAGUGAAUAAUCCAAAAAUAACAAGAAAAUAGAGAUAUUUCCUAAAUAUGAUUCCAGUUUGUAUUUGCUAACAUAAAUAGCAUACACGAACUUUAUUAUAAUAGUAUAUUUGAUAUUUAAAAAAAAAACUUAUAUAUAUUAUAUGGGUUGGAAACCCAUUUUUUAUUAAAUUUUAAAUUUUAUAUGUUUAAAAAUAUUUUUUUAUAUUUUUUAAUUAUUUUAAUAUGAUAAUAUCAAAAAUAAAUAAAUAAAAUUUUUCUAACUCUUACUACUUCUGACUUGCUAUGACUCGAAAUUCGUGGUGCUCUCUCCUGCAAAUGAAUACAAAGCAUAUCCUUUCUCUUUCUCCUAUAUGAAGAAUACAAUUAGAAAUUUCCUUGGUUUACUCUUCAGAUUACUUUUCCAUGCACGAAACUUUAUGCCAAUUAGCAACCACUGUGAAAUUACAACUCAAAAUCCCAUGAAUAUAUAAAAAAAAAUUAGAAUUUGACUAGAAAAAUUCUAUCAAAUUCUCUACUUUGUUAGUGUUCAUUUUCCUUCUUUUUUUACCAUAUCUUCAGUUGGGACAAAAUUAUCUUCCCCAAACGAUAGACCUUUAUUUUCCUUCUUUUUUAGUUUAUUAGUAAUUACAUUAAAGAAAAAUAUUAAUUAGUAAUUUUACAUUUUUUUUCUAUAUUAUAAUUAUCAAAUAACCCUUAAAAAAUUUUAUUUUAACCUUUUUUUUCUCUCUUUUUUUUUCAAUUUAUUUGUUAAUUUAAUUUUUUUUUUAAUUUUACCUUCCGGUUCAAAAUUUUAGUUUAUUCUCUCAAUUUAUUUUUCAAAUGAUGUUCUUAUUCUCUUAAUUGCUAUUUUUUAUCCUUCAAUCUUUUUAUUUUAUCAUUCAACAAUUCAUUAAUUGGGAUCUGGUCUCAUUGGUUUUUCCUAUUGUUUCUAAACUCUACCCAAUAGUCAAUCCAGUAUAAUUAUCAAGUUACGAGUUGAGUGGAUUGACUCGAGUUAAUCUAAGGCAACCAAAUCUUUUUGUUUUAUAAAAAGCCAAAAUGAUGCCAAUUUUUUAUUUUUAAAAAAUAAAAAACGAGUUUUGAUCUUGUUUCGGCUAGAUUUUCUCAUGAUUAACUAAAACAUUGAUCAACCUAGAUUUUUUAUUGUAUUACAUUAGAUCAAUUCUACCUCAAUUGUUUUUGAAACUCGGGCCGUUUUAAACUAAAGAUCACCUGGGACACAGUUUCUUGGCGCUUUGUACUGUAUAUAAUUUGAAAAACUGUGAUUGACCGACUUACUUGCAAAGUAUUUGCAAGAAAGCUAAAGAAUUAGACUUUUUCAAUAUUUUAAAUUGUAAGAAAAAAUCAAUUGUUUUUUUUAAAUUAAAAAAUAAAACAUCAACUAUUUAUAUAAUAGCUAAAUGAAUCUAUUAAAAUAAAUAAAAAAUAACUAGUAAAAUUAAGUAAAUAAUCCAAAAAUAACAAAAAUAAAUAAAAAUGUAUUUUUUAAAAACUUUUAUCUUAUAUGGGUUGGGGUUGCUAUGCAACUUAACCGGGAUCACCAUGAUUGUCGAGUAGAGUAAAUAAAUUACUUAACCGGGAUCACCAGAGGAGUUAUUUGCCAAGAUUAAGUUAUAUAACAGUUUAUAAAUCAUGCUAUCAUCUUCAUCACCAUAUAUAAAGUUUUAUAAUAAAAAAAUAUUUAAAAAAACAAUUUUCAUUACAUUUUCAAAUUAGUUAAAGUUUUUCAAAUGAAUGGAUUGAUGUCGAUGACACUCUCUAGUCAGUUUUGAGAAUUUUAAAUCCAAACAAGUGAAUUUAUAUUGUAUAUGGAUCAAGCAAGCAUGCUUGUACAAUAAUUUCUUAUACUCAAUAGAAAUUUGGGUUUAUCAUUACAAACCGUAUUUUAAAAUACUAUUGCCAAAAGAUCAUAUUAUUUAUUAAAACAAGAAAGGACCAAAGUUAAUAAAUAGUAGCAUGCUCGAAACUUCGUGAUACCAAAGUUAAUAAAUAAUAAAGUUAAUAAAUAGUAGCAUGCUUUAAAAGAGUGUUACAGUAAAAGCACAGAAAGAAGAACGGUUCAAGACAGAACUAUAAUGUUAACGCGUGGGACCCAUUUGUUGCAACCAGCACGAAACUCCAGCUCAAUAUUUACCAGCACUACACGCUUGAGUAAUUUCCUUGCGUUUUUUUUCCUCUACCGCUCUACGUGUUACCUUUUACCUCUUUUAUAAUUAUGAUUUAUUAACGAGAAUAAAACAAUUCUGUGUAAAUUAUACAAAUUUCCAUUGUUGCUUUUUUUCUUGCACGUGUUAGAUUUUUAUUUUUUAUAAUUAUAAUUAUUGCAUUGCUAAUAAUUUGCAAGAAAGAAUAUUCUUUCUCUGCUUAAGAAAACCCUAAGCAUUGUAGAUAAUCUCUUAUAGGAAUCUCUUUAUUAAAUCAUCAAAAUAUCAGAGUCUAUUUCCAAAUACUAUUACGACAGUCUAUAUAAAGAAUACAAUUAACCUCAUUUCAAUAUCAUAGCUUUGGAAUUUCAUAGCUAACUCUUUGUUAUAUUGCUCCAUUGGUAAUUGAUUGUGCCUUGAUUUCUGCAGCUGCCAUGACAGAGCCAGAGUCUUCUCGAUCUAGACCAGAAGGCGCCUAUGAUGUCUUCUUGAGUUUUAGAGGAGAAGACACUCGCCAGACAUUUACAGAUCAUCUAUAUACUGCCUUGGUCCAGGCAGGAAUCCACACUUUUCGAGAUGAUGAUGAACUUCCGAGAGGAGAAGAAAUCUCCGAUCAUCUCCUCAGGGCAAUUCACGAAUCAAAGAUAUCCUUAGUUGUCUUCUCAAAAGGAUAUGCUUCUUCUAGAUGGUGUCUCAAUGAACUUGUAGAGAUUCUUCAGUGCAAAAAUAGGAAAACCAAUCAGAUUGUUCUUCCUAUAUUCUAUGACAUUGAUCCUUCAGAUGUGAGAAAACAGAAUGGCAGUUUUGCAGAAGCAUUUGUUAAACAUGAAGAGCGUUUUGAAGAGAAGUUGGUGAAGGAGUGGAGAAAAGCUCUUGAGGAGGCUGGAAAUCUAUCUGGAUGGAAUCUCAAUGAUAUGGCAAAUGGGUAUGUCUUUUUUCCAAAUUUAUGGAGUCAAUAUACUUUACAUUUUUCAAUGUGAAACAAUAAAAUGCUUAAUUGACUCGCUAUCAAUGACCUGCUUUUGUCUAUGAGCAGGCAUGAAGCAAAAUUUACCAAAGAGAUUAUCAAGGAUGUGUUGAAGAAAUUAGAACCCAAGUACUUAUAUGUUCCUGAGCACCUAGUAGGUAUGGAUCGGCUUGCUCGCAGUAUUUUUGACUUUCUAAGUACUGCAACAGAUGAUGUACGCAUUGUGGGCAUACAUGGGAUGCCAGGAAUAGGAAAGACAACUAUAGCAAAAGUUGUAUUUAAUCAACUCUGCUAUAGAUUCGAGGGAAGCUGCUUUCUUUCGAAUAUCAAUGAAACAUCAAAACAAUUCAAUGGUCUGGCUCUUUUACAAAAGCAACUUCUUCAUGAUAUUUUAAAACAAGAUGUUGCUAACAUCAAUUGUGUCGAUAGAGGAAAGGUUCUGAUCAAAGAGCGACUUUGUCGCAAAAGAGUUCUUGUUGUUGCUGAUGAUGUUGCUCGUCAGGACCAGCUAAAUGCUUUGAUGGGAGAGCGAAGUUGGUUUGGUCCCGGAAGUAGAGUGAUUAUUACAACAAGAGAUUCUAGUGUUCUACUUAAAGCAGAUCAAACAUAUCAGAUCGAAGAAUUGAAACCAUAUGAGUCCCUUCAGCUUUUCCGAUGGCAUGCCUUGAGGGACACAAAGCCAACAGAAGAUUAUAUUGAGCUUUCGAAGGAUGCAGUUGAUUACUGUGGAGGACUUCCUUUAGCUCUUGAGGUUAUGGGUGCUUGUCUGUCCGGGAAAAACAGAGAUGGUUGGAAAUGUGUAAUUGAAAAAUUGAGAAGAAUUCCACACCACGAUAUUCAAGGAAAGCUUAGAAUAAGUUUUGACGCACUGGACGGUGAAGAACUACAAAAUGCAUUCCUUGACAUCGCUUGCUUCUUUAUUGAUAGAAAGAAAGAGUACGUCGCAAAAGUGCUAGGAGCCCGUUGCGGUUACAAUCCAGAAGUUGAUUUGCAAACUCUCCAUGAAAGGUCUCUAAUUAAAGUUAAUGCCAUUGGGGAGAUAACCAUGCAUGAUCUAUUACGAGACAUGGGAAGGGAGGUCGUUCGUGAAUCGUCUCCAAAAGAACCUGGAAAGAGGACCAGAAUUUGGAAUCAAGAGGAUGCAUGGAAUGUACUUGAGCAGCAGAAGGUAAGAGCUCAAUGCAUACACGAAAGCAUGGUCAAUGUUGUAUUUUCUAGUCAAACUUAUUACAUAUAAUUGUAUGAAAGUUGUAUUGUUUUUUUUUUAGGGUACCGAUGUUGUAGAGGGUGUUGCACUGGAUGUCAGAGCAUCAGAAGCUAAAUCACUGAGCACAGGAUCAUUUGCAAAAAUGAAAUGCUUAAAUUUACUCCAAAUCAACGGAGCACAUCUCACCGGAUCCUUCAAACUGCUUUCUAAAGAGUUGAUGUGGAUUUGUUGGCUUCAAUGUCCUUUGAAAUAUUUUCCAUCUGAUUUUACCUUGGACAAUCUAGCUGUUCUUGAUAUGCAGUACAGUAACCUUAAAGAACUAUGGAAGGGAAAAAAGGUGAGAAACAUGCUGCAAUCCCCAAAAUUUCUCCAGUAUGUAAUUUAUAUUUACAUGUUACGACUUCUUAAGAUUAAUUUUCAUUAUUUUGCGCUCUAUUAUACAGAUUCUCAACAGGCUAAAAAUCCUUAAUUUCAGUCAUUCUCAGAACCUUGUUAAAACACCAAACUUGCACAGUUCAAGUCUAGAGAAACUAAUUCUGGAAGGUUGCUCGAGUUUAGUUGAGGUGCAUCAAUCAAUUGGACAUUCGACGAGCCUCGUUUUCUUGAAUCUGGAGGGAUGUUGGAGUCUGAAGACUCUCCCUGAAAGCAUUGGCAAUGUAAAGUCUCUUGAAACUCUGAAUAUUUCUGGGUGUUCACAACUUGAGAAAUUGCCAGAACGCAUGGGUGAUAUGGAAUCCUUAACUGAGCUGCUAGCCGAUGGGAUUGAAAAUGAGCAAUUUCUCUCUUCAAUUGGACAAUUAAAGCAUGUCAGAAGGUUAUCAUUGUGUCGAAACCGUUCGGCUCCACCAAGUUCUUCUUUGAUUUCAGCAGGUGUUUUGAAUUGGAAACGGUGGCCGCCAACAUCUUUCAUUGAAUGGAUAUCAGUGAAACGUCUUGAGCUUUCUAAUGGUGGUUUGUCUGAUCGCGCAACUAACUGUGUUGAUUUUAGGGGUUUGUCCGCUCUAGAGCAUUUGGAUCUAGAUGGAAACAAAUUCUCUAGCCUUCCUUCUGGGCUCGGCUUCCUUCCCAAGCUAAGGUGGUUGUCUGUUCAGGCAUGCAAAUAUCUUGUAUCAAUCCCAGAUCUUCCCUCAAGUUUAGACUUUUUGUUUGCAGCUCAUUGCAAAUCAUUGAAAAGAGUAAGAAUACCAAGCGAGCCAAAAAAAGAACUAUAUAUAGGACUAGAGAACAGUCAUUCGUUAGAAGAGAUUCAGGGCAUCGAAGGUCUAAGUAAUAGUUUCUGGUAUAUUCGUGUUGAUAAGCACAAUAAUUCACCAAAUAAAUUACCGAAAAACGUUAUUGAGGUACUAUUUCUUUCAGUCUCUCUUGCACAAAAAGUAAACACACAAUUAGCACAUGCAUCGAUAUUUAUUAUAUGUCAUCGAUAUUGAAUAAUGAUUUAUUUUCUAGCAUAAAUUAUGUUUGAAAUAAAAUUGAUAAAAAACAUGAAUACACAAUUAUUGAUGGGAUGGUAUAUAAAAAUAAUUAAAUUGAAAUUUUUUAAUUAUUUUUAAACAUAUCAUGGUUUUAGGUACAUCAUUAAAUUAUAAAAAAAAUUAUGUAUUUUUCUGAUAUAUAUAUAUAUAUAUAUAUAUAUAUAUAUAUAUAUGGCAAUAACAAAUUAAAUGAUUAUAACAAGAAAAUAGAAAUUAGUUUGAAUAAAUGUUACCAGUUCUAUUAAUUUGAACGGUACAUCAUUCACCGAAUAAAUUACAGAAGAGCGUUGUUGAGGUACUAUUUCUUUCCGUCUAUCUUUCACACAAAAAGAAACACACACAAUUGGCACAUACAUUGAUUAAUGUCUAAAAUCUCAGCAUUCCUUGAAAUCAAUAUGUAUAUAGGCAAUAAUUAUUAUUAUUAUUAUUAUAUUUAAAAAAACAAAUAUCAUCUUUAAUAAUAUUUUUUAUUUUUCUUAUUUGAUCUAAAAAAUUAAAUAUUAUCUUUAAUAAUAUUUUUUUAUUAAAUAUUUAAAGUCUGAUUGGUUUUAUUUUUUAUUUCUUGAUUUUAUGAUAAUAUAUUUAUACAGUUAAUGUGCAACGGUCGUCACGGGUAUUCUUUCUUUUGGGAUGUCGCCGGGAGUUUAAUUUCCGAGUGUAAAAAUUAUGUAUAAAUUUCUAUUCUUUCCUUUCAUCCAUUACUUGUCCUCUAUGAAGAUUCUAUGUAUGAAAUCUCGGAAUCUUUUCGAGUAUAACUUGGGAUCAACAGCUGAGAUAGACGUGGGAUCCACUUGUAAGGACUUUUAUGCAUGCUCUAGCUUUUUGCUGAUAUCAUAAUCCUGGAGGAUGUCAAUGAUACCAAAGUGAAGAACUACAUCGAAGAUCUCAUUACCAUUAUGUGAAGGUGUUGAAUUGUUACUUCCACCCCCCAUGCACUGAUCCAUUUCAGUAGUCCUCAUUACACUCUCGGCUCUUGCAGGCACAUUUGCCCCCAGCCGGAUGAAUGGCCCCCUGGAACAGAUUUCACAUGAGUACUACAGAUAAAAUCUAGACAUUGCAUCACAUAAUCACCAAAAUUCAAAGUAACAAAACGAAGAACAAAAUGUGAUAACAAUGACAAUGAUCACUCAACCACAGCCGAAUCUUACGCUUUGAAGACACUUUUCAUCAUUAAUUUUCCUUUUCACAUUGAUUUUCAAUGUUCCGGGCAGAUAAAAUAGCAUUGAUUUACAACCAUGGUUUUAAGGCAUCAUUAUUGGCAAAAACAUUGUAGGAUCAUGCACAUUUAACUAGUUGUUAAUUGAUUUUCAACCAGAUAAAAUAGCAUUGAUUUUCAAUGUUCCUUUAUCCUUGUAGUCUAAGAAAAUAUUAUUUAAUUCUUUUGUUUUCAUAUUCAUCUAUGAUUUAAUGUGUUGAUUGAAAUUGACAAUUGAGUUGUUAGUAAUAGCAAAAGGCAUGUACAAUCAUGCACAUUUAACUUUCUUUUUAAAUUUAAAAGUUCUAUUGAAUUUGAUGGUUUUUUAGGAUACAAAAGACUUGAAUUGACGUGAGAGUACAAGAUCAUUUUACGUGGAGAUGCUUGGAGUUGCUCCAAAUCAGUACAGUACUUCUACCUGACAUGUUGAUAUGUAUUUGUUGGCUUGAAGAUCAUUUUCCAAGUUUGGAAGUUUUAUUGAAUUCUCUUUCAAAUCUUUUCCAUCCGCUUUUAUGUUGGACAACCUAGUUGUUAAUUAUUUUCCAUGAUGUAAUUUAUAUUUUCAAGUGUUGAUCGAAAUUGACAACCUAGUUUUAUUUAAUUAAUGUGUUGAUUGAAAUUAAGAAUUAAAGGUUUAAUUAAAUGAAAUACAGCUUUAAAGAACACAUCAACUACAUUUCAUAUGCUCAACUCUCAGCAAAUUGAAAUUUCAAGGCUAUUUGAAUCUUGAAAACACAAUCUCAAUAAUCUUAAUGUGAUGAGUGAUUUCUUUUCUAUUUUUUUUUCUUUGGAUCAAAAGGGUCUUAUUGAAUUAUUAUUUGUUAGGUAACUAAGAUUUAUUGAUGUUAAAAAUAGCACUAAGUUUUUGGCAUGACAAUUGGUGAGAAGCAAAAGCAACAGCAAUCCAUCAGGUUCAUCACCAUCCUAUCGCUUUGCCGUACUGUUUAUCUUCUUGGCAUUGUUCAAAGGAACGCAAAAGACAUUCCAAGUGUGAAAGUGUGUGUGAAAGUGUAUUAUUGUCAUAAAGUUUUUCAAACUUCCAAUAUAGAGAGUGAAAUAAAGAGCAAAAGGAAACAUCUUUCUUGUUCCCUUCCCCUUCUUUACAUGGCUUACUCAAUGAAAAAGCAAUUAAACACCCCAUUUGAUUUUCAAUAAGUAUGAGAAUGCGAAAGAGAGAGGCCAAGGGGUUCCUUGAAUAUUUUCUUCUUUUUUAUCUCGCUCACUGGGGCAAACCAUCUUUUUCAAAAUUUUGAAUAUUAGCAUGCCAUCAAAAAGAAUUUUGUUCAAUCCCAAUCCCACAUUGUCUGUAGAAGUAUUUACUUUUGACUGUACACUUUGUUAUUUUCCAAUCCCUCCCCAGUUCUGCAACCAUUUCUCUACUUUCUAUGCUCUUGGCUUGCUAAAAACUUUUAUCCUUGAUUGUAGUUAGAAAUAAAUUGGUUUUCUAGGAAGAGAUUAUUGAUUGGGAUAUAAUAUUUAAGUUGGUUCUUCAUCAUUUAAUGUUAUAAUUUAAAAUAAUUGAUGAAAAUUACUGUACACAAAAAAGUUGUGAGAACAUCCUUAAUUAGUCUAAUAAGUAAAGUGUUGUUAGUUUUGACUAUAAGAUCUUGUUAUGUAUUAUUGCAUAGUUUUUACUAUUUUUUCGGUAUUUUUUCUUUUUUAUAUACAACUUUUAUUUUUCUUGCCAGUUUGUCAUGGCACCAACACCAAUUAAUAAUAAAUCUUAGACUAUUAUUAAAUAAAGAAAAAACAUAAACAUGGUUAAAAUACCAAACUUGAAUUGCUCAAACCUAAAGAAACCCUAUGACAAUAAUCUAAUUUAGAAAAUAAUUAAUUUAUCCUUGUAGUCCAAGAAAAUAGUAUUUAAUUCUUAUGUUUUCAUAUUCAUAUAUGAUUUAAUGUGUUGAUUGAAAUUGUCAAUGGAGUUUACUCACAUAUUGUUAUAUUGAUUUUGAGUUCAAAUAGAUGUUUAAAAAGAGAGUUUUUUCAUGAAUGCAACCCUUCAUGUAGUCCAAGAAAAUUAGAAGAAUUAAUAAGUUUGCGGACUUAAUUAAACUUUGAGUUAAUUAAUCAAAUAAAUUCAGGGAUUUAAUUAAAAUUAACCUAAGGGCACAAUUAGAAAUCAAUUAUUACUGAUUAGGAUCCCAAUUGUUGAGAUUAAAUUGAUUAGGGGUCAAAGUGAAUAUUUCCAUUCCUGUCGAAAUGACACCGUGGUUGGGGAACAGUCGUGUAUCUUCUUCAUUCCGAUUCAACAGGGAAGCUGGAAAAUCGGCAGUAAAACCGACCCAAUCGUGACCACGUUCUCUGCCCACAAUCCCGUUCGUGGAGGGAUAACAGUCCUGCAAAGCCAGGACUGGUUUGAGGGGCAAGCUCUUAGGGGCCUUAUAAAAGGCAGAGUAGAGCAGAAAAAGGGAGGGGAAGAACACCGGGAAAAGACCAGAGAGCCGAAAAAUCAACCCAGAAAAACAGAGUUGAAAAAAAAAAGGGCAGAGAAAACAGAGCACAAAUCCAAAUACAGAGAGAAAGAGAGAACAAGAGGGCAGGACACAGUGAGGAGAAUUAUCCUUGAAAUUGUCUUCGGACCUGCAAACAAAGAAAAACCCGGAUUCAGCCAAAGAACACUCACAACAAGCCGGAAUCUUCUUUGUAGCUGUCACACCCGGACAUCGCGGCGACCAAUUAAAAAUUAUUAAAUCUUUGGAAAAGAACGGAUUUCUGGCAUCCUGUUCUUUAAUGGGGAAUGGUCUUUGUUUAAGGAGUCGCCACCUAGUAUUAUGGUCACUAGGAACACUAACUGGUCAACAGAGAUUCUAUGGUUCGAGACUGGUUACGUAAAAGGGAAGAUAUUAUCACCCCUUAAACGUCCUGCCUAAGGCAGGCUGCAUUGCUAGUUUCGUCUUAAAUUGCUAAAUGUUUAUUACUUUAUGCUAUGAAAAUUUGCUUAUAAUAUUCCUGACUCUGGCGCCAGUGAAUAUUCAACUAUGAAUAUUUCCAACUCUGGCGUUGGUAAAUAUUACGUAGCUAUAAAAUAAAUUAGAUCAAUAUUUUAUUUUAUUCCCGACUCUGGCGCCAGUGAAUAAAUAAAUAAUAAUAAAUUUAUUUUUUACAAAUGCAAAUAUUUUUUAUAUUUCUAGCUAAAUAAAAUAAAAUACAAUGAAUAAAAAUAAUAUAAAUUUAAACCGGUAUUUUUAUUCCUGACUCUGACGUCAGUGAAUAAACCAAUAAAUUUACAUUAUUUUUAUUCAUGCAUACACAUUUUUAUUUUUUUAUUUUUUCUGUUUUUUUAUAUAUGUUUAUUUUUUUUUUUUUAAAGGACUAAGCUUCACACGUGUAUGCAAAAGUAGUGAAUUAAAUUUGCCUAUGUACAGUACCCAUGCCCGACACCCCACGUGAAUAAAAAAAAAAAGAAAAAAAAAAAAAAGAAUUGCAAAGCAAAGGGAAAUGAAGAACUUACCUGUGCAGGAGGCGAAGUCGAAGACGGUGGCGAAGGUGUGCUGAAUUGCCAAAGCUACCUUCUCUCCUUCUCUGUUUUUAUUCUUCGUCCGCUUCUCCUCUGGUUUUGCUUUUCUUUGCUUUGAUUGCUUCUCUUAUUCUUCCUGUCUCCCCCCUGUGUUUGCUUGUUCUCAGUUCGCUUGUGUUUUCUUUUUUAUAUGUUGUUCAGGGAAUGGAGGAGCUGGUGUAAGUGGAGACAAAGCAGCUGAUGCCUGAGAGGGCGUUGUACUGCUGCUGGAGCUGGAAGAGGCGCGCGUUGCUGGUUGCUGAUGCAUGCUCACGAUGCAUGGAAGUGGCUGAGUUGCUACUAAUCUUGACGAUACUGGUUUCGUCCGCUGUAAAAGUUUUCGUGCCCCUGCAUCCGAUCAAAGCUUGUGCUUUUCCAAGCAAAAGCCAUGGUCCCUUGAAACUCAGCAGAUUUUCGGAGCAAGGAGGAUCGCAUGCCAAUGUAGUUCAUGGUUCUGGUUUAGAGGCAGACGUGGCGGAGAUUAAUGGUGAUUGGGACCACAGCCUAGAAGGUGACCGGGAGGAAGAUGAUCUCAAGCCUUUAUUUGCUUUUUUUUUUUUUGUGAGGAGUUUGCAGAUCCCGGGGGUUGAGAAUGAAGAAUGAAAAAUCAAUUUGAUGGGGAAGAGAUUGAGGCCAGGCAAGAAGGGAGGAAAAGGCUGGGGGGAGGGGGAAGCGACGGCUAGUCUAGGACUCGGCCGCGCCCUCCUUUUUUUUUUUAAAUGUCUUUUGUUUCUUUUCUUUUUUUAUAGGUUUUUGGUAAUGGUCUUCUCUUGGGUUUUUUUUUUUGUGUCGUUUAGGGUUCCUCUCUAAUCAUCCCCUCUCCUUUUCUUUCCCCUGAGAUCUGUAUUUAUAGUGCCAGAGUCCCUUCGCUUGUGAGAAACCAAGUUUCAAUCAAACUCAUUCUUUUUUUUGAAGUUUGAAUUUUAUUAAGAAUCAAAUUUGAAAGCGGAUAACUAUCAUUAUCUUAAAGACAAGGAUUAUCUCGAAGAUAAAGAUUAUCUUGAAGAUAGGGAUUAUCUUGAAGAUAAAGAUAGAAUGAUAAAAGCACAUUGUAGUCCUUAAUUUUCACGGAAGUUGACAAAUCACACUUUUCAUUGAAAUAAAUCUCUGAUCUUUUAAUUUUUCAUUUUAAACCCUGUAAAAAUUAAAUUAAAAAUCAAAGGGCCAAAAUUGGGUUAUGACAGUAGCUUUAGAAGUUACAGAGAAAUCAAGAAGGAAAGCACAGACAAGUGGUCACAGAAGGAAAACCAGAGGAGCAUUAGGCGAGAAUCAUCAAGCAGCGCUGCAAGCAUCUUCGGUCUCCAGAAGCAGGUAUGACUUCGUCCCCUUUGCAUCUUCAUUUCAAAAAGUGAUUCUGUGUUACAAGAACACUGUGUGAAGGUAAUUUAAUUACCUUCACUAGUGUUCGGGCACGCGUGAACAAGUCACGCGUGCCUUUAGUUUUUGCCCAGCCGGGUCACUGGCUUGGGCCAGUGACCGGGCUGGGCUGGCUAGGCCCAGCCCAGCCCCAAAAUUUUUUUGCUGGGCUGGGCCCACCCCACCCAGUUCAAAAAAUAAUAAAAAUAAAAAAUAUGUAUGUAUAGAUAAAAAAUAAUGUAAAUUUAUUGGUUUAUUCACUGACGCCAGAGUCAGGAAUAAAAUACCAGUUUAAAUUUAUAUUAUUUUUAUUCGUUGUAUUUUAUUUUAUUUAGAUGAAUAAAAAUAAUGUAAAUUUAUUGGUUUAUUCACUGACGCCAGAGUCAGGAAUAAAAAUACCGGUUUAAAUUUAUAUUUUUUUUUAUUUGUUGUAUUUUAUUUUAUUUAGCUAGAAAAAAAUCAAAAAAAAUGUGCAUGCGUAAAAAAUAAAUUUAUUUUUGUUUAUUUAUCACUAGCACUAGAGUCAGGAAAAUAAAAAAAUAUUAAUCUAAUUUAUUUUAUAGCUACGUGAUAUUUACCAACGCCAGAGUUAGAAGUAUCCGUAGUUUAAUAUUCACUGGCGCCAGAGUCGGGAAUAUUAUAAGUAAAUUAUCAUAUCGUAAACUAAUAAACAUUUAGCAAUUCAAGACGAAACUAGCAAUGCAGCCUGCCUCAGACAGGACGUUUAAGGGGUGAUAAUAUCUUCCCUUUUACGUAACCAGUCCCGAACCAUAGAAUCUCUGUUGACCAGUUAGGGUUCCUAGUGACCAUAAUACUAGGUGGCGACUCCUUAAACAAAAAUCAUUCACCAUCAAAGAAUAGGAUGCUAGAAAUCCAUUCUUUUCUAAUUUUAAUUUUUUAAGACCGCCGCGAUGUCGGGUGUGACAAGGAGUGAUUUCUUUUCUAUUAUUUUUUUUCUUUGGAUCAAAAGGGUCUUAUUGAAUUAUUAUUUGUUAGGUAACUAAGAUUUGUUGAUGUGAAAAAUUUGGCAUGGCCAUCGGUGAGAAUCAAAAGCAGCAGCAAUCCAUCUGUGAAGCCGUACACCACAUCAGGGCCCCAACAUUUAGACUUUUGAUGGCAACCAAAGCUAAAUUUAAAAACAGGACCAUCUGAGAAGCCGGCAUACAACAACAGGUCAAAGAUCCAAUUUCCAAAAAUAAACCAUGUAUCAUGUAGUUUAACAUCUCUAAGCAUGAUUUUUGCAAUAAUCAUCUAUGCUUUACCAUUCAUAUCUUUCACCACAGUUCUCUGUCACCACUUCACAUGCACACAUUCCAAAAAAGAGAUAGCAUGGAAAAAUGUCUUUGCUUGCCGUAAAAAAUACAAGGGCUAAAACCUAACAUAAGGAAAAUAGAUUGGGAAAAGGAAAGCAGAACCAAAGCAAGGCACUAACAAUUAGGAGGGGCAAAAACAUGAAUUCUGAAAAGGAAAAUACAUUCCGGCCUUCCAUGACCCAAUCCAUAUUGGGCAGCAAAUGAUAACCCCGCAUCGAUGUUUCCUCGUGAUGUGAAUUUCUUUUUUCUGAUACAGAAACACAAAACCAAAUUACCUCAAGGUCUAUUGUUGUUGUAAAUUUUUAAGGUAGCAGAAUUACAGGAUAAAAGUAAUUUACCAAAAUGCUUAUGGAUAAUUGGCUCUUCCAUCCAGCAUUAAUUCUAUUAUCAAUUAUAGUUCAGUCACUGGUUGUAGAUAAAUUUUUUUAAGAUAUUAUCAAGUUUUAUUUUUAUCAUUAAAAUUUAGAAUUAAUUCUAUUACGUAUUUAAAUGUGUUUAGUUACCUUGUAAACCGUAUGGUAGAGUCCCUCAAAUAUUCUGGCCACAGCAAAUUGUAUGGGGCUUGCAACCACUAUAUUUUAUGCCAAGCUAAUAAUAUUUUUUUUUCUAAAUUAAAGAUUAAUAUUUUUUGUUCGCAUCAAAUAAUUAAAAAUGAGAAUUUCAGAGCAGAGGGUUUAAGAAAUAUUAAAAGAGAAGGUUUUACGUAAUUAUUAUAUAAUUGAAAUUGUCACUAAUCUCCUUUGUUCAUUUUCUUUUUCUAUUACCCCUUCCAAUCAGCAUGCACGAAACUUUAUGUCACUCAAAUGAUACAAAUGCUUUCACCGUUUUAUGCUGAUUGUUUAUUAUUAUUUUUUUUUUUUUAAUGAAAGUGAUUGUUCAGGCCAGUUUAUAUGUAUUUUGAAGUUAACGAUCAUAUAAACUUCCAGUGACCUUGAAGUUUGUAGGACUCGAACUGAUAAUUUCUAAAAAGUAAACUUAAAGUCUAAUUAGUUGAGUUAUACCUUUCAGAAUUACAAAAUUACAUUGCUUGUUAAAUUAAUAAAGUUAUUAGUUGCUAUAAAGUAAGAGAUAAGAAAGUAUCUAGGAAUAUGGUAAAUAUUGUGUUUUAAAAUAUAUUAAAAUAAUAUUUUUUUAUUUUUAAAAUUUAUUUUUAAUAUUAUUACAUCAAAACUAUAUAAAAUUUUUUUCAGAAUAUCAAUUCAACCGUACUCCAAAGAACACUCAUACUCCAAUAUCAGCAACCACCACGAAAGUUACCACUCAAUAAUUUAUUCUUUGACAAUUAUUGCAUUGCUAAUAAUUUGCAAGGAAACAUACUUUCUAACCGAUACUCAAUCGAUCUGCACCUACCACGAAAUUACCAAUAAGAGUCUGUUUGAUAUUUUUCCAACUUUUACUAUUUUACUUCAAAGUUUCAAUAAUUGUUUUUUCAUUACAUAUUCUUUCCAACGUGUAAUAAUUUGGAACCACUCGCAAUAAAUAAAGCCAGCAAAGCCAGAUGUGUUUGUCUAUAUAUACAUGAACUGCUGAUUCGAUUUGAACACCCCAUUUCUCCGAUUCAAUAACUUCAGUUGCAAAACUUCUCUCUCCGAUUGCUGCAAUUUCAAAGCUAACUCUUUAUUAUACAGAGGUAUAUAUGGCUAACUCUUCUUUGCUUCUUUCUCGUUUUAAUUUCAUGUCUUUACCAAGAAUAAUAAUGUGAAAGCUUUGCUUGUUUCAUGUUUAACUUCAGUUGCUAUUGUCUUAUGCUCUCUCAUUAUUAAGCUUAAAUUGCUGUAUUAUCUUCGAUGAUCACUUCACAUGUAUCAGCAAUUGCUAAUUGAUUGUUCCUUAAAUUCUGCAGCUGAAAUGACAGAGCCACAGUCUUCUCAUUCUAGACCAGAAGGGGCCUAUGAUGUCUUCCUGAGUUUUAGAGGAGAAGAUACCCGCAAGACAUUUGUAGAUCAUCUAUAUACUGCCUUAGUCCAAGCAGGAAUCCACACUUUUCGAGAUGAUGAUGAACUUCCUAGAGGAGAAGAAAUCUCCGAGCAUCUUCUCGAGGCAAUUCGAGAAUCAAAGAUAUCCAUAGUUGUCUUCUCAAAAGGAUAUGCUUCUUCUAGAUGGUGUCUCAAUGAACUUGUAGAGAUUCUGAAGUGCAAAAGGAAGAAAACCGGUCAGAUUGUUCUUCCUAUAUUCUAUGACAUUGAUCCUUCAGAUGUGAGAAAACAGACUGGCAGUUUUGCAGAGGCAUUUGAUAAGCAUGAAGAAGAGCGUUUUGAAGAGAAGUUGGUGAAGGAGUGGAGAAAAGCUCUUGAGGAUGCCGGAAACCUAUCUGGAUGGAGUCUCAAUGAUAUGGCAAAUGGGUAUUCCUUCUCUCUCUAAGAUUCACUUGCACACGUUUAUGGAGUAAUUUUACAUUACAUUUUUCAAUGUGAAGUAAUAAAAUAUUUCUUUUUAACAUACUUAAUUGACUUUCUAUCGAUGACUUGCCUUUUUUCUGUGAGCAGGCAUGAAGCAAAAUUUAUCAAAGGGAUAAUCAAGGAUGUGUUGAAUAAAUUACGUCGCGAGUGCUUAUAUGUUCCUGAGCACCUGGUAGGUAUGGAUCUUGCUCACGAUAUUUAUGACUUUCUAAGUACUGCAACAGAUGAUGUACGCAUUGUGGGCAUACAUGGGAUGCCAGGAAUAGGAAAGACAACUAUAGCAAAAGUUGUAUUUAAUCAACUCUGCAAUGGACUCGAUGGAAGCUGUUUUCUUUCGGAUAUCAAUGAAACAUCAAAACAAUUCAAUGGUCUGGCUCUUUUACAAAAGCAACUUCUUCAUGAUAUUUUAAAACAAGAUGUUGCUAACAUCAAUUGUGUCGAUAGAGGAAAGGUUAUGAUCAAAGAUCGACUUUGUCGCAAAAGAGUUCUUGUUGUUGCCGACGAUGUGGCUCAUCUGGACCAGCUAAAUGCUUUGAUGGGAGAGCGAAGUUGGUUUGGUCCCGGAAGUAGAGUAAUUAUUACAACAAGAGAUUCAAGUUUACUUCGUAAAGCAGAUCUAACAUAUGAGAUUGAAGAAUUGGAACCAGACGAGUCCCUUCAGCUUUUCAGCUGGCAUGCCUUUAAGGACACCAAGCCAGCAGAAGAUUAUAUUGAGCUUUCGAAGAAAGCUGUUGAUUUCUGUGGAGGACUUCCUUUAGCUCUUCAGGUUAUAGGAGCUCUUCUGUACAGGGAAAACAAUGAUAAAUGGGAAGGUGAAAUUGACAACUUGAGCAGAAUUCCAAACCAAGAUAUUCAAGGAAAGCUUCUAAUAAGUUUUGACGCACUUGAUGGUGAACUACAAAAUGCAUUCCUUGAUAUUGCAUUCUUCUUUAUUGGUAAAGAGAAAGAAUACGUCGCAAAAUUGCUAGGAGCCUGUUGCCGUUACAAUCCAGAAGUUUUGGAGAAACUCCGUGAAAGGUCUCUGAUUGAAAUAUUGGAAGAGACGGUAACCAUGCAUGAUCUAUUACGAGAGAUGGGAAGGGAGGUCGUUUUUAAAGCAAAAGGAUGCAUGGAAUGUACUUCAGAAAAACAUUAUGGAAUGUACUUCAGCAGCAGAAGGUACGAGCUCAAUGCAUACACAUAGCCAUGCGUAUUUUCUAGUCAAACUUAUUACAAAUAAUCAUAUAAAAGUUUUAUUGUUUUUUUUUUUCAGGGUACGGAUGUUGUAGAGGGUCUUGCACUGGAUAUGAGAGCAUCAGAAGCUAAAUCACUAAGCACAGUAUCAUUUGCAAAAAUGAAACGUUUAAAUUUACUCCAAAUCAAUGGAGCACAUCUCACCGGAUCCUUCAAACUGCUUUCUAAAGAGUUGAUGUGGAUUUGUUGGCAUGAAUGUCCUUUGAAAUAUUUGCCAUCUGAUUUUACCUUGGACAAUCUAGCUGUUCUUCAUAUGCAGUACAGUAACCUCAAAGAACUAUGGAAGGGAAAAAAGGUACGAAACAUUUUACAAUCCCCAACAUUUCUCCAGUAUGUAAUUUAUAUUUACAUGUUAUGACUUUCUAUGAUUAAUUUUCAUUAUUUUUCUCUCUAUUAUAACAGAUUCUUGACAAGCUUAAAAUCCUUAAUCUCAAUCAUUCUCAGAACCUUAUUAAAACACCAGACUUGCAUAGUUCAAGUCUAGAGAAACUAAUUCUGAAAGGUUGCUUGAGUUUAGUUGAGGUGCAUCAAUCAAUUGAAAAUUUGACGAGCCUCGUUUUCUUGAAUAUGAAGGGAUGUUGGAGGCUGAAGAAUCUCCCUGAAAGCAUUGGCAAUCUAAAGUCUCUUGAAACUCUGAAUAUUUCUGGGUGUUCACAACUUGAGAAAUUGCCAGAACGCAUGGGUGAUAUGGAAUCCUUAACUGAGUUGCUAGCCAAUGGGAUUGAAAAUGAGCAAUUUCUCUCUUCAAUUGGACAAUUAAAGCAUGUCAGAAGGUUAUCAUUGUGUGGAUACAGUUCGGCUCCACCAAGUUGUUCUUUGAUUUUAGCAGGUGCUUCGAAUUUGAAACGGUUGCUGCCAACAUCUUUCACUGAAUGGAUAUCAGUGAAACGUCUCGAGCUUUUUAAUGGUGGUUUGACUGAUCGCGCAACUAACUGUGUUGAUUUUAGUGGUUUGUCUGCUCUAGAAUUUUUGGAUCUAAGAGGAAACAAAUUCUCUAGCGUGCCUUCUGGGAUCGGCUUCCUUCCCAAGCUAGAUGUCUUGUUUCUUCACGGAUGCGAACAUAUUGUAUCAAUCCUAGAUCUUCCCUCAAGUUUAAGUUGUUUCAGUGCACCUUAUUGCAAAUCAUUGGAAAGAGUAAGAUUACCAAUCGAGCCAAAAAAAAAUCUAUAUAUAAAUCUACAGGAAAGUCAUUCGUUAGAAAAGAUUCAGGGCAUUGAAGAUCUAAGUAAUGGUGGCUGGAUAAUGUGGGUUGAUGACAGCAGUCAUUCACCAAAUAAAUUAUCGAAAAAUGUUUUUGAGGUACUAUUUCUUUAAGUUUCUCUUUCGCACAAAAAUAAACACACACAAUUGGCACAUACAUUGGUUAAUGUCUAAAUUCGCAACAUUUCUUAAAAUCAAUAUGUAUACAGGCAAUAAUCAUUAUUAUUAUUAUUAUUAUUAUUAUUAUUAUAUUUUAGAAAAUAAAUAUCAUCUCUAAUAAUAUUUUUUAUUUUUCUUAUUUAAUCUAAAAAAUUAAAUAUUAUAUUUAAUAAUAUUUUUUAUUAAAUAUUUAAAGUCUGAUUGGUUUUAUUUUUUAUUUCUUGAUUUUAUGAUAAUAUAUUUGUACAGACAAUGUUUAACGGUCGUCACCGGUAUUCCUGGUAAGAUGCCAAACUGGUUGAGCUACAGGGGAGAAGGAUGCUCAUUGUCAUUCCAUAUACCUCCAGUCUUCCAAGGCUUAGUUCUUUGGUUUGUCUGUCCAUAUACCUCAUUGCUCCUUCUCACCAUAUGCUGUAAAGAAAUAAUUCUUAGAUGGUCAUCAUAAGUAGGAUGAAUUACAUCUUAAAACUCCAUCACCGAAACAACGUGGCAAAAAUAAUCAAAGGAAAAGGUGGAUGAAUUGUUUCACGUGUCAAAAUAGAUUUAUACCAUGAUUUUGAAUUCAAGUGCUAAUUGAUAUUCAGCUUAGGUGAUAUCAUGUGAAGCAAUUAAUUCGUCCACUUUUUGUUAUGCAGAUCUUUCUCUCUCCAAAUCCAAUCUUACUAAAUAUAUAUAUAUAUAUAUAGUAAUUAGGAGAUCAAAUCUUAUCCUCUCAAUACUUAUCAUUCAACUAAUUAAUAACUUUAUUUAGCAUAAAUCCAUUAAUAAACUCACGAAAAGAACCUAACAUCCUCCUGAAUUCCUUAGCCGACACUCUCGUACACUGCUGAAUCAUUGAAAAAAUCAGUAGAAGAUCUGAAGUUAGCAUCUAUAACAGUGCCUUAGAAUUUAGAAAGAGAAAGGUUUUUUCUUUACUAUAUAUUCCAUUAUAUAAAGCAACUAAAAAAAGGUGGGUGUUAACUAUACAUUCCAAUGUUCAUCCUCUCACAAAAGUUUAUUUCUCCUUUAGGAAGUCCUUGAAAUUUUUAUUGUUUUAUAAUUUGGUUGCUGAACUUUUUUUCUUUUUCAAUUAGUCCUUUCAAGUCGCAUUAUUAUUAUUAGGAUAAGAAAUAAAAGCAAUGGUAUUCAAUUGUUUGAAUGUAAACGAAUAUCACCAAAAACUGAGGGAUGGAUAAGAUACAUAAGUAGAAGUGAAAUGGCAAUGGAAGAUUACUGUGGAGAUGACGAAUUGGAACUAUACAUUUCUUCAGUGCCAACAGUGGAUAAGAUAUAUUAAAUAUUUAAGGCUUUUCGGUAAGAAUACAUAUUUUCUUUAGUUAUUUAUAUUUUAUUCUAUUUAAUUUAAGAGAUUAAAUAUCAUCUUUAAUUAUUUUAUUUUUCUUAUUUAAUCUAAUAAAUUAAAUAUUAUCUUUAAUAAUAGUUUUUAUUAAAUAAUUAGAGUCUGAUUGGUUUUAUUUUUACUUCUCGAUUUUAUGAUAAAAUGUUUCUUAAUUAAUUUAAAAAAUAAAUAUUAUCUUUAAUAAUUAGAUCUAUUGAAUAUCACUUAAAAAAUAAAUUGUAACUUUAAUAAUUAUUUUUUGAAAAACAAAAAGCCAACAAUCACUAACAUAUUUAUUAAAAUCACUUUAGUUUAUUUAGAAAAUAUUGAAAAUUGAUUUUUGUUUUUUUACAUUAAAAUAAAAAAAUUGAAUAAUGUUUUUAUAUUUUAUUUCAAACUCGAUAUUUUAAAACAAAAAUGAAAAAGAUGUGAUAUUAACCUUUUUUUAUUAUAAAGUAAGUUUUUUAAUUAAAAGUAAUAGGAAUUUGUUCGUAAUAACAAAAUGCAUGUACAAUCAUGCGCAUUUAACUUUCUUUUCAAAUUUGAAAGUUCUAAUGAAUUUGAUGGUUUUUUAGGGUGCAAAAGACUUUGAUUGACGUGAGAGUACAAGAUCAUUUUUCAUAGAGAUACUUGAAGUUGCUCCAAAUCAGUACGAUACUUCCAUCUGACAUAUUGAUAUGUAUUUGUUGGCUUGAAGAUCAUUUUCCAAGCUUGGAAGUUUUAUAAAUUGAGCGCUCUUUGUAAUCUUUUCCAUGAUGUAAUUUAUAUUUUCAAGUUACAAAUUUUGAUGAAUAUUGUUUCAUUUUUUUCCUCACUUCAAAAGAUGAAAAUCCUUGAUUGUAGUUAGAAAUAAAUUGGUUUUCUAGGAAGAGAUUAUUGAUUGGGAUAUAAUAUUUAAGUUGUUUCUUCAUCAUUUAAUGUUAUAAUUUAAAAUAAUUAAUAAAAAUUAUUGUACACAAAAAAGUUCUGAGAACAUUCUUAAUUAGUGUAAUAAGUAAAGUGUUGUUAGUUUUGACUAUAAAAUCUUGUUAUGUAUUAUUGCAUAGUUUUUACUAUUUUUUUAGCAUUUUUUCUUUUCUAUAUACAACUUUUAUUUUUCUUGUCAGUUUGUCAUCAGCAUCAACACCAAUUAAUAAUAAAUUUGAUACUAUUAUUAAACAAAGAAAAAACAUAAACAUUGUUAAAACACCAAACUUGCAUUGCUCAAACCUAAAAAAACCUAUGACAAUAAUCUAAUUUAGAAAACAAUUAAUUUAACCUUGUAAUCUUAGAAAAUAGUAUUUAAUCCUUAUGUUUUCGUAUUCAUCUAUGAUUUAAUGUGUUGAUUGAAAUUGGCAAGUGAGUUUACUCACAUAUUGUUAUAUUGGGUUUGAGUUCAAAUAGACGUUUAAAAAAGGGAGUUUUUCAUGAAUGCAACCCUUCAUGUAUUCAAUAUGAAUGAUGGGAGAUUUUAAUGUCUUGUAAAUGCAUUCAUUUAUAUAUGGAUGAUUUUGCUAAGAAUUGGUUGGUUAAAAACUUAAUUUCGUUAUAUAAAAACUGAAGAGAUAACAAUAAAUAGCUAAUAAUUGAUGUGAUAAAAAUGAUUUAUAUGCGUGUAUAAGCUAAUUCAAAUGAAGAUUAAAAUAAAAAAGACAAAAAGAAAAAGAAAAAGGAAAGACUCGUUAAGAUUUUAUGUUAGUGUUCAACAUAUUUUUUCUUAUUUUAUUUUUUUAAUUGGAUUACCUUUGUCUUUCAUGUCAAGUAAAAUUCUGGUAUAUAACACUAAAUUAAAAAAAAUAAGAGGUGAAGUAAAGGUCUAACUAAAUGAAAUACAAGUACAAAGACUACAUCAAAUACAUUUCAUAUACUCAACUCUUAGGAAAUUGACAUUUCAAGGCUAUUCGUAUCUUGAAAACAUAAUCUCAAUUUCAAGGCUAUUAUUAUUUUUUUCUUUGGAUCAAAAGGGUCUUAAUUGAAUUAUUAUUUGUUAGGUAACUAAGAUUUGUUGAUGUGGAAAAUAGCACUAAGGAACACAAAAACAGCAGCAAUCCAUCAAGAUCAUCACCAUCCUAUCGCUUUGCCGUAUUGUUUAUCUUCUUGGCAUUGUUUAAAGGAACGCAAAAAGACAUUCCAAGCGUGAAAGUGUAUUAUUGUAAUAAAUUUUUCAAACUUCCAAUAUAGAGAGUGAAAUAAAGAGCAAGAGCAAAAGGAAACAUCUUUCUUGUUCCCUUCCCCUUCUUUACAUGGCUUACUCAAUGAAAAAGCAAACACCCCAUUUGAUUUUCAAUCAGUAUGAGAGUGAGAAUUAAAGAGAGAGGCUGUCACAGUGUCAAAUGUGCACGAGGUGCACGCUUCGGCAGGCUGGCCAAAACAAGGCCUGAGGGUGCUGGCAGCCAUGCCAUCAGUGGGAGAAAUCGUCAGCGCAGAUUUAUGCGGCUGUAGGUUCGUCAAAGGGAAAAUCAGCAGCGCAGAUUGUUGACGAACAUGGGCUGGACGAGGGACUGUCCAAGCCUCGUCAGGAGGAUAGGCUGACGAGAAUUGGGGCUAUCGCAGAAUUCAGCAGCGUAGACAGGGGCAGCCUGCACGCAGAUGCGAAUUCGGCAGCGCAGAGAUUGGCAGCACGCAUAUGCGAAUUCGGCAGCGCAUUGGCAGCCUGCCCGCAGAUGCGGAUUCGGCAGCGCGCAACAACUUGUGCAAGUCAGGGGCUCGACUUGGCACGAUCUAAAACUUGGGCGAAGGAUUGUCCAAGGCAUGGGUAAAAGAGCUCUAGGCGCUGGGACGCGCCAGCGAAGGCACACUGCCUAGAAUUCGGCAGCGAUGGAUCGCGGCAGCCUUGCAUAGGCAGAGAUGAAUUCGGCAGGCAGCAUGCAAUGGUCUAUGCGAGUCUUUGAGCUUGCGACUUGGCAUGGACGUGGGGGCUUAGAUGAUGGACCUUCUAAGUCAGCAGCUGACGCAGCAGAAGCUGGCAGCUGGGGCUGCCAAGUAGACAGCCAAGAAAUGGGGGAAGUGGCAGCUUCAUGGGAGGCAGAACGUGGGAGCAUAACUGGGGUGCUUUCCAGGCCACUAUGUCCUGAAAACAUGGGAUCAUGGGUGAGAGGUAGUGCUCCACCAUGUCCUGAAAACAUGGGAUCAUGGGAGAAAGGUAGUGCUCCACUAGGUCCCGAAAAUGGGGGAUAAUGGGGAGGAGCCUUUGCAGCUCCUUUGCUUGUCUAUAAAUACAAGAUGUAGCUCUUGGUUGUGAGGGAGCAUUCGGGUGGGAAUGUUCAGAUGUAAGGGCAUUCGGUUGGGAUUGUCCAGCAUGUAGGGGCAUGCAAGAACAUGUGUAGAACACUAGUUAGAGGUAGCUUAGUGUAGCAUGCAAUCUUUGUGCAUAGCACACAUACGGAUUUGUGUAUAGUUUCCUUUGUGUAUGAGAUUAAUAAAGGUUGGGAAAGAGUUCCUGUAAAGCUUGUUGUGCACUAUGAUUCUUAUCCUUGCUUGUGUAUUCUGCUUGCUUAGUUAUUAGGCAAACACGAGUGAGAUUGGUGAGGGAAGGCUGAGUCUAGUGAGGGACUAGGCUGCCGCACGGGUUUAUUCGCGUAGCGAAAAAUACCCCCGUGACAGUUGGUAUCAGAGCGCGGUUGCUUUCGUGGCAGGAUGACGAGAAGAAUUCUGCGGCCAAAUCAACGGACUGAUUUGGGAGAGCUACUGCUUCUGCCGAUGGAGAAGCAGAUUUCAGCGCAAUGAUCAGCGACGAGAAUGCUGGUGUUUCUCGGGACAAAUCGAAGGGACUGAUUUGGGAGAAACAUUGCUGCUGCCGAUGGACUGGCAGAAACUUUGGAGCAAGAGCGCAAUAUGCGUUCAUGACGAAACGAUGGGCUGUUUCGUAGCACAGACGAUGGGCUGUUCUGUGGGGGCAGAUCGAAGGGCUGAUUUGUUCCAAGCCAUUUGAGGGAAAAACUUGCUAGCGUUUUGGGCAGUGUUGGUGUUCAAAAGGCCUGCGGAGUUUUAGGGGUUUAACUACUCCAUGGGCGAUGCAAAGUGACGACGAAGGGAUCAGCUCAAGAUGGGUGCUGAUUCGGCCAUUGAAACUGUCAGGUGGACUGGCAGGCUUGAGAGUAGGGGCCAGCGGAGGGGCUGCUGGGCGCUUCUGUAUUUUCGUCAAAGCCUUGAGGGAAGGAUGGGGCGAGACAGAAGAAGAAGCAAGUCAAUGUGGAGAGCCUAAACUUGUUGCUGCUGAUGAUGGACAGUCAGACGAGAAGGCAAAUCGGUAAGGGUUCGAAACUGAAACUUGCAUUGUUGUUCUCUUGCGAUGGAAAUUACUUUGUGCGAGAUUGUUGCCCAAAGGAGGGGAAACCUUGAUGUUGUCAUUGUGGAAGAUGGUGUUUGAGAUUAGGCAUACGUAAACCUUAUACGUUUGCUAGAUGACCGAGAUGGAAUUCAGUCAUCAUGAGCCAGCAUAUCGGAGUGGAUGCGGUCUGGCCUUGCUUGCUGCCUUGGUGGCAGAACUUAGGGAUUGUUGUGCAUCUCAAGGAAGGAAUGUUCAGGGAGAUGAAUGUUCAGGGAGGUGGAAGCAAAAUCCAGAGACCAAGUUGAGGACAGACGAAUCUAUGAGGAUUUGUUGUGGCUUUGCUGCCUUUGUGGAGGCAGAAUUGAUGUCUUCGGUGGAGACCUUGAUGAUGGACAGUUCAGGGUGAAGAAGACAGAACAGUGGCUGAGAUAGACUUUAGUCACGUUGAGACCAGGAUUGGAGGCAUUAAAGAGGAGGCAGUACCGUGGGGGUGUGUCUCAAGGAGUCUGCACGUUGUCGAGGGACAGACUGGGUGACAGAUUCGGCAGCCGAUCCAGUGGGCUUGGCGUGGAAGCCAAAAUCUUCGAUGAAGAUGAUUUUGUGUAUUGUCUUGGAAUCAGUACGAGUGGCUAUUCUGUGCAUUGUGAUGGUUGGCAGUGAUGGAAGCAGAAUGGUAAUGACCUUGUUGGGACAAAGUGUUGCGAGUUUUCGGUUGACGAAACAUGCAGCGAAGGUUGAAAACAGUAGGGGCUGUUUUGCGUCAGCGAAAUCUUGUGUGAUGGACGAAGUUCUAGCGCAUGACAGUAGCGCAUGGGGGAACCAGGUCAGACGAAACUUGAUACUGGGAUGCUAUGUAUUGGUGCUAUGGCAGGUUACAGAUGGACUUAGAGGGACUUGCCGAAAGACUUCGACAUGAGAUGGAGUUGAUCAACGAAACUGAGUCGGUGCUAGGUUCAACAGCACUGUCUCAUUCUUAUUUCUUGCAGGUGGAGAACCUAAAAGGGCUGACGGCAAUGGGAAGUCAGAAGCCAAGGGCAAGGAAAAGGUUUCGGAAUCAUGUUUGGGCUGUUUUAUUUGUGAGGGGAAGCACUUCACAAGGGACUGCCCGUUAAGAGCACAGUUUAGUGCUACUUCCGUGGAGAAGAAUGGAGAAGGAACGGCAUACGUAAAUCCUAUACGUGUGCUAAACACUAAGUAAAGAGUUAGUGUGAAGGGGCCAGCACAGUUGAUGAAGACUUAGGCGUGGCCGAACUGCCUUGUGCGAGGCAGAUUUGGGGGAGUUUCAUAACUUGGACGAUGGACAGAUCAUGGUUUAACUCCAGGCGUGAGGAUGCGCCAACGAAAAACACACUGCAUAGAAUUCGGCAGCGAUGAACAGCAGCAGCCUUGCAUGGGCAGAGGUGAAUUCGGCAGGAUGUGUUGAUUGCUGAGAAGCGGACAAGUAAGCAAUAUUGGUAAUACUUGCAGUUUUGGGGCACGCAGAAUGGUUGGAGAACUAGAAUGUUCGUAUGGGAGCUCAUGCGGUUCUUCGAAGUGAUUUUGUGUGGAUGUAUUUUGUGAAGGAAGGGACGGAUUCCUUGGGUGCUAGGCGUGGCAUCUAAACUUUGCGAAAACAUGCUUGCGAGUAUGAUGUGUUUGACAUUUGUGGAAAACUAACGAGCCAAAACAGAAUGUGUCACAGCUUGGUUUUUCGAAACAGGUUGACAAAGAUUCGGUGGACUGAAUUUGUUGUUGAAUGUGGGAAAAGCUAAGGGGUUUCGUGCGGAGAAACGUGGAUUGUGACGAGGAACAGAUGCGGUGCAAGGGUACUUCAAUUCUGUCCGACGAGGGCGUCGGGUUCUUUUGGUGGGGGUGGUUUGUCACAGUGUCAAAUGUGCACGAGGUGCACGCUUCGGCAGGCUGGCCAAAACAAGGCCUGAGGGUGCUGGCAGCCAUGCCAUCAGUGGGAGAAAUCGUCAGCGCAGAUUUAUGCGGCUGUAGGUUCGUCAAAGGGAAAAUCGGCAGCGCAGAUUGUUGACGAACAUGGGCUGGACGAGGGACUGUCCAAGCCUCGUCAGGAGGAUAGGCUGACGAGAAUUGGGGCUAUCGCAGAAUUCAGCAGCGUAGACAGGGGCAGCCUGCACGCAGAUGCGAAUUCGGCAGCGCAGAGAUUGGCAGCACGCAUAUGCGAAUUCGGCAACGCAUUGGCAGCCUGCCCGCAGAUGCGGAUUCGGCAGCGCGCAACAACUUGUGCAAGUCAGGGGCUCGACUUGGCACGAUCUAAAACUUGGGCGAAGGAUUGUCCAAGGCAUGGGUAAAAGAGCUCUAGGCGCUGGGACGCGCCAGCGAAGGCACACUGCCUAGAAUUCGGCAGCGAUGGAUCGCGGCAGCCUUGCAUAGGCAGAGAUGAAUUCGGCAGGCAGCAUGCAAUGGUCUAUGCGAGUCUUUGAGCUUGCGACUUGGCAUGGACGUGGGGGCUUAGAUGAUGGACCUUCUAAGUCAGCAGCUGACGCAGCAGAAGCUGGCAGCUGGGGCUGCCAAGUAGACAGCCAAGAAAUGGGGGAAGUGGCAGCUUCAUGGGAGGCAGAACGUGGGAGCAUAACUGGGGUGCUUUCCAGGCCACUAUGUCCUGAAAACAUGGGAUCAUGGGUGAGAGGUAGUGCUCCACCAUGUCCUGAAAACAUGGGAUCAUGGGAGAGAGGUAGUGCUCCACUAGGUCCCGAAAAUGGGGGAUAAUGGGGAGGAGCCUUUGCAGCUCCUUUGCUUGUCUAUAAAUACAAGAUGUAGCUCUUGGUUGUGAGGGAGCAUUCGGGUGGGAAUGUUCAGAUGUAAGGGCAUUCGGUUGGGAUUGUCCAGCAUGUAGGGGCAUGCAAGAACAUGUGUAGAACACUAGUUAGAGGUAGCUUAGUGUAGCAUGCAAUCUUUGUGCAUAGCACACAUACGGAUUUGUGUAUAGUUUCCUUUGUGUAUGAGAUUAAUAAAGGUUGGGAAAGAGUUCCUGUAAAGCUUGUUGUGCACUAUGAUUCUUAUCCUUGCUUGUGUAUUCCGCUUGCUUAGUUAUUAGGCAAACACGAGUGAGAUUGGUGAGGGAAGGCUGAGUCUAGUGAGGGACUAGGCUGCCGCACGGGUUUAUUCGCGUAGCGAAAAAUACCCCCGUGACAGAGGCCAAGGUGGUCCUCGAAUAUUUUCUUCUUUUAUGUCUCGCUCACUGGGGCAAACCAUCUUUUUCAAAAUUUUGAAAAGCAUGCCAUCAAAAAGAAUUUUGUUCAAUCCCAAUCCCACAUUGUCUGUAGAAGUAUUUACUUUUGACUGUACACUUUGUUAUUUUACAAUCCCUCCCCAGUUCUGCAACCAUUUCUCUACUUUCUAUGCACUUGGCUUGCUAGAAACUAAAGAAAACACAUUGCUCUACUUGCCUGCCUUCACUCUUCAGAUUGCUCAACAAAUCCCUUGAGACCUUCUCCAUAGUUAACACAUCACAUAAUGGCUAAUCUCAAAAAUUUAGCCAUAAACAUUGAACACCUUAAGCAAUCAACGUCCCUUCCUUCACAAUAUGCAUCACCCAUAAAUCUUUCUUUUGGGAUGUCGCCGGGAGUUUAAUCUCCGAGUGUAAAAAUUAUGUAUAAAUUUCCAUUCUUUCUUUCCAUCCAUUACUUGUCCUCUAUGAAGAUUCUAUGUAUGGAAUCUCGGAAUCUUUUCGAGCAUAACUUGGGAUCAACAGCUGAGAUCAUAGACGUGGGAUUAAUUGACAAAAUUUAUUUUUAACCAUCAAUAUUGAAUAAUGGCUUAUUUUAUAAUAUAAAUUAUGUUUGAAAUAAAAUUGAUAAAAUUAAAAGACAUGAAACACAAUUAAUGACGACAUAGUAUAUUUUGAGACUAAAUUGAGGUUUUUCAAUUACCUUUAAACAUAUCUUGGUUUUAAUAGUGGACGGUACAUCCUUUGGAUUUAUUAGAAAAAACAUGCAAUGUAAAUUUAAAAAAUAUAUAUAUUUAGUUUUCAAAUACACAUAGUAAUAAAAAAUUAGAUGAUAGUAAAAAGAAAAUAAAAAUUAGUCUGAAUAAUUGGUAUCAGUUUCUAUUAUGAUAUAUCUAGCGAAGAAGUUCAAAGAAUAGAAUGAAGUAAAAUAUUCUUAAUAAAAAAGAAAAAAAACCACAGAAAAAAAUAAAAUAUGUUUUUAAUAAAUAUGAAAGAUGGAUAAAAUUAGAGAACAAGAAAGAGAAAUAGAAUCUCUUUGUAAGAACUUCUAAAAAUUUAAUUAUAAUUUAGUAUUUCUUCCUUAUAAUUAUUCAACGCUAGGUUUUAAUAUAUAAUUAAAGAGUCUCUCUCCUGAACCAGAUAAUAAAAAGAUUGUAUAACUCUUUUGUAUGAAUUGUAAAUCCAGGGACUGUUUUGGUCCCUGACUUCGUUGAUUUGAUUUGAAUAUAUUAUUUAUAAAUUAGAUAAGAUUCAAACUAAGGGGAUUAAAGUGUAAAAUAAAGAAAAACACCCUUGGCAAUCUAAAAUAAUUGAAGUAAUGAAUGCAUGAAGCAAGAUAAUUAGUGGUUGAAUACAGAUUAUAACUAAUUAUUUGUUCUGAUGAACAUUACCAAAUACAAAAAAAAAUGUUUCUAAAAUAAUAAGAUAUGAAUUAACUAUAGGCGGCAAAUAAUUAAAAGAGAUAUAAAUUUUGUGAUGAGUUAUGGUUAAUGCAGAAGCAAAUAAAAGAGGAACAGAAAUGAUAGGCAAAUAUUGUUUCUGGGGUAGUGUUUGUCACUGCGGUUAGAAAAUGUUUUUAAAUUUUUUUUAUUUUUUUUAUUUUAAAUUAAUAUAUUUUUAAUAUUUUUAAAUCAUUUUAAUAUGCUGAUGUUAAAAAUAAUUUUUAUAAAAUAAAAAAAUAUUAUUUUAAUAUAUUUUCAAAUAAAAAACACUUUAAAAAACAAUCACUCCAAACUUUUAAACACUUAAUUAAAACCCAACCUUACAGCUUCUCUCUCCAUAUAUCGUCUUCUUCUGCUUUUGUCAUGGCAUCAACUCAUCGAGUACAGGUAGAGAUACUUGAGGUCUGUCAAGUCAUCUCGUCCUUGAACUCACUUGACCCAGCCACCGAGUUAUCUUUUCUGCUCAUCCUUUUUCCUACAAACUCACCAAGGCAACACCAGAUUAUUUUAACUAAGUGAUCCUUCCAGGUAGCCCCAGGCCACAUUAAUUCUGUUUUUUUUAAAACAAACUCGGCUUAGUUAUUAAUAACAUGUUGCAUCCACAGUCUUACCACUAUAUUAUAAUUAUUUAGGAGGAUAGUUGAACCAUACUUUUUAAAAAAAUUAAUUUUUUUUUUAUACUUUUUAAACAUGUUAUUAUAUUCAUUUCUAAUUUAAUUUUUAUCAUCCAUUUCAUCGUUUUAUUUAUUUAAUAACUAAAUUUUUAAGUGAAAGCAUAUAGUCUUACGAUAAAAAGCAUUUUUUUGAAAUAAAAUAAUAUUAAAUUAACCAUGCUCAACAUUGUUCAAAUUAUUAAUUAAUUAUAAUUAACUCGAGGCCUUUAGAAGAAACAAAAUGGAAAGACAAAAUUAUCUUCCCCACAACCAUAGUUGGGAUUUUUAAAAAAUUAAUUUUAUUUUUAAUUUUUUAAAAAUAAACAACCAAUAAUAAUAUAGUUGGGAUUUUUAAAAAAUUAAGAUGAUUAAAAAAUCGUAUAAAAAGCAAUUUGAAACCAAUUAAUGUUAAAAACAAAAAAAACAAAAUGAAACAUGCCAUGAAAACAAGAGGGUCUUAUUGAAUUAUUAUUUGCUAGGUAACUAUAUAAUAUAAUCUGUUGAUGUGGAAAAUAACACUAAGUUUUUGGCAUGGCAUUGGUGAGAAGCAAAAGCCAUAGGACCAUCACCAUCCUAUGGCUUUGCCGUGCUAUUUGGUUCAAAGGGACGCAAAAAGACAUUCCAAGUGCGCAGUGUUUAUUGUCAUAAAGUUUUUCAAACUUCCAAUAUUGAGAGAGAAAUUAAAAAAAAAAAAAAAAACCAAAAGGAAAAAACCCCCACCCCAUCUUUCUUGUUCCCUUUUCCUUCUUUACAUGGCUUACUCAAUGAAAAAGCAAGCACUAAUGCACCUUCUCCACAAGCUACCCCCUAUUUGGCCACUAUAUAAAUAUAUUAUGGAAAGCAAGAUAAAAAGAAAUCUUUGAUGACUUGCAUUAUCAAUGCAAAAUCUAUUUAUAUAAUUGCUAAAUCUAUAAAGAUAAAUCGAAAAUAACUAGUAAAAUCAGUGACUUGCAUUAUCAAGCUUGACGAAUUUUAAGCUUAAUCUAUUGUAUUAUCUUUGAUGAUCACUUCACAUGCAUCUCUUGCUUGUAUUUGCAAGAGAGUGGAUACCUUCUGCAAUUGCUCAUCGCUAAUUGAUUGUUCCUUCUGCUCUCUCAUUAUUAAGCUUAAACUGUUGUAUCAUCUUAUCUUCCACAAUAAGGAUAUAAUUAAUCAAUCGGACCGACCAUUAUGUUAAGGAUAAGAGAUUGUUGGCACCUCUUUUUUCCUGUUGACAACUCAUGAUUUAUUUAUAGCAGUUAAGGAUAUAAUUAAUCGGACCCACCAUUAUAUAUGUUCCACAUUAAAGAUAUAAUCCAAUGUUUCAUAAUGAUCAUCUUGAAGUUGUUUUUUUCCGCCUUAAUGUUCAGCAUUUUUUAUUUUAUGAUCAGAUAUUAUUUGGAUGUGAUAAUAUAAAAAAUAAUAUUUUAAAAUUUUAAAAAUAAUUUUUAUUAUAUUUUUUUUAUAAAAAAAAUACUUUAAAAAACAGUUAUUAUUACUUACAUGUGAUCUUUCAAUCUUUCAUGAUUGCCUUGUAUUGAUUAAAAGGAAGAAAUAUGAAUACCUCGGCAUUCUGCCACUCAUCAUUUAUCCCUAGGGGAGGCCAGGUAGGUCUGGCCAUUGCUUGCUUCUGUUAAUAAUGAACCUCAUUCAGCUUACGCAUCAACUAUUCAUAACCUAAUUUUAGGUUAUUUUUUAAAAUUUAUUUUUUUUUAAAUAAAAAUAAAAAUAAUUAAAUAAAAAUUGACAGUGCGAAGAAAACAGGUCGGGAAAUAUAACUAUAAUUAUACCCCAUUAUAUCUAAAAAUUAAAAAACAAUGUAAAUUCAAAGUUAAAUUAAAUAAUUAUUGAACGAAUUUGCAUAAAUAUAAAGUCCAAUAACAUAAUUAAAUUUUUAAUAAGUCAAUUUAAUUUAAUCAUAGACCAAAAUGAUUUUUAAUUACGUUUAAGAAUUAAUUUUAAUCCAAUUAAAAGGUUUAAUUAAGUGAAAAGGUUUAAUUAUACUUUAAAGAGGUUAAAUUAACUUUAUUAAAGAUUUAAUUGAUGAAAAAUUGAGUUUAAAAACUCAAUUUAAAUUUAAUUAAAAAGAUUAAUAUUUUAAAUAAUCAAAUUUAAUUUUUAUCAAAUUAAUUAAUUAAAAUCAGGAUGCAAAAUCACAAUAAAUUGAAGUUUAGCUUUUAUCAUUUCAAAAGUUGCAGCCUCAUCUUCACUACUUGUAAAAUUGGGGCAGAUUAUGGACUUAACCGAGCAAUUACCACUCGAAAUUCCUCGCAAUUUAUGAAGGAAAUUUCCGUGUUCUUUCUCUGUAUAUUAUUAGAAAAACUGUCAUUGACUAAUUUAAUUGUAAAGUCUUUGCAAGAAAGCUAAAAGAAUUAGAGUUUUUUAAUUUCUAAAAUUAUAAUUUUAAAUUGUAAAAAGAAUUCAAUUAUUUUUACAAUUCAUCAACAGGUAUAAAAAACAAUUAUACCACUAGCUGUCUUCUCCCAAUGAUCUUUGUAACACUUCCAUUUCCACAUCAUGCAUGAUCAAUUUAUCAGAAUUUUAAUUAGUGGUUGAAUAUAGAUUAUAACUAAUUAUUUGUUCUGAUGAAGAUUACAAAAUUAAAAUGAAAUUACAGCUUCUCUCUCCAUGGUCUUCCUCUGCUUUUGUCAUGGCAUAAAUAAUAGGAAAUAAAUUAACUAUAUAAAUUUAGUGAGGAGUUAUGAUUAACGUAGAAGCAAAUAAAUUAAAAGAGAUAUAAAUUUUAUGAUUAACGCAGAAGCAAAUAAAAGAGGAACAGAAAUUAUAAGCAAAUAUUGUUUUCGGUUUCGACUUUAAAUCAAACCUAUAAAACCUAACCAUUACAUCUUCUCUCUCCAUCGCCUUUUCCUCUGCUUUUGUCAUGGCAUCAACUCAUCGAGUACAGGUAGAGAUACUUGAGGUCUGUCAAGUCAUCCCGUCCUUGAACUCACUUGACCCAGCCACCGAGUUAUCUUUUCCGCUCGUCCUUUUUCCUACACCAAGGCAACACCGGAUUAUUUUAACUCAGUGAUCCUUCCAGGUAGGCCCAGGUCACAUUGAUUAUGUUAAAAAAAAAAAAUCUAAUGUCUUACCAUUAUAUUAUAAUUAUUUAGGAGGAUAGUUGAACAAUACUUUUUUAAAAAAAUUAAUUUUUGACGAGUAAAAUAAUGUGGAACCAAUCGCAAUAAAUAAAGCCAAAAAAGGCAGACGAGUGUGUCUAAUUCAUGACUUGCAUUGACUAAAAAUUACCACUAGAAAUUCCUAGUUUUAUCCUAUAUAAAGAAUACAAAAAAGGCAGACGAGUGUGUUUCGUGGUGCUUUCUCGGCCUGCAAAUGAAUAGAAAGCAUAUCCUUUUAUCCUAUAUAAAGAAUAAUACAAUUAACAAAGCAUAUUUCAAUAUCCUUGCUUUACUCUCCAGCCAUAUGGCCAUUGAUAGAAAGGUGUGUUGAAGCAAAAUCUUUUUUUAUCUGUAGCGACCUCAAUAAUGUUAUCGCGUGGGACCCAGUUGUUGCGACCACCACGAAAUUACCACUCCAAAUUGCUUGUUCUUUCUCUUUCUCCGUAUAUUAUUAGAAAAACUGUCAUUACUAAUUUAAUUGGAACUUAUUUGAGAGAAAGCUAAAAGAAUUAGAUUUUUUUAAUUUAUAAAAAAAUUCAAUUAUUUUUAAAAAUAAAACAUCAACUAUUUACAUAAUAGCUAAAUAAAUCUAUUAAAAUAAAUUGAAAAUAACUAGUAAAAUCAAGCAAAUAAUCCAAAAAUAAUAAGAAAAUAAAUAUAUUUUCUAGAUCUGAUUUGAGUAUUUUUUUAUCUUGAUUGACUGACUUGUUAAGUCUCACUAAGUAUAAAUGAAGUCUGUUUGAUAUUUCUUCAUUUAUUAAUGAAAUAUUACUUCUAUUAUAUAGUUAUUGGGUUUCGAGUUGAUCCAUCGGGUCAAUAGGUAAAUAGUAUAUUCUUUGAAUUUAUUAGAAGAAACGUGUAAUGUAAAUUAUAGAAAAAUAUUUAUUUUUCUGAUAUACAUAAUAAUAAUAAUAAAUUAGAUGGUAGUAACAAAAGAAAAUAGAAAUUAAUUUGAAUAAAUGGUAUGAGUUUCUAUUUUAAUAUAUCCAGGGAAGAAGUUCGAAGAAUAGAAUGAAGUUAAAUAUUUUUAAUAAAAAAAAGAAAGAAAAAAAUAAAAUAUAUUUUUAAUAAAUAUAAAAGAUGGAUAAAAUUAGAGAACAAGAAAGAGAUAUAUAAUCUCUUUGUAAAAACUUCUAAAAUUUUAAUUACAAUUGAGAAUUUCUUCCUUAAAAAUAUCCAAAAAAUUCCUAUUAUUUAUGAAUCAAGACAACAGUAGAAUAACUUUUACAUAUUUUUCAAGUCUACUUAGAAUAAUUAUUUUAAUAUUUUAAAAUUAAAAAAAUACUGUGUAGUUGUUUUGUAUAAAUUCUAAUGUUGAGAACUCUUUUGUGCUUGGUAAAAUAUGAUUUUCAACUUUCGCAGGCGAGCACUAAAGUCCCAAACUUGAAGAAUUUCUCUUCUUUUCCUUUUGUAUUUUCUCAUUUUUUUGGCAUGCGCGCAGCUGCUUCAUGGAAAAAACGUUUCAGAUGCGGAAAAUAAAGAUAAAUGUAGAAAAUAAAAGUGGAAAAAAAAUCCCAAAUAUCGACAAACAUCACAAGAGAAGCUUGAUAUCAACCACAUGCUGCAGUCCACAGUCUUUCCAUUACAUUAUAAUUACUUCUAAAAAAAAAUUAAUUUUUAUUUAAUUAUAUGCCAUCAGCAACUACCUCAAAAUUACCACUCUAAAUUCCAGCUCAAUAUCGAUUAACAUGUGGCUAAAAAAUUUGAUAAUCUCUUAUAGGAAUCUCUUUAUUUAUUAAAUCAUCAAAAUAUCAGAGUAUAUUUCAAAAGACUAUGACUACAGUUUAUAUAUAUAUAUAUAAAAAUAGAAACAACUAAAUAGAAAAAUUAUUAUUUUUUAAAUAAAAAACUAGAAAAGCCUGAUAAUAUUAUUGAAUAAAAAAUAAAAUAGAAAUUUAAUCAAUUAAAAGUUAAAAAAAAUACUGUUUAACUGUUUUGUAUAAAUUCUAAAGUUAAAGAGCCUUUUGUGCUUGGUAAAAUACGUCACACUAAAAUUAAUAAAUAAUAACACAAGAAAGGACCAAAGUUAAUAAAUAAUAGCAUGCACGAAACUUCAUGAUACCCAUGUUUUCCACGUUUUACACUGCUUUAAUAGAUUGUUACAGCAAGAGCACAGAGAGAGGAACGGUUCAAGACAGAACAAUAAAGGAGGGGCUGACGCUCAGUGAGGACAUCCUCCAGCUCAUCUGAUCCAGCUCAAAUGGUUGCAACCACCACGAAAGGAACGCAUUAAUGUUAACGCGUGGACCCAGUUGCUGCACCAGCAUGAAAGUACCACUCCAAAUUCCAGCUCAAAUUGAAUAAUGAUUUAUUUUCUAGCAUAAAUUAUGUUUGAAAUAAAAUUGAUAAAAGACAUAAUUACACAAUUAUUGAUGGGAUCGUAUAUAAAAAUAAUUAAAUUGAGAUUUUUUAAUUAUUUUUAAACAUAUCAUGGUUUUAGGUACAUCAUGUAAAUUAUAAAAAAAAUAUUUAUUUUUCUGAUAUAUAUAUAUAUAUAACAAAUGGUGUGAAAGGGGGAAGUACUAUGAGAGCUUUAUGCCACUUUCUAUCUUUGAUGUAAUGGCUUUGGCAAAAAGAAGCAAACAAAAGUUAGUGUUCGCACUACUUUAGCCGAAGAGUCUUUCAUGGGUGCCUUGGAUUGAUUGAUAGGAAGAAGUCUGCUUUGUUUUUAGAAAGAAGCAGUCUUCAUUGCUUUAAUAAAUUAUUACAAUAAUAGCACUAAGAGAAGAGAAGAAUGAGAGAUGAUCCGAGUUUCAAAACUAUAGUUUAUAUAUAAAAACAACUAAAUAGAAAAAUUAUUAUUUUUUAAAUGAAAAAACCAGAAGAGCUUGAUAAUAUUUAAUAAAAAAAUAAAAAUGAAAAAAUAUGCCUUUUUAAGUACAAACAAAAUUAUAAAGAUUUAAUAAUACUGUAUAAAAAAAUUAAAAAUUCUAACCUAAAUUAAAAAAAAUAAAAAUAACUGAAAAAAUAUUUAUAAAAAUUACGGUAUGUAAAUCUAGGGACUAAAGAUAAUACAACUGCAUUGACCGGAGAUUUCACUUAGAAUUUCUAGUAAAUUAUAAAGGAAAUUUCCUUGUGCUUUCUCAUAUACAUGAAUUUAAAAAUUAUCGUUGCUGGAUUGACUUGCAUUGACUGACUUGCUAAGUAUUUGCUGCUCUUGUGCUCUCUCUUGUAUAUUAUUAGAAAAAUUGUCAUUGACUAAUUGACUUGCAAAAGUAUUUGCAAGAAAGCUAAAGAAUUAGAGUUUUUAAAAUUUUUAAAUUAUUAAAAACAACCAAUUAUUUAAAAAAAAAAUCAAGAAUACAACAUCAACUAUUUAUAUAAUUGCUAAAUAAAUCUAAUAAAAUAAAUCGAAAAUAACUAGUAAAUAAUUCAAAAAUAACUAGAAAAUAAAUAUAUCUCCUCAAUAUGAUUUGAGUAUGUUUUCUAUCUUAAUCGACUGACUUGCUAAGUAUUUGUUAAACAUAAAAAAACUUUACUUUAAAAGUCUAUUUAAUAUUUUUCUUACUUUUAUUAUUUUACUUCAAAGUUUCAAUUUCAUAUUUUUUUACAAUGUAUAUUUUAUUUGAUUAAGGAUAUGUUAAGCAUUGACUCGAAAUUACUACUUGAAAUUCUGGACUGGAAACUAGCUUAAACGCUGGCCACCAACUCUUUUUUGCUCGAUUCAUAGGGAGAGAUCAGGGUAGAAAAUGUGAUUUUUUAUUCAAGAUCGUGGAUAGUACGUUUAAGAUUAUGGAAAUGUGUUUUUUUGUUUACUAGAAGGAUUGGGUCGAAAAGAGGGAAAAAAGUGACAACCUUCCAUAUACGUUUAAGGAAAUCUAGAUUUCUGUAAAUUUUAGGAAAAAACAAUGUCAUUUUUGUUUUUCUUUCAAUAUCAAAAUUUUUUCUUUCCCUAAAUUAUGAUAUAAAAACUCUCAAACUUAAUUUUUACGUAUAAUAUUUAAUUAUUGGUCUAAUUUCAAUACUAACUAUAUAUUUUAUUAUUAUUAUUUGUGUAUUUUUUUUCUGAUUAUUUCUAACCACUUAAAAAAUUAAAAAAAAUAUCAAAAUAAUAAAAUAAUUAAAAUGAACUAAAUUUACUGAAAAUAUUUUUUUAUAAAAAAAUGAAGGGUAAAAAAAUUAAAUUAUGACAUAUAUCAUUAAUUAUUGAGAUUCUUAUAACAAACACGGAACUUCAUGUCACUUGAUGAUACCCAUAUUUUCAACGUUUUACACUGCUUUAAUAAAUUGUUACAAUAAUAGCACAGAGAGAAGAAUGGUUCAAGAGAAAACAAUAAUGGAAGGGAAUCAAAAUCUUUGUUUGAUUUUCUGUUGUGUUUUUGGUACAUUGGUCAACAAUAGCUUGGAAGAGUUUGGUAGCAGUAAGUAACCUUUUCGACCUCAAUAAUGUUAACGCGUGGACCCAGUUGUUGUGGAAACUUUGCAGAGGAAGAAAAAUGAUUGCAUUGCUAAUAAUUUGCAAGAGAGAAUUCUUUCUCUGAAUAUAUAGAAAAAACUAUUAUUUUUAAAAUAAAAACAACUAUAUAGAAAAAUUAUUAUUAUUUAGGUAGAAAUGAUUUAAUUAAGGAAGUAUGUUAAAAAAUAAUAUAAAUUAUAUUUUAGAGUUUAUUUUAAUAGUUUAAAUUUUUAGAUGGAUAGUUUUUGGCAUGGCCAUCGGUGAGAAGCAAAAGCAGUAGCAGCCCAUCAGGACGAUCACCAUCCUAUCGCCGACAUUCCAAGUGUGAAAGUGUAUUAUUGUCAUAAAGUUUUUCAAACUUCCACUAUAGAGAGAUAAAUAAAUAAAUAAGUAGAAAGCGCAAAAGAAACAAUACGAUAAAUUUAAACUAUACUAAAGGUCAGUUUUUCACUCUGUGUGAAUCUACAGUGAAAGUUUGAUUUUGCACAUGGUAGAUAAAUUUAGGUUUAGGAGUAUAAUUUUUUAUAUAUAUAAUUACACUAAAGAAGAAUAUUAAUCAAAUAACCCUUAAAAAAUUCCUUUUAAUUUAUGGUUUAUUUUUUUUAUCUAAUUUAAAGUGAAUUUUAUACCUGAUAAUAUUUUAUCUAAUUUUAUUACACGCUAAAAAAAUUAUGAAAACUGUAGUUCUUGUCGGAUGUAUUUCGUACGUAAUGGAAUUGUAGAUGGUUUCAUGGAAUAAUAAAAAAUAUUUUAUAUAAAGUAUAAUUUAUUUCAUGAUGUAAUAGCAAUAGUUAAAUUCAUAAUAUUUAAAUUAAAAAUCAUCAAUAUUAAUAUAUAUUUUUUAAAAUUAUUUUAUAACCUCAAUUUUAAAAACAUUAUUAACCAAACACAUUAAAUUACUUUUUCUUCAGCCUCAAUUUCAACCAUAAUUUUAACCAAACACCUAUUUUUUCAAACCAACUUCAACUAAAAGUACUUUUUAUAAAACAAUUUUUUUCAAAUCAUAACCACAACAGCUACCGCAAUACCAAACACACUCUUAAUCAACUUAAAUUUGAGUGUACCUUCCGAGUAAGACAAACCCUGUAUUUUAAAAUACUAUUGCCAAAAGAUCCCCUUAUAUAUGGAUCAAGACAACAGUAUCACUCCCAUUUUAGUAAUAGAAUAAGUUUUACAUAAUUUUCAAGUUUAGUAGAAUAGUAGUGGAUUAAUUUUUUUAAUAUUUAAAAAUAAAAAAAUACUGUGGAGCUGUUGGUAUAAAUUCUAAAGUUAAGGACUCCUUUGUGCUUGGUAAAAUACGUCAAUUUAAAGUUAAUAAAUAAUAGCAUGCACGAAACUUCACGAUACCCAUGUUUUACACUGUUUUAGAGUAUGUUUGGUAUUGCGGUAGCUGUUGUGGUUGUGAUUUGAAAAAAAUUAUUUUAUAAAAAGUACUUUUAGUUGUGGUUCGUUUGAAAAAAUAGGUGUUUGGUUAAAACCGUGGUUGAAAUUGAGGUUGAAGAAAAAGUAGUUUAAUGUGUUUGAUUAAGAAUGUUUUUGAAAUUGAGGUUAUAAAAUAAUUUAAAAAUAUAUAUAUUAAUAUUGAUGGUUUUUAAUUUAAAUAUUAUGGAUUUAACUAUUGUGGUAACAUCAUGAAAUAAAUCAUACUUUAUAUAUAAAAAAAUUUAUUGUUCUAUUAAACUAUCUACAAUUCCAUUACGUACAAAAUUCAUCCGACAAGAACUACAGUUUUCAUAAUUUUUUAGCGUGUAAUAAAAUUAGAUAAAAUAUUAUCAUGUAUAAAAUUCACUCCAAACUAGUUUUUUUUUAAAAAAAAAUGUUAAAAAAAUUAACAAAAAAAAAACUUAACACACUAAAAAAAAAAAGAAAAAGAAAAAGAAAAAGAAAAAAGAGUCCACGCAGUGCAAGUGAACAGUGCAAGAGAAUUGCACCGUUCACUAUUUUUAAGUGAACAGUGCAUCACUUGCACUGUUCAAUGAACAGUGCAAUUAACGUGAACAGUGAAAAAAGUAAGAAAUGACUGCUUUUCCUUUCCUGCGUUGCUAACGCAGAAAUUAAGUGGGGCCCAGUAAACAGUAAAUCAAUUUUUUUCUUAACCAAAUAGCUGCGAACUGCAUUUUAAAUAAAACGCAGCCGCAGUCGCAGAGCCAAACAGGCUUAAUAGAUUGUUACAGUAAAAGCAAAGAGACAAGAACGGUUCAAGACAGAACAAUAAUGGAGGAACGCAAAAAGACAUUCCCUUUCUUGUCACUAAAGAGUAGCAAAAGUAGUAGUGAUGUUUUUUUCAACUUGCAUGUCUGUUAUGACUAUUUAUUAUGGGCUAUGCAUGACAUGGUCAGGGCAGCCUCUAAAAUCAUCCGAUCAGUCAAUUAUGCCAAGCGAUAGGCCUAGCUGAAGAGAAAUUUGUUGCCCAAACCUUGACUAACCUAGCAUGUCUAAGAGGAGACUUUGACUCCAAAACUAGCAAGUAAAUUUCCUCGUCUUUUGUUUAAUUUUUCUCAAGAUGAAGAAAUGGCUGGAUUAAUUUUCAUAUACGAAAAUCAAAAUUUUCUUAAUGGGAUCUUAAGAAAAUUUCUUUUCUUGUCCAAAUCAAGCCUCGAGAAAGCAUGUGCAAUUUAUAUAAGAAGCAAAUUCUAUUUCUUGACUUGUAUUUGCCUUUUGGAAUUUUCUGUACAAAUUUCUUGCCAGGAGUUGGAGAUAAUUCAAUGAACUUCCCCAAAUUUUGAAUUCCCCUCCUGUUCUGCGGUGGUAUCAUAGGACUUCAUUGCACUAUUCUGUGCAUGGAUACUUUGGAAAACAAAGGCUCUUAGCUGAAACCAAAGAACACUCUCUGGCACAUUCCAUUCACUAUACCAGUAAAUAGACAGAUAGAAAUGAAAAUGUUGAUGGAAAAUAUUUUAUUAAUAAUUUCAGAUAAAAAUAACAAUAAAAAAUUUCAAAUCUCUUAAAAUUCUGACCACAAUAGCAACAAAAUAGAAAAAAAUAAAACGGAUCAGAUUGCUUUUGAUGCAUACUGUUUCAUUCUUUUUCUCACUUCUUCGACGUAUUUUCAAGAAGAUGGAAAUUCUUGAUCUUAGUUAGAAACAAAUUGGUUUUUCAAGAAGAGAUUAUUAGUUGGGAUAUUGCAUUUGAGUUGGUUCUUCACCAUUUAAUGUUAUAAUUUAAGAUAAUUGAUGAAAACUAUUGAUAUAUACAGGAAAGUUCAGAAAGCAUCUUUAAUUGAUUUGAUAAGGAAAGUCUUGUUUGUUUUGGCUAUAAGAUUUUUCUAUGUAUUAUUGCAUGCUUUUUACUGCUUUUUGGCCUUUCAUUCGAAGGAUAUAAAAAUAAUAAGAACAUUUUUUAUUCAUUAUCAAUGCUUGAUUUUAGCACGAUAAAAUCCAAGGGAUUGAUGGUCUGGUGUUUGUGGUGCUGGUAAAUGUAAGAACGGACCGAGAGAUGAAAUAGGAAAAACCCAUGUCUAUUAGUUGGCACCGGUGAUCAUUAGGCCCUUGCCGCCCACGAAAUCGCUUUAUCCUGUUGUUAAUUUUUUAAUGAAGCGUAUCAAGUGUUUGAUAAAAUUCCUUAACUGGAAAAAAAAAACCUUUUUUUAAUGAAGCGUAUCAAGUGUUUACACUUUACAGUGCUUUAGAAUAAGUUUGGUUUUUAAAAUAUUUUUUAAAAAAAUACAUCUAAUUAAUUUUUUGAUGAUUUAAAAAUAAUAAAAAUAUAUUUUAGAAUAAAAAUAUAUUUUUUUAAAUACUUUUACACCACAAAAACAACUACUUUUCAAGUCUUCCUACCCAUCGUUAAAUCAAACCUAUAAAACCUAACCAUUACAGUUUCUCUCUCCAUCGUCUUCCUCUGCUCUUGUCAUGGCAUCAACUCAUUAAGUACAGGUAAAGAUACUUGAUGUCUGUCAAGCAUAGGUUUUAGAACCGGCUUGAGGGCCUGGUUAAAUAUUUGGGUUUCAAGUUUUUAUCUGGUUAAUUUUUUUAAAAAAAUUAAAAUAAUAUUGUUUUAGUAGAAGAAUAAAAAUUAACAGGUUGUAAUUAGGUUUUUGACCGGAUCUUAUCAAGUUAAUCUGCCGGAUCACACCAGGUUUUUUCUUUCUUUUUUUUUCCAACCCGGCUCAGUUCCAGUUGCAAGUCAGCCGGAUCCUGAAUCAACCUACCAAAUCAGGCCGGGUUUCAAAUCUAUGCUGUCAAGUCACCCCGUCCUUGAACUCACUUGACCCAGCCACCGAGUUAUCUUUUCCGCUCAUCUUUUUUUAUAUCCUGUUCUUGAAAGUCGCUCCAGCUGAACACGCUUAUUCCUCUACAAACUAUUGCAUUUACCAAUACACGCUUGAGAAAUUUCCUUGCUUUUUUUUCCUUGCAUGUGUUACAUUUUUGUCUUUUAUAAUUAUAAUUAUUGCAUUGCUAAUAAUUUGCAAGAAAUAAUAUUCUUUCUCUGAAAAAGGCUUGAAGCAUUAUAGAUAAUCUCUUAUAGGAAUCUCUUUAUUAAAUCAUCAAAAUAUCAGAAAAUAGCGGAAAUGAUAAACUGUGCAGAAUUGAUGCAGUCUUCCUUAAUGCUUUCAACCUUUUACACUGAUUGAGUCCUCUAGAAAACUAUUAGAUGCCAUAAAGCAAGAGAGGAAUAUAUUUUGGAGUGACAUAGAUAUUAUGUUUUAAAAUGAAAUGUAUUUAAAUUUAUUUUUAAAAAUUUAUUUUUAAAAAUUUAUUUUUAAUGUUAACACAUCAAACUAAUCUAAAAAUAUUUAAAAAAUCAUUUAAAAAAAUAAAACAUUCAGCAACCACCAUGAAAUUACCACUCUAAAUUACCACAUAGAUUGUUGCUUGCUCUUUGACAAUUAUUGCAUUUCUAAUAAAACAUACUUUCUCAAUUUCCUUCUUUUUUUUCUUUUUUAACUAUACUCAAUCUGCACCUGCCACGAAAUUACCAAUAAGUAAAUUCCAGCUCAAUAUUUUCCAAUACGCACUUUUGAGAAAUUUCCUUGCUUUUUUCUUUCCUUGUACGUGUUACCUUUUUAUCUUUUAUAAUUAUAAUUAUUGCAUUGCUAAUAAUUUGCAAGAAAUAAUAUUCUUUCUCUGAAAAGGGCUUGAGAAAACCCGAAGCAUAGUAUAUAAUCUCUUAUAGGAAUCUCUUUGUUAAAUCAUCAAAAUAUCAAAGUCUGUUUCCAAAGUUAUGACUACAGUUUAUAUAUAGAAACAACUAAAUAGAAAAAUUAUUAUUUUUUAAAUAGAACAACCAGAAGAGCUUGAUAAUAUUUAAUACAAAAAUAAAAUAGAAAAAUUAUUCCUUUUUAAGUAGAAACAAAAUUAUAAAGAUUUAAUAAUACUGAAUAAAAAAAAUUAAAAUUUCUAAACUAAAUUUAAAAAAAUAACUGAGAAAAUAUUUAUUAUCCCAAUAGUUCUAAUAUUAAAAUCUCAUUUAUCAUAUGUUAGAUCUAUCAAAUAAUAAUAAUUGAACAGUUUUUAGUGAAUUAAGUUCAAUUCAAGAUAACAAAAUAAAGUUUGUUGAGGCUUAUCUUGGAACCGGUAUUAAUUAGUGAGAAUAAGAAAAUCCUAUACAAAUUAUACAAAAUUAAUUAUUAAUUAUCGAUAUUUAUUAUUGAUAAUCAAUAAUGAAUAAUAGCUUAUUUUCUAGUAUAAACUAUGUUUGGAAUGAAAUUGAUAAAAGACAUGAUACACAAUUAAUGAUGGGAUCAUAUAUAUAAAUAAUAAAAUUGAGAUUUUUCAAUUACCUUUAAAUAUAUCAUGGUUUUAAUAGGUGAACGAUACAUUCUUUGAAUUUAUUAGAAGAAAUGUGUAAUGUAAAUUAUAAAAUAAUUUUUUUUUUAUAUACAUAAUAAUAAUAAUAAAUUAGAUGAUAAUAAUAAGAAAAUAGAAAUUAAUUUGAAUAAAUGGUACGAGUUUCUAUUCUAAUAUAUCUAGGGAAGAAGUUUGAAAAAUAGAAUGAAGUUAAAUAUUCUUAAUAAAAAAAAAAGAAAUAAAAUAUCACAGCAUAAAGAGAUGUGGUAAAUCUUAUGUUGGGAGACUGCUCUUCCAAGGAUCCUACGGUUGCGAGCCAUACACGCUUGAGAAAUGGUGUGUUAUCCUUGCGACCAUAAAAUAUCCUUGCGACACAUCUUCCAAGGAUCCUAUGGAUAGCACUUGCGAGCAAUCUUGUUUUUUCAAUGCCGCCAUUCAGCAAGUCCACAUGUCAUGAGUCUACACGGCAUCAAAUUUGCAAAAUCAUAUGGCCCAUUGAUAAAAAGAUGUGUCGAAGCGAAAUCUGUUUUAGGCUUUUAGGUUGAUUUUAUAUGGGUCUCUGACUUGGCUGAUUUUAUUUGAAUAUAUUAUUUGAUUAGUUCAUUUAUAGGUUGACUCUACUAUAUAUUCUGCCUUGCAUUGACAGGAAAUUUCACUAGAAAUUUCAAGUAAUUUACACAGGAAAUUUCCUGCAUGUGUUACAUUUUUAUCUUUUAUAAUUAUAAUUAUUGCAUUGCUAAUAAUUUGCAAGAAAUAAUAUUCUUUCUCUGAAAAGGGCUUGAGAAAACCCUAAGCAUUGUAGAUAAUCUCUUAUAGGAAUCUCUUUAUUAAAUCAUCGAAAUAUCAGAGUAUGUUUCCAAAUACUAUUACUACAAGAAACAACUGAAUAGAAAAAUUAUUCUUUUUUAAAUAAAAAAAAACUAGAAAAGCCUGAUAAUAGUAUUGAAUAAAAAAUAAAAUUGAAAUUUAAUCAACAAUAAUUUCUCAUCUCCAAUAAAAAUUUAGGUUUAUCAUUUGGGUAACACAAACCCUGUAUUUUAAAAUACUAUUGCAAAAAAUUCCUAUUAUAUAUGAAUCAAGAUAACAGUAAAUAACUUUUACCUAUUUUUUCAAGUUUGUACGUAGAAUAGUAGUGGAAUAAUGUUUUUAAUAUUUGAAAAUUUUAAAAAAAAUACUGUGUAACUGUUUUGUAUAAAUUCUAAAGUUAAGGACUCUUUUGUGCUUGGUAAAAUACCUCACAAUAAAAUUAAUAAAUAAUAACACAAGCAAGGACCAAAGUUAAUAAAUAAUAGCAUGCUUUUAUAGAUUGUUACAGUAAAAGCACAGAAAGAAGAACGGUUCAAGACAGAACAAUAAUGGAGGAACGCAAAAAGACAUUCCCUUUCUUGUCAUAAAGUUUUGAAUAGUACUUUUGUGUAUUAUUUUCGUAAAGUUUUUCAAACUUCCAAUAUUUACAUGGCUUACUCGAUGAAAAAGCAAGAGCAAAAGGAAACGCACCCCAUAUUUAUUGUUCCCUUUCCCGUCUUUACAUGGCUUACUCGAUGAAAAAGCAAACACCCCAUUAGUUGUUGCCACCAAAUUCCAGUACACGCUUGAGAAAUUUCCUUGCGUUUUUUUCCCUCUACGUACGCGUUACCUUUUACCUCUUUUAUAAUUUUGAUUAUUGCAUUGCUAAUAAUCUGCAAGAAAGAUGAUGAAAAUUUUUUAGUGAAUUCAAAAUAACAAAAUAAGGUUUGUUGAGGCUUUUCUUGGAACCUCGCUUGGGGUUUAAUUAGCGAGAAUGAAUUCUACAAAGAUAUCGGACUGUGAGUUUGUUUCUAAUGCAAUUCACAAUAAUGACCUUGUGGAUGGACUCUCAGAAUACGUUAGUGAGACAGAAUAUAAUGAGGUUAAUAAUGGGCUUCUACAACUCAUCAUUUAUCCCCAGGGAAGGCCAGGUGGGCCUAGGCCACUGCUUCUGUUAAAAAUAAACUAAAAUAACACUUGUAAGGUGAUACAUAUUCUUGCAAUAAAUAAAGCCAGCAAAGGCAGAUCUGUGUGUCUAUAUAUACAUGAACUGCUGAUUCGAUUUGAACACCCCAUUUCUCCGAUUCAAUAACUUCAGUUGCAAAACUUCUAUCUCCGAUUGCGGCAAUUUCAUAGCUAACUCUUUGUUAUACACAGGUAUAUAAUUUCAUAGCUAACUCUUUGUUAUACAGAGGUAUAUACGGCUAACUCUUCUUUUCUUCUUUCUUGUUUUAAAUAUUUCAUGUCUUUACCAAUAACAAUAAUGUGAAAGCUUUGUAUGUUUCAUGUUUAACUUCAGUUGCUAUUGUCUUAUGCUCUCUCAUUAUUAAGCUUAAAUUGCGAAUUGAUUGUUCCUUCAAUUCUGCAGCUGAAAUGGCAGAGCCAGAGUCUUCUCGUUCUAUACCAGAAUGGACCUAUGAUGUCUUCUUGAGUUUUAGAGGAGAAGACACUCGCAAGACAUUUACAGAUCAUCUAUAUGCUGCCUUAGUCCAAGCAAAAAUCCACACUUUUCGAGAUGAUGAUGAACUUCCUAGAGGAGAAGAAAUCUCCGAUCAUGUCCUCAGGGCUAUUCAAGAAUCAAAGAUAUCCAUAGUUGUCUUCUCAAAAGGAUAUGCUUCUUCUAGAUGGUGUCUCGAUGAACUAGUAGAGAUUCUGAAGUGUAAAAGGAAGAAAACCGGUCAGAUUGUUCUUCCUAUAUUCUAUGACAUUGAUCCUUUAGAUGUGAGAAAACAGACUGGCAGAUUUGCAGAAGCAUUUGUUAAACAUGAAGAGCGUUUUGAAGAGAAGCUGGUGAAGGAGUGGAGAAAAGCUCUUAAGGAGGCAGGAAAUCUAUCUGGAUGGAAUCUCAAUGAUAUGGCAAAUGGGUAUGCCUUUUUUUCUCUAAGAUUCACUUGCACACAUUUAUGGAGUGAUUAUACUUUACAUUUUUCAAUGUGAAACAAUAAAAUACUUAAUUGGCUCGCUAUCAAUGACUUGCUUUUGUCUAUGAGCAGGCCUGAAGCAAAUUUUGUCAAAGAGAUUAUCAAGGAUGUGUUGAAUAAAUUAGGACCCAAGCACUUAUAUGUUCCUGAGCACCUAGUAGGUAUGGAUCGGCUUUCUCGCAAUAUUUUUUACUUUCUAAGUACUGCAAUAGAUGAUGUACAAAUUGUGGGCAUACAUGGGAUGCUAGGAAUAGGAAAGACGACUAUAGCAAAAGUUGUAUUUAAUCAACUCUGCAAUGGAUUCGAGGGAAGCUGUUUUCUUUCGGAUAUAAAUGAAAAAUCAAAACAAUUCAAUGGUCUGGCUCUUUUACAAGAGCAACUUCUUCAUAAUAUUUUAAAACAAGAUGUUGCUAACAUCAAUUGUGUCGAUAGAGGAAAGGUUCUGAUCAAAGAGCGACUUUGUCGCAAAAGAGUUCUUCUUGUUGCUGAUGAUGUGGCUCGUCAGGACCAGCUAAAUGCUUUGAUGGGAGAGCGAAGUUGGUUUGGUCCCGGAAGUAGAGUAAUUAUUACAACAAGAGAUUCAAAUCUUCUUCGUGAAGCAGAUCAAACAAAUCGGAUCGAAGAAUUGGAACCAGAUGAGGCCCUUCAGCUUUUCAGCUGGCAUGCCUUUAAGGACACCAAGCCAGCAAAAGAUUAUAUUGAGCUUUCAAAGAAAGCAGUUGAUUACUGUGGAGGACUUCCUUUUGCUCUUGAGGUUAUAGGAGCUCGUCUGUCCGGGAAAAACAGAGUUACGUGGGAAAGUGAAAUUGACAACUUGAGCAGAAUUCCAAACCAAGACAUUCAAGGAAAGCUUCUAACAAGUUAUCACGCACUUGAUGGUGAACUACAAAGAGCAUUCCUUGAUAUUGCAUGCUUCUUUAUUGGUAAAGAGAAAGAAUACGUCGCAAAACUGCUAGGAGCCCGUUGCGGUUACAAUCCAGAAGUUGUUUUGGAAACUCUCCAUGAAAGGUCUAUGAUUAAAGUAUUGGGAGAGACGGUAACCAUGCAUGAUCUAUUACGAGACAUGGGAAGGGAGGUCGUUCGUGAAUCGUCUCCAAAAGAACCUGGAUAGAGGACCAGAAAUUGGAAUCAAGAGGAUGCAUGGAAUGUGCUUGAGCAGCUGAAGGUAAAAAAAAAUAGUCAUGGAACACUUGACUGAUCAAAGAAAAAAAAUUAUUUAUUUUCUCUUAUUGAGUUCCAUAGUUUAAACUUUCUCGUUACACAUAAUUUUUAGUUUGGUAUAUAUAUUCUACUGUUUUUUAUAAUCUUUAUAUUUAUAUUUUUAAAUAUAAGUACACAUAGCAUCAUUUGAAUCUUUUGAUUGAAAGUAAAAGCUUUAUCUCGUAAAAUCAUCUCUAGAAGGUUUUAUUUGGUCAAUCUUCAAAAACUUAGGGAUUAAAAAAAAAAAACUUCUUACUUGAUUCAAUUUGGAAACCUCAAGGAGAAAAUUGAAACAAGUAUAACCUCACGGGGAGAAGUUGAAUUCUCCCCAAACUCAGGGGUUAAUUAAAAUUAACCUUUAAAUUUCUAUCCAUGCCCAGUUGCCCACGAAAGAGAAGAGGUACAUCCACGUGAAGCUCAUUUUGGGUUUGGGUUAGUUGAAAAUAUCUAGUGGGUGGGCCUUUUUUCUGUUUUUCUGUUUUUUUUUUGUUUUUAUGCACAGAAUACAUGAAAUAAUAAAUUUAAAUCCAACAAAUCCAAUAGAGAUAUAAUAUUGUAUACGAUCAACAUGAAAGAAUUUUACGAAAAGACAUGAAAAUAUCAUAUAUUAUGUGUCUCUGCCAGUCAUAAUUGUAUUGUUUUGUGUAUUAUCAAUUAUCUUUCUUGUAUAGGAAAUAUCAUGUUGGAUUUUGCUGAUGACAAACUUAAUCCUAGAGAUUGCAUCUGCGGUUUUUGACCAGACGGGUUAUGCAUUAAUUGGCAUGGUGUUGGCAUUUGUAGCUUUGCUUCUUGCUGCCGUUGAACUCAUUCACAUGGCUCGAAAGGAAAGAACUAAACGGGUGGGCCUAUUGCCACCUUUUAUUCUCCAUGCAACUAGAAAGCCUGUUGGCUGGUGCUGUCUGGCAAUGUGUUUAUUCGACUGUGGAGUAUAUGUAUACUCGUCAGAAGAAAGAUAAUCCAAUUAAGAUGUGUCUUUUACCUUUCAUUUUCUUAUUAUGCGUGGCGAUUUCCAAAUUAUUAGUCGACAAGAGUUCCGUUGUAAAUAGUUCUUAGCAAUAGUAUUUUCUUUGAACUAGAAGGAAUUUCUAGUAUUGUGUUCUAAGGACUCUUUUUAGUGGGAAUGAGUCAAAGAUUUUGAUUCCUAGAUUUUCUUAUCGAAGACCCAGACUUGUAAUGCAAUUAAGACACUAUAUUUUAGACAGUGAGCAUGAGUUGAUGUGGACAAUCUAGCUAUUAUUGAUAUGCGGUUCAGUAACCUCAAAUAACUAUGAAAGGAAAAAACUGUCAUUCACUGAUUUAAUUGGAAAUUAUUUGCGAGAAAGCUAAAAAGAAUUAGAGUUUUUUAAUUUAUAAAAUUAUAAUUCUAAAUUCUAAAAAAAAUUCAAUUAUUUUUAAAAUUAUUUUAAAAAAUAAAACAUCAACUAUUUAUAUAAUAGCUAAAUAAAUCUAUUAAAAUAAAUUGAAAAUAACUAGUAAAAUCAAGCAAAUAAUUCAAAAAUAAUAAGAAAAUAAAUAUAUUUCCUAGAUCUAAUUUGAGUAUAUUUUUUAUCUUGAUUGACUGACUUGUCAAGUCUUUAUUCCGUAUAAACAAAUUUUAUUCUAAAAGUCUGUUUGAUAUUUCUUCACUUAUCUAUGAAAUAUUACUUCUACUGUACAGAAUAGAAAUAAAAAUUAGAUGAUAAUAUUUAUUCUAAAAGUCUUCGUUAAGGAUAAAUGAACUUUAUUCUAAGAGUUUGUUUGAUAUUUUUUUAUUUAUUAAUGAAAUAUUACUUCUACUGUAUAGUUAUUGGGUUCCGAGUCGAUCCACCGGGUCAAUAGGCGAACAGUAUAUUCUUUGAAUUUAUUAGAAGAAAUGUGUAAUGUAAAUUAUAAAAAAUAUUUAUUUUUCUGAUAUAUAUAAUAAUAAUAAAUUAGAUGAUUGUCACACCCGACAUCGCGGCGACCUUAAAAAUUUAAUUCUUUGGAAAAGAACAGAUUUCUGGCAUCCUAUUCUUUAAUGGGGAUAUUCUUUGUUUAAGGAGUCGCCACCUAGUAUUAUGGUCACUAGGAACCCUAACUGGUCAACAGAGAGUCUACGGUUUGGGACUGGUUACGUAAAAGGGAAGAUAUUAUCACCCCUUAAACGUCCUGCCUGAGGCAGGCUGCACUGCUAGUUUUAUCUUUAAUUGCUAAAUGUUUAUUAGUUUACGAUAUGAUAAUUUACUUAUAAUAUUCCCGACUCUGGCGUCAGUGAAUAUUAAACUACGAAUACUUCCAACUCUGGCGUUGGUCAAUAUCACGUAGCUAUAAAAUAAAUUAGAUUAAUAUUUUUUAUUUUCCCGGCUCUAGCGCCAGUGAAUAAAUAAACAAAAUAAAAUUUGAUUUUUUUACGCAUGCAUAUUUUUUUAUUUUUUUUAGCUAAAUAAAAUAAAGUACAACAAAUAAAAAUAAUAUAAAUUUAAACCGGUAUUUUUAUUCCUGACUCUGGCGUCAGUGAAUAAACCAAUAAAUUUACAUUAUUUUUAUUCAUCUAAAUAAAUUUAAUUUUUUACGCAUGCACAUUUUUUAUUUUUUAGCUAAAUAAAAUAAAGUACAACAAAUAAAAAUAAUAUAAAUUUAAACCGGUGUUUUUUAUUCCUGACUCUGGCGCCAGUGAAUAAACCAAUAAAUUUACGUUAUUUUUAUUCAUCUAAAUAAAUUUAAUUUUUUACGCAUGCACAGUUUUUAUUUUUUAGCUAAAUAAAAUAAAGUACAACAAAUAAAGAUAAUAUAAGUUUAAACCGGUAUUUUUAUUCCUGACUCUGGCGCCAGUGAAUAAACCAAUAAAUUUACAUUAUUUUUAUUCAUCUAAAGAAAAUAAAAUACAACGAAUAAAAAUAAUAUAAAUUUAAACCGGUAUUUUAUUCCUGACUCUGGCGUCAGUGAAUAAACCAAUAAAUUUACAUUAUUCUUAUCCAUACAUGCAUAUUUUUUUAUUUUUUAUUUUUCUGCCUUUUAUUUUUUUAUUUUUUUUAUUAUAUAUUUUUUUAACUGGGCGGGGCCCGGCCCGGCCCAGAAAAAAAAAAAUUGGGGGCUGGGCCCAGCGCAGCCCACAUGGACUGGGCUGGACCCAGCCAGCCCAGCCCGGUCACUGGCCCAAGCCAGUGACCCGGCUGGGUAAAAACUAAAGGCACGCGUGACUUAUUCACGCGUGCCCGAACACUGGUGAAGGUAAUUAAAUUACCUUCACACAGUGUUCUUGCAGCACAUAAUUAUCUUUUGAAAUGAAAAUGCAGAGGAGACGGGGUCAUACCUGCUUCUGGAGACCGAAGAUGCUGCUUCUGGAGACCGAAGAUGUUGCUUCUGGAGACUGAGAUGCUUGCAGCGCUGCUUGAUGAUUUUCGCCUAAUGUUCCUCUGGUUUUCCUUCUGUGAAUACUUAUCUAUGCUUUCCUUCUUGAUUUCUCUGUAACUUCUAAAGCUACAAAGAAGAUUCCGGCUUGUUGUGAGUGUUCUUUGGCUGAAUCCGGGUUUUUUUGUUUGCAGGUUCGGAGACAAUUUCAAGGAUAAUUCUCCUUACCGUGUCCUGCCUUCUUGUCCUCUCCUUCUCUGUGUAUUUGGAUUUGUGCUCUGUUUUCUCUGCCUUUUUCUUUUAACUCUGUUUUUCUGGGUUGAUUUUUUCGGUUCUCUCCCUCCUUUUCUUACUGUGUAUAAUUUCUCUGGUUUUCUUGCUUUUUUUCUUGCUCUCCCUCCUUUUUUUUUCUUUAGGUGUUCUUCUCCCUUUUAUAAACCCAGCCGAUUGCCCCCCAUCAGUCCUGCCUUUGCAGGACUGUUAUCUUCCACGAACGAGAUCGUGGGCGAGAGACGUGGUCCUCGAUUGGAUUGAAUCCGUUGCAGAUUUUCCAGCCUGUUGAAUCGGGAUGGAGAAGACGAACACGACUGUUCUACCCGCAGCGGCGACGUUUCGGCAGCAAUGGAUUUCACCAGCAACGACGCCGUUUCAAGCAGCAAAUGGACAUUUUUAUUUUGAUCCCUGAACUGUUGGAAAUUCGGCAAUUGGACCUUAAAAAAAAUUCCACUUAAUUUUGUCCCUUUGGAUUAAUUUCAAUUAAAUCCUUAAAUUAUAACACUGUUUACAAAACAGUCCUUAAUUCCUGGAUUGUUCAAUUUAGCCCUUAAUUAAAUCUUUAACCUUUCAAAAUUGAUCAAUUAACUCUCAAAUUACAUCCUCAAACUUCAAAUUUUGUUGUUUUAACCCCAUUGGCAACUAUAUUUAAUUUUUUUAUUAUUUGUUCAAAAAUUGGUUAUGACAGUUGCUCCCUCUUUAUAAUAUUUACAAUACAAAGAUAUUGAAAAAUUUCAUUUUUCCUUAGCUUUGUGUAGUAAAUUUAUAAAGAAAAGUAGAUAAAAAAAAAAUCUUGAAAACAGUAGAUUGACAUAUGACUUUUUACGGAGAGAAUAAGUUAUUUGGAAGAUGACUUUUUUUUUUUUUUUUGAAACUGAUCAAAUUAUUUUGGGUAACCUACCUAAUGAUAAAAGAAACGCGAAGAAUUUCGCGAGUGGUCUAAUUGUUCCAGGCGACCUACCCAAUGAUUGAAAAAUACGAGGAUUUUUUUUUUUGUGAUGGUAUAUUGUAAUGGGUUACCGGCCCAGAAUAAAGUGGUUUAUUGUAAAGGGUUACCGGCCCAAAUGGUCACAUUGUAAUGGGUUACCUGCCCAGUGUAGGAUGGUAAAUUGUAAUGGGUUACCAGCCCAGUCUAGGAUGGUAAAUUGUAAUGGGUUACCAGCCCAGUUGGUCACAUUGUAAUGGGUUACCUGCCCAGUUGGUCACAUUGUAAUGGGUUACCAGCCCAGUUGGUCACAUUGUAAUGGGUUACCUGCCCAGUGGAUAAAUACGUGGAUUUUUUUUUAAUAAGAUAUGAUAGGGCUCGAAGACGCACUCCAAAGGAGGUAGGAUAGGAAAUGCACUACCUUUGAUGUUCGAGGGCUCGAAGGCGCCCUCGAAAUGGAGAUAAAACGAGGGCUCGAAGACGCGCUCGAAUGGAGAUAAGAUGAGGGCUCGAAGGCACGCUCGAAUGGAGACAAGACGAGGGCUCAACGGCACGCUCGAAAAAGAACUCAAAAGGAGGUAGGAUAGGAAAUGCACUACCUCAGGAGUGGAAACUGAAAUGUGGUGGAAAAAUAUAGAGAGAGAUUUUUUUAGGUGGCCUAAUUCUCAUGGGCGGCCUGCCUAGGUUGAAAAAUUCUCAAAAGCGAAAAUUUUUCAAAAGCAAUUUCAAUGUUGGCCAUCCACUUGAUGGAUUCCGUUAGAAUUUUCUCUAAUAAAAUUUGCAGCACUCAUUGUCCAAUGUUUCAAAGUUUAAAUGAUAUGCAUGCAUCUUUACCUGACUUGAAAUAUAGGCCCCCCAUUUCUUCUUAAUCUUCUCAUUGUAUGGUUGAUGAGAUCUUGCUAUCUGAUUUGAGUCAUCUUUGUCGUUUGGAUUUCUAGCGCACUCGAGUUAGCCCAUAUAAGACUUUUUCCAGAUUUGUUUGCACAACUCAGCCUUUGUGGUGCCCAUCGUGACCCACAUGCUUGAUGGACUCGUCAAAUAAUUUGAGAGGAUCAUUCAUUACCCCUUGACUCACUGCUAAAAACAUUCGGUGUCACUAGCUGAAAGGAUCAAGCUGUCUUUCAUAAACCAAAAUGCCCCCUUGUCUUGUUGAAGGAAAUUACCAUCUCUUUUUUUUUUAGAAUUUUCCUUCUGAACACAAUAUCCCCUUGUAUUGGUCAUUCCCCCUAAGUGUGCUCUGUCAGCGACUUUAGACAAAUAAUGGUUUUAAGAGACCCUUUUCUCAUUUCUAUCCUUUUUCAGUUUGGUGAAGAAGUAUGGGUCUAGAAUAAAUCUUGAAAUCUUGAUCUUGCAUUUUUGAAAACAAAAAUUAUUUCAAUAUGAGUCUAAAACAAUUUACUUUCAAAAUCUUGCAACUCCUUGGUUAUUUUCUUUCUUGGAAAAGAGAUUAUUUGCUCUUGUGUUUGGCAAUGAGAUCUUCGGUGAAAAAUACGUUAUGAGAUGACCUUUUGUGUCAAAGUGAAGGGCUCGAGAGAAAGCUCGAGAUUUUGUAUGAGAAAAACAUCUCUUUUUAACUUUUAUUUUUAUCAGCAUGAAUAAUAAUGGGUAGUUUAUUCUUGAUGCCAUGAAUUUCAUGAAAAACUAUUCUUUGGAUUUUGAGAGCAUUGUUUAUUGUUCCAGGUUGCUUGCUUGCUUGAUUAGAAAGGACUUCUACAAGCACGUAAUGUAGGCUGUGGUUUUUGGCUAUGAAAGAAAAGGACUCGUAGGGCUCAAAGAGUGUUUCAGGGUUUCAAAGACUGAAGAUCACUAUUAAUAGUUUGACUCUUGACGUCAUUCAUAUUUUCUUUUGCCGCUCUUCUUUGAUUUGCCCUUUUUUCUUCUUUCUUUUUCAUUGCUUUGCUAGAGCCUACUCAUUUUAUCUUGGUUAUCACUUUUUCUUGUGAUUUGGGCAUGCCCCCUAGCACUUGAGUUUCUUGGGCUCUUUUGCCUUUUGGCUUUCUCACGGCUUUAUCAUUUUUCUUGAUCAUUGAAAUUUCACUUGCCCCCAGUGUGGGGUGUGAUCUUAGUCAGGAUUUUUAAUGAAAGAAAAAUUAUUCAGGCUCAAAAAGGGAUCGCAAGGGAUGUACUUAUUUUAGAACGUGAAAGGAAUAACAAAGAUGGCCUUUCCUCAUUUCAAACGUAAGCAACUAUGAUCAAUAAACUUUGACCUCAUCCAGUGUGAUGGUUUAGUCUUUACGAGGAUGCAUUUCAUGAGUUAUGAGCAACAAGUUCACUACAUACCAUUAUUCAUACAUUUAAAAACACAUGAUUCAAGAGUUAUGGGAUAAGGGUAUUUAUUCAUUUUUUUUUUGUUUUUAGAGUUUGGUCACCUCUAUGUAGGAGUUGCUUGAUUCAUUUGUCAUUCUACACGUAGAAUGUCAAAAAUCAUUUUUGAAUAAACAUCAAAUUACUUUUGAAAUCAAAAUACCAGAUCAAUUUUUCAAAACUCAAAUAAGAAAACUGAUUUUGGUAAAAGUAAUGAAUUCAAUCUAUGAGAUCAUGCAAGGCUUCAAGAGUGUAUUUACUGAUUCUUUAAUAUCAAUAACAUUUAUGAGAGAGAAAAGAUAUGCAAAGUGAAUUUCUUGGCAAAACUUUUAUUGAUUUGAUGAGAACUUAUACAAUCAUGGAUAAUAUUUCUUCACAGAAUUGGAAUUCACUGGCCUACUCAAAUCUUCUCCAUCCAUUCCUGUCAGUAUCAACGCCCCUCCAGAGAAUGCCUUCUUUACUACAUAUGGACCUUCAUAAUUAGGUGCCCACUUGCUAUGAUUCUCACUAGGUAGUAAUAGGAUUUUUCUCAAUACAAGAUCUCCUUCUUUAAACUCUCUUGGUCGAACUUUUCUCUCAUAGGCUCUUGCUAUCCUGUUUUGAUACAGUUGGUGGUGACAAAUUGCAGCUAAUCUCUUCUUACUGAUCAUAUUUAGCUGUUCGUAUCGUAUCUCAGCCCAUUUAGCCUCUUCUAGCUCAGAUUCCAUGAGAACCCUUAGAGAAGGAAUCUCUACUUCUAAAGGCAUCACUGCCUCCAUUCCGUAAACUAACGAAUAAGGUGUAGCCCCCGUUGACGUCCUUAUUGCUGUUCGAUAUGCAUGUAGAGCAUAAGGAAGCCAUUCCUGCCAAUCUUUAUAUAUGACCACCAUUUUCUGGACAAUCUUCUUUAUGUUCUUGUUAGCAGCUUCAACAGCACCAUUCAUCUUUGGUCUGUAAGGGGAUGAAUUAGAAUGCUUGAUUUUCCAUUUAGUGCAUAAUUCCAUGAUCAUUUUCCCAUUGAAGUUCUUGGCAUUAUCGGUUACUAUCCUUUCUGGCAAACCAUACCUACAAAUUAGAUCUCUCUCAAUGAAUCGCUUGACCACCUUCUGAGUCACAUGAGCAUAUGAGCAGGCCUCUACCCACUUUGUAAAAUAAUCAAUUGCGACCAAGAUAAACCGAUGACCAUUGCUGGCUUUUGGAUUAAUAGGCCCAAUCACAUCAAUUCCCCACAUCGCGAAUGGCCAAGGUGACACCAUAUUGAAUAAGGGCACUGGGGGUGCAUUGAUUUUGUCACUAUACACCUGACAUUUAUGACAUUUUCGAACAAAUUCUAUACAAUCUUUUUCCAUGGUCAACCAAAAAUACCCAGCUCUUUGCAUCUGUCUUGCCAUCAUGUGCCCAUUUGCAUGGGUGGUGCAAAUUCCUCCAUGCACUUCAUACAAUGCUUUAUUGGCUUCUGAUCUGUCUAGACAUCUUAAUAAAGUCCCAUCAAAUGACCUUUUGUAUAAGAUUUCUCCAUCUAUAAAGUAUUCCAUUGCCAUUCUUCUUAGAGUCUUCUUAUCUGUCUUUGAAGCUUCAGAAGGAUAUUCCCGAUAUUGGAUGAAUCUUUUUAUAUCUGCAUACCAAGGAUUGCCAUCCACUUCUUCUUCUAUUAAACAACAAUGAGCAGGAGAACUUCUAAUAUCAAUGCUUAUAGGAUGUACUCUGAUACCACAAUCGAUCGUAGCCAUAGAGGCCAAGGUUGCUAAAGCAUCCGCAAACUGAUUCUUAUCCCUUCCUAAAUGAUUGAACUCUAUCUUUUCAAAGUUUUCAGCCAAUUUGGAGAGAUAUUCCUGAUAUGGUUUCAAUUUCUCAUCUUUUGUCUGCCAUUCCCCCUUUGUCUGACAGAUUAUUAACAUAGAGUCUCCAUAUACCUCUAAUUUCCCUAUCUUCAGUUCCAAUGCAGCUUCUAAUCCAUGAAUGCAAGCCUCAUAUUCAGCUGUGUUAUUCGUGCAACUAAACUGCAGUUUGAUGGAGAUGGGAUAUUGUUUUCCUUCUGGAGAAAUUAUUACAGCACCAGCUCCAUUACCAGACACAUUCACCGCACCAUCAAAGUACAUAGUCCACCAAUCUCUUUCUAUUACCAACACAUCUUCAUCAGGGAAGUCAAAAUUUAAUGGCUCAUAGUCCUCAAUGGCGUUAUCAGCUAAAUGAUUCGCAAUUGCACUUCCUUUCAUAGAUUUUCUUGUUUUGUAGAUGAUAUCAUAUUCAGCCAACAACACUUGCCAUCUGGCCAGCCUAUUUGACAUAUAUGGCUUUUCAAAAAUAUAUUUCAGAGGAUCUACCUUUGAAAUUAACCAAGUGGUAUAGUAUAACAUAUAUUGUCGGAGUCUUUUCGCACUCCAUACCAAGCCACAACACAGCUUCUCAAUCAUACUGUAACGAGAUUCACAUUCAGUGAAUUUCUUACUAAGGUAGUAGAUGGCUUGCUCCUUUCUCCCGGACUCAUCAUGUUGGCCAAGCACACAGCCCAUUGCUGAUUCAGUCACUGUUAAGUACAAAAUGAGAGGCUUCCCAGGCACAGGUGGUACCAAUAGCGGUGGUUUCUGCAGAUAUUGUUUGAUCUUAUCAAAGGCUUCUUGACAAUCUUCAUCCCAUACUCCGGGGUUUUUCUUUCGAAGUAAUCGAAAGAUUGGUUCACAAGUGACUGUAAGUUGUGAAAUGAAUCGAGCAAUGUAAUUUAAACGCCCCAAAAAGCUUCGAACUUCUUUCUCAGUCUUAGGAGCUGACAUGGCUUGUAUGGCCUUCACUUUAUCAGGGUCUACCUCUAUACCAUUACUGCUUACCACAAAUCCCAAUAACUUCCCAGACUUCACUCCAAAUGUGCAUUUUGCAGGGUUCAACUUUAAUUGAUACUUUCUCAACCUUUCAAAUAAUUUCUUUAGAGCUGGGAUAUGAUUUUCCUCAUCUUUAGACUUAGCAAUCAUAUCAUCCACAUAGACCUCAAUUUCUUUAUGCAUCAUGUCAUGAAAUAGUGUCACCAUUGCUCUUUGAUAAGUUGCUCCAGCAUUUUUUAAUCCGAAUGGCAUAACUCUAUAACAAUAUGUUCCCCACGGAGUAACAAAUGUUGUCUUCUUCUUGUCUUGCUCGGCCAUUUUGAUUUGAUUAUACCCAGAGAAACCAUCCAUAAAAGAGUAAGUAGAACUCUUAGCAGCAUUAUCCACAAGUACAUCUAUGUGGGGUAACGGAAAAUCAUCCUUCGGGCUUGCCCUAUUCAAAUCUCGAAAAUCCACGCAUACCCUGAUUUUGUUGUCUUUCUUGGGUACUACUACAAUAUUGGACACCCAUUGAGAAUAAUCAACAACUUCUAAGAAUCCAGCAUCCCACUGUUUCGUUAUCUCUUCUUUUACUUUGAUUAGCAUAUCAGGCCUCGUCCUCCUCAACUUUUGCUUAAUCGGUUUACAACCCUCUAUCAAAGGUAGUUUAUGUACCACAAUAUCAGUAUCCAGACCAGGCAUAUCGGCAUAUGACCAGGCAAAAACAUCAACAUAUUCUUGUAAAAGAAUGACCAACUCGCUUCUCACACCAGCAGAUAUUAGCUUCCCUAUUUUCAACUCUCUUUUAUUAUGUUUGGUGCCCACAUUUAUCAGUUCUAGUUCUUCUUUAGCAGGCUUCCAUGUGUGAUCAGAUUGUUCCACUAACCUUGCGAACUCAUCGAUGUCUUCCUCACCCAACUCUUCCUCAUCCAUUGCAAUUAUAGUUUCAUCAAAGUUAGGCCAAUUAUCCACAGUGCAUUGAGUUUGUGAGCACAAUCCGCUUUCAGAUCUCCUGAAAGCGGAAAGUGUUUCGGUUAUGAGUGUAUAAUUCUGGGAAAGCAAAUAAAUAAACAAAUAACAAGAAAACAUGUUUGAAAGAAAAUAUGCAUGAUCUCAUUGAAUUUUAAAGGAUAGACGGGCUCAACAACAAAACCUUAUUGCCAAUCUCUUGAGCCACAAUGGUUUUGGCAAGGCACAAUUGUUCAAACAAUACAAUAAAAACAAAGAACAAACAAACAUUACUUUUUAAAAACAACUGGGACUUCAUGAAUUUCCCAAUUUUCCAACUCUUCUCCCUCAGCCAGCUUCCUCACGAAUUCGGAUGAGCCAUCUUCCAAAACACCAAUAGUUAGUUGUGGUAGCUGUUCGUAAGGACUCUCUUCUUCCUUUACAUCUUGCUCACUAACAUUUUCAAGAUAAUUGAUAGUAGCACCACUGAAUUCUUUUCUUAGCCCCUCCUCAUAAUCCUCAGCUUUUAUCACAUACGCGGCUCUUGGAAAUGUUACAUAGAUAGGUGGGAUUUCCAUUCGAUCUUCAUCUGGCUCUCUUCUUUCAAUCCGGGCUACUCUCUUUUCCCUUCUAUUUUCAGCUGCUCUUUUAAAAUCUGCUUUGCCAGGCUUAAACCCUAAGCCAAACCUCUGAUCGGCGCAUUUUAUUUUUACCGCAUUAACCCUCUCAGGCAUUCCAGUAGUUAGGUCAUAUUGAAAUGGUAAUCCAUGCUUCAAGAAGUAUUUAGCAGCCAUUUUUGCUGCUUCAGAAAUUUCUGGCUUUCUUCGUAUCAUAUUUUCAGGUACCCAUUCAGCAUUUACAACUUCAAAUGCAUGCAGAUUUCCAUCCUUACUUUCUUCAGCUUCUAUAUAAGGGAUCGAUACAUUUCUCAUCAUUGACAAAGUUUCUUCAGCUCUCACAGUCACCAAAUUCCCAUUGAUGAUGAACUUGACCCGUUGAUGUAAAGAAGAUGCGACAGCUCGAGCUGCAUGGAUCUAAGGUCUCCCUAGCAAAAUGUUGUAUGAUGGAUGAAUAUCCAUUACUUGUAAUGUGACUUGGAAUGGUUGGGGGCCAAUGACUAGUUCAACAUCAAUACUUCCAAUGAUUGGUCUAGGUGACCCAUCGUAUGCCCUUGCAGUCAUAGUACUUGGCUUCAUGUGAGAGGCAUCAACUGGCAUUUUAUCAAGUACAUGUCUCGGCAAUACAUUGAGAGCGGAACCAUUAUCCAUAAGCACCUUAGCAAUCACACAAUCCUUGCAUUUUACCGUGAUAUGCAAUGGUUUAUUAUGACCGGUCCCUUCAUGAUCCAACUCAUCAUCGGUAAAAUAGAGGUAGUUGGUGGCUUGAAUCCUACCCACCAAAUGUUCUAUGGAGUCUUGUGUGAUAUCCUGAGGAAUAUAUGCUUCAUUAAGAACCUUCUGAAGUGCGUUCCUAUGCAAUUCUGAACUCAAUAUUAAUGACAACAAAGAAAUCCUAGCGGGUGUUUUCUUUAGUUGAUCAACCACACUAUAUUCGCUGUGCUUCAUCAAUUUCAGGAAUUCAUUAGCCUCUUCAUCACUUACUGGCUUGUUAACCUCAUUUGACUUUGUCAAAUCCACCAUAUCCUUUCCUUUGGCUUUUCUUUGGUUUUCCAACUCUUCAGGAGUAAAACAUCUCCCACUCCGAGUGAGUCCUCCUAUUUCCGCAUGGAAAACGGGGGCAGGAUUUGUGCUGUGAAAGGAACAACCAUAAUUAUAGGGUUGGGCAUUAUAGCUUCCGCUAACAGUAUUCAUAGGCUUGGCUAGUAUCAUUUUUGGUGGACCCUUUUCGGUUGGUAUAUAUCUACAAACUUCCACUUUUUGGUUACAACCAGUCAUUGUUCCUACUAACUCAUCUUCUUUGGGUUUCAUCAAUCUUAACAUUCCCAACGUCAUCAUAUUUUCUACCUCCAAAUGAAACUCCUCGCACGAGUCAAUAUCAUGCCCAAGCUGCUGAUGAUAUUUACAAUAUUCAUUUGCAUUCCUUACAGCUUGUGUUUUGACUGGUGUCUUUAGAUAAUUUGUUUGCCUCAACAUCCCAUACAAUCUAUCCAUAGUCACCCUUAAAGUUGUUGUACUUCUCCUUCCUAUCUCCAAGUUAUUAACUCCCCCACUUCCCGAAGCAUGAUUUGGUAGAGGAUUAGAUUUCACAUUUGGAGAUUCAUCAAAAGAAAUCCACCCAGCUUUGAUGAGCUGAAGGAUUUUUCUUUUGAAUGCAACACAUCCAUCAAUAUGAUGACCAACAGCGCCAGGAUGGUAUUCACAUUUUUUAUCGGGUUUAUACCAAAAAGGAAAUGGUGGUUGUAAAGGUUCUAAGGGAACAGGUGCUACCUGGCCAAUACUAAGCAAUCUUUGGUGCAUUUCAGUAAGAGACAUGGGUAAUGGCGGAAGUUGCACUUGCUCUAUUGGAAAACUUCUUCUUGGGCGGUAAGUAGCAUUGGUUUGGUUGUUUAUUGGGUUAUUUUGGGUGUUUGUAGGUGAUGAGAAUUUUAUAUUGGAUAUAGAAGGGGUAGGUGUAAUACUUUUGAAACUGUAAUUAUCUUGGUAGGUGUUCUUCCCUCUACUUUCCCUUUCAACAUUGUGAACUUCCGUUUCUUUCCUUUUUCCAGUAAAACCUCUUUUUUCAGUAGGAUCCACGAUCCUACCUGUCCGAACAGCUUGUUCGAUCCUUUCAGCUAUGACAACCAAAUCAGAGAAAUUUUUUGCAGCACUACCUACCAAGUAUUCAAAGUACGGGGCUUUGAAAGUGUUGGAAAAUAAACCAGUCAUCUCCCUUUCUGACAAUGGAGGAUUUACUUGCGCGGCUGAUUCACGCCACCUUUGGGCAUAUUCUCUUACAGACUCCCUAUUCCCUUUUUCCAUGGCUUGCAGACUUGACCUUUCAGGGGCAAUAUCCAUGUUGAACUUAUAUUGUCUAAUAAAAGCUUCAACCAAAUCCUUCCAUCCUUUAAUCUUGGUAUUAUCUAAGCGCAUAUACCAAGCAAGAGCCGCAUCACUUAAACUGUCUUGAAAGAAAUGGAUCAAUAGCUUCUCAUCAUGGACUACCUCAGCCAUCUUAUUACAAUAUGCUUUAAGAUGGGUGAUCGGGCAUUGAGUUCCAGUAUAUUUAACAAAAUCUGGUACACGGAAUUUUCUGGGAAUAACCACAUUAGGCACCAAACACAUUUCAGCAGCUUUCACCGGAUCAUACAAACUAUUCCCUUCCAUUGCCUUCAUUCUUUCUUCUAAAGCAGCUAGCUUUUCAUGACCAUUUUCCUCCACUAUCUUAUUCCUUUGAGGUUCUUCUUCUGUCAAAACUGCAAUGGGGACCCUCGUUGGAUAUGCUGAUUGGGCAGGUAAGAAAUGAGCAGCAUGCUAAGGUUCAAAUGGCGGAAUAAAAGGAGGCGGAGGCUGAGGUGUAAAUGUUUGUUGAGAAGAUGUUCCUUCUCCAGCUCUAGGCCUCAAAGCCUGUUCAAGCAAGCUGGUAAGCCUUGCUACAUCCUCCUUCAGGCUUUCCAACUCUUUUUGGUGUUGAAUUUCUAACUGAGUUCUCUCUUCAUUUUCCAUUUUCUUCCGUAAACGAGUAUUAUGGAUACGUUUCAGUUGGGGACCUAUAUUUCACCUGUUAUAUGUAGAAUAUGACAAUUUAUAAAACAAAUGUAUGAAAUGCAUGAAUAUGAAUGCAACAUAUUGGAUAUGGAUUUGCUUUUCAUUGGUGACAUAUGGUCGUCAUUCUUUGGAUAUGAGGUUUGAGCUUGAACUUGAUAUCAUCGUUGUGAUGCCGAGAAGAGAUCUGUUUAGCUUUUUGACAUUUCAGCUUCCAGCCAUAUACGCAUAUUUUUGAAUUGAAAAGGUGGGUCUCAGCCCUUUAUUACUUAUUCAGAAGCUUACAAUGAAAAAUUGAUCUAAUCUAUUACAGGAGAAAAAACACUGCCUCUAUUAGCUAUUGCUUUUAAGAAAAGAUCGGUGUUAUCCAAGCUUCUUCGAUACUUUAUUAUAUCACCUCCCACUUGGCGAGCUUCCACUCGUAAUAAAUGGGCUUCUGCAGCUGCUUGACCAACUUGAUCUUGUAGUUCCCUUAUCCUCUCAGUAUGUAUCAAGUUGUUUCUAGACAGAAAGUUAUUGGUGGCAUCCAAUGUUUGAUUAUGUUGUUCUAUCAUUUUCUGGCUUUCCAUAAGCUGUGCAGUCUUUGAUUUUUCUUUGUCCAGCUUAAAUCUCAAUGCUUCCACCUCAGUAUUGUGAUUGUUCCACUCUGCUUUUUGCUCUUCAUGAAUUUUAGUUAAAGCCUCAGCUUUUCCCAAUUGGCCUUUAAACUUAACAAUGUCCGCCCGACGCAUUUUCAAUGUAGCUUGUGUCUUGAUGGCUAAUUCUUCCCAAUGCUUAGCUUUGUCCAUAUAAUACAUCAUAUCCUGAUUAAUUAUUUUUUGUGUUUCCAAGUCAGCCUUUGCCUUUAUCAAGUCUUGACCUACAGAGUCCCUUUCUUCUUCAGCUACUUUCCUUACACCCUUUUCUUUGGCUAGUUGCCGCUCUAAGGACACUCUUUGUUCUUCCUUUGCUUUAAGCUCAGCUUGUAACGAUUUUACUUGUUUUCUUAAUUCUUCUUCACAAUUCACUCUUUUCCUUCGAAGGCCCACAGAUUCAGAAACUUCUGCCGUAUAAGAGACUCCUCUAUUACGCCAUUCAGGAUACUUUUCACUAACUGUAGGAUUCCUUACACCGAUCUCUUUUUUAACUAGCACCAAAGAUCCCCAAUCAUGUUUAAUGCUCUCCAGCAUCUCAUUAUAUGCACCCUUAUAGACUCCGGUGAAUUGAGCUAAGCCAACUGUUCUUGGAAUGCUUUGUAUGCCCCCAAGCUGUCUUGCAACCAAAGCAGACGCAUAACUAAUAUAUCCAGUCACUCCAAUCAAAGGUACCCAAGGCCUCUUCCCACAACCCAUUAGGCAUGUUACAUUUUUCAUCCAAGGAGCUCUCCAAUUAAAAUUGCUUUGUGGAAUUCCUUGCAAUUUUACCCUCCAAUCAUCUUCAGAAAAGUUUUCCCAUUCACUUGAUACAAAUAACUCGAGUGGCUUUUGGUCAAACCACCAAAAAUUUCGGAAUAUUAGUGUUUCAGAUUCUAUAUGGCUUACCAUCCAAAUGAAUAACAAUGGAACACAACAUCUCAUAGAACCUUUCCCAAUCCUUUUGCAAUGAUUGAGAGACAAAAAAGUUUCAGCCAAGAUAGCAGCAGAAGGAUUAAUUUUAGUCUUCUCAUACUCAACAAACAGAUUAGCUGCCUCUAAACUGAUAAUUCCAGCAGUCGAAGGACACAAAAUCAGCCCAAAUAUUCCCAAAGCCAAUAUUCGGUAUACCUCCAAAUUAGCACCAGGAUUAGAUGUUUUAGCAAUCAACAGCUCUUCUAGCCGUUUCCAUCUCAAACCCCCAGAAUUGUUUUUUUCUCUAUAUAAGCUCAUUUGAUGGAUUCCCAGUAGCUUAGCAAGCUCCUAUACAGUAUUCUCAAUCUUUUGAUGAAAAUAAACCUUAUGGAUAUCCUCAGGGAAUUCUGUCAAAACACCGUAUUCUUCAAUGGUAGGAACCAUAUCGACAUUCCCAAAUGUAAAACAUCGAUAAUCAGGAUCCCAAAAAUGAAUUAGGGCUUUUAUGGCUAAUGGCAGUACUGGAACAUUCAGAAGAUGCAAAACUCUCCCAUAUAUCUUAGUAAAUUCUGUCUCAUCAGCCAAGUAUUUGGUGAAUGGAAGCAAACGACUGGCAUCAUUUAUUACGCAUCUCACAUCCUUUAGCAGCGGUAUCCCACUGUCAUCCAGUCUAGGGCAGUCUCCCUCAGUCAUAUGCAAUGAUUCAGAUUCGAGCCCAUACUCAACAGUUGUGAUUUAACGAUUAACGACCAUUAUGUCACCCAAAAACAAUCCUGUAAUGAAGAUGCUAUACGUUAAGCUUGCCUUAGUGAAAUUUACAUAGGGAACAACCUAAAUGGUAGGUUCUAGUCAUUUAAAUGCUUGAGGUAGGUUGCUAUCUAGUCUUGAAAGGUCUUUCGCAUGCUCAGUGAUCUUCCUCGAAAGGUUGAUGUGAGGUUUACAAGUAGCGUGAAAAUAGAGGCCCUGAAUGAUAUCAGUUAGGCAUAUCAACCACUAUCGAGUAAACAAUCAAGCGAAAGUUGGAUGGUUUCACGAGUCUUACCCAGGCUAAAGCCAUUGGGGUACCGCUACUCUCCCACUUAACUUAAAGUUGAUAUAACAGAUGUUUAUUAUGAAAUGCGUGGUGUGUGAAGGCCUAAAUCUAUAUCCAAUAUAUGUAUGAUGACAUAAACAAAUAUGGAUGCUAAAACUAUAAAAAUAAAUAAAAUAAAAUAAACCAAAUAAAAUAAAAACCAAAUAACACAACAAGCAUUUGUAGCAAUUAAAAAAAAUCAAAGGCAAAGCUUAGUCCAUUAGUCCCCAGUGGAGUCGCCAUUCUGUCACACCCGACAUCGCGGCGACCUUAAAAAUUUAAUUCUUUGGAAAAGAACAGAUUUCUGGCAUCCUAUUCUUUAAUGGGGAUAUUCUUUGUUUAAGGAGUCGCCACCUAGUAUUAUGGUCACUAGGAACCCUAACUGGUCAACAGAGAGUCUACGGUUCGGGAUUGGUUACGUAAAAGGGAAGAUAUUAUCACCCCUUAAACGUCCUGCCUGAGGCAGGCUGCACUGCUAGUUUUAUCUUUAAUUGCUAAAUGUUUAUUAGUUUACGAUAUGAUAAUUUACUUAUAAUAUUCCCGACUCUGGCGUCAGUGAAUAUUAAACUACGGAUACUUCCAACUCUGGCGUUGGUCAAUAUCACGUAGCUAUAAAAUAAAUUAGAUUAAUAUUUUUUAUUUUCCCGGCUCUAGCGCCAGUGAAUAAAUAAACAAAAUAAAAUUUGAUUUUUUUACGCAUGCAUAUUUUUUUAUUUUUUUUUAGCUAAAUAAAAUAAAGUACAACAAAUAAAAAUAAUAUAAAUUUAAACCGGUAUUUUUAUUCCUGACUCUGGCGUCAGUGAAUAAACCAAUAAAUUUACAUUAUUUUUAUUCAUCUAAAUAAAUUUAAUUUUUUACGCAUGCACAUUUUUUAUUUUUUAGCUAAAUAAAAUAAAGUACAACAAAUAAAAAUAAUAUAAAUUUAAACCGGUGUUUUUUAUUCCUGACUCUGGCGCCAGUGAAUAAACCAAUAAAUUUACGUUAUUUUUAUUCAUCUAAAUAAAUUUAAUUUUUUACGCAUGCACAUUUUUUAUUUUUUAGCUAAAUAAAAUAAAGUACAACAAAUAAAGAUAAUAUAAGUUUAAACCGGUAUUUUUAUUCCUGACUCUGGCGCCAGUGAAUAAACCAAUAAAUUUACAUUAUUUUUAUUCAUCUAAAGAAAAUAAAAUACAAUGAAUAAAAAUAAUAUAAAUUUAAACCGGUAUUUUAUUCCUGACUCUGGCGUCAGUGAAUAAACCAAUAAAUUUACAUUAUUUUUAUCCAUACAUGCAUAUUUUUUUAUUUUUUAUUUUUUAUUUUUCUGCCUUUUAUUUUUUUAUUUUUUUUAUUAUAUAUAUUUUUUAACUGGGCUGGGCCCGGCCCGGCCCAGCAAAAAAAGAAAAAAAUUGGGGGCUGGGCCCAGCGCAGCCCACAUGGACUGGGCUGGACCCAGCCAGCCCAGCCCGGUCACUGGCCCAAGCCAGUGACCCGGCUGGGUAAAAACUAAAGGCACGCGUGACUUAUUCACGCGUGCCCGAACACUGGUGAAGGUAAUUAAAUUACCUUCACACAGUGUUCUUGCAGCACAUAAUUAUCUUUUGAAAUGAAAAUGCAGAGGAGACGGGGUCAUACCUGCUUCUGGAGACCGAAGAUGCUGCUUCUGGAGACCGAAGAUGUUGCUUCUGGAGACUGAGAUGCUUGCAGCGCUGCUUGAUGAUUUUCGCCUAAUGUUCCUCUGGUUUUCCUUCUGUGAAUACUUAUCUAUGCUUUCCUUCUUGAUUUCUCUGUAACUUCUAAAGCUACAAAGAAGAUUCCGGCUUGUUGUGAGUGUUCUUUGGCUGAAUCCGGGUUUUUUUGUUUGCAGGUUCGGAGACAAUUUCAAGGAUAAUUCUCCUUACCGUGUCCUGCCUUCUUGUCCUCUCCUUCUCUGUGUAUUUGGAUUUGUUCUCUGUUUUCUCUGCCUUUUUCUUUUAACUCUGUUUUUCUGGGUUGAUUUUUUCGGUUCUCUCCCUCCUUUUCUUACUGUGUAUAAUUUCUCUGGUUUUCUUGCUCUCCCUCCUUUUUUUUUCUUUAGGUGUUCUUCUCCCUUUUAUAAACCCAGCCGAUUGCCCCCCAUCAGUCCUGCCUUUGCAGGACUGUUAUCUUCCACGAACGAGAUCGUGGGCGAGAGACGUGGUCCUCGAUUGGAUUGAAUCCGUUGCAGAUUUUCCAGCCUGUUGAAUCGGGAUGGAGAAGACGAACACGACUGUUCUACCCGCAGCGGCGACGUUUCGGCAGCAAUGGAUUUCACCAGCAACGACGCCGUUUCAAGCAACAAAUGGACAUUUUUAUUUUGAUCCCUGAACUGUUGGAAAUUCGGCAAUUGGACCUUAAAAAAAAUUCCACUUAAUUUUGUCCCUUUGGAUUAAUUUCAAUUAAAUCCUUAAAUUAUAACACUGUUUACAAAACAGUCCUUAAUUCCUGGAUUGUUCAAUUUAGCCCUUAAUUAAAUCUUUAACCUUUCAAAAUUGAUCAAUUAACUCUCAAAUUACAUCCUCAAACUUUAAAUUUUGUUGUUUUAACCCCAUUGGCAACUAUAUUUAAUUUUUUUAUUAUUUGUUCAAAAAUUGGUUAUGACAAUGAUAGUAACAAGAAAAUAAAAAUUAAUUUGAAUAAAUGGUAGGAGUUUCUAUUCUGAUAUAUCCAGGGAAGAAGUUCGAAGAAUAGAAUGAAGAUAAAAAAAGAAAAAAUUUGUGUUACAUUUUUAUCUUUUAUAAUUAUAAUUAUUGCAUUGCUAAUAAUUUGCACGAAAAAAUAUUCUUUCUCUGAAAAGGGCUUGAGAGAACCCUAAGCAUAUAUAGGAAUCUCUUAUAGGAAUCUCUUUAUUAAAUCAUCAAAAUAUGAAAGUCUAUUUCCAAAUACUAUUACUACAGUUUAUAUAUAUAUAUAUAUAUAUAUAUAUAUAUAUAGAAACAACUAAAUAGAAAAAUUAUUAUUAUUUAAAUAAAAAACUAGAAAAGCCUGAUAAUAUUAUUGAAUGAAAAAUAAAAUAGAAAUUUAAUAAAUUAAAAGUUAAAAAAUACUGUGUGACUGUUUUGUAUAAAUUCUAAAGUUAAGGAGUCUUUUAUGCUUGGUAAAAUACGUCACAAUAAAGUUAAUAAAUAAGAACACAAGAAAGGAUCAAAGUUAAUAAAUAAUAGCAUGCACGAAACUUCAUGAUAUCCAUGUUUUUCACGUUUUAUACUGCUUUAAUAGAUUGUUACAGCAAGAGAAACGGUACAAGACAGAACAAUAAAGGAGGGGCUGACGUUCAGUGAGGACAUCCUCCAGCUCAUCAGAUCCAGCUCAAGUUGUUGCAACCACCGCGAAAGGAACGCAUUGAUGUUAACGCGUGGACCCAGUCGCUGCAACCAGCACGAAAGUACCACUCCAAAUUCCAGCUCAUUUGUUAUAUAUAUAGUAAUAACAAAUGGUUAGAAUGCUUUAGUCCUUUUCGAGUGGAAAGUGGUGUGAAUGUGGGAAGUACUGUGAGAGCUUUAUGCCACUUUCUAUCUUUGAUGUGAUGGCUUUGGCAAGAAGAAACAAAUAAAAGUUAGUGUUCGCACUGCUUUAGCCCAAGAGUCUUUCAUCGUCGUUGCCUUGGAUUGAUUGAUUGAUUGACAGGAAGAAUUCUGAAUGUUUUUAGAAAAGUCUUCAUUGACAGGAAGAAUUGUGAACGGAAUGAGAUUUUAUUUUGUUUUGUUUUUUAAAUUAACAUGGAAUAUUUCAGUUAUUUCAGGUGAAACGAAACAAAAUUAACAACCUUGAUAAAAACUCUAAAUCACGAGUAAAAUCUGAAUGUUUUUUUAUAGAAAGAAGCAAUCUUCAUUGCUUUAAUAAAUUGUCACAAUAAUAGCACUAAGAGAAGAAUGGGUAGACCCUCGAGCCGGGCCAAAUUUUAAAAUUAUAGUUUAUAUAUAGAAACAACUAAAUAUAUAAAUUAUUAUUUUUUAAAUGAAAAAACCAGAAGAGCUUGAUAAUAUUUAAUAAAAAAAAUAAAAAUGAAAAAAUAUUCCUUUUCAAGUACAAACAAAAUUAUAAAUAUUUAAUAAUACUGUAUAAAAAAUUAAAAAUUCUAACCUAAAUUUUAAAAAAAUUGUCAUUGGCUAAUUGACUAAUUGACUUGUGCUAUCUCUUGUACAUUAUUAGAAAAAUUGUCAUUGACUAAUUGACUUGCAAAAGUAUUUGCAAGAAAGCUAAAGAAUUAGAGUUUUUAACAUUUUUAAAUUUUUAAAAACAUCCAAUUAUUUUUUUAAAAAAUCAAGAAUAAAACAUCAACUAUUUAUAUAAUUGCUAAAUAAAUCUAAUAAAAUAAAUCAGAAAUAACUAGUAAAUAAUCCAAAAAUAACUAGAAAAUAAAUAUAUCUCCUCAAUAUGAUUUGAGUAUGUUUUCUAUCUUAAUUGACUGACUUGCUAAGUAUUUGUUAAGCAUAAACGAACUUUACUCUAAAAGUAUGUUUAAUAUUUUUCUUACUUUUACUAUUUUACUUCAAAGUUUCAAUUUCAUAUUUUUUUACAAUGUACAUGUUAUUUGAUUAGUCUGAUCAUAGGAUAUGUUAAGCAUUGACUCGAAAUUAGCACUUGAAAUUAUGGACUGGAAACUAGCUUAAAUGCUGGCCACCAACCCUUUUUUGCUCGUUCUAUAGGGAGAGUAGAAAAUGUGAUUUCUUAUUCAAGAUCGUGGAUAGUACGCUCAAGAUUAUGGGAAGGUGUUUUUUGUUUACUAGGAGGAUUGGGUCGAAAAGAGGAGAAAAAGUGGCAGCCUUCCAUAUACAUUUAAGGAAACCCAGAUUUUUGUAGAUUUUAGAGACAAAACGAUGUCAUUUUCAUUUUUCUUUCAAUAUCAAAAUUUUUUCUUCCCUUUUCCAGGCAAAACGCACCAUUUCAAUUAGUGUGAAAAGGCAUCAUUUUGCUUUAGGUUUUCUUCAUAUGUAAUAAUGCUAAACACACCAUGUGGAACUAUGUUAAACGCAACAUUUUAGCAUCUUUUGUGCUUCGAUCCCUAGAAUUUUAAUUCUUUUAUUUUGAUCAAUUUUCAACUCUUUUCCUUUAAUUUCAUUUAAUUUGCUAUUAACUGAAUUACAAUAUGACCUUUAAUUUCUUUAUUUUUUUCAUUUCAGUCACUGAUUCUUUCAAUCUUCAUUUUUAAGCCAAAUGAAUUGCAGUUUCAAUUUUCUUUUUUAAUUAAAUCUCUAAUUGAUUUUUUAAAUUGGUUAUUCAUUUCAAACUCAUUCUUGAACUGCUAAUAAUUUUAAUAGAUGUAUGGUACAUCCUAUGAAUUUAUUAGAAAGAAUGUUUAAUGUAAAGUAUGAACCACUUGCCAUUAACUAGCUUUUUCAAUUGGAUCUUUUAUUUAAAUGAAAAGGAAUAUUUAUUUUAAUAUGAAGAAAAUAAUUAUUUUUUUUGAUAUAUCUAGUGAUAAUAAAUUAGAGGAUAGUAACAAGAAAAUAGGGAUUAGAUCGAAUAAAUGGUACCAAUUUGUAUUAUGAUAUAUCUAGUAAUAAUAAAUUAGAGGAUAGUAACAAGAAAAUAUGAAUUAGAUCGAAUAAAUGGUACCAAUUUCUAUUCUGAUAAAUCUAGCCAAAGAGUAGAAUGAAUUAAAAUAUUCUUAAUAAAAAAGAAAAACAGAAAACACAGAAAGAAAAAAAAAAUGCUCUUAAUAAAUAUUAAAGAUAGGUGAAAUUAGAGAACAAGAAAGAGAUAUAGAAUCUCUUUCUUAAGAUUUCUAAAAACUUAAUUACAAUUACAUUAUAAUUUCUUCCUUAAAAUUAUUCAAAAUAUAGUAUUGUAAUUACAUAAUGCUAGGUUUUAAUAUAUAAGUUUUUAUAUUGUUGAAGAGUCUCUCCUAAAACAAAUAAUAAAAAUAUUGUUAUGAACUGUUUUGAAUGAAUUGUUAAUGCACGGACUAUUUUGGGUCCUGACUUGGCUGAUUUAACUUGAAUGUAUUAUUUGAUUGGUCCAAGUAAAGAUCAACUCGAAAUUUCUAUUAAUUUAUGUCGCACCCGACAUCGCGACGGCCUUAAAAAAAAAAAUCAGGUAUAUUGCGGAAAAAGAACAGAUUUCUGGCAUCUUGUUCUUUUAGGAAAAAUGUCUUGUUUAAGGAGUCGCCACCUAGUAUUAUGGUCACUAGGAACCCUAACUGGUCAACAGAGAUUCUAUGGUACGGGACUGGUUACGUAAAAGGGAAGAUAUUAUCACCCCUUAAACGUUCUGCCUAAGGCAGACUGCAUUGCUGGUUUUGUCUUAAAUUGCUAAACAUUUAUUCGCUUAUGCUAUGAUGAUUUGUUUAUAAUAUUCCUGACUCUGGCGCCAGUGAAUAUUCGAUCGCGAAUAAUUCCAACUCUGGCGUUGGUAAAAAUUCCACCCGAAUAAUUCCAACUCUGGCGUUGGUAAAAAUUCUACUACAAAUAAUUCCAACUCUGGCGUUGGUAAAAAUUCAUAGCCACCAAAAAUAAAUUCAGAUUAAUAUUUUUUUAUUCCUGACUCUAACGCUAGUGAAUAAACAAAUAAACUAAAUUUAUGCAUUCACAUAUUUUUUUAUUUUUUAUGUAGUUAAAUAAAAAAAACAAAGAGAAUAAUUAAAUAAGUAUUUUUAUUUUUGACUCUGAAGUCAGUAAAUAAAAAUAAAUUUAUUUUUCAUACAUGCACGUAUAUUUUUUUGCUAAAUAAAAAAAAUAUACGAAUAAAAAUAAUAUAAACUUAAACUAAUAUUUUAUUCCCGACUCUGGCGUGGGUGAAUAAACUAGUAAAUUUAUAUUAUUUUUAUUCAUGCACACACAUAUUUUUUUAUUUUUUUAUUUUUUAUUUUCUUAUUUUUUUUAUAUAUAUAUAUUUGUUUUUUGCUGGGCCUAGCUCAGCCCACAUGGGCUGGGCCCAGCCCAGCCCAGCCCAGCCCAGUCACUGGCCCAAGCCAGUGACCCGGCUGGGUAACAUGAAGCACGCGUGAACUAAAUCACGCGUGCAUUAGCAGAUAAAGGAAUUAAUUGAGAGUGUACAGUAGGAAGUGAAUUAAAAUGAAAAACGGUGAAAGGUGAAAGAGAAACUUACUUACCUGGCUCUGGAUACAACGAAGGCAGCAGCAACAAUGGUUCUGGUCACGGUGGCUUUCCUCUGCUUAUGUUCGUCCCCUGUUUAUUGGCUUGUUCGUCCCCUGUUCUUGUUUCCAGUCGCUCUCCUUUUGUUUCCUUGCUCUCGUUCUCUGUCUUCUGCGUUUGUUUUUCUUCUGUGUUUCCCUGGUUCUCUUUUUGUUCACCUUAUCUUCUCUGCUUUUCCUUUUUUUUUCGUCUGUGUCUGUCCCUUCUCUCUCGGUCUGUUUUUUCUUUUUUUUUCUCUUGCUCUCACAUGCUCUGUCUUUCUCUGUUUUUUUCUGUUCUUGGCUCUGUUUUGGGUUGAUUUUUCUUGUGCAGGGAUGAAGAUGAUGGCGGGGUUGAUCUCUGAUUCCUUUCUGCCUUUCUCCCCUUCUCCCUGGGUAUUUCUUUUUGUGUUUGUGCUCUGUUUUGCUCUGCUUGUUUCCUCACUGAUUUCCGGUUCUUGCUUUUUCCAAUCUUCCCCCUCGUUUUAGUCCAAUUCAUCCCCUGUUUCCAGUGUUCUUUUUCCUGCGUUUUGCUCGGUUCCCCUCCUCCGGUUUGUUCGGUUCUUUGUCCAGCCCCGUUGUUCCCCUGUUUCCUGAGUUUUUCUAUGGGUUCUGCUCCAGUUAUCCCCCCUCUGUUCGUCCCCUUGCCUCUGCUCUGCUCUGCCUUUUAUAGAGCCCGAGCACGCAGAAAAAACCCGUUCCUCUGUUCAUCAAUCCAUGAGCGGGAUCAUGGGCAAGAAAUCAUGGUGUCGUGGUCCACGAUUUGCUGCAAAUUUCCUGUUAAAACGGCUUUUUCCGCUCAAACGUGGGAGACGAUGAACAAUGCUUCCAAAACGGUGCCGUUGUGUCCUUGGGCAUGGCUUUUUUUAAUUUAGUCCCUAAACAGUUUAAACUUAACAAUUGGGAUCCUAAUCAGAAACAAUUGAUUUCUAAUUGUGCCCUUGGAUUAAAUUUAAUUGAAUCCUUGAGUUAUAACGCCAUUUACACAACAGUCCUAGAUGUUUGGACUAUUCAAUUUGGUCCUUGGACUUUAAUUUUCUAGCAAUUUUUCCUUGAAUCAGCUCUAAACUUUGAUAUUCUUUCAAUUACACCCCUGAUUCCUUUAAUUAAUUAAAUCAAAGUUUAAUUAAGUCCUUAAACUCAUUAAUUCUUCAAUUAAACUCUUGAUUUCAUUAAUUAAAAUAAUCUGAAUUUUAAUUAAAUCAAUUCUCCAAUUAAACCCUUGAUUUAAUUAAUUAAAAAGAGUUUAAUUAAAUCUUUAAACUUCCAAUCAUGCUGCCCUUAACCUAAAUUUUAAUUCAUUCUUCAUUUAUUUUAUUUUUAUUUGUUUUUUCAUCAUUUUUUAAAUAAAAAUAAUUAAAAUAAAAAGGUUAAAAAUUGGGUUAUGACAGUUGCCCCCUCUUUAUAAUAUUUACCUUGCAAAGAUAUUUAGAAAAUUUCAUUUUCUUUUAGCUUUGUGUAGUAAAUUUAUAAAGAAAAGUAGAUAAAGAAGUUUUUUUUUUUUUUUUUUUUUGCUUUUUUAGUUUGAAAACUUCAAAAACAGUAGAUUGACAUAAGAUUUUAACAGAGAGAACAAAUCAUUUGGAAGACGGUCCAUUUUUUUGUUGUUUUUUUUUUGUUCGAAAUGGAUCAAAUUGUUUUGGGCAACCUGCCCAAUGAUAAAAGAAACGCGAAGAAUUUCGCGAGUGGUCUAAUUGUUCCAGGCGACCUGCCCAAUGAUUGAAAAAUACGAGAAAUUUUUUUGUGAUGGUAUAUUGUAAUGGGUUAUCGGCCCAGAUGGUCACAUUGUAAUGGGUUACCUGCCCAGUAUAAGAUGGUAUGUUGUAAUGGGUUACCCGCCCAAAUGGUAACAUUGUAAUGGGUUACCUGCCCAGUAUAGGAUGGUAUAUUGUAAUGGGUUACCGACCCAGUUGGUCACAUUGUAAUGGGUUACCUGCCCAGAUGGUCACAUUGUAAUGGGUUACCUGCCCAGUGGAUGGUAUAUUGUAAUGGGUUACCGACCCAGUUGGUCACAUUGUAAUGGGUUACCUGCUCAGGUGGUCACAUUGUAAUGGGUUACCGGCCCAGUUGGUCACAUUGUAAUGGGUUACCUGCCCAGUGGAUGGUAUAUUGUAAUGGGUUAUCGACCCAAUUGGUCACAUUGUAAUGGGUUACCUGCCCAGAUGAUCACAUUGUAAUGGGUUACCUGCCCAGUGGAUGGUAUAUUGUAAUGGGUUACCGACCCAGUUGGUCACAUUGUAAUGGGUUACCUGCCCAGGUGGUCACAUUGUAAUGGGUUACCGGCCCAGUUGGUCACAUUGUAAUGGGUUACCUGCCUAGUGGAUGGUAUAUUGUAAUGGGUUAUCGACCCAGUUGGUCACAUUGUAAUGGGUUACCUGCCCAGUAUAGGAUGGUAUAUUGUAAUGGGCUACCGGCCCAGAUGGUCACAUUGUAAUGAGUUACCUGCCCAGUAUAGGAUGGUAUAUUGUAAUGGGCUACCGGCCCAGAUGGUCGCAUUGUAAUGGGUUACCGGCCCAGUUGGUCGCAUUGUAAUGGGUUACCUGCCCAGUUGGUCGCAUUGUAAUGGGUUACCUGCCCAGUGGAAGAAUACGAGGAUUUUUUUUUUUAAGACAUGGUAAGGCUCGAAGGCGCUUUUAUUCAAUAGAUGGAAGCUCAAAGGAAAUGAGGGCUCGAAGACGCACUCAAAAGGAGGUAGGAUAGGAAAUGCACUACCUUUGAUGGUCGAGGGCUCGAAGGCGCGCUCGAAAAGAAACAAGACGAGGGCUCGAAGGCACACUCGAAUGGGGAUAAGACGAGGGCUUGAAGGCGCGCUCGAAUGGAGAAUGAAAGGUGGUGGGAAAAUACAUAUAUUUUUCAAGUGGCCUAAUUUUCAUGGGCGGCUUGCCCAGGUUGAAAAAUUCUCAAAAGUGAAAAUUUUUCAAAAGCAAUUUCAAUGUUCGCCAUUUCAAGUUGGCCUUCCGCUUGAUGGAUUCUGUUAGAAUUUUCUCUAAUAAAAUUUGCAAAACUCAUUGUCCAAUGUCUCAAAGUUUAAAUGAUAUGCAUGCACCUGAUUUGAAAUAUAGGCCCCCCAUUUCUUCUUAGCCUUCUCGUUGCUUGGUUGGUGAGAUCUUGCUAUCUGAUUUGAGUCAUCUUUGUCGUUUGGCUUUCUAGCCCACUCGAGUUAGCCCAUAUAAGACUUUUUCUAGAUUUGUUUGCACAACUCAGCCUUUAUGGUACCCAUCGUGACCCACAUGCUUGCUAAAGAUUUUCGGACUCGUCAAAUAAUUUGAGAGGAUCAUUCAUUACCCCUCGUCUCAAUGCUAAAAACAUUCGGUGUCACUAGCUGAAAGGAUCAAACGGUCUUUUGUAAACCAAAAUGCCCCCUUGUCUUGUUGUAAGGGAUGAUAGAUUUUCCUUAAACAUAAUGUUGUCCCCUUGUACUGGUCAUUGCCCCCAAGUGCGCUAUGUCACUGACUUAGAUGAAUAAUGAUUUUAAGAGGCCAUUCUCUCAUUUGGUGAAGGAAUAUGAGUCUAGAAUAAAUCUUGAAAUCUUGAUCUUGCAUUUUAAAAACAAAAAUUAUUUCGAUGUGAGUCUAAAAUAAUUUGUUUUUGAAAUCUUGCAACUCCUUGGUUAUUUUCUUUCUUGGAAAAGAGAUUAUUUGCUCUUGUGUUUGGUAAUGAGGUCUUUGAGGAAAAUAUGUCAUGAGAUGACCUUUUGUUUCGAAGUGAAGGGCUCGAGAAAAAGCUCGAGGUUUUAUAUGAGAAAAACUUGUCUUUUUUAGCAUUUAUUUUUAUCAGCAUGAAUAAUAAUGAGUAGUUUAUUCUUGAUGUCAUGAAUCUUAUGAAAAAAUAUUCUUUGCAUUUUGAGAGCAUUGUUUAUUGUUCUAAGUUGCUUGCUUGCUUGAUUAGAAAGGACUUCUACAGGCAUGUAACGUAGGCUGUGUUUUUUAUUUUUUUGCUAUGAAAGAAAAGGAUUCAUAAGGCUCAAAGAGUGUUUCAGGGUUUCAAAGAUUGAAGAUCACGAUCAACAGUUUGACUCUUGAUGUCAUUCAUAUUUUCUUUUGCCGCUCUUCUUUGAUUUGCCCCUUUUUUUUUAUAGCUUUGCUAGAGCAUACUCACUUUAUCUUGGUUAUCAUUUUUUUCUUGUGAUUUGGGUAUGCCCCCUAGCAUUUGAGUUUCUUGGGCUCUUUAUGCCUUUUUGGCUUUCUCACGGCUUUUUCUCAUUUCACAUUGAAAUUUUCUCUUGCCCCCCAGUGUAGGGUGUGAUCUUAGUCAGGAUUUUUAAUGAAAGAAAAAUUAUUCAGGCUCAAAAAGGGAUCGCAAGGGAUGUACUUAUUUUAGAAAGUGAAAGGAAUAACAAAGAUGGCCUUUCCUCAUUUUAAGCGCAAGCAGUUAAGAUCAAUAAACUUUGACCUCAUCUAGUGUGAUGGUUUGGUCUUUGCAAAGAUGCAUUUCAUAAAUCAUGAGCAACGAAUUCUCUACAUACCAUUAUUCAUACAUUUAAAAACACAUGAUUCAAGAGUCAUGGGGUAAGUGUCUUUCUUUUUCUUUUUCAUAAUUUUUAUGGUUUAUAAUUUAGUCACCUCAAUGAUGAAGCUGCUUGAUUCACUUGUCAUUCUACAAGUAGAAUGUGAAAAAUAUCAUUUUUGAAUGAACAUCAAAUUAUUUUUGAAAUCAAAAUACCAGAUCAAAUUUUCAAAACUCCAAUAGGGAAAUGGAUUUUGGUACAAGAGAUGAAUUGCGUCUAUGAGAUCACGUAAGGCUUCAAAGGUGGAUUCGUGAGUUCUUAUAAGAAAAACUCUCUUAAUCAGAAUAAUGCUUGGUCGUGAACACGAUUGAAUGACAAACUCAAUAUUUCAUUGAAGCUUAGGAAAAGAAGUUCAACAACAAAGAUCUUAUGCCAACAUGAAUACUGGCAUGAUAACACAUAAAGGAGCUAAACAUUUAGUGAUCAUUCUCGACCUAAUAUCACCAUAGCUUUCUCUUCAAGGUAGUUGAUUUCUAGGAGUCGGCGUAAAGAAAUUAACCAUAGGAACAGUAAGAGCCUUGGCCACCCCCUUCAGUGUCCUUUCCUUUUUCGGUGAAACCGUUCUUUUCAGUUGGAUCAGCAAUUUUACCUAACCCAAUGGCUUGUUCAAUCCUCUCAGCUACAACAACCAGGUCAGUGAAAUGUUGUGCAGAGCUUCUAACCAAGUAUUCAAAGUACGGAGCUUUAAAGGUGUUGGAAAAUAAACUGAUCAUCUCUUUUUCCAACAUGGGAGGAUUAACUUGUGCAGCUACCUCACUCCAUCUCCGGGCGUAUUCCCUUAUGGACUCCUUGUUGUCCUUCUCCAUAGCUUGCAAGCUUAACCGAUCAGGGCCCACGUCUAUAUUGAACUUAUAUUGCCUCAUAAAGGCAUCCACUAAAUCCUUCCAUUUUUUAACCUUGGUAUUGUCCAACCGCAUAUACCAAGUGAGGGCAACAUUACUCAGACUGUCUUGAAAGAAAUGAAUCAGCAGUUUCUCAUUAUCAACCACCUCAGCCAUUUUGUUGCAGUAUGCUUUGAGAUGAGUUAUAGGACAUUGAGUUCCCGUAUAUUUAACAAAUUCGGGCACUCUAAACUUUUUAGGAAUGACAACGUUGGGCACCAAACACAUCUCAACAGCCCUUAUAGGAUCAUAUAGGUGAAUUCUCUCAAAUGCCCUCAUCCUUUGCUCUAGGGCAAUGAAUUUGUUCAGAUCAUCUUCUUUUACCACCUUGCCUUUUUGAUAUUCCUUCUCUAUAGAAUCAAUGGUGGACAAAACUCUCGCAGGGUAUGCUGGCUGGAAAUGCAUAGGUUGUUGAAAUUCAGAUGACACCCUAUUUGCCCCCAGAUUCUGUGGAUCGAAAUGAGUUACAUGCAUAUCUUCAGGCUGAGCUAUAAGUGUUGCUUUUCCGGAUUUAUUUCUCAAGACCUGCUCGAGUAGACUAGUAAUCCUUGUGACUUCUUCCUUAAGAUUGUCCACCUCUUUUUGAUGUUGGGCUUCCAACUGGGCUCUUUCUUCGUUUUCCAUUUGUCUUUUUCUCGAACGAGUGUUAUACAUGGGUUUCAAUGGGGAACCUAUAUUUCAACCUGUUAAAUGUAAAUCAUGCAAUUAUGCAAAAAUGCUGAAGCAAUUAGAAAAAAUGCAAAUGAAAUGCGGACUUGCCCUUUUACGGGAUGACAACCUAAUAAACAGAUCCUAAUUGUUGAGUGCAUCAAAGGGUUGGUCAUUAUCUAGUUUUAAAGGGUCUCUCGCACGCUCAGUGAUCGUCCAUGAAAGGUCGAUAUGAGGCUUACAAGUAGUGUGAAGAUAGAGGCCCUAAGUAAUAUCAGUUUGGCAUAUCAACCACUUCCAAGUAAACAAUCAAGCGAGAGUUGGAUGGUUUCACGAGUCUUACCCAGGCUAAAGCCAUUGGGGUACCGUUACUCCCCCCAUUUAUCCUAGAUUUUAAGGUAUGUGCUUUUAACGUGAUGCAUGACAAUAUAAACAUAGAUGCAUGCUAAAGCAGUAAAUGCAAGAAAAAUAAACAAAUAAACACAACAUAACAAAUAUUAUAGCAAUUGACAAACAAAAGGCAAAGCUUAGUCCAUUAUUCCCCAGUGGAGUCGCCAUUCUGUCGCACCCGACAUCGCGGCGGCCUUAAAAAAAAAAAUCAGGUAUAUUGCGGAAAAAGAACAGAUUUCUGGCAUCUUGUUCUUUUAGGAAAAAUGUCUUGUUUAAGGAGUCGCCACCUAGUAUUAUGGUCACUAGGAACCCUAACUGGUCAACAGAGAUUCUAUGGUACGGGACUGGUUACGUAAAAGGGAAGAUAUUAUCACCCCUUAAACGUUCUGCCUAAGGCAGACUGCAUUGCUGGUUUUGUCUUAAAUUGCUAAACAUUUAUUCGCUUAUGCUAUGAUGAUUUGUUUAUAAUAUUCCUGACUCUGACGCCAGUGAAUAUUCGAUCGCGAAUAAUUCCAACUCUGGCGUUGGUAAAAAUUCCACCCGAAUAAUUCCAACUCUGGCGUUGGUAAAAAUUCUACUACAAAUAAUUCCAACUCUGGCGUUGGUAAAAAUUCAUAGCCACCAAAAAUAAAUUCAGAUUAAUAUUUUUUUAUUCCUGACUCUAACGCUAGUGAAUAAACAAAUAAACUAAAUUUAUGCAUUCACAUAUUUUUUUAUUUUUUAUGUAGUUAAAUAAAAAAAACAAAGAGAAUAAUUAAAUAAGUAUUUUUAUUUUUGACUCUGAAAUCAGUAAAUAAAAAUAAAUUUAUUUUUCAUACAUGCACGUAUAUUUUUUUGCUAAAUAAAAAAAAUAUACGAAUAAAAAUAAUAUAAACUUAAACUAAUAUUUUAUUCCCGACUCUGGCGUGGGUGAAUAAACUAGUAAAUUUAUAUUAUUUUUAUUCAUGCACACACAUAUUUUUUUAUUUUUUUAUUUUUUAUUUUCUUAUUUUUUUUAUAUAUAUAUUUGUUUUUUGCUGGGCCUAGCUCAGCCCACAUGGGCUGGGCCCAGCCCAGCCCAGCCCAGCCCAGUCACUGGCCCAAGCCAGUGACCCGGCUGGGCAACAUGAAGCACGCGUGAACUAAAUCACGCGUGCAUUAGCAGAUAAAGGAAUUAAUUGAGAGUGUACAGUAGGAAGUGAAUUAAAAUGAAAAACGGUGAAAGGUGAAAGAGAAACUUACUUACCUGGCUCUGGAUACAACGAAGGCAGCAGCAACAAUGGUUCUGGUCACGGUGGCUUUCCUCUGCUUAUGUUCGUCCCCUGUUUAUUGGCUUGUUCGUCCCCUGUUCUUGUUUCCAGUCGCUCUCCUUUUGUUUCCUUGCUCUCGUUCUCUGUCUUCUGCGUUUGUUUUUCUUCUGUGUUUCCCUGGUUCUCUUUUUGUUCACCUUAUCUUCUCUGCUUUUCCUUUUUUUUCGUCUGUGUCUGUCCCUUCUCUCUCGGUCUGUUUUUUCUUUUUUUUUCUCUUGCUCUCACAUGCUCUGUCUUUCUCUGUUUUUUUCUGUUCUUGGCUCUGUUUUGGGUUGAUUUUUCUUGUGCAGGGAUGAAGAUGAUGGCGGGGUUGAUCUCUGAUUCCUUUCUGCCUUUCUCCCCUUCUCCCUGGGUAUUUCUUUUUGUGUUUGUGCUCUGUUUUGCUCUGCUUGUUUCCUCACUGAUUUCCGGUUCUUGCUUUUUCCAAUCUUCCCCCUCGUUUUAGUCCAAUUCAUCCCCUGUUUCCAGUGUUCUUUUUCCUGCGUUUUGCUCGGUUCCCCUCCUCCGGUUUGUUCGGUUCUUUGUCCAGCCCCGUUGUUCCCCUGUUUCCUGAGUUUUUCUAUGGGUUCUGCUCCAGUUAUCCCCCCUCUGUUCGUCCCCUUGCCUCUGCUCUGCUCUGCCUUUUAUAGAGCCCGAGCACGCAGAAAAAACCCGUUCCUCUGUUCAUCAAUCCAUGAGCGGGAUCAUGGGCAAGAAAUCAUGGUGUCGUGGUCCACGAUUUGCUGCAAAUUUCCUGUUAAAACGGCUUUUUCCGCUCAAACGUGGGAGACGAUGAACAAUGCUUCCAAAACGGUGCCGUUGUGUCCUUGGGCAUGGCUUUUUUUAAUUUAGUCCCUAAACAGUUUAAACUUAACAAUUGGGAUCCUAAUCAGAAACAAUUGAUUUCUAAUUGUGCCCUUGGAUUAAAUUUAAUUGAAUCCUUGAGUUAUAACGCCAUUUACACAACAGUCCUAGAUGUUUGGACUAUUCAAUUUGGUCCUUGGACUUUAAUUUUCUAGCAAUUUUUCCUUGAAUCAGCUCUAAACUUUGAUAUUCUUUCAAUUACACCCCUGAUUCCUUUAAUUAAUUAAAUCAAAGUUUAAUUAAGUCCUUAAACUCAUUAAUUCUUCAAUUAAACUCUUGAUUUCAUUAAUUAAAACAAUCUGAAUUUUAAUUAAAUCAAUUCUCCAAUUAAACCCUUGAUUUAAUUAAUUAAAAAGAGUUUAAUUAAAUCUUUAAACUUCCAAUCAUGCUGCCCUUAACCUAAAUUUUAAUUCAUUCUUCAUUUAUUUUAUUUUUAUUUGUUUUUUCAUCAUUUUUUUAAAUAAAAAUAAUUAAAAUAAAAAGGUUAAAAAUUGGGUUAUGACAAUUUACAAAAGAAAUUUCCUAGUACUUUCUACUGUAUAUAAUUUGAAAAAUUGUGACUGACCAACUUACUUGCAAAGUAUUGGCAAGAAAGUUAAAGAAUUAGAGUUUUUAAAUAUUUAAAAUUAUAAUUUUAAAUUCUAAGAAAAAAAUCAAUUAUUUUUAAAAUUGUUUUCAAAAAUAAAAGCAUCAACUAUUUAUAUAAUAGCUAAAUGAAUCUAUUAAAAUAAAUAAAAAAAUAACUAGUAAAAUCAAGUGAAUAAUCCAAAAAUAACAAGAAAAUAGAGAUAUUUCCUAAAUAUGAUUCCAGUUUGUAUUUGCUAACAUAAAUAGCAUACAUGAACUUUAUUAUAAUAGUAUAUUUGAUAUUUAAAUAAAAACUUAUAGAUAUUAUAUGGGUUGGAAACCCAUUUUUUAUUAAAUUUUAAAUUUUAUAUGUUUAAAAAUAUUUUUUUAUAUUUUUUAAUUAUUUUAAUGUGAUAAUAUUAAAAAUAAAUAAAUAAAAUUUUUCUAACUUUUACUACUUCUGACUUGCUUUGACUCGAAAUUCGCGGUGCUUUCUCCUGCAAAUGAAUAGAAAGCAUAUCAUUUCUCCUCCUCCUAUAUGAAGAAUACAACUCGCUUUGAAACCUCAAUUAAAUUUCCUUGGUUUACUCUUCAGAUUACUUCUCCUAAACUCCUUUGUUCAUUUUCUUUUUUAUUACCCCUUCAUGCCAAUUGUUAGAUACUAAAAACAGCAAGAACUGUACUCAAUUAGCAAAAAAUAGAUUUUUGACUAGAAAAAUUCUAUCAAAUUCUCUACUUUAUUAGUGUUCAUUUUCAUUCUUUUUUAACAUAUCUUUUCCAAUUGUUUAGAAAACUUUUAUGUCAAUCAAUAUACACCUACUUUCAACGUUUUACACUGCUUUAGUCCUAAAAAAUAAUUCUAGAUAUAGUUGUAUUGUAAUAGAUAUUAUAUUUCAAACUAUUUUUGAAAUAUAUUAAAGUAAUAUAUUUUUUUAAAAAAAUAAUUUUAACAUCGCUACAUUAUAAUAAUAAAAAUAAUAAUUUAAAACAAUAAAAAAAUUUAAAAUAUUUUUAAAAUAUGAUUUUACUGCACUCCAAAACAUACCAUCCUCCCUCAGCAACCACCACGAAAUUACCACUCUAAAAACUCUUUGACAAUUAUUGCUUGCUCUUUGACUAUUAUUGCUUGGCUAAUGAUUUGCAAGAAACUUUCUCAAUUUCCUUCUAUUUUCUUUUUAUCAUGGAAACUUUAAGUCACAUCUACGCCUACCACGAACUACCAAUAAGUAAAUUUCAAUAUGUAAUUGUGUAGGUUGAAUUAAAAGUGCUUUAAUGAAGUAUGUUAAAAAAUAAUAUAAAUUAUAUUUUAGAUUUUAUUUUAAUAAUUUAAAUUUCUAGAUGAAUAGAUUUUUUACAAAUAAAAGAUAUAGUUUUACGAUAAAAUGCAUUUUUUGAAAUGAAAUUAUAUUAAAUUAAACAUGCUCGAGAUUGUUUGAAUUAUUAAUUAAUUAUAAUUAACUUUAUGUUUUUUGAGGAAACAAAUGGGAAGGACAAAAUUAUCUACCCCAAACGAUAGACCUAGCCCACUUUUCAAACCAAUCCCCAAAUAAAUAGAAUGAUGGUCUCAUAAGUUGCUUUUUUUCUUUCUAGGCCGCCAAGCAGUUUGGUCUCCCUCACUAGACCACUUUAGCACAAGAAUCACACUAGAGGAUUUAAAAGUAGUUUGAAGUAUCAUUAAACCUGAUAAAAAUGAAUAACUGAUAAUAAUAUAGUUGGGAUUUUAAAAAAAAAUUCAUAAAAAACUAUAUAAAAAGCAAUUUAAAACCAAUUAAUCUUAAAAACACCAAAAUGAAACAUGCCAUGAAAAACAAAUUAAAAAAAAACAAAAUACUUGAAAAAAAUUAAUUCAACCCUUUUUCAUAUAAAAAAAAGUAAUUGGGUAUUAAUUUACGGUAAAAAGAGUAUAUUAAUGCAAAAAAAAAAAAAAAGAGUUUGAGGGUAUUGAUUUUAUUACUUGUUAGGUAACUAUGUAAUCUAAUCUGUUGAUGUGGAAAAUAGCACUAAGUUUUUGGCAUUGCCCAUUGGUGAGAAGCAAAAGCAGUAGCAGUCCAUCAGGACCAUCACUAUCGUAUCGCUUCGCCGUACUGUUUAGCUUCUUGGCAUUGUUCGAAGGAACGCAGAAAUACAUUCCAAGUGCGAAAGUGUAUUAUUGUCAUAAAGUUUUUCAAACCUCCACUAUAGAGAGAGAAAUAAAUAAAAAGCGCAAAGGCAACUAUACUAAAGGUCAGUUUUUCACUCUCUGAAAAAUCCUUAAAAAAUCUUUUUUAGUUUAUUUGUAAUUAAAUUAAAGAAAAAUAUUAAUUAGUAAUUUUACAUUUUUUUCUAUACUAUAAUUAUCAAAUAACCCUUAAAAAAUUUCAUUUUAACCUUUAUUCUCUCUUCUUCUUUUUCAAUUCAUUUGUUAAUUUGAUUUUUUUUUAAUUUUGCUUUUUGAUUCAAAAUUUUAGUUUAUCCUCUCAAUUUUUUUUCAAAUAAUGUUCUUAUUCUCUUAAUUGCUAUUUUUUUAUCCUUUAAUUUUUUUAUUUUAUUAUUCGACAAUUCAUUAAUUGGAUCUGAUCUCAUUGGUUUUUUCUAUUGUUUCUAAACCCUACCCAAUAAUCAAUCCAGGAUAAUUAUCGAGUUACGAGUCGAGUGGGUUGACUCGAGUGAACCCAGACAACCAAAUCCUUUUGUUUUAUAAAAAGCCAAAAUGAUACCAAUUUUUUAUUUUUAAAAAAUAAUAAACGAGUUUUGACCCUGUUUCGGCUAGAUUUUCUUAGGAUUAACUAAAACAUUUAUCAACCCAAGUUUUUUAUUGUAUUACAUUAGAUUAAUUCUCUCUCAAUUAUUUUUGAAACUCGUGCGUUUUAAACCAAAGGUCACAUGGGACACAAUUUCUUUGUGCUUUGUACUGUACAUAAUUUGAAAAACUGUGAUUAACCGACUUACUUGCAAACGAAGCUAAAGAAAAAAAUCAAUUAUUUUUUUUUAAAUUCAAAAAUAAAACAUCAACUAUUUAUAUAAUAGCUAAAUGAAUCUAUUAAAAUAAAUAAAAAAUAACUAGUAAAAUCAAGUAAAUAAUUCAAAAAUAACAAAAAAAAAUAGAGAUAUAUUUUUUAAAAACUUUUAUCUUAUAUGGGUAGGGGUUGCCAUGCAACUUAACCGGGAUCACCAUGAUUGUCGAGUAAAGUAAAUAAAUUACUUAACCGGGAUCACCAGAGGAGUUAUUUGCCAAGAUUGAGUUAUAUAACAGUUUAUAAAUCAUGCUAUCAUCUCCAUCACCAUAUAUAAAGCUAGACAAAAUAGGAUAAGAGGGGAUUAAAUUUAGUUUUAGAAUAUAUUUGAGAAUAUAGUUGAACCAUGUUUUUUAAAAUGUUUUUAAAUUGUUUUAAUAUGCUGAUGUUAAAAAUAAAUUUUAAAAAUUAUUAUUUUAAUAUAUUUAUAAUUAAAAAAUAUUUUAAAAAGUAAUUUUCAUCACAUUCUCAAAUUAGUUAAAGUUUUUCAAAUGAAUAGAUUCAUGUCGAUGACACUCUCUAGUCAGUUUUGAGAAUUUUAAAUCCAAACAAGUGAAUUUAUAUUAUAUAUGGAUCAAACAAGCAUGCUUGUACAAUAAUUUCUCAUACUCAAUAGAAAUUUGGGUUUAUCAUUAGGGUAAGACAAACCGAAUAAUUCUUUUAAUAUUUAAAAAUUAAAAAAUACUGUGUAGCUGUUUUGUAUAAAUUGUAAAAUUGAGUCUUUUGUGCUUGGUAAAAUACGUCACAAUAAAGUCAAUAAAUAAUAACACAAGAAAGGAUCAAAGUUAAUAAAUAAUAGCAUGCUUUAAUAGAUUGUUACAGUAAAAGCACAGAGAGAAGAACGGUUCAAGACAGAACAAUAAAGUUAACGCGUGGACUCAUUUGUUGCAACCAGCACGAAACUCCAGCUCAAUUAUAUGUUAAAAAAUAAUAAAGUAUGUUUUAAUAGCAUGCUUUAAUAGAUUUAAUAAAGUAUGUUAAAAAAUAAUAUAAAUUAUAUUUUAGAGUUUAUUUUAAUAAUUUAAAUUUAUAGAUGAAUAGAUUUUUUACAAAUAAAAGAUAUAGUUUUACGAUAAAAUGCAUUUUUUGAAAUGAAAUUAUAUUAAAUUAAACAUGCUCGAGAUUGUUUGAAUUAUUAAUUAAUUAUAAUAAACUUUAUGUUUUUAGAGGAAACAAAUGGGAAGGACAAAAUUAUCUACCCCAAACGAUAGACCUAGCCCACUUUUCAAACCAAUCCCCUGGUAAAUAGAAUGAUGGUCCCAUAAGUUGCUUUUUUUCUUUCCAGGCCGCCAAGCAGUUUGGUCUCCCUCACUAGACCACUUUAGCACAAGAAUCACACUAGAGGAUUUAAAAGUAGUUUGAAGUAUCAUUAAACCUGAUAAAAAUAAAUAACUGAUAAUAAUAUAGUUGAGAUUUAAAAAACAAUUCAUAAAAAAACUAUAUAAAAAGCAAUUUAAAACCAAUUAAUCUUAAAAGCACCAAAAUGAAACAUGCCAUGAAAAACAAAUAAAAAAUAAAAAAAAUACUUGAAAAAAAUUAAUUCAACCCUUUUUUCAUAUAAAUAAAGUAAUUGGGUAUUAAUUUACGGUAAAAAGAGUAUAUUAAUGCAAAAAAAAAAAGAGUUUGAGGGUAUUGAUUUUAUAUUUUUUAUUAACGUGGGUGUCCGAGUCAGUUUACAUGCACCUCGACUAAUUCUACGGGUCCUGAAGCUAACUACCAUGUAAGUCUCCAGUGGUCCUGAGAUUUAUGAGACUCGAACUGGUAAUCUUUAGGAAGCAAACUCAGGAGCUAGUCAGUUAAGUUACCCUGAGGAUUGGAUCUAGAUUUUAUUAAGAAAAAAACCGGUCGAUCCACCGAGUCAAUCUGGAACCCGGGUGACCCGACAAAACCCGGUAGAAACUUUUUUUUUUCAAAUGUGUUUUUUCUUCUAGCUAGAGAUUCAUCUUUUUUCAUACAUGAAAAUAAAAAAAAAUAAAAAUUUAAAACAAUAAAAAUUUUAAAAUAUUUUAAAAAUAUAAUUUUAUUGCAAUCCAAAACACACCCAUGCUCCCUCAGCAACCACCACGAAAUUACCACCCUAAAUUCGGGCUCAAUAAUUUAUUCCUUAGCAAUUAUUGCUUGCUCUUUGAAAAUUAUUGCUUGGCUAAUAAUUUGCAAAAAACAAUUGCUUUUUUUCUUUCCAGCCAGCCAAGCAGUUUGGUCUCCCUCACUGGACCACUUUAGCACAAGAGAUGUCGUUAAAAGAGUACCAUAAUGCAAAAAAAAAAAACAAAAAAAGGAGUUUGAGGGUAUUGAUUUUAUUAUUUGUUAGGUAACGAUGUAAUCUAAUGUGUUGAUGUGGAAAAUAGCACAAAGUUUUUGGCAUGGCCAUUGAUGAGAAGCAAAAGCAGUAGCAGUCCAUCAGGACUAUCACCAUCCUAUCGCUGACAUUCCAUGUGUGAAAGUGUAUUGUUGUCAUAAAGUUUUUCAAACUUCCAAUAUAGAGAGAGAAAUAAAUAAAUAAAUAAAUAGAAAGCGCAAAGAAAACAAUACGAUAAAUUUAAACUAUACUAAAGGUCAGUUUUUCACUCUGUGUGAAUCUACAGUGAAAGCUUGAUUUUGCACAUGGUAGAUAAAUUUAGGUUUAGGAGUAUAAUUUUUUUUUUUAUAUAAUUACACUAAAGAAGAAUAUUAAUUGGUAAUUUUACAUUUUUUUAUAAUAUAAUUAUCAAAUAACCCUUAAAAAAAUUCCUUUUAGUUUAGGGUUUUUUUUUUCAUCUCAAUUACUUAACUGUCCCUAAAAAAUAAACUCCUUUACUAUGGAUGUAAGGUCAUUUUAGAUUUUUGGCUAUAUUUUUUUUAUUAACGUGAGUGUCUGGAUAGUUUAUACACACCUCGACUAAUCUCAUGGGCCCUGAAGUUAACGAUCAUGUAAGCUUCUAGUGACCCUGAGGUUUGUGGAACUCGAACCAGUGAUCUUGAGGCAACAAACUCAAGGUCUAACCAGUUGAGUUAUACCCCUGAGAAUUGGGUCUAGAUUUUAUUAUUUGUGAGGUAACUAUGUAAUCUAAUCUGUUGAUAUGGAAAAUAGCACAAAGUUUUUGGCAGUCCAUAGUCUUACAGCUAGUACUAAAGUUUUUUUUUUUCUAAAUUAAAGAUGAAUAUUUUUUGUUGGCAUCAAAUAAUUUAAAAUGAGAAUUACAGAGCACAGGGUUUAAUCAAAUAUUAAAAGAGAAGAUUUUGUGGAAUUAUUAGAUAAUUAAAAUCAUCACUAAUCUCCUUUUUUCAUUUUUUUUUAAUUAUUAUUAUCCCUGGCAUGCACGAAACAUUGAAAACCGCAAUUUUUCAUGAUAAAAUCCAAAGGAUUGGUACUUUGGUGUUUGUGGGGCUGGUAAAUGGAAGAACACGUGUUUGUGGGGCUGUUAUUUCAUUCAAGGUGCGUACUUUGGUGUGUAUCACGUGUUUGUUGCAUUGACUGAAUAUGAUAGUGGGAACUUAUUUAUCAAGAAUUAAAGCAGUAGUUGCUUAUGGAUAAUUAGCUCUUCCAUCCAGCAUUAAUUCUAUUAUCAAUUAUAGUUCAGUCAUAAAGUUUUUCAAAGAGAGAAAUAAAAAGGAAAAGGAAAAGGAAACAACCCCCACUCCAUCUUUCCCUUCUUUCCAUGAAAAAAGGAAACACCCCAUAUGAUUUUGAUUUUCAAUCAGUGUGAGUGAGAAAGAAAGAGAGGAUUAAAUUUGAUUUUGAUUUCGAAGAGAGAAUUAAUUAAAUUUAGAAUUAAUUCUAUUAUGUAUUUAAAUGUGUUUAGUUACCUUGUAAACCGUAUGGUAGAGUCCCUCAAAUAUUCUGGCCACAGCAAUAUUUUAGGUGGAUUGUAUGGGGCUUGCAACCACUCUAUUAUGCCAAGCAAUAUUUUGUCAUAGAACCCUUUGGCCCUCUAAAUUACCCAAAAAGGACAAUAAUUGAGCACAAGUGGUACAGGUCAGGGUUAAACUCAGCUUGCUAGAGCCAGUUCUCAAUUUUAGGCACCAGUUCUCAAUUGAAUUUUAGCAAAAUCAAGGAUUCAAGAAUUGGCCUCUGUAACAUGGUUUGUAUUCUGAGCCAAUCUGGGCUAGGAUUUGAAACAAAUGUAGCUAUUUUUUCUCCUUUUAUUAUUAAAAAAUAUAUUCAUGGAUUAAUUUUCGUAUAAUUUAAGAAAGUAAGUCCUUUAAUCAAAUUUUAGAUGUGGCCAUCCUCAAUGUGUUAAAAGUAAAUGUUAAUUACCAAGUUGUUGCAAAAAGACAUUCCCUUUCUUGUCAUAAAGUUUUAAAGAGCUAUCAAAAACGUACUUCGUGUAUUAUUGUCGUAAAGUUUUUCAAGCUUCCAAUAUAGAAAGAGAAAUAAAAAGGAAAAGGAAAAGGAAAAGGAAACAACAAGGAAUCUUUCUUGUGCGCUUUCCCUUCUUCACAUGGCUUCCUCGAUCGAUGUAAAAAAGCAAACGCCCCAUUUGAUUUUCAAUCAGUAUGAGUGAGAAAGAAUGAGAGUCCUCUCUUUCCUUGCUUUUUUUAACGCGUGGACCCAGCAGUGGUUGCCACCAAAAUCCUUCCUCAAUAUUUACCAGUACUACACGCUUGAGAAAUUUCCUUGCUUUUUUUCCUCUACGUACUGUUACCUUUUACCAGAUUUCCCAGAAUAGCCCCUUCGUGGGCUACUUUAUUCUUCACGGGUUCUUCUAUUGCCAGAUUCUCUCAUGCAAUUAAGUUUUUCUUUCCGUUUCCAAAUUUGAUAGCCCCAAAACCUCAUCAUUGAGUAGGUUUUGUUUUAGUUUAAGCGUGAUGGAGACGACACUAAAAAUAACAACAACAAAAAAACAGUUUUGGUGUAAAUAUCAAUGGAAGGUUUGGGUGCAGUCCUGUUUGUUUUUGUAUUUUAAAAAUAUUUUUAAAAAAAUUAAAUUUUUUUUAUUUUUUUACUUCAAAUUCAUAUAUUUUUUAGCCAUUUUAGAUCAUUUUGAUGCGCUAAUAUCAAAAUAAUUUUUAAAAAAUAAAAAAAAUAUUAUUUUAAUAUAUUUUAAAAUAAAAAACACUUUAAAAAUAACUCCAACAAUAAUCUCAAAUAUUCUUUAAAGACACAAUUUAAGUCACCGUAGGGUCAAAUAGGUCAGGCACUGUGCUGCAUGGUUAUUACUACUUUUUAGCCUUUUUUUUUUAUAUAUAUAUAUAUAAACAUCUUUUAUUUUUCUUAUCGGUUUCUCUGUUUCUCAUUAGCUUUAUGACACCAAUUAACAAUAAUCAAAUUUAAAAAAUAAUUAAUUUGUCCUUUUAAAAAAUAAUAUUUAAUCCUUAUGUUUUAAUAUAAAGUUAAACAUGUGGCAGUAGAAAUGAAGAAGAUGCCACACCACUUAAGGGCCCAAAGCCAAAUUUAAAAACAGGACCAUCAAACACGUGUUAACCUCUCAAGAUAAAGGAUGCAAAACUUGGAACAAAAUGAAAAAAGUGCAAUGCUGAUGAGUUCAUCAAACCAUGACCGUUCCAGGUGAAAUACAAAGUUUAGAUCAGUGCUUGUCAGUUGUGUGUUGAACUGAGAAAGAAUAAUUUGAUUGUCAUUUCAGUACAAAAGUAAGAGCAGAAGAGGCUUUUAUAUAUAUAUAUAGCCUAUACAGAGACUAAUAAGGAAAAACUCAUUACACUAAUCUAGUAAAUAAUCAUGGACGAUUUACAAUCAAGUAAGGCUAAUUAGGAAACUAAAUAUUCUAUGAUUCCUAUUCUGUGAUUUCCAUAUUUAUUCUUCACGUUAACACUCCCCCUCAAGUUGGUGCAUAGAUAUCAGCAAUGCCCAUCUUGUCAAGUGAUUUAUGAAAGAUUUUGCCCGAGACAGCCUUUGUAAGUAUAUCUGCUAGCUGAUCUUCUGAUUUUACAAAUGGAAAUUGAAUCACGUUGUCUUCAAGCUUCUGUUUAAUGAAAUGCCGAUCUACCUCAACAUAUUUGGUACGAUCAUGUUGAAUUGGGUUGUGCGCAAUUGCUAUGGCUGCUUUAUUGUCACAAAACAUGUUCAUUGUAUCUUGAGAUGAACAUCCAAUUUCUUCCAUUAAUCUCUUUAACCAAAGUAGCUCACAUAGUCCUUUGGUCAUACCUCUGAAUUCAGCUUCUGCACUUGAUAAAGCAACUACCUUCUGUUUCUUACUUCUCCAAGUGACUAGAUUCCCGCCCACAAAUGUGAAGUAGCCGGAUGUGGAUUUCCUGUCAGUGAUGUUCCCUGCCCAAUCUGCGUCAAUGUAACCAUUGAUGUGCAGAUGUUGAUGUUUCCUGAACAUCAGUCCUCUGCCUGGAGAAGACUUCAGGUAUCGUAAAAUGCGAAUCACAGCACUCAUAUGAUCUUCGCUGGGGUAAUGCAUAAACUGACUUACCAAACUCACGUCAUAUGCAAUGUCUGGUCGAGUAUGAGAUAAGUAUAUUAGUUUUCCCACAAGGCGUUGAUAUCUCUCUUUAUUGGUGGGAGCCUGAUUAGGAAAUUCUCCCAAACCAUGGUUUUGAACUAUUGGUGUAUCAGCUGGUUUGCAGUCAAGCAUUCCUGUUUCAGACAGCAAGUCAAGCACAUAUUUCCUUUGGGAUAGAAAUAUGCCUUGUCUCGAUCGAGCCACUUCAAUCCCCAAAAAAUACUUUAAUCCUCCGAGGUUCUUCAUCUCAAACUCGGUUGCUAACUGCUCUUGUAAUUUUGAGAUUUCUUCUCUGUCGUUUCCUGUAAUUAUCAUAUCAUCAACAUAGAUUAUGAGAGCUGUUACCUUUUCUCGUUGGUGCUUCAAGAAGAGAGUGUGGUCUGAAUUACUUUGCUUGUAACCGUAUCUCCGCAUGGCAAAACUAAAUCGUCCAAACCAUGCUCUCGGGGAUUGUUUUAAGCCAUAUAACACCUUUUGUAGCUUGCAGACCACCUUCCCUUGCAUUAGGGAAGUAAGGUCAGGUGGAACAUCCAUGUACACCUCCUCCUCAAGAUCUCCAUGGAGAAAAGCAUUUUUCACGUUAAAUUGGUGUAGUGGCCAGUCCAAGUUUGCAGCAAGAGAUCAGUACUCUCACAGUAUUUAAUUUCGUUAUCGGUGAGAAGGUUUCUUGAUAAUCUAUCCCAUAUGUCUGAGUAUAUCCCUUUGCCACCAGCCUUGCUUUAUAUCUUUCUACCGAACCAUCUGCUUUGUGUUUGACAGAGAACACUCAUCUACAUCCCACAGUUUUCUUUCCUUCAGGUAGUGGUACGAGGUUCCAAGUAUUAUUUUCCUGCAGUGCUUCCAUUUCUUCAUCUAUUGCUUGAAUCCAUUUAGGAUUAUUCAAAACUUCAUUCACUGUAUUAGGGACAUCUUCUGUAGAUAGUUUAUGCGCCAAUGCCUUGAGGGUUCAGACAGCUUCUGAGUUGAGACAUGGUUGGCAAUUGGGUACUUGGAUUUGCUCAUUCCAUGAUCAGGUGAAUAUCGUUUUGGAGGUUGUCCACAAUUAUGUCUGAAAGGCAAGUUAUAGCCAGCAGAAAUAUUUUGAGAUGAGUUUAGAACUUGUACCUCAUAAAUAUUCUCAGGAGAUUGAACUGAUUGUGGUACUGUCACGGCAUGGAAGGGCUGUUCAUUGGAGACUUCUCCAGUUGCUUCCAUUUGCUCACUAGUUUCUGCACUCUUCUCCACUGUCUCGGUCUCAACGUGCUCAUCAUUUUCUCCUUGUUCCCUCAUUAAUUCUGUCUCUGUAUCAAUAGCAACAUGCGGCUGGAUAAUAUUAUCUGAGAUAUGCUCACUAUCUCCCCCUGCAUUCUUCACUGUACUGUCAGUAAAGCCCGGCCAAUAUUCCCAGGCCUGCUCUGCACUUAGGAGCUCCCCCUGACAAGAGGAGCUAGAAGAUAGGGAAGUGAAUAAAUGCUCAGAUUCAAGGAAGGUAACAUCCAUGGAGGUAUAGAGUCGUUUUGUAGCUGGAUCAUAGCAUUAGUAUCCUUUCUUAUGAGCUGCAUACCCAAGAAAAACACAGCGGACAGCACAAGGGUCGAGCUUGGUUCGUUGGUUUUUGUGUAUAUGAACAUAUACAACACAACCAAAUGUUCUGGGCGGAAGCAUGAGAACUGACGGUAGGAUCACAUGGUGGCCUAGAACUUGAAGCGGGGUCUUAUAGUCCAGAACUCUUAAUGGCAGUCUAUUCAGCAAGUAUACUGCAGUCACCACUGCAUCAGUUCAGAACCGUUUGGGCACAUUAGCAGCUGUCAAGAGAGCUCUAGUGAUCUCCAAGAUAUGUCGGUUUUUACGUUCAGCAACACCAUUCUGUUGUGGCGUUUGUGGACAAGAUGUCUCAUGAUGCAUACCAUGUUCCUGAAAGUAUCGGUGGAAUUGUUUGUUAUCAUAUUCCCCACCAUUAUCGGAUCAUAGAAUCUGUAGUGUUGCAGAAAAUUGUGUUUGAAUCAUAUUAUGGAAUGAGCGAAAUAUGUCAAACACUUUAUAUUUCGUUUUCAUCACAUACAACCAAGUCAUUCGUGUACAAUCGUCAACAAAUGUGACAAACCAGCGAGCUCCAGAAGAGAUAGUAAUCGGGGCAGGGCCCCAAACAUCAGUAUGAACAAUUGCAAAUGGAGUGGCACUCUGAUUUAAACUUAUUGGGUACGAUACACAAUGACUCUUAGCUUUAAUACAAGUUUCACACUGAAAAUCUGCUUCACGAAAUUUCGUGAAUAGUUCUGGAAAUAAACAGCGUAAAUACCGAAAUGAGGGGUGUCCCAACCGAUUAUGCCAUAACCAAAUCUGCUGUUCCUUAUUGUCGACGAUGUGUAUGUUAUUUGCUCGACCACAGCUGAAGUCAUCCAUGUAAUACAACCUUUCCCUCUUAGUACCACGACCAAUAAUCUCCUUGGUGAGAAUAUCCUGAAACAAGCAAAAACUAGGAUACAUUAGUGCACAACAUUGUAAUUCCUCAGUCACUUGUCCUACAGAUAACAACUUAUUGGACAGUGAUGGAACUAGCAGGGUAUGUGGUAAUGAGAAAGAAGGAGAAAGUGCAACUGUUCCAACCCCAGUCACUGGAUAUGUCACUCUAUUAGCAUUAGCAAUGCAUAGCCGUUUUGGUUGAGUGGUGUCAGACAAAUCACAGGGAUCAUACGUCAUGUGGUCUGUUGCUCCAGAGUCAAUAAUCCAGCCAUCAUGAUCAUGUCUUCUCUUCUAAGAGCAAAAAACAUAACCUUGAUUACCUGGGUCAUUCUGAUCAGUCUGUUCUUUAGCCGAGAUAGGAGAUUCUUGUGCAGGUACAAGUGAUAGUGUAGGUUCCAUGCUUAUAAGGGCUGCACGACCAGGAUGUUCACUACGCCUGGCUUCUGGUUUUUUCUUCGCCUUGAGUUCGUGCCACCAAUCUGGAUAACCAUGUAUUUUGAAACAUGUAUCUUUGGUGUGUUUUGUAUUUUCACAGUGUGUGCAACCUGCCCCUUCCCCAUGUGAUUUUGUAACUGGCCUUCCAUUCGCUGGCAUUAGAAAGGAUAAACGAUGUUGAGGUUUCUGUCCUCCCCUUGACAGCAUAGCACCUCCAGAUAUGACUUCUUCAUUUUUCAGCAUCACAGAUUGCCUUAGGUCUUCUCUCCUGACUUGCGCAUAGGCUUGUUCUACUGUUGGAAAUGGCUGCAUCUGGAGCACAUCUGCUCUAAUAUUGUCAAGUCUGUCAUCAAGCCCGUCUAAGAAUAUAUAGACUAUGUCCUCUUGCAAAAGUGAAUUAUAUUUCUGUAUGUCAGUAUUGCACUCCAUAGGGUUUGGAUGCCGGAAAUCAAUUUCUCUCCAUAAUCCCUGCAGAUUGUUGUAAUAUGUUUCAAUAGAUCCUCCUCCCUGUUUCAGCCUAGUAACUCUUUUUUUGAGUGUAUCAGUGCCAUCAAAGUAGGUUGUUGCAAUGUUAUCCCAAACAGCUUUGGCUGUUGAAAAUCUGAUGAAGUUGCUUAUAAGUUUUGGGUUCAUAGAGUUGAUCAGCCAUCCCUUCACCAUUGCAUUUUCAGUUCUCCACUUCCUGAAUGUUGGAUCUGUUUGCAGAGGUUGUGGAAGGUCUCUAUUUAUGUAUCCCAACUUGUCUUUUCUUGAGAUAUACAUGUCAACAAUUUGGACCAUAAUGCAUAAUUGUUGUCAUCUAACUUGAUUCCAAUCGGUGCAGCAGGUUCAUGGCUGGCAAGUUGUGUCAUCCCUGCUGUCAGAUCUGCAAGGAUUGAGUUCUCCCCUUCAUAAGUUUUCACCCCAGCAGAAGGGGUUUCCAUUCUUUUCCAGAAAAAAUUCUAUGGCCCUAGAAUCUCUGUUCUGAUACCAUGUUGAACUGAGAAAGAAUAUAUUUGAUUGUUAUUUCAGUAUAAAAAUAAGAGCAGAAGAGGCUCUUAUAUGUAUAGCCUAUACAGAGACUAAUAAGGAAAAACUCAUUACACUAGUCUAGGAAAUAAUCAUGGACGAUUUACAAUCAAGUAAGGCUAAUUAGAAAACUAAAUAUUCUAUAAUUCCUAUUCUGUGAUUUCCAUAUUUAUUCUUCACGUUAACAUUGUGCGUCCAUGGGAAGAACCUUUCAUUAAGCAGACUUAAAGAUAGAUGCUUCAGUUGUCCAUCACAUUAAUAAUUUAUUUUUUUGUGCUCUAAAACGGACUGGAAUAGAACAGGCAAAAGUUUGUUUCUGAUGAGAAAUAAUUUUUUUAUAUAAUAUCAAAGUUUUAUUAAUUAAGUGAUUAAUUAUAAGUUUAAAUUUUACAAUUUUUAUACUUGUACUAUAUAAUAAAAAUUAAACAUAAAGUAUUGAUGUUACAUGAAAAAAAAGAAGUGAUAAUUGCUUUAUCCGAGGAAUCUUUCAUAGUUGUAUUGCCUAGGCCACAUUGAUUUUUAUCCACAGUCUUACCACUACAUUAUAAUUAUAAACGAAACUAAAUAUAUAUAUAUAUAUAUAUAUAUUAUAGCUCCUUUGUCGCUUUACUGUUCAUGUCACUGCUUAUAGCCAUUGUUGUUUUUCUUGGUCCUUGAAACUUUUACCUAUUUUCGUUUUGGUCACAAAACUAUAUUAUUUUUCUUCAUUUACAUCCUUGCAAGUUCUAUUAACACGGUUCCGUUUGCUGUUAUCUACUUCGAUUUUCAUGUUCUCGCCUGUAUCAUAUAUCUUUAAAUAUUACUACAAUGAAUUAAAAAUCAAUUUUUCUAACCCUCCUACCCAUAAACCGAUCCUUGCCACAGGUUAAUCAUAUAAUCUCAUGCUCUUACCUACAGCUAAGCAUCGGCAGAACCAAAUAGUUGCUAUUAAGGUCAGUUCUCCACGUGCAUGUUCUUCCUUUUCAAGCUAAGCUGUUUUUUAGAAAGCUUCUAAUUUAGUUCAAGUCAAUAAAAGCUUAGCAGGUUGAUACAAAAGUUCAUGGCCAAGUAAAAGAUGUUUAUUUUGGAUGAAAUAAAUAUUCAUAUUGGAACAUAAUAUUCAUCUCUCAAAUCCCUAAUCCAGUUGGUAUAUUCAUGAUAAAAUCCAAAGGAUUGGUACUUUGGUGUUUGUGGGGCUGUUAUUUCAAAUCGCUAGCUUGUAAUUUACUGGAUCUAUUGCAAACAAUUCCCUCAGACGUCUAAAUAUCAAACCAACCAACCACCACCAUGCAUUUACUGAAUAUGAUAGUGGGAACUUAUUUAUCAAGAAUUAAAGCAGUAGUUGCUUAUGGAUAAUUAGCUCUUCCAUACAUUGAAAAACCGCAAUUUUUCAUGAUAAAAUCCAAAGGACUGGUACUUUGGUGUUUGUGGGGCUGGUAAAUGGAAGAACACGUGUUUGUGGGGCUGUUAUUUCAUUCAAGGUGCGUACUUUGGUGUGUAUCACGUGUUUGUUGCAUUGACUGAAUAUGAUAGUGGGAACUUAUUUAUCAAGAAUUAAAGCAGUAGUUGCUUAUGGAUAAUUAGCUCUUCCAUCCAGCAUUAAUUCUAUUAUCAAUUAUAGUUUAGUCAUAAAGUUUUUCGAGGAGAGAAAUAAAAAGGAAAAGGAAAAGGAAACAACCACUCCAUCUUUCCCUUCUUUCCAUGAAAAAAGCAAACACCCCAUUUUGAUUUUGAUUUUCAAUCAGGAUGAGUGAGAAAGAAAGAGAGGACAAGGGGGUAUUCUCUCUCUCUUUCCUUGCUUUUUCUAACGCGUGGACCCAGCAGUUGUUGCCACUUGCCACCAAAUUCCUUCCUCAAUAUUUACCAGUACUACACGCUUGAGAAAUUUCCUUGCUUUUUUUCCUCUUACGUACUGUUACCUUUUACCUUUUAUAAUUAUGAUUAUUGCAUUGCUAAUAAUUUAUUAUUAAUCAUCAAUAUUUAUUCUUGGUCAUCAAUAUUGAAUAAUGGCUUAUUUUCUAUUAUAAACUGUGUUUGAAAUAUAGGUUGAUGUUCUUAAAUAUUUUUUAAUGAUUUUAAUAUGUUGAUAGUAAAAAUAAAAAUAAAAAAACUGGUUUUGUUUUCCAAAAGAAAUUGACAGUCAAUUACUUGUUUACUAUGUUUUUAAGAACCAAAAUAAAUAAAUAAAGUUUUUUCUUUCCGUUUCCAAAUUUGGUAGCCCGAAAACCUCCUCAUCGCUGAGUAGGUUUUGUUUUAGUUUAAACGUGAUGGAGACGAUACUAAAAAUAACAACAAUAUAAAAAAAAUUGGUGUAAAUACCAUUUAUUUUUGCAUUUUAAAAAUAAUUUUUUAAAAAAUUAAAAAUAAAUUUUGUUUUUUAUUUUAAAAUAAUAUUUUUUUAAUAAUUUUAAAUUAUCUUAAUAUACUGAUAUUAAAAAUAAUUUUUAAAAGAUAAAGUUUUUAAAACAUAAAGUUUAGCCUGCAGAUCUUCCGCUGAUCCCAUCUCAUUGUUGUAUGCAUCCAAGCUAAGCCAAUUCAAGAAAGAAGAUUUGAAGAAUACCAGCAGCAGCAGGAGUAAUAAAUUAACAUAACAAACCAUCUAGGUGGUGGCCAGUAAUAAAAGCCUGAGACCAAGAGAUUUGUUUCUUUUGUGGUCUCAGAUUCGAGUUCUGUGAUUGCUCAUAUGAUUAUUACUGGAGGCUUACAUGGUCGUUAACUUCAGGGCCCGUGGGAUUAGUCGAGGUGCGCGCAAGCUGACCCGGACACCCACAUUAAACUAAAAAAAAAAAAUUAACAUAACAACAUUAUGGGAGAAGGAGGGAUGACCUCACUGCAAGGGCGGAGGCAUGUUAAAGGCUUGAGUGCGCUAUAAUUUAGAUCAAAACUUUAUUAAUAUAUUUUGAUUAGUUUUAUGUAAAAAAAUUUGUAAUUCUUGAUUGAAUUAUUAAAAAAAUUUAAAAUUUACCUGUAGCCUUCUAAUAUAAUAUUUUAACUUGGGUUAAAAUUUCAGAAUAUUUUGAGAAAUUCAGAAAUUUGAUGAAAAAUCAUAAUUUAGCCAGUUUUAUGUUAUUGAACGUAAUUUUCAAUCCAAUCAUCAGAUUGAACUGAAAUUUUACGAGGAAUCUUAAAAUAUAUUGAAUAAAAUAUAGUUAAAAUUUUAUGAUGAACAGAGCUUGAUAGUGCUAACAAAAAAAAAACCAUCAAAUAAAAACAAAUCAAGAAUAAAAUGAUUAUUUCCAUUAAAAAGUAAAAUAAAUUAACUCUUCCUUCAUUUUAUACGUUGCCAUCCUUGCAUUAGAGUACACUCCCACAUGCGUUGUGGCAGCGGUUUGCUCUGUUAUUGUUCUCAUUUCUCUUAUUGUUGAAAGAUCCUUGGGAAAGACAUUCCAAGGGUGCAGUGUUUCUUGUUCCCUUUCCCUUCUUUACAUGGCUUCCUCAAUGAAAAAGCAAGCACUAACGCACGUUCUCCACAAACUACCCCCUAUUUCGCCACUAUAUAAAUAUAUUAUGGAAAACAAGAUAAAAAGAAAUCUUUUGGUACAUAUAUAAAUAUAUUAUGGAAAUUAACAUGGUAUCAGAAUAUCUGUGAAGUAUUGCUGGGAAGUCAUAAUUUUUGACACGCCUAAUCACAGACUUUUUUGGGAAAAAAAAAGAAAAAAAGAAGCCAGGCUAUGAAAAUAGGUUUGUGGAAAUUUACAUCAUUUGAUCUUGACAGUAUCAGAUUAGACAAUUGCAUGGAAAUGGUCUUCUUAGUUUGCCGUGUGGAAAAUCAUGUCAUUUACGGGACUGCUGGAGAGAGUGUCUAAUGAUAAUUUUACCUUCUUUUAAAAUCUUUGACACUACUUGCAUUGACUGGAAAUUUCGCUCGAAAAUUUCUAGUAAUUUAUAAAGGAAAUUUCUACUGUAUAUGAAUUGAAAAACUAUUAUUGACUGACUUCUUGCAAAGUAUUCGCAAGAAAGCUAAAGAAUUAAAGUUUUUAAUUUUUAAAAUUAUAAUUUAAAAUUGUAAGAAAAAAAUCAAUUGUUUUAAAAAUAAAAAAUCAACUAUUUAUAUAAUAGCUAAAUCUAUUAAGAUAAAUCGAAAAUAACUAGUAAAAUCAAUGACUUGUAUUGACGAGUGUGUCUAUAUAUACAUAUAGGAACUGCUGAUUCGAUUUGAAUAUGUUAUUUGAUUAGUCUAAUUCAUGAUUUGCAUUGACUCAAAAUUACCACUAGAAAUUCCUAGUUUCGUGGUGCUUUCUCAGCCUGCAAAUGAAUAUAAAGCAUAUCCUUUUAUCCUAUAUAAAGAAUACAAUGAACCUUUUUAUCUUUUAUAAUUAUAAUUAUUGCAUUGCUAAUAAUUUGCACGAAAGAAUAUUCUUUCUCUGAAAAGGCCUUGAGAAAACCCUAAGCAUAGUAUAUAAUCUCUUAUAGGAAUCUCUUUAUUAAAUCAUCAAAAUAUCAAAGUCUGUUUCCAAAGACUAUGACUACAGUUUAUAUAUAGAAACAACCAAAUAUAAAAAUUAUUAUUUUUUAAAUAGAAAAACCAGAGAGCUUGAUAAUAUUUAAUAAAAUAAAAUAAAAUAGAAAAAUUAUUCCUUUUUAGGUAGAAAAAAAUUAUAAAGAUUUAAUAAUACUAAAUAAGAAAAAUUAAAAUUUCUACACUAAAUUAAAAAAACAAAAAAAAACUGAGAAAAUAUUUAUUAUCCCAAUAGUUCUUAUAUUAAAAUCUCAUUUAUCAUAUGUUAUAUCUAUCAAAAUAAUAAUAAUAAUAACUUGUGACGUGAACUAAAGCUAUAUGCGAAAACUAGAAAAACCCGGUAGAGACCGGUUCUGUUUUUUCAAAUAUGUUUUUUCUUCUAGCUAGAGACCCCUUUUUUUUAUAUAUUUUUCUAUUGGUUAGUAAACUAUUUCAAAGUUUAUUAUAUAAAUACUAGAAGAAUAUUUUAUUUUUUCAAUAUGGAAUAAAAAAAAUUAUUUUUGUUUAAAUACCUCAAUUUAAAAGAAUUAGAUAAUAUCUUUUUAAUAUGAGAUAAAAAAAACCUUUUAAAAUAAUCUUUUAAACUUUAUUAUAUGCAACAUGUAUAAUCUAUAUUCAUAUGAAUUGUUUCUUUAAUUUUUUUCAUAUGAAAUAUUAAAAAUCAAAUAUUUUUUUUUUAAUUUUUUCGGGUUAAUUUAGAUCAAUCUGUGUAACCCAAGACUCUGUUUUUUAGUCGGGUCAAAUUCAGCUUGGGUUCCAUAACUAUCAGUAAAUUUAUUGAAAAAAACGUAAUUUUUUUGCUUUUAUAAAAAUGAAAGGCAAAGAAUUAAAUUAGGACAUAUAUCACUAAUUAUUUACAUACUCUUAUUACAAACACAAAAUUUUAUGUCACUUCAUGAUAUCCAUGUUUUCAACGCUUUACACUGGUUUAAUAAAUUGUUACAGUAAUAUCACAGAGAGGAACGGUUCAUGAAAAAACAAUAAUGGAGUUGAAGCAGAAUCUCUGUUUGAUUUUUCUUUUUUGUGUUUUCGGUACACUGGUCAACAAUAGCUUGGAAGAGUUUGGAAUCAGUAACACAUGGACCCAGUUAUUGUGGAAACUUUGCAGAGGAUCUGCACUCUGCAGGAAGAAAAUGAUUUUAAUAGAUGUACUGUACAUCAUUUGAAUUUAUUAAAAGUAACGUGUAAUGUAAAGUAUGUACUGUACACCUGCUUUCAACGUUUUACACUGCUUUAGUCGUCCAAAAAAAAAAAAAAACCAUUAGAUGCUAUAAAACAAGAUAUAUACAAUUUAAUUUGAGAGUGUAAUAGAUAUUAUAUUUCAAAAUAUUUUUGAAAUAUAUUAAAAUAUUAAUUUUUAAAAAAAUAAUUUUAAUAUCAUAUAUUAGAACAAUAAAUAAUAAUUAUAAUUUAAAAAAAUAAAAAAUUUUAAAAUCUUUAAAAAAAUAAUAAUUUUACUGGACUCCAAAACACACCCAUGCUCCCUCAGCAACCACCACGAAAUUACCGCUCUAUAUUACAGCUCAAUAAUUUAUUUUAGCAAUUAUUGCUUGCUCAUUCACAAUUAUUGCUUUGCUAAUAAUUUGCAAGAAACUUUCUCAAUUUCCUUCUAUUUUCUUUUUAUUAUGGAAACUUUAAGUCACAUGUGCGCCUACCACGAAAUUACCGAUAAGUAAAUUUCAAUGCGUAAUUGUGUAGGUUUCAAUUAAAAAUGCUUUAAUUUGAAAAAUUAUGUUAACAAUAAUAUAAAUUAAUUUUUCUUCAUAAAAAAAGUAAUUGAGUAUUAAUUUAGGCUAUAAAAAUAAAAUAAUAAUAAAAAAAGAGUUCGAGGGUAUUCAUUUUAUUUCAUUUUACUAUAUAAUCUAAUUUGUUGAUGUGGAAAAUAGCAUAAAGUUUUUGACAUGGCUAUUGGUGAGAAGCAAAAGCAGUAGCAGUCCAUCGUUAUACUAAAGGUCAGUUUUUCACUCUGUGUGAAUUUACAGUAAAAGCUUGAUUUUGAAAGUGAGAUGAAAUUGGAAUAUUUUGAUUGAAAUUUAAUUAAAAAUUCAGAACAGAGUGAGAUUUGAAAUGAGACAAAAAAUCAUUCUGUUUUUUAAAUUUAUAUGAAAUUUUUUAGCUAUUCCAGACAGACAAAAUGGAAUGGAAUUGAGAACCUUGGAUGCAAUAUGCUUUUUAAUUAAAGAUAUAUUUAAAUAAUAAUUUUUAAAAAAAAUUAUUUUUUUUAUUUUAGUACAUUAAAAAUAAAAAAUAUUUAAAAAUAGUAAUUUAAUAUUUUCUUAAAAAAAUAUUUAAAAAACACUUUUAAAUUUUUUUGAACUGUACUAUUCCUUGAAAAAACUCAAACUCUAAAUAACAUCUACUAUUUUCAGAAUAUCUGUAAGAGAUUGCUGGGAAGACAUAACGUUUUGCCUAAUCAGUCUCUUUUGGAAAUUUAUACCAUUUGAUUUUGACAGUAUCAGAUUAGACAAUUGCAUGGAAAUGGUCUUCUUAGUUUACCGUGUGAAAAAUCAAUAUUAUUGUCCGGGAGGGAAGUAAGGUUUUUUUUUUAAAAAAAAUUAUUUAAAAAUAUAUUAAAAUAAUUUUUAAAAUCAAAAUGAUUUAAAAAUACUUAAAAAAAAUCUAAGACUAAAAAUUAAUCUAAAUGUUUUUGAAAAAUAAUUCAACCAAAGUGCCAAAUAUGAUCAAUAUCGAUUAUCUUUUAUGUAAGAUUAUCUUUUAUCUUUGACAAUUAUUGCAUUGCUAAUAAUUUGCAAGAAAACAUACUUUCUCAAUUUCCUUUUUUAUUAUGUUAGUAGAUGCUAGAUGCUGUUUAUUUUUGUGUUUUAAAAAUAUUUUUAAAAAAAUUUAAGAUUUUAAAUUAAUAUUUUUAGAUAUUUUAAGGUGCUGAUUUUAAAAAUAAUUUAAUUAUUUUUUUUAAAAAAAAAUCAUGACACGGGUAUAAAAAAAAAAUUAUGGUAGAUAUAGCCUCAUCUUCUCUGCUUGUAAAAUUGGAGCAGAUUAUGGACUUAAGCGAGCAAUUACCGCUCGAAAUUCCUAGUAAUUUACGAAGGAAUUUUCCUUGUUGUUUCUCUGUACAGUAUUAGAAAAAUUGUCAUUGACUGAUUUAAUUGCAAAGUCUCUGUAAGAAAGCUUAAAGAAUUAGAGCUUUUUAAAAUAAAAAAUAUAGAGAGAGAAAUAAAAAAUAAAAAUAAAAAAAGGAGCAAAAGGAAACAACCCCCAUCUUUCUUGUUCCCUUUCCCUUCUUUACAUGGCGUCCUCGAUGAAAAUAGCAAACGCCCCAUUUGAAUAUAUAAUUAAAGAAAGAAAGAAAGAGAGGAAAAUUUUUUUAGUGAAUUCAAAAGCCCUUCGCCCCGGAAAGAAAGUUUCUUUUAACAAAAUAAGGUUGUUGAGGCUUUUCUUGGAACCUCGCUCAGGGAUUAAUUAACAAGAAUUAAAAAAUCCCCUGCAAAUUACACAAAAUUUAUUAUUGAUCAUCAAUAUUGAAUAAUGGCUUAUUUUCUAGCAUAAACAAAAAUUGAUAAAAGAUAUUUAUUAUUGAUCAUCAAAUUGUGGUAGCUGUUGUGGUUGUGGAAAAAAUUAUUUUAUAAAAAAUAUUUUUAGUUGAGGUUGAUUUGAAAAAAUAGGUGUUUGGUUAAAACUGUGGUUGAAAUUGAAGUUGAAGAAAAAAUAGCUUAAUGUGUUUGGUUAAGAAUGCUUUUAAAAUUGAAGUUAUAAAAUAAUUUUUAAAAAAUAUAUUAAUACUGAUGAUUUUUAAUUUAAAUAUUAUGGAUUUAACUAUUGCUAUUAUAUCAUGAAAUAAAUCAUACUUUAUAUAAAAUAUUUUUUUAUUAUUCCAUGAAACCAUUUAUAAUUCCAUUACGUAUACAUCCGACAAAAACUACAGUUUUCAUAAUAUUUUUAGCAUAUAAUAAAAUUAGAUAAAAUAUUAUCAGGUAUAAAAUUCACUAUAAACUAGUUUUUUUAAAAAAAAAUGUUAAAAAAAUAACACACUAAAAAAAAUUAACACACUAAAAAAAAAAAGGUUCACGCAGGCAAAUGAACAUUGCAAGAGAAUUGCACUGUUCACUAUUUUUAAGUGAACAGUGCAAUUGUGUUGCACUGUUCACUUGAAUAGUGUACAUUACGUACUGUUCAUGUUAAUUGCACUGUUCAUUGAACGGUGCAAUUAACAUGAACCGUGAAAAAAAGAGUAAGAAAUGGCUGCUUUUCCUUUCCUGCGUUUCUAACAUAGAAAUUAAGUGAGGCCCAGUGAACAGUAAAUUAAUUUUUUCAUUAACCAAACAGCUGCGAACUGCGUUUUAAAUAAAACGCAGCCGCAGCUACAGAGCCAAACGGGCUCUAUAUUUUGGAGUGACGUAGAUAUUAUGUUUUAAAAUCCUUUUUAUUUAUAAAUGUAUUAACAUUUAUUUUUCAAAAUUUAUUUUUAAUAUUAAUAUAUCAAACUAAUAUAAAAAUAUUAAAAAAAUAAUUUAAAACAAUAAAACAUUCAGCAACCACUCUAAAUUCCAGCUCAAUAAUUUAUUCUUUAGCGAUUAUUGCUUGCUCUUUGACAAUUAUUGCAUUUCUAAUAAUUUGCAAGAAAACAUACUUUCUCAAUUUCCUUGAACUCAUUUGACCCAGCUAUCGAGUUAUUUUUUCCGCUCAUCUUUUUUUCCCACAAACUCACCAAGACAGCACCGGAUUAUUUUAACUCAGUGAUCCUUCCAGGUAGGCCCAGGCCACAUUGAUUGUGUUAAAAAAAAAAUCUAAUUCAGCUUAGUAUCAACUACAUUAUAAUUAUUUAGGAGGAUAGUUGAACCAUACUUUUUAAAAAAAUUAAUUUUUUUUUAUAAUUAUACGCCAUCAGCAACUACCUCGAAAUUACCACUCCAAAUUCCAGCUCAAUAUCGAUCAACAUGCGGCUAAAAUUGAUAAAAGACACAUAAUGAUGGUAUUGUAUAUUUUGAGACUAAAUUGAGGUUUUUUAAUUAUUACUUUAAAAUAUAUCAUGGUUUUAAUAGUUGGACGGUAUAUUAUAUAAAUUAUUAAAAAAUAUUUAUUUUUAUUAUAUAUGUAGUAAUAAUAAAUUAGAUGAUAAUAACAAAAAAUAGAAAUUAUUUUGAAUAAAUAGUACCAGUUCCUAUUAUGAUAUGUAUAGAGAAGAAGUUGGAAGAAUAAAAUGAAGUCAAAUAUUCUUAAUAAAAAAAACACAGAAAUAGUUAAAAUAUGUUUUUAAUAAAUAUAAAAGAUGGAUGAAAAUAUUAGAAAACAUGAAAGAGAUACAUAAUCUCUUUGUAAGAUUUCUAAGAACUUAAUUACAAUUACAUUAUAAUUUCUUCCUUAAAAUUAUUCAAAAUAUAUAUUAUUCUAGGUUUUAAUGUAAUUAAAAAGGAAGUAUUUGUAAGUGUAAGAAUUUUUGACACGCCUAAUCACAGUUUUUUUUGGAAAAGAAAAGAAGCCAGGCUAUGAAAAUAGGUUUGUGGAAAUUUACGUCAUUUGAUUUUGACAAUUGCAUGGAAAUGGUCUUCUUAAUUUGCCGUGUAGAAAAUCAUGUCAUUUACGGGACUGCUGGAGAGAGUGUCUAUUGAUAAUUUUACCUUCUUUUCAAAUCUUUGACACUGCUUGCAUUGACUGGUAAUUUCGCUCGAAAAUUUCUAGUAAUUUAUAAAGGAAAUUUCUACUGUAUAAAUUGAAAAACUAUUAUUGACUGACUUCUUGCAAAGUAUUUGCAAGAAAGCUAAAAAAUUAAAAUUUUUAAAUUUUUAAAUUAUAAUUUAAAAUUGUAAGAAAAAAAUCAAUUGUCUUAAAAAUAAAAAAAUCAACUAUUUAUAUAAUAGCUAAAUCUAUUAAGAUAAAUCGAAAAUAACUAGUAAAAUCAAUGAUUGACGAGUGUGUCUAUAUAUACAUAUAGGAACUGCUGAUUCGAUUUGAAUAUGUUAUUUGAUUAGUCUAAUUCGUGAUUUGCAUUGACUCAAAAUUACCACUAGAAAUUCCUAGUUUCGUGGUGCUUUCUCGGCCUGCAAAUGAAUAUAAAGCAUAUCCUUUUAUCCUAUAUAAAGAAUACAAUUAACCUUUUUAUCUUUUAUAAUUAUAAUUAUUGCAUUGCUAAUAAUUUGCACGAAAGAAUAUUCUUUCUCUGAAAAGGCCUUGAGAAAACCCUAAGCAUAGUAUAUAAUCUCUUAUAGGAAUCUCUUUAUUAAAUCAUCAAAAUAUCAAAGUCUGUUUCCAAAGACUAUGACUACAGUUUAUAUAUAGAAACAACCAAUUAUAAAAAUUAUUAUUUUUUAAAUAGAAAAACCAGAGAGCUUGAUAAUAUUUAAUAAAAAUAAAAAAUAAAAAAUUAUUCCUUUUAAAGUAGAAAAAAUUAUAAAGAUUUUAAUAAUACUAAAUAAGAAAAAUUAAAAUUUCUAAACUAAAUUUAAAAAAACAAAAAAAACUGAGAAAAUAUUUAUUAUCCCAAUAGUUCUUAUAUUAAAAUCUCAUUUAUCAUAUGUUAUACCUAUCAAAAUAAUAAUAAUAAUAAUUUGUGAUGUGAACUAAAGCUAUAUGCGAAACCUAGAAAAACCCGGUAGAGACCCGUUUUGUUUUUUCAAAUAUUUUUUUUCUUCUAGCUAAAGAUCAUUUUUUUUUAUAUAUUUUUCUAUUGGUUACUAACUCAUUUCAAAGUUCACUAUAUAAAUACUAGAAGAAUAUUUUAUUUUUUUGAUGUGGAAUUAAAAAAAAUUCUUUUGAUUUAAAUACUUCAAUUUAAAACAAUAAGAUAAUAUCUUUUUAAUAUGAGAUAAAAAAACCUUUUGAAAUAAUCUUUUAAACUUUAUUAUAUGCAACAUGUAUAACCUAUAUUCAUAUGAAUUGUUUCUUUAAUUUUUUUCAUAUGAAAUAUUAAAAAUCAAAUAUUUUUAUUUUUAUUUUUCUGGGUUGACCUGGAUCAAUUUAUGUAAUCCAAGACUCUAUUUUUUAGUCUGGUCAAUUUUAAGUUGGGUUCGAUAAUAAUGAUUAAAUUUAUUGAAAAAAACAUAAUUUUUUUUUUGUUUCUAUAAAAAUCAAAGGUAAAGAAUUAAAUGAUGACAUAUAUCACUAAUUAUUGACAUACUCUUAUUACGAACACAAUAUGAUACCCAUGUUUUCAACGCUUUACACUGCUUUAAUAAAUUGUUACAGUAAUAGCACAAAGAGGAACGGUUCAAGAAAAAACAAUAAUGGAGUUGAAGCAAAAUCUCUGUUUGAUUUUUUCUUUUUUGUGUUUUCGGUACAUUGGUCAACAAUAGCUUGGAAGAGUUUGGUAUCAGUGACACGUGGACCCAGUUGUGGUGGAAGGAAGAAAAAUGAUUUUAAUAGAUGUACUGUAUAUCAUUUGAAUUUAUUAGAAGUAACAAGAUAUAUACAAUAAGAUGCACUGAGGGUAUUGGCCUGGGAUACGAGGGGCUUGUCUUCUCUUGUUGCUUCUGGAUUCGAGUUUUUAUGUGUAUGUCUGUCAUUUUUACGGUGUCUUAUAUGUUCAUUGAGUUUGCAGGGUGUUCAGUGGGUCGUGGAAUUAGUCGUGGUGCGCGCAAGCUGACUCGGACACCCACGUAAAUAAAAAAAAAAAAAAUAUAUAUACAAUAAGAUGCUAUAUUAAAAUAUUAGAUGCUAUUUUUCGAUCUUAGAAGUAACAUGAUUUUAAUAUACACCUUCUUUCAACGUUUUACACUGCUUUAGUCGUCAAAAAAAAAAAAAAGACUAUUAGAUGCUAUAAAACAAGAUAUAUACAAUUUAGUUUGAGAGUCUAAUAGAUAUUAUAUUUCAAAAUAUUUUAGAAAUAUAUUAAAAUAUUAGUUUUUUUAAAAAAAUUAUUUAAUAUCAUAUAUUAGAACAAUAAAAAAUAAUAAUAAUUUAAAACAAUAAAAAAUUUCAAAAUCUUUUAAAAAUAUAAUUUUACUGGACUCCAAAACACACCCAUGCUUCCUCAGCAACCACCACGAAAUUACUACUCUAAAUUACAGCUCAAUAAUUUAUUCUAGUUAUUAUUGCUUGCUCUUUGACAAUUAUUGCUUUGCUAAUAAUUUGCAAGAAACUUUCUCAAUUUCCUUCUAUUUUCUUUUUAUCAUGGAAACUUUAAGUCACAUAAUAUAUGGCUGAUUUUAUAUGAAUAUAUUAUUUGAUUAGUGUUGACUCUACUAUUGCUGCAUUGACUGGAAAUUUCAGUAUUCAAUAUCCUAUAUCAUUCUACGUUCAUAACGAUAACUCUUUGUUAUAUUUAACUUACACUGCAGCUAACUUCUCUGUCCCAUUGCAGCCAUUUCAUAGCUAACUCUUUGUUAUAUUUAACUUGCUCUUCUUUGCUUCUUUGCUUCUUGCUCAUAACGAUAACAAGAAAGCCUUACGUUCAGAUAGAUAAUCAUUGACCAGUUCAUCCUAUACCAUUCAAUUUAAUUUAGAAAUGCUGAAAGAAAAACGCAAGCAAUCCAAAGAUGAAGACAACGAUUCAUCCUCGCGAAAGAGAAGAAAAGCUGACCUCAGUAAGCCUGUCAGUUUUGUCUCCACAGGUAAGGCAGAUGCGUGAGUCUAUACAUGUAGGAACUGCUGAUUCGAUUAGAAUAUGUUAUUUGCUUAGUCUGAUCAUAGGAUAGGUUGAGUCUACUACUAUUUCUGCCUUGCUUUGACUCGAAAUUACUGGUGUUUUCUCCUGCAAAUGAAUAGAAAUCACAUCCUUUCUCUUUCUCCUAUACAAAGAAUACAAUUAACCUCAUUUCAAUAUCAUAGCUUUGGAAUUUCAUAGCUAACUCUUUGUUAUGUUGCUCCAUUGGUAAUUGAUUGUGCCUUAAUUUCUGCAGCUACCAGGACAGAGCCAGAGUCUUCUCGAUCUAGACCAGAAGGGGCCUAUGAUGUCUUCUUGAGUUUUAGAGGAGAAGACACUCGCAAGACAUUUACAGAUCAUCUAUAUACUGCCUUAGUCCAAGCAGGAAUCCGCGCUUUUCGAGAUGAUGAUGACCUUCCAAGAGGAGAAGAAAUCUCCGAUCAUCUCCUCAGGGCAAUUCAAGAAUCAAAGAUAUCCAUAGUUGUCUUCUCAAAAGGAUAUGCUUCUUCUAGAUGGUGUCUCAAUGAACUUGUAGAGAUUCUUGAGUGCAAAAAGAGGAAAACCGGUCAGAUUGUUCUUCCUAUAUUCUAUGACAUUGAUCCUUCAGAUGUGAGAAAACAGACUGGCAGUUUUGCAAAGGCAUUUGAUAAGCAUGAAAAGCGUUUUGAAGAGAAGUUGGUGAAGGAGUGGAGAAAAGCUCUUGAGGAUGCCGCAAACCUAUCUGGACGGAGUCUCAAUAAUAUGGCAAAUGGGUAUUCCUUCUCUCUCUAAGAUUCACUUGCACACGUUUAUGGAGUAAUUUUACAUUACAUUUUUCAAUGUGAAGUAAUAAAAUAUUUCUUUUUAGCAUACUUAAUUGAGUCGCUAUCAAUGACUUGCUUUUGUCUAUGAGCAGGCAUGAAGCAAAAUUUAUCAAGAAGAUUAUCAAGGAUGUGUUGAAUAAAUUAGAUCCCAAGUACUUAUAUGUUCCUGAGCACCUAGUAGGUAUGGAUAAACUUGCUCAUGAUAUUUUUGACUUUCUAAGCACUGCAACAGAUGAUGUACGCAUUGCGGGCAUACAUGGGAUGCCAGGAAUAGGAAAGACGACUAUAGCAAAAGUUGUAUUUAAACAACUCUGCGAUAGAUUCGAGGACAGCUGUUUUCUUUCGAAUAUCAAUAUUGAAACACCAAAAAAACUUACAGGUCUUGUUGGUUUUCAAACGCAACUUCUUCGUGAAAUUUUAAAACAAGGUGUUCCAAACUUCGAAUGUGUUGAUAGAGGAAAGGUUUUGAUCAAAGAACGACUUCGUGGCAAAAGAGUUCUUGUUGUUGCUGAUGAUGUGGCUCAUCUGGACCAGCUAAAAGCUUUGAUGGGAGAGCGAAGCUGGUUUGGUCUCGGAAGUAGAGUAAUUAUUACAACAAGAGAUUCAAAUCUUCUUCGUGAAGCAGAUCGAACAUAUCAGAUCGAAGAAUUGAAACCAGACGAGUCCCUUCAGCUUUUCAGCUGGCACGCCUUUAAGGACUCCAAGCCAGCAAAAGAUUAUAUUAAGCUUUCGAAGGAUGCAGUUGAUUACUGUGGAGGACUUCCUUUAGCUCUUGAGGUUAUGGGUGCUUGUCUGUCUGGGAAAAACAGAGAUGGUUGGAAAUGUGUAAUUGAAAAAUUGAGAAGAAUUCCAAACCACGAUAUUCAAGGAAGGCUUAGAAUAAGUUUUGACGCACUGGACGGUGAAGAACUACAAAAUGCAUUCCUUGACAUCGCUUGCUUCUUUAUUGAUAGAAAGAAAGAGUACGUCGCAAAAGUGCUAGGAGCCCGUUGCGGUUACAAUCCAGAAGUUGAUUUGCAAACUCUCCAUGAAAGGUCUCUGAUUAAAGUAUUGGGAGAGACGGUAACCAUGCAUGAUCUAUUACGAGACAUGGGAAGGGAGGUCGUUCGUGAUAAGUUUCCAAAAGAACCUGGAAAGAGGACCAGAAUUUGGAAUCAAGAGGAUGCAUGGAAUGUACUUGAGCAGCAGAAGGUAAGAGCUCAAUGCAUACAUGAAAGCAUAGUCAUUCGUAUUUUCUAGUCAAACUUAUUUCACAUAAUUGAAUGAAAGUUGUAUUGUUUUUUUUUUAGGGUACGGUUGUUGUAGAGGGUCUUGCACUGGAUGUCAGAGCAUCAGAAGCUAAAGCACUUUGCGCAGGAUCAUUUGCAGAAAUGAAACGCUUAAAUUUACUCCAAAUCAAUGGAGUACAUCUCACCGGAUCCUUCAAACUGCUUUCUAAAGAGUUGAUGUGGAUUUGUUGGCAUAGAUGUCCUUUGAAAGAUUUUCCAUCUGAUUUUACCGCAGACUAUCUAGCUGUUCUUGAUAUGCAGUACAGUAACCUCAAAGAACUAUGGAAGGGAAAAAAGGUGCGAAACAUGCUACAAUCCCCGAAAUUUCUCCUGUAUGUAAUUUAUAUUGACAUCUUAUGACUUUCUAUGAUUAAUUUUCAUUAUUUUACCCUCUAUUAUGACAGAUCCUCAACAGGCUAAAAAUCUUUAAUCUUAGUCAUUCUCGGAACCUUGUUAAAACACCAAACUUGCACAGUUCAAGUCUAGAGAAACUAAUUCUGAAAGGUUGCUCAAGUUUAGUUGAGGUGCAUCAAUCAAUUGGACAUUCGACGAGCCUCGUUUUCUUGAAUCUCAAGGGAUGUUGGAGUCUGAAGACUCUCCCUGAAAGCAUUAGGAAUGUAAAGUCUCUUGAAACUAUGAAAAUUUAUGGGUGUUCACAACUUGAGAAAUUGCCAGAAGGCAUGGGUGAUAUGAAAUUCUUAACUGAGCUAUUAGCUGAUGGGAUUAAAACUGAGCAAUUUCUCUCUUCAAUUGGGCAAUUAAAGUAUGUCAAAAGGUUAUCAUUACGUGGAUGCAGUCCGACUCCACCAAGUUGUUCUUUGAUUUCAGCAGGUGUUUCAAUUUUGAAAUGUUGGCUGCCAACAUCAUUCACUGAAUGGAGAUUAGUGAAACAUCUUAUGCUUUCUAAUUGUGGUUUGUCUGAUCGUGCAACUAACUGUGUUGAUUUUAGUGGUUUGUUCUCUCUAGAAAAAUUGGAUCUAAGUGAAAACAAAUUCUCUAGCCUGCCUUAUGGGAUCGGCUUCCUUCCCAAGCUAUCGCACUUGGUUGUUCAGACAUGUGAAUAUCUUGUAUCAAUCCCAGAUCUUCCCUCAAGUUUAUGCCUUUUGGAUGCAUCUUCUUGCAAAUCAUUGGAAAGAGUAAGAAUACCAAUCGAGUCAAAAAAAGAACUAUGUGUAAAUAUAUUUCAAAGUCUUUCGUUAGAAGAGAUUCAGGGCAUCGAAGGUCUAAAUAAUAGUUUCUGGAAUGUUAGUAUUGAAAGACGCAGUCAUUCACCAAAUAAAUUACAGAAGAGCGUUCUAGAGGUACUAUUUCUUUCAAUCUCUCUUGCAUAAGAAGAAACACACACAAUUGGCACAUAUUGAUUAAUGUCUAAAAUCGCAGCAUUCCUUGAAAUUAAUAUGUAUACAGGCAGUUAUUAUUAUUAUUAUUAUUAUUAUAUUUUAAAAAAUAAAUAUCAUCUUUAAUAAUAUUUUCUUAUUUUUCUUAUUUAAUCUAAAAAAUUAAAUAUUAUCUUUAAUAAUAUUUUUUAUUAAAUAUUUAAGUCUUUGGUUUUCUUUUUUAUUUCUUGAUUUUAUGAUAAUAUAUUUAUACAGGCAAUGUGCAACCGUGGUCACGGGUAUCGUAUUAACUUCAGUCUAGAACAUGAUGAACUACAUGAGAUGCCAGAUUGGAUGAGCUACAGGGGAGAAGGAUGCUCAUUGUCAUUCCAUAUACCUCCAGUCUUCCAUGGCUUAGUUCUUUGGUUAGAGAAGGGUACUCAUAUGUACACAUACACUAACAUUAUUAUUAUUAUAAGAAAUAAAAGCAACGGAAGAAUAUUGUUUAAAGAUAAACGAGCACAGAUAGGAAUACAUAUAUUUAUGCAGGGAUGGUUAAGAUACAUAAGUAGAAGUGAAAUGGCAAUGGAAGAUUACUGUGGAGACGAAUUGGAACUAUACAUUUCUUCAGAGCCAACAGACUAUGCACUGCGCAAGGGUAAAUCAUUGAAACCAAGCGUUAAAGAAUGUGGGGUCCAUGUGAUCGCAGGGAAGUCAGAUUCAUUAAAAAAGUCGGCAGUGGAAAGAGAUACAGUGAUGCUUUCACCACCGCUGUAUCAUCUGCUUCCUCAUCCUCAUCGUGGUUCAAUUACAACGUCUACACCUAAGCAAUGGUGUGACUUUUUACUUGCGGAGCUGCAAAACCAUAGCCUCGGUUUAUUGCUUCUUGGUAAGAACAAAUAUUUCCUUUAGUUAUUUUUAUUCUAUUCUAUUUAAUUUAUGAGAUUAAAUAUUAUCUUUAAUUAUUUCAUUAUUACUAUUUAAUAUAAAAAAUUAAAUAUCAUUUUUAAUAAUAAAAAAUUAAAUAUUUAAGGCUUUUUGGUAAGAAUACAUAUUUCCUUUAGUUAUUUCUAUUUUAUUCUAUUUGAUGGGAAUUUGUUCGUAAUAACAAAAUGCACAUGUUUAACUUUCUUUUCAAACUUGGAAGUUUUAUUGAAUUUGAUGGCUUUUGAAGGUAGAGAAGACUUGGAGUGAAGAGUACAAGAUCAUUUUAUAUAGAGAUGCUUGAAGUUACUUCAAAUUAGUACGGUACUUCUAUCUGAUGUAUUGAUAUGUAUUUGUUUGUUUGAAGAUUAUUUUCCAAGCUUGGAAGUUUUAUUGAAUACUCUUUGAAAUCUUUUCCAUCCGCUUUUAUAUUUUUAUAUUGGACAACCUAGUUGUUAAUUAUUAUCCAUGAUGUAAUUUAUAUUUUCAAGUUAUAAAUUUUGAUGAAUAUUGUUUCAUUUUUUUCCUCAUUUCAAAAGUUGAAAAUCCUUAUUUUAGUUAGAAAUAAAUUGGUUUUCUAGGAAGAGAUUAUUGAUUGGAAACAAGAGCAAAAGAAAAAAGCAAACACCCCAUUCGAUUUUCAUUCAGUAUAAGAGUGAGAAAGAGAGACGCCAAGGUGGUUCUCGAAUAUUUUGUUCUUUUUUGUCUCGCUCACUGGGGUAAAUACUUCAUCAUUUAAUGUUAUAAUUUAAAAUAAUUGAUGAAAAAGAAUUUUAUUCAAUCCCAAUCCCAAUCCCACAUUGUCUGUAGAAGUAUUUACUUUUGACUGUACACUUUGUUAUUUUCCAAUCCCUCCCCAGUUCUGCAACCAUUUCUCUACUUUCUAUGCUCUUGGCUUGCUAAAAACUAAAGAAAACACAUUGCUCUAGUUGCCUGCCUUCACUCUUCAGAUUGCUCAACAAAUCCCUUGAGACCUUCUCCAUAGUUAACACAUCACAUAAUGGCUACUCUAAAAAAUUUAGCCAUAAACAUUGAACACCUUAAGCAAUCAACGUGCCUUCCUUCACAAUAUGCAUCACCCAUAAAUCUUUCUUUUGGGAUGUCGCCGGGAGUUUAAAUUUCCGAGUGUAAAAAUUACUCAAUGAAAAAGCGAGCACUAACGCACCUUCUCCACAAACUACCAUAAAUAUAUAAAUAUAUUAUGAAAACAAGAUAAAAAGAAAUCUUUCGGUACAUCUAUAUAUAUAUAUUAUGGCUAUGAAAAUAGGUUUGUGGAAAUUUACAUCAUUUGAUCUUGACAGUGUCAGAUUAGACAAUUGCAUGGAAAUGGUCUUCUUAGUUUGCCGUGUGGAAAAUCAUGUCAUUUACGGGGCUGCUGGAGAGAGUGUCUAUUGAUAAUUUUAUCUUAUUUGCAUUGACCGGUAAUUUCACUCGAAAAUUUCUAGUAAUUUAAAAGCAAAUUUCUACUGACUAUUAUUGACUGGCUUCUUGCAAAGUAUUUGUAAGAAAGCUAAAGAAUUAAAGUUUUUUAAUUUUUAAAAUUGUAAGAAAAAAAUCAAUUAUUUUUAAAAUUGUUUUCAAAAAUAAAACACCAACUAUUUAUAUAAUAGCUAAAUCUAUUAAGAUAAAUCCAAAAUAACUAGUAAAAUCAGUGACUUGCAUUGACGGUGUAAUGAUCUGGAACCACUCGCAAUAAAUAAAGCCAAAAAAGGCAGACGAGUGUGUCUAUAUAUACAUAUAGGAACCGCUGAUUCGAUUUGAAUAUGUUAUUUGAUUAGUCUAAUUCAUGACUUGCAUUGACUCAAGAUUACCACUCAAGAUUUCGUGGUGCUUUCUCGGCCUGCAAAUGAAUAGAAAGCAUGUCGUUUUAACCUCAUUUCAAUAUCCUUGCUUUACUCUCCAGCUAGCCUGAUACAUAUGAGUCUCAAGACAUACGGCCAUUGAUAGAAAGGAGUGCUGAAGCAAAAUAUUUUUUUAUCUGUAGCGACCUCAAUAAUGUUAAAGCGUGGACCACCAUGAAAUUACCGCUCCAAAUUCCUUGUUCUUUCUAUAUUAUUAGAAAAAUUAUCAUUGACUAAUUUAAUUGGAAAUUAUUUGCGAGAAAGCUAAAAAGAAUUAAAGUUUUUUAAUUUAUAAAAUUAUAAUUUUAAAUUGUAAAAAAAUUCAAUUAUUUUAAAAAAUAAAACAUCAACUAUUUAUAUAAUAGCUAAAUAAAUCUAUUAAAAUAAAUUGAGAAUAACUAGUAAAAUCAAGCAAAUAAUCCAAAAAUAACAAGAAAAUAAAUAUAUUUCCUAGAUCUAAUUUGAUUAUAUUUAUUAUCUUGAUUGACUUACUUGUUAAGUCUUCGCUAAGCAUAAAUGAACUUUAAUCUAAGAAUCUGUUUUAUAUUUCUUCAUUUAUUAAUGAAAUAUUACUUCUACUGUAUAGUUUUUGGUUCCGAGUUGAUCCACCAGAUUAAUAGGUGAACAAUAUAUUUUGUCUCCACAGGUUAUAACAUCAUUUCAAUAUCUUUAAACAAAAUCUUUGUUAAACUGCACCAUUGGUAAUUGAUUAUGCCUUAAUUUCUGCAGCUGCCAGGACAGAGCCAGAGUCUUCUCGAUCUAGACCAGAAGGGGCCUAUGAUGUCUUCUUGAGUUUUAGAGGAGAAGACACUCGCAAGACAUUUACAGAUCAUCUCUACACUGCCUUAGUCCAAGCAGGAAUCCACACUUUUCGAGAUGAUGAUGAACUUCCGAGAGGAGAAGAAAUCUCCGAUCAUCUCCUCAGGGCAAUUCAAGAAUCAAAGAUAUCCAUAGUUGUCUUCUCAAAGGAUAUGCUUCUUCUAGAUGGUGUCUCAAUGAACUUGUAGAGAUUCUUAAGUGCGAAAAUAGGAAAACCGGUCAGAUUGUUCUUCCUAUAUUCUAUGACAUUGAUCCUUCAUAUGUCAGAAAACAGAAUGGCAGUUUUGCAGAAGCAUUUGUUAACCAUGAAGAGCGUUUUGAAGAGAAGUUGGUGAAGGAGUGGAGAAAAGCUCUUGAGGAGGCUGGAAAUCUAUCUGGAUGGAAUCUCAAUGAUAUGGCAAAUGGGUAUGCCUUUUCUCUCUAAAAUUCACUUGCAGACGUUUAUGGAGUAAUUCUACAUUACAUUUUUCAAUGUGAAGUAAUAAAAUAUUUCUUUUUAGCAUACUUAAUUGACUUGCUAUCGAUGACUUGCUUUUUUUCUGUGAGCAGGCAUGAAGCAAAAUUUAUCAAAGGGAUUAUCAAUGAUGUGUUGAAUAAAUUACGUCGCGAGUGCUUAUAUGUUCCUGAGCAUCUGGUAGGUAUGGAUCUUGCUCACGAUAUUUAUGACUUUCUAAGUACUGCAACAGAUGAUGUACGCAUUGUGGGCAUACAUGGGAUGCCAGGAAUAGGAAAGACGACUCUAGCAAAAGUUGUAUUUAAUCAACUCUGCUAUAGAUUCGAGGGAAGCUGCUUUCUUUCGAAUAUCAAUGAAAGUUCAAAACAAGUUAAUGGUCUUGUUCCUUUACAAAAGCAACUUCUUCAUGAUAUUUCAAAACAAGAUGUUGCUAACAUCAAUUGUGUCGAUAGAGGAAAGGUUAUGAUCAAAGAUCGACUUUGUCGCAAAAGAGUUCUUGUUGUUGCUGAUGAUGUGGCUCAUCUGGAACAGCAGAAUGCAUUGAUGGGAGAGCGAAGUUGGUUUGGUCCCGGAAGUAGAGUAAUCAUUACAACAAGAGAUUCAAAUCUUCUUCGUGAAGCAGAUCGAACAUAUCAGAUCGAAGAAUUGAAACCACAUGAGUCCCUUCAGCUUUUCAGCAGGCAUGCCUUUAAGGACUCCAAGCCAGCACAAGAUUAUAUUGAGCUUUCGAAGAAAGCCGCUGGUUACUGUGGAGGACUUCCUUCAGCUCUUGAGGUUACAGGAGCUCUUCUGUACAGGAAAAACAGAGGUAGAUGGGAAAGUGAAAUGGACAACUUGAGCAGAAUUCCAAACCAAGAUAUUCAAGGAAAGCUUCUAAUAAGUUAUCACGCACUUGAUGGUGAACUACAAAGGGCAUUCCUUGAUAUUGCAUGCUUCUUUAUUGGUAUAGAGAAAGAAUACGUCGCAAAAGUGCUAGGAGCCCGUUGCCGUCCCAAUCCAGAAGUUGUUUUGGAAACUCUCAGUGAAAGGUCUCUGAUUAAAAUAUUGGGAGAGACGGUAACCAUGCAUGAUCUAUUACGAGAGAUGGGAAGGGAGGUCGUUUGUAAAGCGUCCCCAAAAGAACCUGGAAAGAGGACCAGAAUUUGGAAUCAAAAGGAUGCAUGGAAUGUACUUCAACAGCAGAAGGUACGAGCUCAAUGCAUACAUGAAAGCGUAGUCAUGUGUAUUUUCUCAAUGCAAACAUGAAAGCAUAGUCAUGCGUAUUUUCUUGUCAAACUUAUUACAAAUAAUUGAAUGAAAGUUGUAUUGAUUUUUUUUUUAGGGUACGGAUGUUGUAGAGGGUCUUGCACUGGAUGUCAGAGCAUCAGAAGCUAAAUCACUUAGCGCAGGAUCAUUAGAAAAAAUGAAAUGCUUAAAUUUACUCCAAAUCAACGGAGCACAUCUCACCGGAUCCUUCAAACUGCUUUCUAAAGAGUUGAUGUGGAUUUGUUGGCAUGAAUGUCCUUUGAAAUAUUUUCCAUCUGAUUUUACCUUGGACAAUCUAGCUGUUCUUGAUAUGCAGUACAGUAACCUCAAAGAACUAUGGAAGGGAAAAAAGGUGCGAAACAUGCUGGAAUCCCCAAAAUUUCUCCAGCAUGUAAUUUAUAUUUACAUGUUAUGACUUUCUAUGAUUAAUUGUCAUUAUUUUACUCUCUCUUAUGACAGAUUCUCGACAAGCUAAAAAUCCUUAAUCUCAGUUAUUCUCAUCACCUUAUUAAAUCACCAAAGUUGCACAGUUCAAUUCUAGAGAAACUAAUUCUGAAAGGUUGCUCAAGUUUAGUUGAGGUGCAUCAAUCAAUUGGACAUUCGACGAGCCUCGUUUUCUUGAAUCUCGAGGGAUGUUGGAGUCUGAAGACUCUCCCUGAAAGCAUUGGUAAUGUAAAGUCUCUUGAAACUAUGAAUAUUUGUGGGUGUUCACAACUUGAGAAAUUGCCAGAAGGCAUGGGUGAUAUGAAAUUCUUAACUGAGCUGCUAGCCGAUGAGAUUAAAACUGAGCAAUUUCUCUCUUCAAUUGGGCAAUUAAAGUAUAUCAAAAGGUUAUCAUUGCGUGUUUCAAAUUUGAAAUGUUGGCUGCCAACAUCUUUCACUGAAUGGAGAUUAGUGAAAUAUCUUAAGCUUUACUGUGUUGAUUUUAGAGGUAUGUUCUCUCUAAAAGUAUUGGAUCUAAGAGGAAACAAAUUCUCUAGCCUGCCUUCUGGGAUCGGCUUCCUUCCCAAGCUAUCGUACUUGGUUGUUAAGACAUGUGAAUAUCUUGUAUCAAUCCUAGAUCUUCCCUCAAGUUUAUGCCUUUUGGAUGCAUCUUAUUGCAAAUCAUUGGAAAGAGUAAGAAUACCAAUCGAGGCAAAAAAAGAACUAUGUGUAAAUAUAUAUAUGAAAGUCUUUCGGUAGAAGAGAUUCAGGGCAUCGAAGGUUUAAAUAAUAGUUUCUGGUAUGUUAGUGUUACAUCACCAAAUAAAUUACAGAAGAGCAGUCAUUCACCAAAUAAAUCACAGAAGAGCGUUGUUGAGGUACUAUUUCUUUUAGUCUCUCUUGCACAAGAAGAAACACACACAAUUGGCACAUACAUUGAUUAAUGUCUAAAAUCGCAGCAUUCCUUGAAAUUAAUAUGUAUACAUACAAUUAUUAUUUUAAUUUAAAAAAUAAAUAUCAUCUUUAAUAAUAUUUUCUUAUUUUUCUUAUUUAAUCUAAAAAAUUAAAUAUUAUCUUUAAUAAUAUUUUUUAUAAAAUAUUUAAAGUCUUUGGUUUUCUUUUUUAUUUCUUGAUUUUAUGAUAAUAUAUUUAUACAGGCAAUGUGCAACCGUGGUCACGGGUAUCGUAUUAGCUUCAUUGUUGAUGAUCUACUUGAGAUGCCAGAUUGGAUGAGCUACAGGGCAGAAGGAUGCGCAUUGUCAUUCCAUAUACCUCCAGUCUUCCAUGGCUUAGUUCUUUUGUUUGAGAAGAGUACUCAUCUUUACACAGUCACUAACAUUAUUAUUAUUAUAAGAAAUAAAAGCAACGGAAGAAUAUUGUUUAAAGAUAAACGAGCACAGAUAGGAAUACAUAUAUUUAUGCAGGGAUGGUUAAGAUACAUAAGUAGAAGUGAAAUGGCAAUGGAAGAUUACUGUGGAGAUGACGAAUUGGAACUAUACAUAUAUUCACAGCAAUCAGAGUAUGCAACGGUCAUUCAUUCGAACCCGUACACGUUAAAGAAUGUGGGGUCCAUGUGAUCGCAGAGAAGUUAGAUUCAUUUGAAGAGUCGGCAGUGGGAAGAGAUACAGUGAUGCCUUCACCACCGCUGUAUCAUCUGCUUCCUCAUCCUCAUCGUGGUUCAAUUACAACGUCUACACCUAAGCAAUGGUGUGACUUUUUACUUGCGGAGCUGCAAAACCAUAACCUCAGUUUAUUGCUUCUUGGUAAGAACAAAUAUUUCCUUUAGUUAUUUUUAUUCUAUUCUAUUUAAUUUAUGAGAUUAAAUAUUAUCUUUAAUUAUUUCAUUAUUACUAUUUAAUAUAAAAAAUUAAAUAUCAUUUUUAAUAAUAAAAAAUUAAAUAUUUAAGGCUUUUUGGUAAGAAUACAUAUUUCCUUUAGUUAUUUCUAUUUUAUUCUAUUUAAUUUAAGAGAUUAAAUAUCAUCUUUAAUUAUUACAUUUUUCUUAUUUUUUAUUUUUUGAUUUUAUGAUAAUAUUUUUCUUGAUUAAUAUAAAAAAUAAAUAUUAUCUUUAAUAAUUAGAUCUAUCGAAUAUCACUCAAAAAAAUAAAUUAUAUCUUUAAUAAUUAUUUUUUGAAAAACAAAAAGCCAACAAUCACUAACAUAUUUUAUUAAAAUCACUUUAGUUUAUUUAGGAAAUAUUGAAAACUGAUUUUUGUUUUUUUACAUUUAAAUAAAAAAUUGAAUAAUGUUUUUAUAUUUUAUUUCAAAUUAAAUAUUUUAAAACAAAAAUAAAAACAAAAUGAUAUUAACCUUUUUUAUUAUAAAGUAAGUUUCUUAAUUAAAAGUGAAGGGGAUUUGUUUGUAAUAACAAAAUGCAUAUAUAAUCAUGCACGGUUAACUUUAUUUCCAAACUUGAAAGUUCUACUGAAUUUGAUGGUUUUAUAGGUAAGAAGGAGCUGGAUGGAUGAGUUAUUUUACAUAGAGAUGCUUGAAGUUACUUCAAAUUAGUACGGUAUUUCUAUCUGAUGUAUUGAUAUGUAUUUGUUGGCUUGAAGAUCAUUUUCCAAGUUUGGAAGUUUUAUUGAAUGCUCUUUGAAAUCUUUUCCAUUCGCUUUUAUAAUUGUGUAGGUUUCAAUUAAAAGGGAUUGAAUUAAGGAAGUAUGUUAAAAAAUAAUAUAAAUUAUAUUUUAAAAUUUAUUUUAAUAGUUUAAAUUUUUAGAUGGAUAGUUUUUUUGACAGGUAAAAGAUAUAGUUUUACAAUAAAAUAUAUUUUUUGAAAUGAAAUUAUAUUAAAUUAAGCAUGCUCGAGAUUGUUCAAAUUAUUAAUUAAUUAUAAUUAACUUUAUGUCUUUAGAGGAAACAGAAGGGAAGGACAAGAUUAUCUUCCCCACACCAAUAGACCUAGCCCACUUUCCAAACCAGUCCCCUGGUAAAUAGAAUGAUGGUCCCAUAUUUUUCUUUCCAGCCCGUCAAGCAGUUUUAUCUCCCUCACUGGACCACUUUAGAAUGGGAAUCACACUAGGAAAUUUAAAAGUAGUUUGAAGUAUCAUUAAACCUGAUAAAAAUAAACAACCAAUAAUAAUAUGGUUGGGAUUUAAAAAAAAAUUGAUAAAAAAACUAAAAUAAAACAAAUUAAAAUAAACAAAAAACUUGAAAAAAAUUAAUUCAACCCUUUCUUCGUAAAAAAGAGAAGUAAUUGGGUAUUAAUUUACGGUCAAAAGAGUACAAUAAUGCAAAGAAAAAAAAGAGUAUGAGGGUAUUGAUUUUAUUAUUUGUUAGGUAACUAUGGAAUCUAAUCUGUUGAUGUGGAAAAUAGCACAAAUUAAGUUUUUGGCAUGGCCAUUGGUGAGAAGCAAAAGCAGUAGCAGUCCAUCAGGACCAUCACCAUCCUAUCGCCGACAUUCCAAGUGUGAAAGUGUAUUAUUGUCAUAAAGUUUUUCAAACGAAACAAUACGAUAAAUUUAAACUAUAGAGAGAUAAUUAAAUAAAUAAGUAGAAAGCGCAAAAGAAACAAUACGAUAAAUUUAAACUAUACUAAAGGUCAGUUUUUCACUCUGUGUGAAUCUACCGUGAAAGCUUGAUUUUGCACAUGGUAGAUAAAUUUAGGUUUAGGAGUAUAAUUUUUUAUAUAUAAUUACACUAAAGAAGAAUAUUAAUCAAAUAACCCUUAAAAAAAUUCCUUUUAGUUUAGGGUUUAUUUUUUUUCAUCUCAAUUACUUAAAUAUCCCUAAAAAAUAAACUCUCUUUACUAUGGAUGCAAGGUUAUUUUAGAUUUUCUGCUAUUUUUUUUUUAAAAAAUUCUCAUGUAAGAUUAGAGGUGAUUUGGUAUUUUAAUAUAUAAAUUAAUAUUAAAAUUCAAAAGCAGUUGGUGUCUCCCACACCUUUUGGAUGGCGCCUACGACUUCCACACAAAACCGAAUGUUACCGUCUAAGGCAGCGUUUGAUGCGUUUCACCACCGUUGUCACGGUGGUGGCACACGUGUUCUCUGAUGGCAUGUAGAGGAGCACGCGGAGGAGCUCCUUUCUCUUUUUCCUCUCUCGACCUAGAAAAUCAUGUUGACCAUUGAAAAAAAAAAAAACAAAGAAAGUCUAACUAUUUAUUUGUUAAGUUAAAUUAGGUCCUUAUUCUUUUGAUAACAAUGCAUUUGGUCUUGAGCUAUUUAUUAAGUUAGUUGUUUUUUCAUUUUCAUUAAUUUACACUUUGUUUUUAUAUUAGAUUUAAUCCUUAUUCUUUUAACUGUGAUGUUUUUUGUUGUCUUAAUUCCUUUAUUGAAUUAAAUUGUCUUUGAAUUUUAUCUCUUGAUAUUUUAUUUUUAUAUCAAAUAUGAUCCUUAUUUUUUUAUUGUUAUUUUUAGUUAUUUUUAUUAUUUUCUUAAUUGAAAUUGUUUUUUAAUUUCAUCCCUUAUGAUUUGGUUUUAUUUACUUUAUGUAUCAAAUUUGGUUCUCUUUCUUUUCAAAUCUACAUCUUUAAAAAUAAAAUUUAAUUUUUUUCAAGUUUAUCCCUAAUUAUUUUGGUUGGUUUAGAUUUUAUAUUGUUAUUUUUUAUUUUUCUUUUACAUUGUGAUAUAGCCUUAUGAUUGUGUCACAAAUUCUAAAAGUUGGACAGGGAUGACUUCAAUUAUUUUUAGAAAUUUUCAUUCUUCAAUUCAAUUAUAUAUAUAUAUAAAAGGUUUGACGCUUAAUAUAUUUUUGUAUUGAUUUUAUCAUUUUAUAAUUUGAUUUAUAAUGCAGUCCUAUUAUAUAUGGACCAGGACAACAAUAUCAUUCAAAUGUUAGUAAUAGAAUAACUUUUACAUAUUUUAAUAUUUAAAAAUUAAAAAAAUACAGUGUAACUGUUUUGUAUAAAUUCUAAAAGUAAGGACUCAUUUGUGCUUGGUAAAAUACCUCACAAUAAAGUUAAUAAAUAAUAACACAAGAAAAGAACAAAAGUUAAUAAAUAAUAUAUAGCAUGUCUUACACUGCUUUAAUAGAUUAUUCCAGUAAGAGCACAGAGAGAAGAGCGGUUCAAGACAGAACAAUGAUGUAUAAAUUAAAAAAAUAUAAUCUCUUAUAGGAAUCUCUUUAUUAAAUAAUCAAAAUAUUAAAGUCUAUUUCCAAAGACUAUUACUACAGUUUUUAUAUAUAUAAAAAUAGAAACAACUAAAUAGAGAAAUUAUUAUUUUUUAAAUUGAAAAAGUUGAAAAGCUUGAUAAUAUUGAGUAAGAAAUAAAAUAUAAAAAUAAUUCCUUUUAAAUAAACAAAUAUAAAAGUUUAAUAGUACUGAAUAGAAAAAAAAAUAGAAUUUCUAAACUAAAUAAAAGUAACUGAAAAAAGUAUUUAUUAUUCCAAAAAAAUUGAUGUUAAAAUCUCAUUUAUCAUAUUUUAUAUCUAUAAAAAGCUAAUUUGUCAUAUGGAAUAAGUCUAUAUGCUAAAAUCAGAAAAAACAAAUGUAACAAAAAAAAAUUCCACCAAAGGCUGUGAUUAGCAGAUUAUCUGAUGGAAAGAUGAUGAACAUUUUUUAGUCAAUUAAGUUCAUUUCACAUGAUUUUUUUAUUCUUGUCAAUUAAUCUUAAAGCAAGAUUCCAAGAUAAGCCUAAAAAAUAUUUAUUAUUAAUCAACAAUAUGGAAUAAUAACUUGUUUUCUAAUAUAAAUUAUAAUUUGAAAUAAAAUUGAUAAAAGAGUAAGGCGCAUUUUGUAUACAAAAUUAAUGACGGAAUCGUAUAUUUUAAGACUAAAUUAAAGUUUUUCAAUUACAUUUAAACAUAUUAUGGUUUUAAUAAACGUACGAUGCAUCCUUUGAUUUUAUUACAGGGAACGUGAAAUAUUGUAAAUUAUGGAGGGGAAUCAAAAUAUUUGUUAGCAGUAACCUCAGUAAUGUUUAAAAAAAAUUGUUGUGGAAACUUUGCAAAGGAUCUGAAGGAAGAAAAAUGAUUGAAUUGAUAAUAAUUUGCAAGAGAGAAUUCUUUCACUGAAUAGAAAAAAAAAUAUUAUUUUUAAAAUAAAAACAAUAAAUAUAAAAAUUAUUAUUUUUUAAAUAGAGAAACUAGAAAGUCCUGAUAAUAUUAAAUAAAAAAUAAAUACAAAAAUUAUUCUUUUCAAGUAGAAAAAAUUAUAAAAGUUUAAUAAUACUGAAUAGAAAUAAAUAAAAUUUCUAAACUAAAUAAAAAUAUUUAUUAUCCCAAAAAUUCUUAUAUCAAAAUCUCAUUUAUCAUAUUUUGUAUCUAUAAAAAACUAAUUUGUCAUAUGUACUGGGUCCAUAUGCUAAAACCAGAAAAAAAAAUGUAACAAAAAAAAAAUUCCACACAAGGCUGUGAUUAAGAGAUUAACAAGAUGAUAGAUAUUUUUUAGUAAAAUGAAUUCCAAUUCAAAAUAGCAAAAUAAGGUUUUUUGAGGCUUUUCUAGUAUAUAAAAAAAUCAAAUUAUACAAGAUUUAUUAUUAAUCUUUGAUAUUUAUUAUUGAUCAUCAAUAAUCAAUAUUAAAUGAUGACUUAUUUUCUAGUAUAAACUAUGUUUGAAAUAAAAUUGAUAAAACACAUUAUAUAUAAUUAAUGAUGGGAUCGUAUAUAAAAAUAAUUAAAUUGAGAUUUUUCAAUUACCUUUAAAUAUAUCAUAGUUUUAAUCGGUGGUGGACGAUAUAACAUAUGUAAAUUAUAAAACAAGCAUUUAUUUUUCUGAUAUAUACAUAAUUGUCGCACCCGGACAUCGCGGCGACCUUAAAAAUAAUAUUUCAUGGAAAAGAACAGAUUUCUGGCAUCCUGUUCUUUAAUGGAGAAUGGUCUCGUUUAAGGAGUCGCCACCUAGUAUUAUGGUCACUAGGAACCCUAACUGGUCAACAGAGAUUCUAUGGUACGGGACUGGUUACGUAAAAGAGAAGAUAUUAUCACCCCUUAAACGUUCUGCCUGAGGCAGACUGCAUUGCUGGUUUUGUCUUAAAUUGCUAAAUGUUUAUUAGUUUACGCUAUGAUAAUUUGCUUAUAAUAUUCCUGACUCUGGCGUCAGUGAAUAUUCAACUACGAAUAUCUCCAACUCUGGCGUUGGUAAAUAUUACGUAGUUAUAAAAUAAAUUAGAUCAAUAUUUUUUUAUUACCUACUCUAGCAGUGAAUAAAUAAAUAAAAAUAAAUUUAUUUUUAAACAUGCACAUAUUUUUUUAUUUUUCUAGCUAAAUAAAAUAAAUAUAACGAAUAAAAAUAAUAUAAAUUUAAACCGGUAUUUUUAUUCCUGACUCUGGCAUCAGUGAAUAAACCAAUAAAUUUACAUUAUUUUUAUUUAUGCAUACACAUUUUUAUUUUUAUUUUUUUCUAAUAAUGAAUAAAAAUAAUAUAAAUUUAAACCGAUAUUUUUAUUCCUGACUCUGGAGUCAGUGAAUAAACCAAUAAAUUACAUUUUUUUUAUUUUUUUCCUAGGACUAUUUUUCCUACAUUUUUUUAUAUUUUUUUAUUUUUUUCCUAGGACUAAGCUUCACACGUGUAUGCAAAAGUAGUGAAUUAAAUUGGCCUAUGUACAGUACCCAUGCAAUUAGAAUUGCAAAGCAAAGGGAAAUGAAGAACUUACCUGUGCAGGAGGCGAAGUCGAAGACGGUGGCGAAGGUGUGCUGAAUUGCCAAAGCUACCUUCUCUCCUUCUCUGUUUUUAUUCUUCGUGCGCUUCUCCUCUGGUUUUGCUUUUCUUUACUUUGAUUGCUUCUCUUAUUCUUCCUGUCUCCCCCCCUGUGUUUGCUUGUUCUCAGUUCGCUUGUGUUUUCUUUUUUUAUCUGUUGUUCAGGGAAUGGAGGAGCUGGUGUAAGUGGAGACAAAGCAGCUGAUGCCUGAGAGGGCGUUGUACUGCUGCUGGAGCUGGAAGAGGCGCGCGUUGCUGGUUGCUGAUGCAUGCUCACGGUGCAUGGAAGUGGCUGAGUUGCUACUAAUCUUGACGAUACUGGUUUCGUCCGCUGUAAAAGUUUUCGUGCCCCUGCAUCCGAUCAAAGCUUGUGCUUUUCCAAGCAAAAGCCAUGGUCCCUUGAAACUCAGCAGAUUUUCGGAGCAAGGAGGAUCGCAUGCCAAUGUAGUUCAUGGUUCUGGUUUAGAGGCAGACGUGGCGGAGAUUAAUGGUGAUUGGGACCACAGCCUAGAAGGUGACCGGGAGGAAGAUGAUCUCGAGCCUUUAUUUGCUUCUUCUUUUUUUGUGAGGAGUUUGCAGAUCCCGGGGGUUGAGAAUGAAGAAUGAAAAAUCAGUUUGAUGGGGAAGAGAUUGAGGCCAGGCAAGAAGGGAGGAAAAGUCUGGGGGGAGGGGGCAGCGGCGGCUAGUCUAGGACUCGGCCGCGCCCCUUUUUUUUUUUGUAAAUGUCUUUUGUUUCUUUUUUUUUAUAUAGGUUUCUGGUAAUGAUCUUCUCCUGGGUUUUUUUUUUGUGUCGUUUAAGGUUCCUCUCUAAUCGUCUUCCUCUCCCCUCCGUUUUUCAUACCCUGAGAUCUGUAUUUAUAGUGCCAGAGUCCCUUCGCUUGUGAGAAACCAAGUUUCAAUCAAACUCAUUCUAUUUUUUGAAGUUUGAAUUUGAUUAAGAAUCAAAUUUGAAAGCGGAUAACUAUCAUUAUCUUAAAGACAAGGAUUAUCUCGAAGAUAAAGAUUAUCUUGAAGAUAGGGAUUAUCUUGAAGAUAAAGAUAGAAUGAUAAAAGCACAUUGUAGUCCUUAAUUUUCACGGAAGUUGACAAAUCACACUUUUCAUCGAAAUAAAUCUCUGAUCUUUUAAUUUUUCAUUUUAAACCCUGUAAAAAUUAAAUUAAAAGUCAAAGGGCCAAAAUUGGGUCAUGACAGUUGCCCCCUCUUUACAAUGCUUACGGUGCAAAUGCAUUAGAAAAUUUAUUUUCUUUUGACUUUGUAUAGUAAGUUUUGUAAAGAAAAAUAAUUGUGAAAGCCCUUCCUCUUUUCCUCCUUUUUUUUUUCUUCUCUUUUUUUUGAUUGAUUUUUUUGCUUUUUUUUUUUAAAUGGUCUAAUUGUUCCAGGCGACCUGCCUGAUAAAGAAUAAAAUGCGAAAAGGGUUUCGCGAGUGGUCUAAUUGUUCCAGGCGACCUGCCCGAUGAUUGAAAAAUACGAGGAUUUUUUUUUGUGAUGGUAUAUUGUAAUGGGUUACCGGCCCAGAUGGUCACAUUGUAAUGGGUUACCUGCCCAGUAUAGGAUGGUAUAUUGUAAUGGGUUACCGGCCCAAAUGGUCACAUUGUAAUUGGUUACCUGCCUAGUAUAGGAUGGUAUAUUGUAAUGGGUUACCAACUCAGAUGGUCACAUUGUAAUGGGUUACCUGCCCAGUAUAGGAUGGUAUAUUGUAAUGGGUUACCGACCCAAGUGGUCACAUUGUAAUGGGUUACCUGCCUAGUAUAGGAUGGUAUAUUGUAAUGGGUUACCGACCCAGAUGGUCACAUUGUAAUGGGUUACCUGCCCAGUUGGUCACAUUGUAAUGGGUUACCUGCCCAGUGGAUGGUAUAUUGUAAUGGGUUACCGACCCAGAUGGUCACAUUGUAAUGGGUUACCUGCCCAGUGGAUGGUAUAUUGUAAUGGGUUACCGACCCAGAUGGUCACAUUGUAAUGGGUUACCGGCCUAGUUGGUCACAUUGUAAUGGGUUACCUGCCCAGUGGAAAAAUACGAGGAUUUUUCAGAUGGUCACAUUGUAAUGGGUUACCUGCCCAGAUGGUCACAUUGUAAUGGGUUACCGGCCCAGUUGGUCACAUUGUAAUGGGUUACCUGCUUAGUGGAAAAAUACGAGGAUUUUUUUUUAAGACAUGAUAGGGCUCGAAGGCGCAUUAUUCAAUAGAUGGAAGCUCGAGGGAAAUGAGGGCUUGAAGGCGCCCUCAAAAGAAGGUAGGAUAGGAAAUGCACUACCUUUGAUGGUCGAGGGCUCGAAGGAGCGCUCGAAUGGAGGUAGGAUAGGAAAUGCACUACCUUUGAUGGUCGAGGGCUCGAAGGCGUGCUCGAAAAGAAAUAAGAUGAGGGCUCGAAGACGCGCUCGAAAGGAGGUAGGAUAGGAAAUGCACUACCUCAGGAGUGGAAACUGAAAGGUGGUGGGAAAAUAGAGAGAUUUUUUCAGGUGGCCUAAUUCUCAUGGGCGGCUUGCCCAGGUUGAAAAAUUCUCAAAAGUGAAAAUUUUUUCAAAAGCAAUUUCAAUGUUCGCCAUUUCAAGUUGGCCUUCCGCUUGAUGGAUUCCGUCAGAAUUUUUUUCUAAUAAAAUUUGCAAAACUCAUUGUCCAAUGUCUCAAAGUUUAAAUGAUAUGCAUGCAUCUUUACCUGAUUUGAAAUAUAGGCCCCCCAUUUCUUCUUAGUCUUCUCGUGGCUUGGUUGGUGAGAUCUUGCUAUCUGAUUUGAGUCAUCUUUGUCGUUUGGCUUUCUAGCCCACUCGAGUUAGCCCAUAUAAGACUUUUUCCAGAUUUGUUUGCACAACUCAGCCUUUGUGGUGCCCAUCGUGACCCACUUGCUUGCUAGAGAUUUUCUGUCUCGUCAAAUAGUUUGAGGGGAUCAUUCAUUACUCCUCGUCUCACUGAUAAAAAUAUUUGGUGUCACUUGCUGAAAGGAUCAAACUGUCUUUCGUAAACCAAAAUGCCCCCUUGUCUUGUUGUAGGAAAUGUUCCUUCUUUUUUUUUAGAACAGAUAGAUUUUUCUUAAGCACAAUAUUGCCCCCUUGUACUAGUCAUUGCCCCCAAGUGUGCCCUGUCAGCGACUUAGACAAAUAAUGGUUUUAAGAGACCAUUCUCUCAUUUCUCUCCUUUUCAGUUUGGUGAAGGAAUAUGGGUUUAGAAUGAAUCUUGAAAUCUUGAUCUUGCAUUUUGAAAACAAAAAAUUAUUUCGAUGUGAGUCUAAAACAAUUUGCUUUUGAAAUCUUGCAACUCCUUGGUUAUUUUCUUUCUUGGAAAAGAGAUUAUUUGCUCUUGUGUUUGGCAAUGAGAUCUUUGAUGAAAAUACGUCAUGAGAUGACCUUUUGUUUUUAUAGGUUUUUAAAGUGGAGGGCUCGAGAAAGAGCUCGAGGUUUUGUAUGAGAAAAACUUGUCUCUUUUUUUAACAUUUAUUUUUAUCAGCAUCAAUAAUAAUGAGUAGCUUAUUCUUGAUGUCAUGAAUCUUAUGAAAAAGUAUUCUUUGCAUUUUGAGAGCAUUGUUUAUUGUUCUAGGUUGCUUGCUUGCUUGAUUAGAAAGGACUUCUACAGGCACAUAACGUAGGCUGUGGUUUUUGGCUAUGAAAGAAAAGGAUUCAUAAGGCUCAAAGAGUGUUUCAGGGUUUCAAAGAAUGAAGAUCACAAUCAACAGUUUGACUCUUGACGUCAUUCAUAUUUUCUUUUGCCGCUCUUCUUUGAUUUGCCUUUUUUUCUUUUUUCUUUUUCAUUGCUUUGCUAGAGCAUACUCACUUUAUCUUGGUUAUCACUUUUUCUUGUGAUUUGGGCAUGCCCCCUAGCAUUUGAGUUUCUUGGGCUCUUUUGCCUUUUGACUUUCUCACGGCUUUAUUAUCUUUCUUGAUCAUUGAAAUUUCACUUGCCCCCAGUGUGGGGUGUGAUCCUAGUCGGGAUUUUUUCAUGAAAGAAAAAUUAUUCAGGCUCAAAAAGGGAUCGCAAGGGAUGUACUUAUUUCAGAAUAUGAAAGGAAUAACAAAGAUGGCAUUUCCUCAUUUCAAGCGCAAGCAGUUAAGAUCAAUAAACUUUGACCUCAUCUAGUGUGAUAGUUUGGUCUUUGCAAAGAUGCAUUUCAAGGGUCAUGAGCAACAAGUUCACUACAUACCAUUAUUCAUACAUUUAAAAACACAUGAUUCAAGAGUCGUGGGGUAAGGGUGUUUAUUUAUUUCUUUUCUCUUUUUUCUUUUUUUCUUUUUGGUUUAUAAUUUAGUCACCUCAUUGAUGGAGUUACUUGAUUAACACGUAGAAUGUUAAAAAUAUGGUUUUUGAAUAAACAUCAAGUUAUUUUCGGAAUCAAAAUGCAAGAUCAAUUUUUUCAAAACUCUAAUAGGGAAACUGAUUUUUGGUAACAGAGACAAAUUGCGUCUAUGAGAUCGCACAAGGCUUCAAAGAUGUGUUUGUGAGUCUUUAUAAGAAAACUCUCUCAGAAAAAUGAAUAAUGCUAAUCGUACACACGAUUGAAUGACAAACUCAUUAUUUUCAUUGAAACUUUGGAAAAUAAGUUCAACAAGAAAGAACUCAUGACAACAUCUUGGGCUAUGAAUACUGGCAUGAUAGCAUAUAAAGGGGCUAAACAUUUAACAAUCAUUGAUUGGAAUUUCUGGAAUCAUUCAUUCUCCUUGACAAGGGCAUCUCUUCAAUAGUCAAUAAUAUCACCAUAGCUUUAUCUUCAAGAUAGUUGAUUUCUAAAAAUUGGUGUGAAGCAAUUAGCUAUAGGAACGAUAACUGUCUUGGCAGCCACCUUCAGUGAAACCGUUCUUCUUAGUUAGGUUAGCAAUCUUACAUAACCCAAUGGCUUGUUCAAUCCUCUCAGCUAUAACAACCAGGUCAGUGAAAUGUUGCGCAGAGCUUCUAACCAAGUAUUCAAAGUAUGAAGCUUUAAAGUUGUUGGAAAAUAAACUGAUCAUCUCUUUUUCCAACAUAGAAGGGUUAACCUGUGCAGCUACCUCCCUCCAUCUUCGAGCGUAUUUCCUUAUGGACUCCUUAUUGUCCUUCUCCAUAGCUUGCAAGUUUAAACGAUCAGAGUCCACGUCUAUAUUGAACUUAUAUUGUCUCAUGAAGGCAUCAACUAAAUCCUUCCAUUUUUUAACCUUGGUAUUUUCCAACCGCAUAUACCAAGUGAGGGCAACGUCACUCAAAUUGUCUUGAAAGAAGUGAAUUAACAGUUUCUCGUCAUAGACUACCUCAACCAUUUUGUUGCAGUAUGUCUUGAGAUGAGUUACAGGGCAUUGAGUUCCUGUAUAUUUGAUGAAUUCUGGCACUCUAAACUUCUUAGGAAUGACUACGUUAGGUACCAAACACAUCUCAACAGCUUUUAUAUGGUCAUGUAGGCUAGUUCCCUCGAAUGCCCUCAGUCUUUGUUCCAAGGCAGCCCUUUUAUCCAGGCCAUCUUCUUUUACCACCUUGUUCUUUUGAGAUUCCUUUAUUGUAAGGUCAAUGGUAGAUGACAUUCCUAUGGGAUAUGCUGGUUGAGCAAAUUGGGAAUACAUAGACUGUUGAGACACCUCAUUUGCCCCCAGAUUCUGUGGAUUUACGAGCAUAGGUUCAGGCUGAGCUGUAGAUUUUGCUUCUUCAUGUUUAGAUCUCAAGGCUUGUUCGAGUAAGCUAGUAAGCCUGGCAACUUUCCAUCUCUUUUCGGUGUGGGGCUUCCAACUGGGCUCUUUCUUGUAAAAAAUUCCACACAAGGCUGUGAUUAAGAGAUUAACAAGAUGAUAGAUAUUUUUUUAGUAAAAUGAAUUCCAAUUCAAAAUAGCAAAAUAAGGUUUGUUGAGGCUUUUCUAGUAUAUAAAAAAAUCAAAUUAUACAAGAUUUAUUAUUAAUCUUCGAUAUUUAUUAUUGAUCAUCAAUAAUCAAUAUUAAAUGAUGACUUAUUUUCUAGUAUAAACUAUGUUUGAAAUAAAAUUGAUAAAACACAUUAUAUAUAAUUAAUGAUGGGAUCGUAUAUAAAAAUAAUUAAAUUGAGAUUUUUCAAUUACCUUUAAAUAUAUCAUAGUUUUAAUCGGUGGUGGACGAUAUAACAUAUGUAAAUUAUAAAACAAGCAUUUAUUUUUCUGAUAUAUACAUAAUAAUAACAAAUUAAAUGAUAGUAACAAGAAAAUAGCAAUUAGUUUGAAUAAAUGGUACCAGUUCCUAUCAUUAUAUAUUUAGGAAAAGGUUCAAAGAAUAGAAUAAAGUCAAAUAUAUAUUUUUAAUAAAAAAGAAAAAAAAACACAGAAAGAAAUAAAAAUAUGUUUGUAAUAAAUAUAAAAGAUGGAUAAAAAUAUUAGAGAAUAAGAAAGAGAUAUAGAAUCUCUUUGUGAAAUUUCUAAAAACUUAAUUACAAUUAUAUUAUAAUUUCUUCCCUAAAAUUAUUCAAAAUAUAGUAUUAGAAUUAUAUAAUGCUAGGUUUUAAUAGUUAAUUAAAGAAUCUUUCCUGAAUCAAAUAAUAAAAAUAUUGUAUAACGAUCUUUUGGAUGAAUUGUUAAUGUAGCUCUUUGACUGUUUGGGGUCCUGACAUAGCUGAUUUUAUUUGAAUAUAUUAUUUGAUAUCUCAUUGCUGCAUUGACUGGAAAUUUCAGUAUUCCAUAUCCUAUAUAUUUAACUCGUUAUAUUUAGUAGCUAACUCUGCAGCUAACUUCUCUGUCCCAUUGCAGCAAUUUCAUAGCUAACUCUUUGUUAUAUUUAACUUACUCUUCUUUGCUUCUUUGCUUCUUGCUCAUAACGAUAACUUGAAAGCCUUACGUUCAGAUAGAUAAUCAUUGACCAGUUCAUUGACCAGUUCUUUGUUAAUUUAGAAAUGCUGAAACAAAAACGCAAGCAAUCCAAAGAUGAAGACAACGAUUCAUCCUCGCGAAAGAGAAGAAAAGCUGACCUCAGUAAGCCUGUCAGUUUUGUCUCCACAGGUAAGGCAUAUGCGUGAGUCUAUACAUGUAGGAACUGCUGAUUCGAUUUGAAUAUGUUAUUUGAUUAGUCUGAUCAUAGGAUAGGUUGAGUCUACUACUAUUUCUGCCUUGCUUUGACUCGAAAUUCCUGGUGUUUUCACCUGCAAAUGAAUAGAAAUCACAUCCUUUCUCUUUCUCCUAUACAAAGAAUACAGUUAACCUCAUUUCAAUAUCAUAGAUUUGGAAUUUCAUAGCUAACUCUUUGUUAUAUUGCUCCAUUGGUAAUUGAUUGUGCCUUAAUUUCUGCAGCUACCAUGACAGAGCCAGGGUCUUCUCGAUCUAGUCCAGAAGGGGCCUAUGAUGUCUUCUUGAGUUUUAGAGGAGAAGACACUCGCAAGACAUUUACAGAUCAUCUAUAUGCUGCCUUAGAUCAAGCAGGAAUCCGCGCUUUUCGAGAUGAUGAUGAACUUCCGAGAGGAGAAGAAAUCUCCGAUCAUCUCCUCAGGGCAAUUCAAGAAUCAAAGAUAUCCAUAGUUGUCUUCUCAAAAGGAUAUGCUUCUUCUAGAUGGUGUCUCAAUGAACUUGUAGAGAUUCUUGAGUGCAAAAAGAGGAAAACCGGUCAGAUUGUUCUUCCUAUAUUCUAUGACAUUGAUCCUUCAGAUGUGAGAAAACAGAACGGCAGUUUUGCAGAAGCAUUUGUUAAACAUGAAGAGCGUUUUGAAGAGAAGUUGGUGAAGGAGUGGAGAAAAGCUCUUGAGGAGGCUGGAAAUCUAUCUGGAUGGAAUCUCAAUGAUAUGGCAAAUGGGUAUGCCUUUUUUCCAAAUUUAUGGAGUCAAUAUACUUUAUAUUUUUCAAUGUGAAACAAUAAAAUACUUAAUUGACUGGCUAUCAAUGACUGGCUUUUGUCUAUGAGCAGGCAUGAAGCAAAAUUUAUCAAAGAGAUUAUCAAGGAUGUGUUGAAUAAAUUAGAUCCCAAGUACUUAGAUGUUCCUGAGCUCCUAGUAGGUAUGGAUCGGCUUUCUCGCAAUAUUUUUGACUUUCUAAGUACUGCAACACAUGAUGUACGCAUUGUGGGCAUACAUGGGAUGCCAGGAAUAGGAAAGACAACUAUAGCAAAAGUUGUAUUUAAUCAACUCCGCUAUAGAUUCGAGGGAAGCUGCUUUUUUUCGAAUAUCAAUGAAACAUCAAAACAAUUCAAUGGUCUGGCUCUUUUACAAGAGCAACUUCUUCAUGAUAUUUUAAAACAAGAUGUUGCUAACAUCAAUUGUGUCGAUAGAGGAAAGGUUCUGAUCAAAGAACGACUUCGUCGCAAAAGAGUUCUUGUUGUUGCUGAUGAUGUGACUCGUCAGGACCAGCUAAAUGCUUUGAUGGGAGAGCGAGGUUGGUUUGGUCCCGGAAGUAGAGUAAUUAUUACAACAAGAGAUUCAAGUUUUCUACAUAAAGCGGAUCAAACAUAUCAAAUCGAAGAAUUGAAACCAGAUGAGUCCUUUCAACUUUUCAGCUGGCAUGCCUUGCGGGACACCAAGCCAGCAGAAGAUUAUAUUGAGCUUUCGAAGGAUGUAGUUGAUUACUGUGGAGGAAUUCCUUUGGCUCUUGAGGUUAUGGGUGCUUGUCUGUCCGGGAAAAACAGAGAUGGUUGGAAAUCUGUAAUUGACAAAUUGAGAAGAAUUCCAAACCGCGAUAUCCAAGGAAAGCUUAGAAUAAGUUUUGACGCACUGGACGGUGAAGAACUACAAAAUGCAUUCCUUGACAUCGCUUGCUUCUUUAUUGAUAGAAAGAAAGAGUACGUCGCAAAAGUGCUAGGAGCCCGUUGCGGUUACAAUCCAGAAGUUGAUUUGCAAACUCUCCAUGAGAGGUCUCUGAUUAAAGUAUUGGGAGAGACGGUAACCAUGCAUGAUCUAUUACGAGACAUGGGAAGGGAGGUCGUUCGUGAAAAGUCUCCAAAACAACCUGGAGAGAGGACCAGAAUUUGGAAUCAAGAGGAUGCAUGGAAUGUACUUGAGCAGCAGAAGGUAAGAGCUCAAUGCAUACAUGAAAGCAUAGUCAUGCGUAUUUUCUAGUCAAACUUAUUACAAGUAAUUGUAUGAAAGUUGUAUUGAUUUAUUUUUUAGGGUACGGAUGUCGUAGAGGGUCUUGCACUGGAUGUCAGAGCAUCAGAAGCUAAAUCACUUAGCGCAGGAUCAUUUGCAGAAAUGAAAUGCUUAAAUUUACUCCAAAUCAAUGGAGUUCAUCUCACCGGAUCCUUCAAACUGCUUUCUAAAGAGUUGAUGUGGAUUUGUUGGCUUCAAUGUCCUUUGAAAUAUUUUCCAUCUGAUUUUACCUUGGAUAAUUUAGCUGUUCUUGAUAUGCAGUACAGUAACCUCAAAGAACUAUGGAAGGGAAAAAAGGUGAGAAACAUGCUGCAAUCCCCAAAAUUUCUCUAUUAUGUAAUUUAUAUUUACAUGUUACAACUUCUUAAGAUUAAUUUUCAUUAUUUUGCGCUCUAUUAUACAGAUUCUCAACAGGCUAAAAAUCCUUAAUCUCAGUCAUUCUCAGCACCUUAUUAAAACACCAAACUUACACAGUUCAAGUCUAGAGAAAUUAAUUCUGAAAGGUUGCUCGAGUUUAGUUGAGGUGCAUCAAUCAAUUGAAAAUUUGACGAGCCUUGUUUUCUUGAAUCUCAAGGGAUGUUGGAGGCUGAAGAAUCUCCCUGAAAGAAUUGGCAAUGUAAAGUCUCUUAAAACUCUGAAUAUUUCUGGGUGUUCACAACUUGAGAAAUUGCCAGAACGCAUGGGUGAUAUGGAAUCCUUAACUAAGCUGCUAGCUGAUGGGAUUGAAAAUGAGCAAUUUCUCUCUUCAAUUGGACAAUUAAAGCAUUGCAGAAGGUUAUCAUUGCAUGGAGACAGUUCGACGCCACCAAGUUCUUCUUUGAUUUCAACAGGUGUUUUGAAUUGGAAACGUUGGCUGCCAGCAUCUUUCAUUGAAUGGAUAUCAGUGAAACAUCUUGAGCUUUCUAAUAGUGGUUUGUCUGAUCGCGCAACUAACUGUGUUGAUUUCAGUGGUUUGUCUGCUCUAGAAAAAUUGGAUCUAACAGGAAACAAAUUCUCUAGGCUGCCUUCUGGGAUCGGCUUCCUUCCCAAGCUAACGUAUUUGUCUGUUGAGGGAUGCAAAUAUCUUGUAUCAAUCCCAGAUCUUCCCUCAAGUUUAGGGCAUUUGUUUGCAUGUGAUUGCAAAUCAUUGAAAAGAGUAAGAAUACCAAGCGAGCCAAAAAAAGGACUAUUUAUAAAGCUAGAUGACAGUCAUUCGUUAGAAGAGUUUCAGGGCAUUGAAGAUCUAAGUAAUUGUUUCUGGUAUAUUCGUGUUGAUGACCGCAGUCAUUCACCAAGUAAAUUACUAAAGAGCGUUGUUGAGGUACUAUUUCUUUCCGUCUCUCUUUCGCACAAAAAGAAACACACACAAUUGGCACAUACAUUGAUUAAUGUCUAAAAUCUCAGCAUUCCUUGAAAUCAAUAUGUAUAUAGGCAAUAAUUAUUAUUAUUAUUAUUAUAUUUUAAAAAACAAAUAUCAUGUUUUAUAAUAUUUUUUAUUUUUCUUAUUUAAUCUAAAAAAUUAAAUAUUAUCUUUAAUAAUAUUUUUUAUUAAAUAUUUAAAGUCUGAUUGGUUUUAUUUUUUAUUUCUUGAUUUUAUGAUAAUAUAUUUAUACAGUUAAUGUGCAACGGUCGUCACGGGUAUUUUAUUCGCCACACUCCUAGUGAGAUGCCAAACUGGAUGAGCUACAGGGGAGAAGGAUGCUCAUUGUCAUUCCAUAUACCUCCAGUCUUUCAAGGCUUAGUUGUUUGGUUUGAUAAGGAUGAUCAUUAUUACUUCCACACUGACAUUAUUAUUAUUAUAAGAAAUAAAAGCAACGGUAUUCAAUUGUUUGAAGAAGAACGAACAGUACCAGAAAAUGAAAACAAUACCUCCAAAUUAGUAGAACGAACAGUAUCAGAACGAACAGUACCUCCAAAUUAGUAGGGUACAUCUCUUUUUGCCGAGUUGAUAUGAAUUCGUUAGCUUGAUGAAAACAACCGAAAGUUCUGAAAGCAUCCUUAAUUAGUAUAAUUAGUAAAGUCUUGUUAGUUUUGGCUAUAAGUUUUUGUUAUGUAUUAUUGCAUGGUUUUUAUUAUUUGUUGGCCCUUGUUUUUUUUAUAUACAACUUUUAUUUUUAUUGUCGGUUUGUCAUUAGCUUUAUGGCACUAACACUUAUUAAUAAUAAAUCUUGGACUAUUAUUAAAUAAAGGAAAAAUAAAAACAUUGUUAAAAUACCAAACUUGCAUAUUUCAAACUUAGAGAAAGCCGAUGAUAAUAAUCCAAUUUAGAAAAUAAUUAAUUUGUCCUUGUAGUAUUAGAAAAUAGUAUUUAAUCCUUAUGUUUUCAUAUUCAUCUAUGAUUUAAUCUCUUACAUCCAUUUCAUUUUCUUAUUAUUUUAAUCCAAAAAAAACUAAAAAUCACAUAUCAUGAAUACCAAUUAGAACGGAAGUGAAGACCAAUUAGAAGACUAUAAUCCAUAAUUCUCUCUGCUUCUAAGAAUUCACAGUCCCUAUAAAUUUGACUGAGAAAGAAAGAACUGAAGACAAACACAUGUUAACCUCUCAAGAUUAGUGCCUCACAAAAGAACAAGAUAAAGGAAACACCGCAAUUUUUCAUGAUAAAAUCCAAAGGAUUGGUACUUUGGUGUUUGUGGCGCUGGUAUAUGAAAGAACAGAGAUCAAGAGAUGAAAUCCCUCUAUACCGCUGUUAUUCCUUUCAAGGUGCGUAUCAGGUGUUUGAAAAACUUCCUCAACUUAAAGUAGAAAGGUCUUGUUUACAACGUUUUUUAGUCCUUUUCAAGUCUUCCAAUGUGUUGCAUUUACUGAAUAUGAUAGUGGGAAUUUAGUUAUCACCUACUAUCUUCUAAGACGCAUCUCUGUCUCCUCUUCUUCUUUAUAAAAUUAUUCCCUUCUAGUUCUCUAAUGUACUUGAUGUCCCGGAAGUGUGGCUUCUUCAUAUGAAGAAUACGUUAAGAUUCAAUUAUGAUUUUAGAUUCCAUUGCCUACAAAUUUGAACCAUGAUAAUGUAGCAUACGGACCAGUCAUGCCUAUCUACAUUAAUUAGAAUAGGCCUCCACCCUCUUAGGUUUUUAUUGAGAUUAGGGAUUCUAUUGUAGCUCUUUUUUCUCCUUUUAUUAUAACAAAAUAAUAUGUAUGGAUUAAUUUUCGUAUACAGAAACUAAGUCCUUUAAUCAAAUUUUAGAUUGACCAUCCUCUAUUUUUUAACUGUUUGAUACUUGUUUAAAAAAAAUACUAGUAAUGAGGGCAUGAAAUUAAGAAGGUGUGUGGGAAUGUGGUUGUGGUUGUUUUUGAAAAUAUAUUUUACUUAAAAAUAUAUCAAAAUAUUAUUUUUUUUAUUUUUAAAAAUUAUUUUUAAUAUUAACAUAUUAAAAAUAAAACGGUUAAAGAUAAAGUCCCAAAACAUAUUCUGCCCUUCUCCCCAAUGAACGUGGGCAGGCUUGACAUUUACUCGUUUACAAAACUGAGCCCAGUGGCAAAGAGGCCUGCUUAUUAUGCCUUUAGCUGAGACUGCUGUAGAAAUAAGUAGGCCUGAUCAAUUGGACUAAAUUUUUGUUUUGCUGUAGAAACACGUUUUUCCUUUGUGAGAAAAAGCAAGUUCAAAAAAACAGAAGAAGCAGAAUUUGAAAAAAAGAAGAGAAAAAAGAAAGAUGCUUUAGUUUUUAAUCCAUAAUGUCCAAAGUGACUGGGUAGAUAAGAUCCAGCCCAUUUGGGUCCAUCAAAGUCAUUUGUGGUAGCUUAUGACUAAUGUGCCCAAAGGAUGGCGGUUCAGUAACGGUCCAAGUAAAGAAACUAAUCUGGAAAAGGAAAUCAUGCCCAUCAGAAUUCAGAAGAUCAUUCUGCGUCCAUUUCACAUUAGCAAAAUGAAUCAAAACACCCAUUAGAAUUUUGAAGUCAUGUAUCUUCGAUGAAUUGCAAGCCAUAUCCAAAAGUUUCAUCAUCCAUAUGCCAAGCAGCAUGCAUGCAUGCAAAAUAUGGUGAGACAGAGUCAUCAGAUAAAAAAGAAAAAUAGUAGUGGAAUAAUUCUUUUAAUAUUUAAAAAUUAAAAAAUACUGUGUAACUGUUUUGUAUAAAUUGUAAAGUCAAGGACUCUUUUGUGCUUGGUAAAAUACCUCACACUAAAAUUAAUAAAUAAUAACACGAGAAGGACCAAAGUUAAUAAAUAAUAGCAUGCACGAAACUUUACAAUACAGUAAAAAAAUUGUUACAGUAAAAGCACAGAGAGAAGAACGGUUCCAUAAAAAGAUGUGGUAAGUCUAAUGUUGGGAGACUGCUCUUCCAAGGAUCCUACGGUUGCGAGCCAUGUGAAUGCAAAAGGAGCCAGUUGUUGCAACUCCAAAUUCCUUGCUUUUUUUCCUCUACGUACGUGUUACCUUUAACCUUUUAUAAUUAUGAUUGUUGCGUUGCUAAUUAUAAUUUGCAAGAAAGAUGAUGAACAUCUUUUAGUGAAUUAAGUUCAAUUCAAAAUAACAAAAUAAGGUUUGUUGAGGCUUAUCUUCGAACCUCAUUUUAGGAUUAAUAGACGAAAAUCAAAAAGUCCUGUGCAAAUUAUACAAAAUUUAUUAUUAAUAAUCAAUAUUUAUGAUUGAUCAUCAACAUUAAAUAAUGGCUUAUUUUCUAGUAUAAACUAUGUUUGAAAUAAAAUUGAUAACAGACACACAAUUAAUGAUGGUAUUGUAUAUUUUGAGACGAAAUUAAGGUUUUUCAAUUAAUGCUAAAACAUAUCAUGGUUUUAAUAGUUGGAUGGUACAUUAUGUAAAAUAUAAAAAAAUAUUUAUUUUUUUGAUAUACAUAGUAAUAAUAAAUUAGAUGAUAAUAACAAAAAAAUAGAAAUUAGUUUGAAUAAAUAGUACCGGUUCAUAUUAUGAUAUAUCUAGAGAAGAAGUUGGAAGAAUAGAAUGAAAUCAAAUAUUAAUAUAAAAAAAAAUAUUGAAGUAAUGAGUACAUGAAGCAAGAUAAUUAGUGGUUGAAUAUAGAUUAUAACUAAUUAUUUGUUCUGAUGAAGAUUACCAAUUAAAUACAAACAAAAAAAAUGUUUCUAAAAUAAAAGGAUAUGAAUUAACUAUAGAAACUAAAGAGUGGAUCGGUUAUCUUUAACGUUUGCAAAUAAUUAAAAGAGAUAUAAAUUUUGUGAUGGGUUAUGAUUAACGCAGAAGCAAAUAAAAGAGGAACAGAAAUUAUAAGCAAAUAUUGUUUCCUGGGCGGAAGUGUUUGGCACUGUCGAUAAAAGUUUUUUGAAAAAAAUUAAUUUUAUUUUUAUUUUUUUAUUUUAAAUUAAUAUAUAUUUUAUGUUUUCAGAAUAUUUUGAUGUAUUAAUAUCAAAAAUAAUUAUUCAAAAAUAAAAAAAAAUCUAACCAUUAGAGCUUCUCUCUCAAUCGUCUUUCUUUUUUUUAAUAACUAGAUUAUUAAAAUUACAAGAAUUAAGUUAAUAUUUCAAAAAAUUUCAAAAAAAUAUUUUGUUUUCUUUUAGUAUCUGGGAUUAUGAAUUUAUACGUAAAAUGUAUUCUUGAUAUUAAAAAAAAAGAUAAGGAUCUUCUUACUGAGGAAGACUUAUCUUGAACCUUAGACAUACUAAUUAGAAAACAUGACAAUACCUUAAUUUUUCUCAGACAAUUAAACAAUGCAAUUGUGUAUUUGGGGUGCUAAUAUAUUUUUUUUUACACAAUCAGUUUUCAUGCUCGAUCUCUAAGAUUAAUUAGGGUUUCUAGUAACUAAAAUACUAAGUAAAUAUUUUCUAGUAAAUUAAUUUCAAUUCAAAAUAACAAAAUAAGGUUUGUUGAGGCUUAUCGUGAAACCUUGUUUUGGAUGAAUUGAUCACGAGAAUGAGAAAUCAUGUGUAAAUUAUACAAAAUAUAUUAUUAAUCAUCAAUAUUUAUUAUUGAUUAUCAAUAUUGAAUAAUGGUUUUUUAUAAUAUAAAUUAUGUUUAAAAUAAAAUUGAUAAAAUUAAAAUUCAUGAAACACAAUUAAUGAUGGGAUCUACAUCUUUUGAAUUUAUUAGAAUGAACGUGUAAUUAAAGGACGAACCACAUACCAUUACAUGCGUUUUCAAUUGGAUUUUUUAUUUAAAUGAAAAAAAAUCUGUUUUAUAUGAAAAAAAUAUUUAUUUUUUUGAUAUACCUAAUAAUAAUAAAUUAGAGAAUAGUAACAAGAAAAUAGGAAUUAGAUAGACUAAACGGUACCAAUACUAUAUUCUUAAUAAAAAAAAUAUUUUUAAUAAAUAUAAAAGAUGGAUGAAAAUUGUUGCUACUCGAUUUUUUACCUAUAUUUUAAAUAAUUUUUCAGAAAAAAAUCAAAAUAGUAAAAACACAACGAAAAUCUCAAAAAAUGUAUUUUUGAUAUAUUUGUAUUGUUUUUAGCAUUUUUAAUAUUAUCUCAAAAAAAUUUUAAUUUUCAAAAGUAUUUUAAACGCGUUUAAUUUUUAAUGCGUAAAAUUUACAAUUACUGAUUUGCCUUAUUAAGUUGAUAUUGAUAUGAUUUGUUUUUAAAAAAAUUCAAAAUAUAACAAAUAAAAAAAUAUCAAAAUUUAUAUAUAUAAAAAAAAAUGAGGAACCAGUUUGGAAAUCUAAUAAGAUUUUGGCUAUAAAUACAGUGAAAAAUGUCAACAUCCGGGGGGAAUUGAGAGGAAUAGUGGCGUAGAAAAUUUUGGGGGGAAACAAAAGUAAAGAACCCUAGACCUCUUCCUUUUGGCAGUGUGGUAGUGGUUGCUUUUCAAAUAAUUUUUCGUGCCGAAAUACAUGCCAAUGAUAUUUUUUUAUUUUUUAAAAAUCAUUUUUGACAUCAGCACAUCAAAACGAUCCAAAAAAUACAAACCACACUCAAUUUUAACAAAAAAAAAAACAAAUUUGAAAUUUGGUGAAAAGCAGGUUGAACAGCAGAGCCAAACAUGCUAGACAGGAGCCGCCGCCUCCCUCUCAAAAAAUCCAGAGAAACCCUCCCUCUCUAAAAAAAAACAGGAGAAACCCUACUUUGGGGUUUUGAACUUUCGGCUUCUUCUCCCUGCAGCCGGACAAGGCUGCCCCCUCGCUUUGCCAAAAACGAGGAGAACCCCACAAAACACACAGACCCCCCCCCCCCAAAAAAAAAAAAAAAACCAUCCCCAGAGAAACCAACCCCCAGCCGGCGACCCCCAGCCUUAACAACAAAGAAAGACACGGCUGGUCCCCCCUCUCCACUGAUCUUCUCCCUCACCAACCUUCCCCUCUCUCGGCCGCUCACUUCCCCUCCGUCAAAAACAGAGACCGGCCGCCCCCCCCCUCUCCUUUGAGGCCAGGAACCAGAGAAACCAGAGAGCUCCGGACAGGCCUCCCUCUCCCUCGACCACAACCUCCAUCCUCCCUCUCUGUAAUCCAGCCCCCACAAACCCACAAGACAGCCCCGGCUCCCUUCCUCAUCGCCGUUUUCUCCAACUCUGACCGACCCCUCUCUCAGCCACCGAGAACGCCGCCUAGCAGCCCGCAGGCCCUCGUCCUCACCAAGACCCGAACCGGCCACCGGCAGCUGUACAGACACGACAGAAGCUCCGCCGCCGGCCGCCCCUUGCACAUACCGUCGGCCACCUGAAACAGAAGGUGAAAAAAAAAGAAAAAAACAGAUCUGCAGAAGAAACAGAUCUGAAACAAGGGAAGACCGAAACAGAUCUAAAGAAGAAGAAUAAAAAUCAACUGCUUUGUUGCGUUUUUGGUUGUUCUUGCAGGUCACUGCCGAGGAAAGGAAGAGGAGGAGAAGUUAAGCCAGAUCCACAUGUUCACAGUUUCUGCUUGCGGUGACGCGUGAACCCACACGCCGCCAGUGGCAUGGUGCGUGGAGAAGACGCUCCGCCACUGUUCCCAUCCCCAGAACCCUUUCAGCACUGUUCCCGAGGUUUUUUUUUAUUUAAUUUUCAGAUGUUGAUAUGUGUUUUUAGAUUAUUUUUAUUUGAUUUAUUUUGAAUUCUUGGUAUUUUGUAAUAUGGAAAUGUGGGUGCACGAGAAAAACAUAAUAAAAAGGAAUUUAUGUGUUUGUAUUUUUUUUAUGUAAGUUAUUGAAUUAUAAAAUCAGAAAGAUAAAAAAAAAUAAAUUUAAUGUUUUAAUUUGUAUAUGGUCAAGUAUAUGAUGAUAAUUAAAAUUAUGUUGUAUUUUUCAUAUUUUUCAUAAAAAUAUAAGAACAUGUUUCUAUAUAUUUUCUGGUGGAAGCUUUAAAAUUUGAUUAAUAUUUUAUUUUUUAAAAUUGUAUCUUCAAAUUAAAUUAUGAAGCAACUUAUCUCAGGUAAGAUGUGUUAGAGGUGUUAAUAUUUUUUCAAUUAUAAUCAAUUUUUUAUCCUUGAAUCUUUGACAAGACUAACAUAUCCAGGUUUUUUAGUAGGUGAUGACUUUCAAGAACAAGCAAACGAAGAAAAUCACUAAUUGACGCCGUGCAGGGAACGUGCGACAAAAAUAUUAGAGAAUAAAAUUGAGAUAUAGAAUCUCUUUUUUAUAUUUCUAAAAACUUAAUUUCUGUUGUAACCUAUUUUUGAGUCCCACACUAAAAUGGAGAAUAAACAAAUUUGGAAGAAAUCUAAAAAAAUAAUAGCAAUGAGAAGAGGAUGCCGAAACACCUAGAAAAUAGCUAGAAAUUGGUUGAGGAGGUUCAAAAAUACAAAAAUUAAAAUUUGACAGUAUAUAUUUGACUGAUGAGAGCUCUAUUGAAAAAGAAAAUUUAAUUUGAGAAAAAAAAGUUUAAAAUCAGAUGUUUAUGGAUUUAAUUAAUUUUAUUGAAGGAUUUAUAAAGAGUUUGAUUGCAAGAAAAAUUGAUUUUUAAGUCAAUUUAGACUUUAAUUGAAAGAAAUUAAAGUUCUGAGGUCAAAUUACAAUUUUUAAGAGUUAAUUUGGUCAAAUUAGGAGUUUAAUUACAUAAAUAUUAAAGUUUGAUGGCUAAUUAGGGACUUGUUUAAAUAAAUCCAAAACUAAUGACCAAAAGUUCUAUAACUCUAGAUAUAGUUAACAAUCUGAUGAGUGUUCAGACAGUAACAGUUCAAUGUCGAGACAGUAACAGUUGGACAAUAACAGUUAGACAGUAACAGUUCAAUGUUUAGACAGUAACAGUUGGACAGUAACAGUUCAAUAUCUAGACAGUAACGGUUGGACAGUAACAGUUCAAUGUCUAGACAGUAACAGUUCAAAUUAGACAGUAACAAUUAGACUUUCACGUGAAUACUAUAUGUAAGAAUAUAAAAGAACUGAGUCAUGCGAACACUUGCACGUUGAGACACUUAUGCAAUUUAAAGUUCUUCUGGUGAAUGCAAUUACAAUAAAUACCAUGUUCAAUGUAAAUAAAGUCCAGCGUAUUUACAAGAUUAGCUACAGCUAAUGGCAUCCGUGAUAGGAUUGCCGGGAAAUGAAUUACAAGAGUAGCUUGGGCUAAUAAUGUCCAUGUUGGGACGCCCGAGAACGAUUGAUAAGACUUGAUUUGUAAAGGGUAUCAAUGUUUGAAUGACUUGGGAAAUUGAUAAAUAUAAGUUGACUGUUAUAAUUCUUAUGGAUCCGAUAGAAAAUUUAUACUUCAUUCGUAUACCUUACAUGUGCACAUAUAUAUUUCUUUUGCAAACAUAAUGGUAUGUUUAUUUAUGUAACAAGGCCAUCAAAUAUCCAAGGAGAUCAUUAGUUUAGGGCUCUAUUUUGUCAAUCUUAUGUAAAUAUUUAACUUAAGCAUAAUGGAAUUAACGUGUUUAUGCAGUAUGCUUUUGUGUAAACCUUGAUGUAUUUAUAAAAGUCCAGCUUAACAUGUAGUACAUUAGUUAUCUUGUAAUUAACCCUCUUGAAAUGUUUAAGAAUACUUAAUAAAUUGUAAAUGCUCUCUUUGCAUGUUAUUCCCUUUUCUUUUAAAUUUUAUGACAUGAUAUAUAGGCUAUGUUCAUAUUGAACUUACUAGUAGGAUAUAUAUAUAUAUAUAUAUAUAUAUAUAUAUAUAUAUAUAUAUAUAUAUAUAUAUAUAUAUAUAUAUAUAUAUAUUGUGUGGAUUGUAUGAGUUGUUGAAUAUUGAUAAUUGAAAUAAGGUCUGGAAUUAUGGGACCUUGUGAUGAUGGGUUGAUUGAGUAAAUUGGUAGUAGUCGAUAAUUUGGAAUGUCCUAAAUACAAACGAAACUUUGCCGAAUUUUUGGUAGAUUUAAAAAAAAAAAAUUACCCUCAAAUUAAGAACAUAUGUUGGGAUCUUUUAACGUUGAUCAAGUCGUACAGUCGGGUCUGUUACAUAUACCGUAAAGAUACAAAUCCAGUAUUAAAAUACGUGGUUUUCACCAAAAUAUUGCAAAAGUUAAAUAAAAGAAAUAUAUUAUUUUCAUGCAUAUGGCCAACUCUUUAAAAAAAAAUUAUCAUAUCGUAUUUUCAUACCAUAAAAAAAAUCUCAAAAAUAUUUGUUAGCAUGCAUUUUGGCUUUAAUAACUAGUUUGUUAAAGUCAUGAGAACUAUGCUAACAUUUUAAAAAUUUCAAAAAAAUUAUCUUGUUUUAUUUUAAUAUCCGGGAUUAUGAACUUAAUCGUAAGUCGUACUCCUAAUAUUAAAAUUAGUUUCUUUGGUUGAUAUAGAACGGUUAGGUUUUACCCAAUUAGAUAAUAAUCUCUUUAUCGAGGAAAAUUUUUCUUAAACCAUAGACAGACCAACAACUAGAAAACACAAUGAUACCUUAGCCUAUAUCAGACAAUAAAACAAUGCAGCUUACCUUAGGUAGGGCGUAUUUUGGGUGCUAAUACUUUUUUUUUACGCAAUCAGUCUCCGUACCCGAUCUUUGAGACCAAUUAGGGUUUCAGUUACCAAAAUACUAGGUGGUGACUCUCAUUUUUCCAUUCCACUGAUAAAAGACAAGAUUUUCUUGCCUCCCUAUAUUUGCCAGAUAGACAUACAUGAGAGUGGAUGUUAUUCACCGUGACACCGCACACGUGUCACAAUUACAAUUCCAUUAUAAUUUGUUCCUUAAAAGUAUUCAAAAUAUAGUAUUAGAAUUACGUAAUGCUAGGUUUUAAUAUAUAAUUUUUUAUAUUGUUAAAGAGUCUCUCCUGGACCAAAUAAUAAAAAUAUUGUAUAACUCUUAUGUAUGAAUCGUAAAUCCAGGGAUUGUUUUGGAUCCUGAAUUGGCUGAUUUGAUUUGAAUAUAUUAUAUGAUUAGUCCAUUUAUAGGUUAACUCUACUAUUGCUGCCUUGCAUUGACUUUACUCUGCAGCUAACUUCUCUGUCCCAUUGCUGCCAUUUCAUAGCUAACUCUUUGUUAUAUUUAACUUUCUCUUCUUUGCUUCUUUCUCGUUUUAAUUUCAUUUCUUGCUCAUAACGAUAACUUGAAAGCCUCACGUUCAGAUAGAUAAUCAUUGACCAGUUCAUCCUAUAUCAUUCUAUUUAAUUUAGAAAUGCAGAAAGAAAAACGCAAGCAAUCCAAAGAUGAAGAAAACGAUUCAUCCUCGCGAAAGAGAAGAAAAGCUGACCUCA
rnacentral:lncRNA from 1 species